rnacentral:lncRNA from 1 species
AAAGAAAAAACCUAGGUCCCUCGCUUCGGUUCUCCGGGAUUGCUCGAAGAUGGACGAGGAUCAGGAGAUGGAGAGGUUCGGGAUGGACAACGAUUACGACGACGGGCAGCGGAUCGACGGGGAGUUCUUCUACCGCCGGCGGAGGGAGAAGCGCCCAGACCAAGGACGACGUGCUUUACGGUGUCUUCGCGUCGGGGGACUCCGAUUCGGACUACGACGACUCCUCCAAGAGGAAGCGGAGGAAGAACAGGGACCUCCUAGGUAAGGCCGAUCUGUCGAAGCCCAUGAUUUCGUGUCCACCGGCACGGUCAUGCCGAACAGAGAGAUUGAUGAGAACUCGAAGAGGGAGGAUGAGGAUGACGAGUCCGCUGCCGUGGAUGAGGAUAGGCCGGGCUUGGGGGUCUUGGGAAGAACCAGCAGGGGAUUGUGACACCCAUUGAAGCAAAGCUGCAUCCUAAGAAUAUGGGUAUGGGCUUCGAUGACUACAAAGAAACUCCUGCAAAGGCGCCUGUUGCCUCGUUGUAGCCAGAUGAAGAGAAGCCAUUACCUGACAUGCCCGGUAAGGAGAAGCUUUGGUCUAAGCAAGCGAAGAAGGCAACGCCGAAAAAACAAAGCGAAAUAUACUAUAGCAGAAGAGCUGUUGGCGAAGAAGCAGGAACAGUGCGUUGAAAUUGUCCAAAAGGUAAUGGACAUGCGGGGACCUCAGGUUAGGGUAUUAGCAAACUUGGAGAAUCUGAACGUGAAAGAGAAGGCGAGGGAGAGCGAUGUUCCUAUGCCCAAGCUCCGGCACGAUGUAAGGUCGAUUGUGGACCUGGCUGAGUUGGAUAUUCAGUAGAUCAAUACGGACCCGAGGAAUGAGAAGGAGAAGUUGCAAGCUGAGGCAGAACACCAGAAGAAACAACUGAAUAACGUGAAGGAGAUAACGAAUACGCUAGGCCGGAUUGAGGAGGAAAAGUCAAUGGGAACAUUGACAUUGGACUCGCUAGCCAAGUCUUUUGGCGACAUGCAAAGAAGGUUUCCUGAUCAUUAUUUGCUCAUUUGCACUCCCUCUAUUUAUCAAAGUAUUUCAGGGAUGGGAUCCUAUUCGGAAUCCCUGCCUCACAUGGGUUGGAAGUUGUUUCGCAGUGGAAAUCUCUAUUGCAAUGACAGGAAUGUCUUGAUAUAUGGGAUUCAGGAUCCCCUUAUAUUUAGUUGGUUUCACAAGUUGUCUUGCCUGCAGUGAGAAUAUCAGGCAUUAACACUUGGGAGGCAAGGGAUUUGGAACCAAUGUUUCGAUUUCUUGAAGAUUUUGUGAUCAGUCUUCUCGCAUUUGGGCGCAAUUGAAGUUUGUCAGUUUCCUCUCAUGUGAAGAGCAUUCGGAAUUUUUUUUUUUUUUUUCCAUAUUAACUGAAUGUUGAUAUGCAUGACAAAAGCAAAUACGCUGGCAUCUUUGCAUCGCUGCGGCACGACUCUUCUUCAGCCUCUCUCUGUCGACAAACACAGCACCUGAGCCUCCGGCAGUGGCUUUUCGUCUUAGAAUCGGCAACAUCCCGGCACUCUUGAACUUGAACUUGCGCUCCCCGCUGGAUAAAGCUCGCUGAUUCUCUCUUUUUAUCUCUCUUCUUUGUGAGAGCUCGAUACCUCCUCCCAGGUGCAAUCAACGGCAAUGGAAAAUUGGAAGAUGGCGAGAGGAUGGGAGAAAAUAAAAGCAAAACGGAAAUCAAACAGACGAAAUUUGGAAUGAAUCGAAGACAAUUCUAGAGUUCAAUCGGAGAUGGAACGUCCCGGUAUUUGUUUACUGUUGAUUGAGGAAACUCCGUGGUCAAGUUCCGCUGCCACGGCAGCGAGGCGAGCGGCAUCUUCAAACCGGUAGCGACGCUUUUUGUGCUUCGAUCAGCGAAGCGACAAUCGUCAGAGAGCUCAGUCUCGAUGAAUCGUUGGUGGGUACUCCUUUCGCGGUUGGAUUCUCUCUCUCCAGAUUUUCUCCGACCAGAUGUUCUUUUGCAUCUUUUCUCUCUCUCGAUUUGGAUUCUCCAUAUUCAUCUCUACCAAUUCAGAUCUAUCUCGGUUCAGAUUCCUACAGUGAACGACACCAUCAGAUUCCACAUUUUGAGUCGUGGCCACACUAAUUCCACUCUGAUUCUUGUCGUCGCUUUCCUGUCCUUGCACAUGUCUGGACCAGAUCUAUAUGUGGCCGGGCCAUCUCGAGCUCAUGCUGCCAUCGCCGCCAAACCAUCAUCAAGGGUGUUUCAUAUCCAAUUGAACUUCCGAGUCAAAAUUUCGAUUCGCUCCAAAAUAUGUUCUCUCGAUUCUUGCUUUUUUCUGUUUGCUCCGACUUCAUUGCCAUCUUUCGAAUUCCUUUGUUCGCCCAUCUACGCCUCACGCAAAGGGAAAGCGGGGUGGUGUUCACCGCUUAAAAGAGCUUUAUCCGAUUGCCAAGGCUGAGGUUGGAUGGAUCAUCAUCAUCUGGACAGGAUCCGCCGAUUCGAAGGAUGAGAUUCUUUGGGUUCACUCUCGGCACUCCUGCCGGUCCGACGUAGUUUCAUCAACCAACCGCAAGAGAGGAUGGAGAUGAUUCGGAUUUUGCGUGAAAGAUUGGCGGUGGUGAGCACGAAGAGAAAACAAGGAAGAAUAAAAAGUCGCGAAGCAGUGGAUGGAGAUGAUUCGGAUUUUGCGUGGGGACUGUGGGGAAAACGGGGCAAACAAGGUGAAGCCGGCGGUGGUUCCUUGGAUGAGAAGGAAGUAAAGUGUUGAAAUUUUUUUUAAAAAAAAGAAAAAGAAAUAAAAGACGAAAGGAAAAUAUGGAGAGCCCAUGAGAAAUCGGUAAAAAGGAAGACUUGCACGAAAAAUGUAAUUCGUCAUUAUAUCGAGCACCUUCAUUGCAAACUCAAUCCCUCCUCCACAGUGCAAUCGAUGGCAAUGGGAAUUCGGAAGACGGCGAGAUAAUUGGAGAAAAACGAAAUGAAAUAGAUAUCAAAAGACGUAGUAUGUACCGAAAUUAAUUCUAGAGUCGAAUGGGAGAUGAAAUGACCUGGUGGUGAAAUUAAUUCCGUGGAUAUUUCUUAUGGGUCGAUCUUCCUACCUUCGCUUUUGUUACAGAAUCGUCUCACUCUCUAUUUCUCUUUGGGGCAACUCAACGAACACCUUCUUCCCUAUGUCCAUCUUCAUUUUUCAGCAAGUCUUCCUCCAUCAGGGUCGUUUCCUAUACGAUUGAACUUCCGAGUCCAAUUUCGAUUCAUUCCAGUAUACGUUCUGUCGAUUCUUGCUUUCCUUCAUCUCCGCCUUUCGGAUUCCAAAUGCCGUUGCUCGCGUCCUUCGUUUCGUCUCUCUAUGCCGCACACAAUGGGGAUGUCUGGCUGGUGGAUAGGAUCUGCCGAUUCGAAGGAUGAGAUUCUUUGGGUUCACUCUCGGCCCUCCCGCCGCUUCAAGAAGCAGCAAAGACUUGCACAAGAGAUGGAAUUCUUGAGAGGAAGAUUCAUCCCAUAACUCAGCCAUCAUUUCCUUUUUUCUUUUCCUUGAAGAAGGCAUCAAAAACUCCAAACGAACGCCAUCAAGGACGCCCAUUGCGUCUCUUCGCUUCAAGUACCUUUAUUGGAUCUCUCCCUCCAUCCCGACGCGCUCCCCGGCUCAGUGAGUUCCGAGUCGCUCCACCAUCACCCUCGCUAUCUACUCGGCCUCGUGAUCGAUUCCGUCGCUCGCUGUCUUUAGAAACUUCGGUGAUCCUCUCUCUCUCUCUCUCUUUUCCUGUCCUUCUUCGGGUUCGAAUCAUGCAUUCGUUUUGUGGAUUCUUAGGUGUUUUGACGGAGGUUUGAAUCUGGUGUCCUUGAGUGAUGUUUAAUGCUAUUGUCGUUUUGCUCAUCAAUGGAGUUCAUGUCGGAUUUUUUUCUUUUUUCCUUGUUUCCGACCGUGAAUCCAAGACCACUUGGAAACGAGCGAUGAUUGAACUGAAAACGUCCUGAGAAAUCGCCGCAGUGAGCGAAAGUUGUGCAGAGUUAAGCUCGGUCGAACAUUGGUUCGGUUUUCCUCUAUUUUUUGGCAUUAUAUAGUCACUUCUGGAUUCAGUUGUGGUGCGAGGGUGACUCGCUAGCCGUUCCUGAUCGGUCCUUCGGUUAACGCUUUUCUCUGUAUAGAUUUCCGAGCGGCUUGGGACUUGGAGAUGGGAGUAGCACCGAUGAGUUAUGACAUGGAAGAGGGGACGCUGGAGAUCGGCAUGGGUGAGUUUUUGGCCCUCUCCGCUUUCCAAUUUUUUUUUUUUUUUUUUUUUGGAGCUACGGACAAUAAAAAUCUGCUGGGAUGCUUAAAUCUCGUAAUUAAGUUUUGUCUGUAUUGUGGGGAGUAGCUUUGUCUCCUUGUUCGUGGCUUGUUAUGUCUUUCGCCAUCUAAAUUUCACCGUGCUCAAAAUCAGAACUUUAGUCAUGGGAUAUUGUUGUUUUCGAGGCUUUCCAUAUAGCUUUCUCGUUUCUGAAAAGUUUAUGCUGCCCCUAUUAUGACAAUGGUUAAUACAUUUAUUACUUAGAUCUACACAAUCUCUAUCAUUUCAUAUAUAUUGGCCGAGAGGUGAGGAAUGAUUUAGCUCUUGUCCGAGUCAAAUGUUUAGCAUGCCUUAGUCGCUGGGUCUUAGUUAUCAGUUGUUCAGACAAUUGCUUUGCUGCUUGCAGAGGAUAGGACCGUCUCUGGUGUUGCUGGGCCGUUGGUUACACUCAACAAAGUCAAGGUAAAUUUCACUGGUUAUAAUUUUAUGAGGUUCAGUGGACUCCUAUACUAACAUGUUGGAUUAAUUUUAUUGUAUAUUAGGGACCAAAGUAUCAAGAGAUAGUAAAUAUCCGCUUGGGUGAUGGAACGACUAGACGUGGGCAAGUCCUUGAAGUUGAUGGAGAGAAAGUUGCUGUGCAGGUUCAGUCUCAGUUGCCAGCCUCUUCUUUUUUCCUUUAGCUCUCUUGAUACUGCAUUUUUGUUGUUUGGACUGCAAUACUUGGGUCAACUUUGUGUGCAAUACUUUUCAGCUGAUGACCCAGUGAAUUCUCUGUCAUUCAUUGCAAGCAUUAGAAAAAGCAGAACAUGAAGAGUAUUAUCUUAGGUAUAUGUGAUGAAAUGUGAGAACAUCAUAUGGGAUGAUAAUUGAAAUGUGAUUGAAUUUCUUGAGAACAAUGUUAAGAGUCUGAUUAGCAUUCCGUUUAGGCAAUUAUAGAUCCUCUCUGCUCUUGAGUGAUGGAAGUCUAGUCAUGGUGUGGGUUAUUUUGGCUCUGCAAAAGGCUAAUAAUCUUUCCUAUAUUUCUCUAAUUGUUGUCAAACUUCUGUAGGUUAUGUUAUUCACUAGUUUCUCUGUCAGUAAAAUUUAAAUAUAAGUAUUCUACUCAAUGCUUGUGUGAUCGGUGGUUGUUCAUCUUAGACUUCCAGUACAUAAAGCUUUCUAGUCAUCCAUGUUUCACUCUCUUGUCGCUAGGUUUAUGAAGGUACUUCUGGGAUUGAAAACAAAAACACCAUUGUGCAAUUCAUUGGCGAGUUAAUUAUGCAUGCUGUUUGUUUUUGUUUUCCUAAUAAAACAAUGUUUCAUCAUUCUGUAGAAAGAAAGAGUUAGAUUUGUUUUUCUGUAAUUAGGAACUAAAUGCUCCUACAUGUUGGCAACAAGAUUUCACUUGUAGCAUGAGAAAUAAUUUGGCAUAUGUCUUGGCCUUGGCCUCAUGAAAGGCUGUCAAAAGUGCAUUGUUUUCCUACCUUUACAAAUCUCUUCAGCUGUGUCAGCAUUUACUCUCUUUAAUCUUGGAUAAAUAAAAGAACCUUUAGAAAUUUAUUGUGGAGUUAUCACAUUUUUCUUUUAAUGCAGGUUCUGAAAACACUUAUGUCCUUGGAUACGCUUGGGUUCAUAUUUAAUGGUUCUAGAAAGCGUAUUGAUAAUGGCUCUCCAAUUCUGCCAGAGGCUUACCUGGAUAUUUCUGGUGAGUUGUGUCAUUGUGAUAGUAAUUUUGAUUGGCCAUGGAGCCAUUUAUACUCCAUGGCACCUAUGGCAAUCCCAAGAACUUUCUUGUGGUGUCUUAUAUAAUAGAUAAACUCCCUCUUUUUUAGGAAGUUCUAUAAAUCCCAGUGAAAGAACCUACUUGGAAGAGAUGAUACAAACAGGAAUUUCCUCCAUUGAUUUAAUGAAUUCCAUAGCUCGUGGACAAAAGAUCCCACCUUUCUUUGCUGCUGGUCUUCCUCAUAACAAAAUAGCUACUCGAAUUUCUGCCAGGCUAGUCUUGUGAAGCGAUUGGAGAAGGUUGAUGGUAUUACCAAGACAUAUGUUGCAUCUUUGUUGUAUACCAAUGUUAUAAUACCCUGCUCUAUGAGUUUUAUUGCCUCGAUAAUUUAAGGAACUACCAUUAGUUUUAUAGAAUUUUCCUACGGUUCUGGAGUUCAGGUCCAGAAUUCACCUAAAAUGUAUUUUAUCCUUUGACUAACUAGCUCCACUAUGAGCAAGUAGGAGCUGAGAACUUCUAGUAAGAGAACAAUGUCCUAUGUGACUUGGGAUAAUGCACUGAUGAAGGUUGGUACCCGAGGUGGUUGUGGCAGAGUGUCGGCUCUGGCCAGCUCAAGUGUAAGAGUACCACCGCAGGUUGGUACUAGUGUAGCAACGUCGAAUGAUCCUAAGUUUGAUAGGAUCGUUCUGAUGCUAGUGUUCCUUGGGGACUAGAUGAGCCAGCAAGCUUAGGAUCAAGUCGUUGUUGUUGUCGCUAUCUCUAUCGCCGUUGUUGCCGCACCUGCUAAGGUCCAAUGUGAAGAUGAUCUGGGAGCGAGCCGUUGCAUCUAAGUCGAGGUACAGCUCCAAUUUAAGCAGAGAUGGAAAUCGGUCAAGGAAAAGACCAAUGUGGAGAGAAGAGUAUUCCAUUCCACCCAAUAAGAAGGGUGUGAUAGUUAGGUCAGCACUGAGUCAAAAUGGAACAUGCUGUUCCUAUGUGUGAUGGCAAAGAUCGGCCUUAUGUUUUCUUAGGACAAGAAUUUGUUUCGAGUAUAGCCAACAGAGUUACCUGACCGGAGACAGUUCUAGAAGAUCGAUGGGACAAAUUAGAGGAAAUGCACCAUAGAACACACAGUGGAGUUUUGGAAUAGGUCUCUGGUACCAAAAAGAGUGCAUGCUUUCACCUGACAGGAGAUAGAAGACACACCAGAUAGGUGUCAGAAUUGUAGAAUGAAGCAUGGAUAAAUCCUGUCCGAGUAUGACUAGAACAUGUUGUGAUGAUGAACAGCAUGACUAUCAAGUGAAUUACUAUAAAUGGAAGUCUAAGGUAGCAUAGACAUCGUUACUGCGGCCAGAACGCCACUAGGAUGGCGAAAGGAAUGGGAGUAGAAUUGACCUUGCACCGAUCGGAGAAAGAAUGUGUUGGAGGUGAUUUUAUCAAAGCAGCGCAGCAGAGUUUUGUGCUAAGUUGGUAGAACUUAAAUUGUUGAAGUAAAAGUGAAAGAGAGGGGAAUCACUAGCAAUAAUUGUGCUUGACUAGUUGCUGAGGUGUGAGUUUGACACCUAAAUAGUGUGGGUUCAUGGAGCAUCUUGUGAUAAUGAAUCAUGGUCUUGGAGUAAUCUAGUUUAGUCCAUUGGCAUGUGAAAGUGUCGAGGUUAUUGGAAGUCGAAAAGAAUCUUCGAUUUCAUUAAUCUCGUUGGUUGAAGGCAACCUGUUUGUUAGAUGGAGGUUGCCAAGGUUGCUUGGCGAUUGUCUUGGGUAGGACAAAUUGGAGAACUAGAGAUGGAGGACAUCUCAGUGGUCUAAGAAUUUCUAGAUGUGUUGUUACAAGAACUGUCAGACCAUCGUCAGAGAAAGAGAUAGAAAUUGUGAUCGAGCUAACACCAGGAUAGAGCCACUCUCGAAGGCUUCUUACCAGCAGCUGUUGUUUGAAUUGGUAGAACUGAAGAUGCAAAUGUGAAGAUUGGUGAAUGAGGAAUUCAUGCAGAUUAGUGCAUCACUUUGGGGAAACAUUAGUUUUGUUUGUGAGAAGAAGAAAGAUGGUUUGUUGCGAGUGUGCAUCGACCAUCGUCAGCUCAAUCAGGUAACGAUCAAGAACAAGUAUCUAUUGCCGAUGAUAGAUGACUUGUUUGAUCAACUGCAAGGAGCGUCGAUAUUCUCGAAGAUCGACUUAAGGACAGGAUAUCAUCAGCUAAUGAUUAGGAAGGAGGAUAUUCCUAAGUCGGUAUUUCGUACCCGGUAUGGUUAUUACGAGUUUAUAGUGAUGCCGUUUAGGUUGGCGAAUGCUCCAGCUGCCUUUAUGGAUUUAAUGAACAGAGUGUUCAAGGAAUAUCUGGAUCAGUUUGUGAUCAUGUUCAUUGAUGACAUCUUGGUCUAUUCGAGAAGUGAUGAAGAGCAUGAGAAUCAUCUGAGAUUAGUGCUUCAGACCUUAAGAACUCAUCAGCUGUAUGCUAAGUUUAGCAAAUGCGAGUUUUGGCUGACUUGUGUUGCGUUCUUAGGUCAUGUGAUUUCCGGAGAAGGAAUCUUCGUCGACCCAAGCAAGAUAGAAGCCGUGAUCAAGUGGCCAAGACCGACAACAAUGACAGAGAUCAGAAGUUUUCUAGGGUUAGCAGGUUAUUAUAGACGGUUUGUGGAAUGGUUCUCAUCGAUAGCGUCACCUUUGACAAAGCUCACAAAGAAAAAUGAGAAGUUUAUAUGGACAGACAAGUGCGAGCGUAGUUUUCAAGAGAUGAAGGAAAAGCUGACUACCGCACCUGUGCUGACGAUUCCAUCUCGUCUUGGAGGAUUCGGGAUCUAUAGUGAUGCGUCAUUCAGGGGAUUGGGUUGCGUGCUGAUGCAACAUGGCAGAGUCGUUGCGUAUGCUUCCCGUCAGUUGAGACCUCAUGAAUUGAAUUAUCCGAUGCAUGACUUGGAACUCACAGCCAUCAUAAUUGCGUUGAAGAUUUGGAGGCACUACUUGUGCGGAGAAAAGUUUCAGAUUUUCACAGACCAUCAGAGUCUCAAGUAUCUGUUCUCUUAGAAGGAGUUGAAUAUGAGACAGCGCCGAUGGAUGAAAUCGCUAAAGGAUUACGACUGUGAUAUUCUAUAUCACCUAGGAAAGGCGAAUAAGGUCGCCGAUGAAUUGUGUCGGAAGUCUUCAAUAGCGCAAAUCUUGGUUUAGGAGUGAAACUUAAUCGAGAGAGCUAAAGAUUCGAAAUUCAAAUUUGAGGUAGGCUACCUUUCGAAUUUUAUGGCCACCCUCAGAACUGAACCAGAUGUCCAGGUCAGAAUCAAAGAACUCCAACCGACAGAUCCAGAUGUACAGAGAAUUCUUCAAGAGGAUACCGAUAAAAGAAAGACUGAUUUUCAAGUUUCUGAUGAUGGGGUAUUGAGGCUCCAUGGACGUUUGGUUGUACCUGACGAUGUAGAGCUUAAAGAAGAAAUUUUAUCUAAAGCACAUCGUAGCAGCUACAACAUUCAUCCUGGAAACACUAAGAUGUAUCAGAAUCUGUGUCAACACUACUGGUGAUCAAGUAUGAAGGCGGACAUUGCCAAGCAUGUCGCCAAGUGUUUGACUUGUCAGCAAGUUAAAGCCUAGCAUUGCAAGCUGGGAGGACUUCUGCAACCUCUUGCGAUCCUAGAGUGGAAAUGGGAGCACAUCACGAUGGAUUUUGUGACUGGACUACCAAGGAGUCAAAUAGGAAAUGAUUCAAUUUGGGUAGUGGUCGACAGGCUAACAAAGUCAGCUCACUUCAUUGCAGUUCGAAAGGACCUGAGUCUGGAUAGACACGCAGACUUGUAUGUGCGUCAGGUGGUUCGUAUGCAUGGAGUGCCGGUUACGAUAACAUCCGACAGAAACCCGAGGUUUACUGCUGCUUUUUAGAAGAGUUUGCAGAGUGCUUUAAGUACAAAGCUUCAGUACAGUACGGCGUAUCAUUCUUAGACGGAUGGCUAGUCUGAAAGGACAAUUCAGACUCUUGAAGACAUGCUGAGAGCGUGUGCAAUAGACUUCAAAGGAAGUUGGGAAGAUCAGCUUCACCUGGUAGAAUUUGCCUACAACAAUAGUUAUCAGCAGAGCAUCAAGAUGGCUCCAUUUGAAGUGUUGUAUGGCAGAGCAUGCAGAACUCCAGUAUGUUGGGAUGAAGUUGGAGAAAGGAAGAUAACAGGCCCAGAGUUGGUUCAGCAAUCGGUAGAUGCCGUGACAGUGAUCAGAGGUAGAUUAAAGAUAGCGCAGAGCAGGCAAAAAAGUUAUGCAGAUAAGCGUCGAAGGUCUUUGGAAUUCCAAGUUUGUGAUCACGUUUUUAUGAAAGUGUCACCAAUGAGAGGAACUUCGCACUUUGGUAAGAAAGGCAAGCUGAGUCCGAGGUACGUAGGUCGUUUAAGAUUCUUGAAAGAAUUGGAAACCUAGCGUAUUGUCUUACGUUGCCGCCAAGGCGCAAGUGCGUGACAUCUUUCACGUGUCGAUGUUAAGGAAGUACGAGCCUGACCCGACCCACGUGCUCAAUUUCAAGGAAUUGGACGUGGAUGACCGUGUGUUAUACGUUGAAAGCCCGGUUCAGAUUAUCGAUCGCAAAAAGCAAGUUCUGCAUACAAAGACCAUUCCGUUGGUCAAAGUGAUCUGCUAACAGCUCGGUACUAAAGGAGUGACUUCAGAGACUGAAGAGUCGAUGAGACAGUUGUAGCCCCACCUUUUUGAGCAAAUUGUGUAAUGGUUUAAAUUUCGAGGACGAAAUUUUUAUAAGAGGGGAAGAGUUGUGACAUCCUGAAAUUCGAUCCCGUUUCGAUAAACUAAAAUGGGCAUAUGUCUUCGACGUGCCUAUGGUCAUUUUUCUCUGAGCUGAUCACUCACAAGUUAACUAAUCUAUUGGGUGAAGCCGUUAAGGGAUGUAUCUGCAGUAAAAUCCCUAAAAGCUACUCAAUUGGUUGGAUUAGACUAAAAUCGCGUCUGAUCGAUUCUAACCAUGAAAUUUAAAUUGGUUUCGGGAAUCGAAUAUUCGAGCGUGUCACAAUUCAUUUUUAGGACCGUCUCAUCGUCUAUCAAUUUAUUGACGAGUCUGAAAUUUCAAGAAAAAAAUUAUAGGAGGAAAAAUCGAAGACCAAAAGAAAAUAGGAAGAGAAAAAGAAAAGAAAAAGAAAAUAAGACUCAUGGUGUUAUUUUAUAUUAUUUCUUUUCUCUCCCUCUCUCUUCUUUUCUCUCUCUCUCUCCCUUUCUUUUUCUCUCUCUUCUCUCCUCUCCCCUCCCCCCUUUGUGCGAAACCCUCCUCCCACGCCAACCAUUCCCACUUUUUCCCUCUUGCUGGCUUCCACUUUGCUUUUUCCCCUUCACCUUUUUAGUUUUGACCGAUCAAACACUCUUAUCUCUCCUGCUCUCACUAUCUCUCUCGUAACCCACCUUCUCCCUCUUUUCUCUCUUGCUCGUGCGAAGUAGAAGCCGAACCGAAGACGGCAAAAACACAGUAGCUCACCGAAGACUGGACCAGUUGCCCGUCGCCGCCGCACUGAAGCCGGACCGCCCGUGCACCCGCCGCUCGCCGUUGUCCCGCCGUUCACGCACGCCCCUCACACCCAGGCGUCUUCCCCGUGCGAUUCCAGCAGCUGUCCAGCUCGAUCCAGCGCCUCCAGCCUCUGCUCGCCGCCGUCCCGACCUCCCCGGCGUCCCCCUCACCCUCCGCCGGCCUCCCUUUGCCGCCCUAGCCACCGGACCAGCCUCGGCCAGGCUAAAUCCGCAACCCAUGGAGUGGGUAUCCAGCCCCCUUCGGGCUCGUUUUGGGCCAUUUCCGAGCCCUGAACCCGAGCCGUGCUUUGGGAAAUAUUGUUCCUCGCGUCACCCCCGUCGGAUUGAUCCGAUUUGCGCGCGAUUCCGGUGAGUAAUCUCACUAAUCCUUGCUUAGUGAGCUAAUGACACUUAUUGGUUGUUUAGUUUUAUUUAAUUAGGUUUAGAUUGUUAGAUUAAUGUUUAUUAGUCAAUUGUGAUGCAAAUUAGACAAAUUGAAUGUGUAUUUAGCAAGUAGACGUGGUCUACUAUUUAUUGAUGGUAGCCCGAGAUUUUUCCCGACCCUAAUCGGGCUUCAAUUUGAUAAUUUGGGCCUAAGUGGAAUUUUUGUCAUUUAAUUAUUAUUUUUCAGAAUUACUUAAUUAAUUAAUUAUUUUCCGAAAAUUCAACAGUGAUGGCCAGUGACCGGAAUAUUAUGCUGAUGACCGUGGCGAAGUCCGUUUAUUUAAUCGAGCUUUAUUUUGAGCUAAAUUGAAAUUUUAAUAUUAAUUAUUUAAUUUUCGAAAUUAUUUAUUUAUUUAUUUAUUUAUUUAUUUAUUUUGUUUUUCGGAAAUUAAGGUUGAGAUGGCCAACGACCGAAAUCUCGUGCUGAUUGUCGUGGCGCAAUCCGUUUAUUUAUUUGAGCUCUACAUUGCAUGGAAUUAAAUAAAUUGUGAUAUUUUAGGGAUUUACCUUAAAUUGAUUGGAAUUGAUUGAGAUUGAAUUAUUGAUUGGUGAAUGGCCAAGUGUGUUUAUUCAGCAUUUAUGAUGCUUUGUUGAGUUGUAAAGUGAGUGGAAUGGUGAGAGUAAAUCAGAAGUACUUUGGGCUUGAACUGAUCAGACACGGUGUAUGGGCCUACGUGGUUCGGUGACUAAGGAUGUCACUGGCAAAAACGGCGCCUUAAAGAAUGCAUGUACCGGUCUAGUACAUAUCCCAUCAUGGACAUACGUGGUUUGGUGAUUUGGGAUAUUACUGGUGAAAACGACACCUUAAAGAACGCAUGUAGCUGUCUAUUGAAUACAUGAUUAUAGGCAUGUGUGGUUCGGUGAUUAAGGACAUCGCUGGCGAAAACGACGCCUUAAAGAACGCACGCAAUUGUCUAUUGAAUAAAUCGUUGUAAGUAUGUGUGGUUUGGUGAUUUGGGAUAUCACUAGCGAAAACGGCGCUUUAAAGAACGCACGCAAUUGUCUAGUGGAUACGUCACCUUGGCGAACUUGACGCCCAAGAGCAUUGAUGUGGCUUUGUGACCGAGUGUUUGAUGGAAGGUUAUAUGGUGUGGAAUCAAUGAUCUAGAAUGGUUCAUCUAACAUGUGAUCGACUAGUUCGAUUGAUCAAUGAUUUAAUCAGAUUGUCGUGAUUCGAUUGAUUGUUCGUUAUGAUUUAUGAAGCGUUCGUAUAUAACCUUGAAUUGCAGGUUGAGACUGAGGCCAAGGUAAGUCCUCUGACUUGUGCUGUGCUUAGGCAACCAAGUAGUGUAUUGGUUCCCUAAUUGAGCCUUAGUGGGGUAGAACUCGCUGAGACGUUGUCUCAUCCCGGUUUGGGGAAAACAUUUCAGGACCCCGAUGAGGAGCUGAGGAGGAGGAAUCUAAGAAGGAGAACUUUGAGGUGAAAUCUGAGGAGAGGGAUUUUUGGAAAAAGAAGAUAAUACCGAGAAGGAUCAAAGUACGACCUCGAUGAACUGAGACUUUAUCUUCUUUUGAGAACUCCAUUUUGAUGUGAAUAGUUAUGAAGUACUCUGGUUUGUAUUUUGUAUAAAAGUUUGGUUAUAAGUUUCAAUAUGAAAAAUAUGGCCUUGCUUUUCUAUCCCUUCGAUUUAUUGUAUGGGGAUUUAUAAUUGCUUCCGUAUGUGCUUAAUAAAUGAAAGGGUCGGCGAUGCAUAGUCCUAGGAUAUCGCAUUAUAAAAUCGACCAAGUGAGAAGGAUGUGUGCGUGCCCGAGGAUCGAGGCGUGACAGCAAGCUUAAAAGUUUUAGAGCAGUAUGCUCUCCACACAUUGACAUGAAGGAGUUUCCUAAAGAAUUAGAUUGGCCCAAAUUACGCAUCUUUUUGCUUUUCACCGACAAUGAAUCUUUGGAGGUUCUAGAUUCAUAUUUCAACUCUAUGGAGAAACUCAUGGUCUUAACUCUUACUAGCAUACGUCUCGUUAUUCGCCAAAGCCAUUUUAGUUCUUAGAGAACUUACAUACUCUAUGUCUUGAGUACUGUUCGCUAGAGGAUGUGGCCAUUCUUUGCAAGCUAAAAGGAUUACAAAUUCUUAGCAUUGUGGACUCUGAAAUUCAGCGAUUGCCAAAAGAAAUUGGGCAACUAACAGAGCUGAGGUUGUUGGACUUGAACUAUUGUUCACAUCUUCAGAUGAUUGAACCGGGUGUGCUUGGAAGAUUGAUCAAAUUGGAGGAGUUGUAUAUGGAGGAUAGCUUUAAUCAAUGGAAUCCCGUGGAGCAAACUCAACCAACUAAUGCCAGUCUGAUUGAGUUGAAUCACCUAAAGAAUCUUUGCACUCUACAUGUCUCCAUUCUUGAUCCAAGUGUGCCCCCAGAGGACCUAAAUGUCGAGAAAUUUUCCAAGUUCAAUAUUAAUAUAGGUAAUGUGCAGCGUUGGCCAAGAGAAAAAGGAUCGAGCACAUUAAACCUCAAGUUGGAUCCAUUAGGCGGUGUUCUUCGGAAAGGAUGCAUAUGAAGUAUCUUAUGCAAAAGUGAUGAUUUGUUUUUGGACGGGUUGAGCAAAAUUGAACAAAGUAUUUGUGCGUUAUCUCAAAAGGAUUUUCUAGAAUUAAAGCAUUUACAGGUCAAGAAUAGUCCCUCCGUCCAUUACAUCCUCCAAUUGCCAUCCCACACAAAGUUCAAGAUGUUGGAGUCAUUAAUUCUUGAGAAUCUCAUCAACUUGGAGAAGAUAUCCAAAAACAAUAUCACCUCAAAGUCCUUUAGUGCAUUAAAAGUACUACGAGUUGAAAGUUGCAACAAGAUGGAAGUUCUAUUUCCUCUUUUAGUGGUGAGAGAACUUUCAAAAAUAGAAUAGAUUGAAGUUGCCAGUUGCAAAGUAAUGCGAGGGAUUAUAGAAACUGAUGAUUGUGGCAAAGUAGAGUUGCAUAAUUUGCAUGUAUUGAAGUUUCAUAACUUGCCAAAUAUCAAGAACCUUUUUGGUGUUGGAAGUAGUACAUUAGACGACCAAGUUGGCACUCAAAUUGCAUUCUUCAAUGGCAGCAAGUAACUUUCUAUCAAAAGAGCUAGUGUGCUUGCGUACAACUUAUCUUUUUCCCAUGUUUUGAGCUUCCAUGAACAGAGCUCGCUUUCAAAGAUAAUGGAGCCAGAUCAAGGAAAUUUUGCCAAAAGCUUUUGUGACCUUGCCUUUUUUUUUUUUUUUAACAUCGUAAUCUUGUGUAUUAGAUCAUUUUUGCAUCCUUUACACCAAGUUUAAAGAAGAUGACAAAUUUUCAAGUUAAAAAAGGGGAACAAUUACAAAGUUGAUAAAUUAGAUUGUCACAAUAACAAUUAAUGGCAUUCAAUUGAAACUAAGGGCGAUUAUUUGUAAUUUAUUGAAUUCUAGACUAGUAGGUGGAAAUGUUGUUAACACUUUAGCUAGCUUUAGUGAUAACAUUUUAUAGGAGAUCCUUUUGGCAUAAUAUCUACUCCUAGUUUGAAGAAGAUGACAAAUCAUGCAAACUCAAAAACAGAAGCAAUUAUAGGUGAAAAAUCCUUUGUUAUUUAUUUUUAUCAAUGAAAGUGAUGUUAGGCCGCUGUAGAUAUAUUUUAUGGUCCUAUCUACACUUCUACAGAUAGAAAUUUACUAACAUGAAAGAAAAUUAGUAAACCAAGGAUAAACAAUGCCCCAAUCAAGGAAAGCUCCUAGCUGUAUGUUAAAUGGGGGGAAAACGUUGCAGGUAGAGGGUUUUAUUUGACGAGAUAAGGUUGCUCUUUCACAGUGGCGCGGGCCCAAGGCUCAUGCCAUACGUUAGUUUCCUUGUUGGGAGAUGUAAGUGGUGGGUCCCACAAGGUUGUAAUGUGAGAGUGACUUUUCUUCAACCCAUGCUUUGAGCUUCCAUGGAAAGAGCUUGCUUUAAAAAUAGUAGAACUAGAUAGGGAAAUUUUGCAUAGAGCCUUUGUUGGUUUUUUUUUUUUUUUGCUUUUGUGUCUUAGUGUUUGCGGCUUUUAACUUUCUAGGAUUCUAAAUCUUCAUUAAAGAAUUUAUUUUGCCUUAGUACCUUUAUUAUUAUUAUUUUUGUGUAAAACCUAAAGAUGCAAAGAUCCAUGGGCUUAUAAUCAAAUGUUUCUUCAAACUGUAAUAAAUCUCCUCAAACAUUAUAAAGCGCUGGCAGCCUACAAAGGAGUAGUCUAAGCAGCCUACAAAGGAGUAGUCUAAGAUUGGCUUGUCCGGGAUAACAAUAGACUAAUGAACAAAACGCAAAAAAGUUAAACUUGCAAAAAAAAUGUAAAUAAAGCUUUUCAUUGUCAUGGGGACCACAGGUCUCUUCACCUUUUGAGACAUGUUGGUUAAGGAAGUUAUGACGACAAGGAUGAAUAAUUAGGAUAUGCUACAUACAUGUCCGACUUGAAAGGAAUACUCGAGGUAAUUUACAAAUGAUAAGGAAAAAGAAGUCCAAAUAAUGAACAAAACGCAAAAAAGUUAAACUUGCAAAAAAAUGUAAAUAAAGCUUUUCAUUGUCAUGGUGACCACAAGUCUCUUCACCUUUUGAGACAUGUUGGUUAAGGAAAUUAUGACGACAAGGAUGAAUAAUAAGGAUAGGCUACAUACAUGUCUGACUUGAAAGGAAUACUCGAGGUAAUUUACAAAUGAUAAGGAAAAAGAAGUCCAAAUAAUCCUAAGUAAUUCACUAUUUUUCAAAGAUAGUUGUGAUCUCAACCGAUAGCCAUGACUAGUGACUACUUAGUUAUUCCAAUAUCCCAAUUGCUGACGUGUCUAAUUUUAUGUUGUUUUGCGGGUAAAUUAGUCCCUAUAUGCCUAAUAAAUUUGGAGAAAUUGGAGACAUGCAAGAAGAAAAAGACAAUAAAAUGCCCAUUUUAUUGGAUUUUAUCAAGGAAGCAGGUAAUAGCAGAGCGUGAAAGGUCCUCUCUACCUAAAUGGAUGAGAAUGACGUCACAUUCAGCUAUCAACUCCCUAUGUCCAUAAGUCAUAUUCAUAUAUCAUUGUCUGCCCAAGGUUUAAUUUUUUGAGUUGGGCUCGUAACUAGAUGAUAUAUAUAUAUAUAUAUAUAUAUAUAUAUAUAUAUAUAUAUAUCAAUCUCGCCCGAGACUAAUGGGAUAUAUGCUGUAUAUAUCUCCAUCUAAUUGAUAUAAUUUGACAAUUAGACAAAUAUUUCAUGCAUAAAUUGAUUGUCAUUAGUAACCAAAAUGAGUGCGAAUUCUUGAUGAUUGCAAUUCCUGAUAUUGCUAGAAAAAUGCAAACAGAAUCCAUUCGUAAUAGCAGCCCUUGUUAUAUCGUAAAUAAAAGGUACAGUUCAUUAGUUGUCUUUUGAGGUCAUAAAUUAGCUUUCAUUUGUCAUAGAUUUUCAUAUGUGCAAAAUUAUUCUAAGGGAUGUACAUUAUCUUGCCUAUAAAUUCCUUCGGCAACCAUUUAUAAUACCCACUAUAUCACGUAAUUUCUUGACGGUCCUUUGUAAUUGUAAAUGCUAUGUUGAUGGGUUUGUCCAUCACAUUUCAAUCCAAUCCUUGGAGUCCUUGAUAAUGGAAGGACUUCUCAAUCCAAAAGAAAUAUGUCGUCAAACUAAUUGUAUGAAACCCUUGCAAAUUUAGUUUGUGAUGGGUUCUGAGUUAUCUCAAUUUACUGGUUGCAAGUAUAUUUAUAUUAAUGGGGUUUUGUCAAGACAAAUUGAAGGGAAUGUUGGCAUUGAAGUAAUUCCAUAAUUAAAGUAAUUUAUAAUCUUUUGAAAUGUGUUCCAUUAAAUUUAGUUAUCAAAAUAUGUUAUCAUCCACAAAAUUUAUAAUAUAGGUGACUCUUAGAAACCAGUACGAAGAAUGGGAAGGAGGACUGAAUUUUCAAAUAAAAGCAGCUAUGCUAAUCUAAUUGAUGCAUGCCUUUUGUAUAUCGUGUUUAAAUAGGCACUUAAUCAUUGCAUAGUCCCCAUAAUUGUAAGAGUACAUAAUUUUGUGCACAGUUUUUUUUUCCUUUUAUAGUAAAAGUAGGCCCUGGCAAUUGUAUGGUUUUCAUUAUGUCACAACAAAGUCAUUCAUUGCAAAUUCGGAAUUCUUGCUCUUGGAGUUCCAAAGUGAUCUUUACCAUUUCUUUACUCCAUACAGCAGAAUUUGAAAUCCCCUAUGAUGAAAGAAAUUACUUUUGUGUAGCUCCAUAUCCUCCAUCAACUAGAGAAUGUCUCACCAUGUGGUUCAUGAGUAAGGCCAAGUCUGUAACAAGUCUGUAACAAGUCUGUAACAAGUCUCUAACAGAUUCACCUUAAAUGAUCAUCUUAUUUUGUGAUCACCCUUAGAUACUCCUAUGGGGAGAUUGGGUCAUGUGAAUAAGGCCAAAGUAACAAUAUCCAAAAAUGGAACUUGAUGCCAUAAUGGAAAAUUCACUAUCUUAAAGUGCAAAUAAUCUUACAAAGACUUACUUCAAAUGUUUUGACGUGUCUUGUAUUUCAAUUCAGCUAAUUAGUAUGUGUUAGUUUAGUUUCUGAAGCUUCAAGUGCUCCACAUUAUAAUCUUCAAGAAAUUUGUGCUGAAAUAUGAGUUUUUCUGUUGUUGAGUCCAUCCGAUUUAGAUUGUAACAUUUUAUGUAGUUUUUCUUAGCCAAUUUUCACCAUCCAAAUUAAGAAAAACCGAUGGUUGCCCAGUCUCGCAGAAUCAUAUGUGGUCAUUGCGCCGUUUCUCUCCAUGGCGAUCUACAAAUCUAAAUAUCAAGUCCUUUCAAGUAAGUGUUUUUGCAUUUGGCCUUUAUAGUUAUGUAUAGAUAUAAUUGAAUGCACUUUUGGCAUCACGAACAAAAAUCCACAUAUUUAUGUUUGAUAUCCUAUUAAAUUGGUUAUUAAUAAUGAUUUACUAACAUUAAACUAAGGACAAACGAUUGCCUGGUUAAGAAAAUCGCACAACGAUUUUGUCCAGGAAAAGUUGAGGCGGCUAUUUCGUUGACCAGAAAAGAUUGCACUUUUAUAGUGGCAAUUAGCACUAAAGUUGAUGGUGGGGCUCAAGACUCCUGCAAUGCGUUAAUUUUCCCGUCGGUCAGUAAAGGGUCCUGGACAUAUAUUUUGCGGGUCCCAUAAGGCAAUGUGUGUGAGUCUUUACGUCUUUGCUUUUUCUUAAUCAUCGCAGUCUUUGGAGCUUUUAACUUUCGCCAUAGUUCUCCUGGACGCCGGCCAUGGAUAUCAGUAAAACUUUUUUUGGGCCAAAAUUUGAGGUUAAAAGUAUUAUUGGGUUUGCUUUAUUAUAUAGAGAGAGAUAAGUAAUGCUGCACUCGCUAAUACAUUUCUGAUGGAUAAAUUCUUCGACGGAAUAAAACUAGCUCACCCAUCAAAUUAAGCUUAGCAUUGCAAGUUUUUUAGCGAAGAAAGGACUUGAAAUUGGAAACAAUGCUAGUAUGGAGAUUUUUUUUACUCCAUUUUUUUGUUUUAUUCUAUUUUUUUUCCUUUUGUGAAACUUAAUUAAUCCCCCUCUCCCCCUGGCACUCGUGUAUAAUUACGGAUUUGAGAUUUAAAUUAAUCACUAAUUCCAUGAGCAAAUUCUGCAAGUUGCCUUUCAAAGAUUGGAGACAUUAGAAAUCAGUGGCUUGGAAAACAUCGGGUUUAUAUUUUUCCCAUCCAUGGUUAAAUCUCUCACACAACUGAAAAAGCUGACUAUAUCGAAUUGUAAGAAGACGGAGGUGAUCAUUAUGGAGGAAGAAGGAUUGGGAAUGGAAAAAUAAAAAAAAUUGGCAUUCUCGAUGUUAACCGAUUGACGUGCUUCUCUCAUGGAAAGUGUAAGAUUGGUUUUUGGUUUUAUCAUUGAAGAUUUUCUUGUAAAUAUAUUCAUCUCUACAAUGCAAUUGGUGAUAUUCUUUUCAUCCAAUGAAAUACCAAUGACAGGUGCACGAGAAAGUCGAAGUCAAGAUUGCGUCAGAUCACAUGCCACUACACUCUUCAAUCAAGAGGUACACGAUUAACAUUAUGUCAAAAUAUUAAAUAUACUGGAGACAAGCAUAGCCAAGAUAGAAACUUAGUUACUUAUAAUGUAUAUUUUGGUUAAAAUAUUUUAAUAGAAAAUGAGUGUCGUACAAGUAUAAGUGUUCAGAGUUGCUAACAUGUAUGAGUUGCAAUUUCUUACUAUUAAUUUCUCUAUAAAUAGUUUCCAUAAAGAUGGUUGAACAUCUUUUAUCAUACUUGUAAAAAGCAUGAAUGGUAAUAUGACUGCCAAAUAGGAUCUAAAAGCUUUCUAAUAUUCCCAAAAAAAAAACUCAAAACUCUCAUCAGCCUCACAUGUAUGGGAUAGGCAUCGCACACAUCUACAGUGAAAGUGAGCAGUAAGGUUCGAGAGACUGGAGACAAAGGACCUUUGAGAAGCUUACUUGACUUCAUUUGCACUUACAAGAUCUCUCUCUCUCUCUCUCUCUCUCUCUCAUUUCUGGUCGAAGGAAGCUUUACUCUCUUUCAAUUGCACUAGCAUAAGGAAUCUAAGCCCUCUCAGUUGCUAAACUGAGCAAAGAUCUCUAAGGUCUAGGGCUUUGGAAAUCACACUUUUAGUUCUUACAUGAACCACAAGACCAAUUUUAUGAAACUCUUGCUAAAGAAAUAAAAUACACUUCACAAAUCAUCCAUUUCAGUUGAACCAUCUGACUUGUAAAGUGAAUAUGGGAAUCUAACCCAAAAAAAAAAAAAAGUGAAUAUGGGAAGAACAUUUGAGUGGAAAAUGAAAUAGACUAAUUUACAAGCAAGUUCCCUUUGACUAAACUAAAAGCAAUUUAGGCCGUUCACCUAAAAUGUUGUUUAUGCCGCCAAAGAGGCUUAAAAAAUGGGCACUCCCACAAGAUUAAUACAUCGACUUUCUUAAAUAAUUUUAAUUUUCUAUAAUGAGAUAUUCAGGAAAACUUUCAACUAUUUGAUUCGAGUACAUGUAGAAUCUGUUGUUGGCAUCUAACUAUUGGAUCCUCCAGCAUGGAUAAAAGAUCACUGAAUUUUAAAAGGAAAAUUCAAUCAAUUAAGUAUACUGAGUUCUUUCAAGUGGGAAAUGAUGUGAGUAAGAUUUGUUCGUCUGACCCAAGCAAUUCCCUUUUCAAUUGUGUUUUCUUAGCCUCACUUUUUAAUUGAUUUAAAGCGAUGUAACAUUGAUUUAAGCCAUUCUGUAUUAGAUAAAAUCACACCUGCUACUAUACUGCACCUUUUGAUGGAUGAUUGUUUAGCUUUUUAAUCUCAAUCUCUCCAUCAUUUUCUUUCUGAUUGCUAAUAUUCUUACUCAAGCUAUCCUCGGCUGCAUUUUUCUUUACUACAUCAAUGUAGUGACUUCUAAGUUCCAACGUUAAUUACCCUUUUGGCGUGUUCUUGUUUCUUUAAAUAGAUUCUUCCUCGUCUCAAGUGAUUUAACUAUUGCUACGUAUACUAGCUAAUUCAUUAUAUUAGGGAAGUAACUAAAUUGAAGAGGGAGAGAUUUUAUUUAAAUUUGGGUUCUAUGGGAGGCUAUUGUGAUUCUAAAAUUGUUUUAUGAGCAUAUCCAAAUUACAAUUUUCUCCAUUGUCAAUAGAAUCUGGUCAGAACAGAAUUCCUACUUUUUGAUUUGUCUCCAAUAAUUCCAAUAGCCUUCUCAUCCUAGAGUCAUCGACAAUGGUAUGGAUUUUUCUUUUACUAACUUUUUUUUUUUCCUUUUGUGGAACUUAGACAGAAUUGACAAUUCCAUGAAUUCAUAAUUUACAUCUUCACCCUCAUCUAUAUUUACAUCUUGCAAGUUCAUGAUUAACCGAAUUACCAAUUCUAUGAACGAAUAUCGCAGGUUGCAUUUCCUAACUUGGAGGCAUUAAAUAUUACCAGCUUGGACAACAUUGAGAUGAUAUGGGACAAUCAAGUUGCUACAGAUUCUUUCCCCAAGCUAAAAUCGCUUUUUGUGGAUAAAUGCAAUAAGGUUGUGACCGUUGUUCCUUCUUCCAUUCUGGGACGGCUCUUGUGCCUAGAAAGUUUAAAGGCAAACGCAUUUGGUUCAUUGGAAGUUGUUUUCGAAAUUCGGCCACUAAAUCCUAUAGAUGGACCUCAAGUUGCUCUUCCGUUAAAAAAGCUGAUGGUAUCAAGACUACCAAAGCUAAAGUGUGUAUGGAAAAAGGAACUCCACCAUCAAGUUAAAUUCCAAUGCCUACAUUCUAUUAGCAUUUCUGAAUGCAAGAGCCUCACCUCUCUAUUUCUAGCCUCAAUAGCCAAAGAUCUAGUCCAACUUGAGGAGUUAGAGAUCAAUGGAUGUGGCAUUGUGGAACUCAUUGAGAAGGAAGAAGGACUAGUUCCCAACUUUGAUUUCCCAAAGUUAACCUCCCUCAAGCUUAAGCAUUUGACAGAGUUGAAGUGCAUCUACACCGAAACGCAUGCUUUACAUUGGCCGACAUUGAAGACCUUGCAGGUCUAUCGCUGUAACAAAUUGGAGAUCUUUGCUUUGCAACCUGAGAAUGAGAUGCUAUUUCAUAAACAACCUCUCUUCCUGAUAGAAAAGGUACGACCUGAAAUUAUUUGUGUUUGCUUCAAUGGUGAAUAUUUGAAGUAGUGAUUAGCGUCAUAGCCAAGCAUCUCAUUCAAGUAGCUCUUACAUGCAAAGAUGUAAAAUGUAAGACUCUCCUUGAAUCCAUAAAAAUAUUACAACAUUGAAACAUCAUAUGCUCUUCAAGUGUUGACCGAAAACUCUUCUCAAUGUCUAACGUACCGAAUGAAUACUCGUUGAACCCCUUUCAAAAAACAUUUAGGCUCAUUUCAAUGGUUCUCUCUCCUAAAUGCCACUAAGAUUGAAAAAACGUGGCAUAUGUUGUGAUCUUAUCAUGGUACAAGUGUAUUGUCUCAUUUGAAUCGUAAGAGAUUACUGAUAUUAUGCUAAAAACGGAAAGAUGGGACAUUGUUGUUGACAUUAUUGUUAUUAUCCAAAAAAUGUAUAAUAUAGGCAACUCUCUUAAAAACCAACAUGAAGAAUGGAAAGGAGGAUCAUGUUUUUAAAUAAAAGCUACUAUGCUAAUCUAAUUGAUGCAUGCAUUUUGUAUAUCAUGUUUAAACAAGUAAUUAAUCAUUACAUAGGCCUCAUAAUUAUAAGAGCAUGGAAUUUUGUAUACGUUCAUGCAUGUGUCACGGGCCGAGAGUUUCCUUGGCCUCGGAAACGACCCGCGGGCACCUAGCGAGCGGAAUUCGCCAGGCCAGCCCUUUCUUUAGCUGUUCCACGAACGAUACGGUGAAUGAUUCUUCGUGCGAGAUCCCACCACGCCCAGCUUUGCUCGGGCGUCUGGUCCAUCGAAUAAGGCAGCAGUUCUCUUUAGGGACGACAACUGGUUUCGGCCUGCCAUGGCCUCGUCAGGAGAGCGGCAUCAGCUCCCGACCAGUUUGUGCACGGGAGGCCUACCCCGUCUUCAGAGCUCCUAAGUAAUGUAAUCCUUCUAUCCUAGAACUCCUAGCACCAACCGUCCUGACGCCACUCCCACGGACCAGUUGUGUUCUACCCUUCUGCCUCAUACUCUUCACCAGAUAACCCCAAGCGCCACUCACAAGUGUCACGAGUACGGGAGGAUUCACGGACCGUGACACAUGCAUGUAGCAUGUAUAGAGAUAUUUGUACAUAUUUUUGGCAUCACAAACACAAAUCCACAAUGGCUACUGGAUAUCCUAUUAAAUUUGUUAUUGAUAGUGAUUUACUAACAUUAAAGAAAAGUUAGUAAGCUAAGGACAAACAUUUGCUUGGAUAAGAAAAACGCAUGACUGUUUUGUCCAACGAAAGUUGACGUGGCACUAAAGUUGACGGUGGGGCGGGGCUCAAGACUCCCUCAAUAUGUUAAUUUUUCCUUUGGGUCCAAGACAUAUUUGUUGUGGGUCCCACAAGGCUGUGUGUUUGCGCCUUUGGGUUUUCGCUUUUUCUUAACCGCCUCUUUGGGGCUUUUAAUUUUCACCAUUGUUCUCAUUGAACGCUAGCAAUAGAUAUCGGUUGAACUUUUUUUGGGCCGAAAUUUGAGGUUGAAAGUGUUGUCAAGUUUGCUUUAUCAGACGGAGAGAGAUAAGUAAUGCUUCACUCGCUAAUCCAUUUAUGAAGGAGAAAUUAUUCAUAUGGAAUAAAAUUAGCUCACUCAUCAAAUUAAGCUCAGCAUUGCAAGUUUUUUUAGCUAAGGAAAGAUUGGAAAUUAGAAACGACGUUAGAUGGAGAUUUCUUUUACUCCGUUUUAUUGUUUUAUUCUCUUUUUUUCCCUUUUGUGCAACUUAAUAAUUCCCCUCUCCCCUUGGCACUCGUGUAUAUUUACAUCUUGAAAGUUUAUGAAUUCGAGAUUUGAUUAAUCACUGAUUCCAUGAGCAAAUUCUGUAGGUUGGCUUUCAGAGAUUGGGGAUAUUAGAAAUCAGCGGCUUGGAUAAUCUCAAGUUUUUAGUUUUGCCAUCCAUGGUUAAAUCUCUCGCACAACUGAAAAAACUAACCAUAUCAAAUUGUGAGUAGAUGGAGGCGAUCUUUAUGGAGGAAGAAGGGUUGGCAAUGAAAACAUCAGAAUUUUUGGCAUUCCAGAUAUUAACCAAUUUACACUUAAAACAAUUGAAAAGUUUGACAUGCUUCUCUCAUGGAAAGUGUAAGAUUGAUUUUUUGUUUUAUUGCUAAAAAUUGUCUUGUAGAUAUAUUCAUCCCUACAAUACAAAUGGUGAUAAUGACAGGUGAACGAGAAAGUCAAAGUUAGGAUUGCGUCAGAUCACGCUCCACUACACUGUUCAAUCAAGAGGUAUGUAAUUAACAUUAGUCAAAUUAUUAAUUAUACUGGAGACAAGUAUAGCCAAGAUAAAAACUAAGUCAUUUAUAAUAUAUAUGUUCGUUAAAAAAUUUUAACAGACGACGAGUGGCGUACAAGCAUAAGUGUUUAGAGUUGCCAACAUGUAUGAUUUGCAAUUUCUCACUUUCAAUUUCUCUAAAAAUAAUUUCCAUAAAGAUGGUUGAACAUCUCUUAUGGUACCUGCACAAAGCAUGAAUGGGUAAUACAAUUGCUGAAUAGGAUCUCUAAAAGCUUUCCAAUAUUCACAAGUAACUUAAAACUCUCAACAACCUCACAUGUAUGGCUUAGACAUUGCAUGCAUGUACAUUGAAAGCAAUUGAAAAAGCAAUUGAGAGGAAAGUGAGCUGUAAGGUUCAAGAGGCUGGAGAUGAAGGGCCUUUAAGACGCUCACUUGACUUCAUUUGCCCUUACAAGAUCUCAUAUAUUUUCCUAGUCGAAGGAAGCUUUACUCUUUUAACCGCACCCGCAAAGGGAAUCGAAGCCUUCUCCGACACCUAACUGAGCAAGACCUCUUGGGUCUUGGGCUUUAGAUAUCACCCCUUUCAAUUUUUACAUGAACUGCUAGACCAUUCUUGUGAAACUUUUAUUAAAGAAAUAAAAUACAUUAUGCAAAUCAGCCAAUUCAAUUGAGUCAUUUGAAUUGUCAAGCGCAUAGCAGAAGAAUGUUUCCGUGGAAAAUAAAAGAGAGCAAUGUACAGAUGGGUUGACUUUGACUAAACUAAAAGCAAUAUAGACCAUUCACCUAAAAUGUUAUUUGUGCAUCCAAAAUGGGCUGCACAAAUGGGCCCUCCCAUGGGAUUAAUACGUUGACCUUCUUAGAUAUUUUUAAUCUAUUAUAAUGAGAUAUUUAGCAUUGUUUAUGUAUAUGAUUUUUCAUUCACAUAUAACUAAUGGACCUUCCAGCAUUAAUAGAAAAUGAAUUUUGAAAGGAAAAUUCGUUCGAUUAAGUAUACAUAGUGGUUUGAAGAGUGGAAUGAUGUGAGUAGGAUUUGUUCAUUUGACCCAAGCGAUUCCUUUUUAAUCGCUCUCUCUUAGCCUAACUAUGCAAUUGCUUUAGUGUGAUCUAAUAUUGAUUUGAGGCAUUCGGUAUUAGGUAAAAUUAUAUCUCUUAUUGUAAUGCACCAUUUGAUGGUUGAUCUAUUGCCUUUUCAAUCUCAAUCUCUCCAUCAGUUUCUGUCUAAUGGCUAAUAUUCUUCCUCAAGUGAUCCCUUAGCUACAUUCUUCUUUUACUACAUCAAUUCAGUGACUUCUCUAAUGGUGAUUACCCAUUUGACUUGCUUUUUGUUUCUUUAAAUAAAUUCUUCCUCAUUCUUAAUUAAUUUACGAAAUGGUGCGAUUUCACUAAAGAAUUUCAUCCAUGUUGUAACUUAAAUGACCUUCUCUAAGUGAUUUCAUAAUUGCUAUGUAUAGUAGCUAAUUCACUCUUGGGCUAGCCAAAAAGGCACAAAGGGAGAGAUUUUAUUUGAGUUUGGGAUCUAUGAAACACUAAUGUCAUUAGAUGAUUGUUAUAUGAGCGUAUCCAAAUUACCAUUUUGCCCAUAUUUAACACAUUUUGGUCAAUUCCUACUUAGCGCUUUUUGUUUUGUCUCCAAUAUAUUCCAAUAGCCUUCCCGUUCUGGAGUCAUCUACAUUAGAAUGGAGAUUUUUUUUUUUUUUUUUACUAUUUUCAUUUCAUUCUUUUUUUUUCUUUUGUGUGACUUAAGAUAGAAUUACCAAUUCCGUGAAUUCAUAAUUCACAUCUUGGCAUUCUUCUUUAUUUACAUCUUGGAAGUUCAUGAAUUCAUAAUUUAACUUAAUCACCAAUUAUGUGAGUACCACAGGUUGCGUUUCCUAACUUGGAGAAUUUAUAUAUCGAGGGCAUGGAUGAAAUCAAGAUGAUAUGGGAUGAUCAAAUUCCUGUGAAUUCUUUCUCUAAGCUAAAAUUGCUUUUAGUGAAUGAAUGCAAAAAACUCGUGAACAUUGUACCUUCUUUCAUUCUAGGACAGCUCUUGAGCCUAGAAACUUUGACGCAAAAGCAUGUGCUUUGCUUGAAGUUGUUUUUAAACUCCAACCACUCAAUCCUCUAGAUGGAAAUAUUGUUGCUCAUUCUCCAUUAAAAGAGCUGAAGUUAAAUGACUUAUCAAAGCUAAACCGUGUAUGGGAUAAGGAACUCUACCGUCAUAUUAAAUUCCAAUGUCUACAUUUGAUUACCCUUCGAAGAUGCACUAGGCUCACCUCUUUGUUUUCGGCCUCAAUAGCCAGAGAUCUAAUCCAACUUGAGGAGUUGGAGAUCAAUCAAUGUGGCAUUGUGGAACUCAUCGAGAAGGAAGGACUAGAUGAGCUUAGCGUUAAUGUGGAAGCCAUAGAAGGCCCAAGUCAUGAGUUAAAAGUAGCAUCAUCCUUUCCAAGUUAUUUUCAGCAUAUGAAGACUCUAGAUGUGUCACAUUGUCAUGGGCUGUCAAAUAUGUUCACAUCGACAAUGGCUACAAAUUUGGUGGAACUCACAAAAUUGAGGAUUAGUAAAUGUAAAAUAUUGAUAGAAGUCAUUAGCGAUGAGGGAGGAAAGGAGGGGCAUGUAGUGGCUUUCAAUCAAUUGAAGUAUGUGGAGCUUGAUGGGUUGACUACAUUGAGGUGUUUCAGCUCAGGUGGAUACAUUUUGAUGUUCCCUCUCUUGAAAGAUGUCAUUGUGAAUAGAUGUCCCAAGAUGGAGUUCUUCAAGGGACCUUUGGAGGCACCAAAUCUGGAGAGAGUACGAGUAGGUUUGAAUGAAAGGUAUAAAGCAACAAAGUACCCAUAUUUUUGGAAGGGAAACCUCAACAUGAUGAUCCAAAAUAUGUUUGAAGAAAUGGUAUGCUUUAGUUACUAAAUUCUUUGCAAUUUGAUUUUUUCUUAUCACCAAAAAAGUAAUUGUUUUUUUCUUUUUUGCUAACUAGAAUUUUAUGUUUAAUGAUGCAUUUUCUGAUAGGCUGCAUUUGCUGGGACUAAGUUUAUGUGGUUGUUUGAGUUCCCAAAGCUGAUUGGAAAAUGGCACAAUGAACUUAAUCCCAUCAUGUCAACUUGGCUAUUAGAAUCACUAGUGGUGGAUAAAUGUACAUCAUUUAUUAAUGCUAUUUCGUCCAGCUUGAUGCUUGUUUUAGAGAGAAUGACAAGCUUGCAAGUGCAUGAUUGCGAGGCUCUAGAAGAAAUAUUCGAUCUUGAAGGGCUUGAAGCUAUGGAUUGCACUCAAGCGCUACCUCAGCUACAGUAUCUGUACUUGGUCAAUCUACCAAAGUUGAGGCAACUAUGGAACAAAGAUCUCUACACUAUCUUAGUUAUAAAUGCAACAACUUGAGACAUGCUUUUGUUCCAUCAAUGGCUCGGUGCCUUCCCAAUCUAUGGAAGAUGGAAAUAAAGGAGUGUGAUCAAAUGGAAGGAGUGAUCGUAGAUGAAGAAGGGCAAUGAAGCACAAUGGAGGAGAUUACAUUCCCAAAACUUUGGUGGAUAACUUAGGAAUGCUUGCCCAAUUUCACUAGUUUCCUCUUGUGGAAGAAUCAUACGCUAGAAUGCCCUAUUUUGUUAAAGCUAAGCAUUGCCCACUGCCCCGAGAUGAGAAGUCUAACUUGGCAAUCUUCAAUGGAGAUUUACAAUGGCACUCCUUCACUUUUCACUCCAUAGGUUAGUCUCUCAAAUAAAUGCAUUUUUGACAUUUCAUUUGAACAUAUUCGUUCGUUUAUAAUUGGACAAUGCAUGGUAUGCAGAAAAAAGUGCUAGAUAUAAUUGUUUGUAAUAUCAAUCAUCAAUGCUUUGCUCAAAUUUGACCGGGACUCUAUGUUUCAUACCUAAACAAAGAUGACUAGAAUAUAUGCCUUCCCACAAUAAUCCAGGAUCACAUCCAUAAAGUAUUAAUGCAAAACAAUUCAGACAUUGAUAAUCAUGUGUGGUUUUAAAAUCAUUUAAUUAUACGGAUCUAUGUACAUAAUCUAUUAAUAUUUACUUAAAAGAUUAAAAGUUUUCUAAUCCUCAACAAAUAUGUAUUAAUUGUCCAUCUCCAUAUAUUUUUAGAAGUGUUAUUUCUGUGAGCUCAUAAAAUCAUAUUGUGUGCAAUACCUCAAAAUUGAUUAUAGAGGGAUUUUAAAAAAGUUAUGACAAUAACCAUAUGAAAACAUUUACUUUUUUGCAAUUUCAACUAUAAAGAACAAAACAGUAAACAUAGAAUAGCAUUUAAAAAUGGCAGAAAAAAUGAAGUGACACCCACUUCAUAUUUUCUUGCAAAGAAGCAAACUGGCAUCGUUCCAUUAAACAUGAAGACAAGGGAAAAGAAAACUUCAUAAUUAGAAAAGCCUAGUUCACAAAUUGCUUAACUAUUACAACUCUUUGUACCAUAAUCGUCUUCCCAAUCAACGAAAUUGAAGGAAUUAGAGAGAAUUGCUCUUUUAAUUGGAGUGCUCUAAACUUCAAUAAUGAUCAAUACAAUCAACUUUUUAUUAUCUUUUUUAUAUCUUAAUAAUCACCAAUGCUUGACUGCGUCUUGAUGAUAGAAUAAGUAAAAAUAAAAAGGCCAAUAUGCAUGAAGUUGUUCAUCUUCUUUGUUUGUAAAUCACACUUGAAUUGCUAUACUCCAACAACCUAUCAAAUUACCUACCCAUAUUAAACAACAAAUAUUAACUCUGAAUUAUCAUAUUGAGUGAUAAUUAGUGUGAUACUGCGCACAAUCUAUGUUUGGCAAGAGAAAAUGUAGAUUGCUUUUUCCAUAAAAGAAAUGGCAAAAAAAAAAGGAAAAAAAUAAAAGAGAGAAUAGGAUAGCUGGACAAUAAAUAGUAGCGAUUCCGUGGGUGGUUGCCGGCAUUGCGAGUCUAAUUUCAUUACUAGAUCACAAUAUUNNNNNNNNNNNNNNNNNNNNNNNNNNNNNNNNNNNNNNNNNNNNNNNNNNNNNNNNNNNNNNNNNNNNNNNNNNNNNNNNNNNNNNNNNNNNNNNNNNNNGCUUAAGCCUGGGGACAUUGUUACCUUGGCAUAUGGGAAAAAAUGACGUAAUGAAUGUGAUUAUUAUUGAAGUUAUGACCUCAAAGAAAGAAUUUCUAAACUUCCCUUACUCUCACAAAUCAUGAGAAUGCGAGAGCUGUUAGUGACCAAAAAAAGGGAGCGGCCGAUUGAUGCUUUCAUUUAAGCUUACUAAUGACUAAGGCCAAGUAUAUUGCAUUGCAACGAGCAUGAAAUUAUAAAUGCAUUUAUAAUCAAUAAUACGUUGAGCAUCGACUUUUAAGUGCCUCAAUUGACAUUUUAUGCUAGCAAUGCCUUAUCCCUUUAAUUUUUGGAAAGUUCAAUGAUGAAUACUUGGAUUCUCGAACUUUCAAAUUUGUUCACAUUGAUGAUUAUCAAAGUUGCUUGCACUGAUCUUUCGAUAAUGCAACAUUAGAUAAGGUAAGAAUUUCUUAAAAUUAUUUGGUUCAAGGAAUGAAUGUAGCUGAAGCACAGUUCAAAGAAGCUUUGAUGCACGUGCUUCAUAUUGCAAUCUGAUCAGGAUAUACAUACAUAUCAUCCUUCGCUCUUCCUUACUUUGGCUUCAAUGCCGCGCUGAUGGGUGCAAGAUUAUGAUGCUCCAACGAUGGGUAUAAGCUGGUUCUACAUAUAUAUCUUAUCAAUUAAAAGAAAUUGACUUCCCAUUUUCAUCUCUAGUAUAUUUAGAAAAAUCCAAAAAUUAUUAACAAAAGUGAAUAGGUAGCAUGUACAUUGAUGUUUAUUUGUACGGAGGUGAGAAAAUCAACUAUGUUUUAUUUUUUUGUUUACUAUGUUAUGACCUCUGACGGAUUGUCCAAGAAGCAAAGUACUGAUAUUUUUUAUUUGGUUACAAUAAAAUUAAUGCAACUAUGACUUGUCAUAGCCAAAAAAAAAAAAAACAAAAUGACUUUCCACACUUCCCUUAAUCUAUUAAUACUCUUAAUUGAGGAUUUUGAUGAGUAUUUGAAAUUAUUUAACAAUGUGGGAGAAACCUAUUAUUAUGGAGAGCUCAUAUUUGACAUAAAAAAGAAAUUAAUGCUAUCACAACUUGUCACUACCAAAAAAUCUUAUGAAUAAUUUUAUGCUUCCCCAAAUUCAUUAGUAUUCUUGCUUCAGUGUUAUGAUGACUUCUUGAAAUAUCCUCUAAAUGUGAGGAUACCUAUUAAUACAUGACAACUUAUACAUACAAAUGACAUUAGAAGUAAAUAAAUAAUUAGCAAUAACUCUUACAAUAAAAAAGUAAAUAAAUGUAUAGAUAUUCCUCAUGAUUAAACAUUCUACGCAACAAUAGAAAGAAUUACACAAAAGUAUUAGAAUAAGAAAAAACACAAGCAUUUCCUCCGUCACCAAAAAAGAGAAGCAAUAACUGAAACUCGCAUGGAAUCUAUAGUAGAAAAGGCCAAAAAAUCAUAUUGGGUCGGUAUCGCGCAUUUUCAAGUGCAUUAGGAUUCGACCCAGAAAAAGAAGUGCCGGAGGAGGUUGUUUUUUGUUGCCUUCCUUGUUCACAUUAGGAGAACUUCAUGAGACGGAAUGGAAGUAUUGACCGGACGAUUGAGUCCUAAUAUUUUUAAUUUUUUAUGUAGCUAGGACAUUGACUAAAUAUUGGGCUUUUUUUUUUUUUGUCAGAUGACUAAAUAUAAAAAAUCUCAGUCCACCUCACUUUCCUCCUCCAUCUACGCUUUCUCCUCCAUCUCUAGCCAUAUUGAACCUAACCUUCCGCCUCCCUCCGCCGUCGCCACCGGCGGAGUUGCCGCCACAUCCAAGUCGACCAUUGCCGGGCAUCUAACCCUCUCCGUCGUCUUUGUGGUCUCCAUUCAUGACGCCGCUCGUCCAUGGUAGCGUUCAAGCUCCGGCCGUCUCGUCCAUGGCCACUCUUCCCUGACAUCAAUUCCUCUGUUUUUUCUUUCGCCAUUGACCUCACAAUCCAGGNNNNNNNNNNNNNNNNNNNNNNNNNNNNNNNNNNNNNNNNNNNNNNNNNNNNNNNNNNNNNNNNNNNNNNNNNNNNNNNNNNNNNNNNNNNNNNNNNNNNAUGUACAAGUUGCGUUCGCCAGAUCUGUGGAGGAGCCUCCUCGUGAGCCAUGGAUGAACUAGGCUUGCGUACAUUGAUGAAACCAAUCUGGAGGCACGACUCUAGUCCAGAUCCGGACGAGUAACGACCACGAGCAGUUGUGACGAUGGAGGGGUGGCUCGGCCAUGGACUGGACCGACCAUGAGCCAACCGCGAGCGAUGACGGAGGGGACAAUGGUAGUCCAUAAGUCGUCGUUGCUCGCGACGGGACUUCCAGAUCUGGAACCAUGGCUCCAACGACAACGGCUCGUACAUGGCCGCGAGCGACGUAGUCAACUUCCAGAUUUGCAACUCCGUCGCUAUGGACGGCCAAAUUUCAAGAUCUAUAAAAAAAAAAAUGACAUAGACAAAUCAGAGGAAGCCGGCCAUGCUCGGCUUGGACAUAGCGAGGAUUAGCCUAAUCAAGGUACCGGUAACUUUGCCGUUGGCGACAGCAAAGGAGGGGCAGAGGUCAGGCGACUGUGGAUGAAGGAGGAGGAAGAGAGGGCUGAAGAGAAGAUUUUUUUAUUUUUCUUCGCUGGAAUCAACGCCCCGAUCAAAUCGACACCGAAAUCCCUUCCACAUGGGAGAUCCACUUCGACCCACCAUAACCAACAAGCUUCAGUUCGUGUAAUCACUUGAAACCCAUGGAAGCACACGCACAGAGAGGAGGCAAGCUUCAGAGAAGCGAUUCCAAAACUUCCGAUUUAACCAUUGGACAGACCACCCAAUCAAUCACCCAAAAAAAAAAAAACCAAAGGUAAGAGGAUGAGUGGGAAGGGGAGGAAGAAGGUAGAUUUGGUUCGCUUUCUUUUCUUCCCUCGUCACGAAGAGGAGGAUCAAGGUGAAACGAAAUGACUGAGAGCCAACAUUUCUUAGAAGGGGAGAAGCUAAAUCAUCAAAUAGACUUUGUCUAAUUUCUUCCUUUUUCUGUUUUCUUUUAUUUUUUUUCUUUUGUCUAGUGAGCGCACAGCAUUGCAACAGACGGAGGCCAAGGCCAUCGAGGAAGGAAAGAGAGAGAGAGAGGGAGGGAGCAAAGCCACACCAGAAAGAGGUAAGAGANNNNNNNNNNNNNNNNNNNNNNNNNNNNNNNNNNNNNNNNNNNNNNNNNNNNNNNNNNNNNNNNNNNNNNNNNNNNNNNNNNNNNNNNNNNNNNNNNNNNNNNNNNNNNNNNNNNNNNNNNNNNNNNNNNNNNNNNNNNNNNNNNNNNNNNNNNNNNNNNNNNNNNNNNNNNNNNNNNNNNNNNNNNNNNNNNNNNNNNNNNNNNNNNNNNNNNNNNNNNNNNNNNNNNNNNNNNNNNNNNNNNNNNNNNNNNNNNNNNNNNNNNNNNNNNNNNNNNNNNNNNNNNNNNNNNNNNNNNNNNNNNNNNNNNNNNNNNNNNNNNNNNNNNNNNNNNNNNNNNNNNNNNNNNNNNNNNNNNNNNNNNNNNNNNNNNNNNNNNNNNNNNNNNNNNNNNNNNNNNNNNNNNNNNNNNNNNNNNNNNNNNNNNNNNNNNNNNNNNNNNNNNNNNNNNNNNNNNNNNNNNNNNNNNNNNNNNNNNNNNNNNNNNNNNNNNNNNNNNNNNNNNNNNNNNNNNNNNNNNNNNNNNNNNNNNNNNNNNNNNNNNNNNNNNNNNNNNNNNNNNNNNNNNNNNNNNNNNNNNNNNNNNNNNNNNNNNNNNNNNNNNNNNNNNNNNNNNNNNNNNNNNNNNNNNNNNNNNNNNNNNNNNNNNNNNNNNNNNNNNNNNNNNNNNNNNNNNNNNNNNNNNNNNNNNNNNNNNNNNNNNNNNNNNNNNNNNNNNNNNNNNNNNNNNNNNNNNNNNNNNNNNNNNNNNNNNNNNNNNNNNNNNNNNNNNNNNNNNNNNNNNNNNNNNNNNNNNNNNNNNNNNNNNNNNNNNNNNNNNNNNNNNNNNNNNNNNNNNNNNNNNNNNNNNNNNNNNNNNNNNNNNNNNNNNNNNNNNNNNNNNNNNNNNNNNNNNNNNNNNNNNNNNNNNNNNNNNNNNNNNNNNNNNNNNNNNNNNNNNNNNNNNNNNNNNNNNNNNNNNNNNNNNNNNNNNNNNNNNNNNNNNNNNNNNNNNNNNNNNNNNNNNNNNNNNNNNNNNNNNNNNNNNNNNNNNNNNNNNNNNNNNNNNNNNNNNNNNNNNNNNNNNNNNNNNNNNNNNNNNNNNNNNNNNNNNNNNNNNNNNNNNNNNNNNNNNNNNNNNNNNNNNNNNNNNNNNNNNNNNNNNNNNNNNNNNNNNNNNNNNNNNNNNNNNNNNNNNNNNNNNNNNNNNNNNNNNNNNNNNNNNNNNNNNNNNNNNNNNNNNNNNNNNNNNNNNNNNNNNNNNNNNNNNNNNNNNNNNNNNNNNNNNNNNNNNNNNNNNNNNNNNNNNNNNNNNNNNNNNNNNNNNNNNNNNNNNNNNNNNNNNNNNNNNNNNNNNNNNNNNNNNNNNNNNNNNNNNNNNNNNNNNNNNNNNNNNNNNNNNNNNNNNNNNNNNNNNNNNNNNNNNNNNNNNNNNNNNNNNNNNNNNNNNNNNNNNNNNNNNNNNNNNNNNNNNNNNNNNNNNNNNNNNNNNNNNNNNNNNNNNNNNNNNNNNNNNNNNNNNNNNNNNNNNNNNNNNNNNNNNNNNNNNNNNNNNNNNNNNNNNNNNNNNNNNNNNNNNNNNNNNNNNNNNNNNNNNNNNNNNNNNNNNNNNNNNNNNNNNNNNNNNNNNNNNNNNNNNNNNNNNNNNNNNNNNNNNNNNNNNNNNNNNNNNNNNNNNNNNNNNNNNNNNNNNNNNNNNNNNNNNNNNNNNNNNNNNNNNNNNNNNNNNNNNNNNNNNNNNNNNNNNNNNNNNNNNNNNNNNNNNNNNNNNNNNNNNNNNNNNNNNNNNNNNNNNNNNNNNNNNNNNNNNNNNNNNNNNNNNNNNNNNNNNNNNNNNNNNNNNNNNNNNNNNNNNNNNNNNNNNNNNNNNNNNNNNNNNNNNNNNNNNNNNNNNNNNNNNNNNNNNNNNNNNNNNNNNNNNNNNNNNNNNNNNNNNNNNNNNNNNNNNNNNNNNNNNNNNNNNNNNNNNNNNNNNNNNNNNNNNNNNNNNNNNNNNNNNNNNNNNNNNNNNNNNNNNNNNNNNNNNNNNNNNNNNNNNNNNNNNNNNNNNNNNNNNNNNNNNNNNNNNNNNNNNNNNNNNNNNNNNNNNNNNNNNNNNNNNNNNNNNNNNNNNNNNNNNNNNNNNNNNNNNNNNNNNNNNNNNNNNNNNNNNNNNNNNNNNNNNNNNNNNNNNNNNNNNNNNNNNNNNNNNNNNNNNNNNNNNNNNNNNNNNNNNNNNNNNNNNNNNNNNNNNNNNNNNNNNNNNNNNNNNNNNNNNNNNNNNNNNNNNNNNNNNNNNNNNNNNNNNNNNNNNNNNNNNNNNNNNNNNNNNNNNNNNNNNNNNNNNNNNNNNNNNNNNNNNNNNNNNNNNNNNNNNNNNNNNNNNNNNNNNNNNNNNNNNNNNNNNNNNNNNNNNNNNNNNNNNNNNNNNNNNNNNNNNNNNNNNNNNNNNNNNNNNNNNNNNNNNNNNNNNNNNNNNNNNNNNNNNNNNNNNNNNNNNNNNNNNNNNNNNNNNNNNNNNNNNNNNNNNNNNNNNNNNNNNNNNNNNNNNNNNNNNNNNNNNNNNNNNNNNNNNNNNNNNNNNNNNNNNNNNNNNNNNNNNNNNNNNNNNNNNNNNNNNNNNNNNNNNNNNNNNNNNNNNNNNNNNNNNNNNNNNNNNNNNNNNNNNNNNNNNNNNNNNNNNNNNNNNNNNNNNNNNNNNNNNNNNNNNNNUUAUCAGUUGAGCGAUCAAAAUAUUUGCUCCCCCUCCCUUCAAUAACGCUCCGUUACUGGAAAACUCUCUUUCCUCUUUCUGGUGUGGCUUUGCUCCCUCCCUCUCUCUCUCUCUUUCUUUCCUUCCUCAGUGGCCUUGGCCUCCGUCUGUUGCAGUGCUGUUGUGGUGCGCCCACUAGACAAAGGAAAAAGAAAAAGAAAACAGAAAAAAGGAAGAAAUUACACAAAGUCUAUUUGAUGAUUUAGCUUCUCCCCGUCUAAGAAAUGUUCGCUCUCAGUCAUUUCGUUUCACAUUGAUCCUCCUCUUUGCAACGAGGGGAAAAAAAGAAAGUGAACCAAAUCUACAGAGUCAAGUAACAAUAACACUUCUUCCUCCCCCUCCCCCUCAUCCUCUUACCUUCUGUUUUUUCGGGGCGAUUGAUUGGGUCGUCUGUCCGAUGGUUGAAUCUGAAGCUUCGAAAUUGCUUCUCUAAAGCUUACCUCCUCUCUGUGCGCGUGCUUCCAUGGGUUCCGAGUGAUUAUGCGAACCGAAGCUUGUUGUUUAUGGCGGGUCAAAGUGGAUCUCUGAUGCUGAAGUGAUUUCCGCGUCAAUUUGGUCGGGGCAUUGAUUCUGGCGAAGAAAAUAUAUAAAAAAAAAAAAUCUUAUCUUCAGCCCUCUCUUCCUCUUACUCCGUCCACAGCCGCUCGACCUCUGCCCUUCCUCCACUGUUGCCAAUGGCGGAGUCACUGGCGCCUUGAUUAGGCUGACCCCUGCUAUGUCCAAGAUGAGCACGGUCGACUUCCUUUGUUUUUUCUGUCUCAUCAUUCCAUAGAUCUCGAAAUUUGGUCGUUCGCAGCGUCGAAGUUGCAGAUCUGGAAGUCGAUCACCAUCACUCGCAGCCAUGGACAAGCCGCUGUCACUAAAGCCAUGGCUGUAGAUCUGGAAGUCCUAUCGGGAGCAACGAUGGCUUAUGGACUGCCAUUGUCCCCUCCGUCGUUGCCCGCAGGCGGCUUGUGGUCGGCCCCAUCCAUGGUCAGGCCACCCCUCCAUCGUCACAGCCGCUCGUGGUCAUUGCCCGUCCAAAUCUAAAAUGGAGUCAUGCCUCCAGAUCUAGUAUCGUCCGUGGACGCAAGCCUAGAUCAUCCAUGGCUCGCGAGGAGGCUCCUCCACAGAUUUGGCGACCGCAGCUUGUCCAUAGCCAUGAGCCUUGAUGGCUAGUUUGAGAUCCCGACAGCCAUGGACUAUGAGGUCAAACCGUGAAAGAAAAAACAGAGGAAUAGAUGUCAGGGAAGAGUGGCCAUGGACAAGACGGUCGGAGCUUGAACGCAGCCAUGGACGAGCGGCGUCAUGAACGGGCAAACCACAAAGACGACGGAGAGGGUUGGACGCCCGACAAUGGUCGCCUUGCAAUUCAGCUGGCGGCGACAGUGGAGGGAGGCGAGAAGGUUGGGCUCAAUGUGGCUAGAGAUGGAGGAGAAAGCAUAGAUGGAGAAGGAAAGUGAGGUGGAUUGAGAUUUUUUAUAUUUAGUCAUCUGAACAAAAGAAGAACAAUAUUUAGUCAAUGUCGUAGCCACAUAAAAAAAUAAAAAUAAUAGGAAUCAAUCAUCCAGUCAACACCUCCAUUCCGUCUCAGGAAGUUCUCCUCAUGUGAAGAUUAAACGCAGUAAAUGACAAACUCCUCCGGCACUUCUUUUUUUGGCUCGAACCCAAGGCACUUGAAAAUGCGCAAUAUCAUUUUUUUAUUACAGAUUCCAUUAAAGUUUGGUUUUUUUUUUUUCUGUGAUUGAGGAAAUGCUUUUUUUUUUCUUAUUCUAAUACUUUUGCGCAAUUCUUUCUAUUGUUUUAUGCAAAUAUAAUGUUUAAUUAUAACAAGUAUCUACACAUUUGUUUACUUUUUAAUUGUAAGAGUUAUCACUAAUUAUUUAUUUAUAAUGUCAUUUGCAUGUAUAAGUUGUUAUAUAAUACCUAGCCCCGCAUUCUAAGAAUAUUUCAAAAAGUCAUUAUAACACUCAAUCAACAAUACUAAUAAAUUUAGGGAAGUAUGAAAAUAGUCAUUUAAUCUUUUGGUAGUGACAAAUUGUGAUAGCGCUAAUUUCAUUUUAGUGUCAAAUAUGAGCUAUCAUAUAAUAAUUGAUUUCUCCCACAUUAUUAGAUACUUUCAAAAACUCAUCAAAAUCUUCAAUUAAGAAUAUUGAUAGAUUUAAGGAAGUGUGGGAAAGUCUUUUUUUUUUUUUGUGACAAAUCAUAAUUGUAUUAUUUAUAUUAUAACCAAAUGAAAAAUAUCAAUACUUGCUUUUCAAUGGACAAUUCCUCAGAGGUCAUGAUGUAGUGAAAAAAAAAACACUUGAUUUUCUUUAUACAAACAAAAUGUGAUCAGCGAGUGCACACCUACUUUUUGCCAAGGGGUGUAUCACUCGGUACACCGCAAGAUUCUAUUUUUAUUUUUCCACAAAUUUGAAUAAAUAUUAUUUCAAGGAUGUUAUUAAUGGUCCAAUGUAAAACUAGUAAAUUGACCCAACUUGCUUUUGCUGAGAUCAUAACGUUAUGUUAUUUAUUCAAGUCGUUAUGUUGCCCGUGCCUAUUAAAAAAAAAAAUCCAAUACAAAAUUUUUCCAUACAUAAAAAAGAAGAAGGUUGCGAACAAUUGAAGUUACUAUAUUUUUUUAUAUCCGGUUCACCAUAUAAAUUUCAUGACUCUUCUCUUUAAUUAGAAGAUUCAUAAGUACUGUUCGCAAUUUAGUAUAAAUAAGUAGCAAUUCCCAUAGUAAAUAAAGGAAAUAAUGUUGAGCCAAGCAUUAGUUUCAUCUAUUCAUAUCCUUAGUUGACUGGCUCAUCAUCACCAUGCUCUUGCUUUUUCUCUAAUUGUUAUGCAUGUUCACCUUGAAGCAAACAAAUCUAAAACAUAACCGAUCUUUGCCGACGAAAUUUACAUAACGGAAAUUUUCAGUUUGUAUCGAUGAAUCUAAAUGUUGCUCUUUUCAAUAGUUCUAUCGGACUGCCUAGCAAGCUCCCUAAACUUUUUGCUGGUCUUCGUGCUUAUUCAUUACAAAAAUACAACUUGUCACUCCUCCAUGGCAUCAACAUUGUUUUGCGGGAUUCAAAUUCUGUUCUUCUUCACCUUUGUCCUCACUUAAUUGCGUAGAGAAACAGUUGAGUGAGCUGUCAUUGAUAUUUAGUCAAUGGCUCCAUUCAUGCAUCAUUAUAAAUAGGAGGGCUAUCAUUUCUCUCUCUCUCUCACUUUUGCAUUGUAGGUUUUCUUAUGCUUUAGAUGCUCUUGCAUCCAAUUGGAAAUAGCCCUUCUCUCUCUCUCUCUCUCUCUCUCUCUCUUUCUCUCUCUCUCUCUCUCUCUCUGAUUGUGAUGCAAGAGCUACUAUAAAAAAAAAGGACUCGAGAGGGGGGGGGGAUUAAGAUGAAGUUGAAAGGUACAAAAUCAGAAUUCGGGAGACUUGCUUAGCAACAAUUUGAACGAGCCCAAGUUCCACGUGCAUAGGGCUUUUCUGACUAAUUUCUGGACUUUAAAGUUAUUCUUAUGAUUUGCCGAGUAAUCAAGAAAAGUCAACAUUGUCUUGUUACUGCAAAAUCUACAUACCCUUAAUUGUCAAUUAAGUCACUCAAAAGUCGAUGCUGAACGUACUAUUAAUUUAUAAAUGCAUUUAUAAUUCCAUGCUUGCUGCAAUGCAAUAUCCUUGCCUUAGUCAUCAGUCAAUUUGUAUAAAAGCAUCAAUCAACCCUUCCCUAUUUACGUCACUAACAAAAUCUUGACUUCUCAUGAUUUGUGAGAACAAGGGAAGUCUGGAAAUUCAUUCUUUAAGGUCAUAACUCAAUGCAAUCACAUUCAUUAUGUCAUUUUUUUCUCAAUAUGGCAAGUACAAUUUCCUAAGCUUAGGUCAAUGGAUCUCUCCCACAUGGACAAUUUAAACAAAAUAUGGACUGACAGUCCUCAAGAAACUUUGACUUUUGAUUGUUUAUGGAUAGUAGAGGUUUGGAACUGUAAGAGCCUUGAAAAUUUGUUUCGGCUACAAGUUUAACCCAACUUGAAAAACUUCAAGUGGAGUCUUGUGAGAUCGAGGAAAUAGUCGCUAGUGGGGAUGACACUCCUCACUCCAAUACUACUCAAGAUCUUUUCCCAAAACUAACCUCUUUGGUGUUACAUGACAUGCCACAACUCAAGAGCUUUUGUCUUAACUUGCCCACUUUGAAUUGGCCAUUACUAAAGGAAUUAUGAGUGACUCACUGUGACAAACUGAACAUGUUAUCCUUUGCGGCAUCCAUGAAUAGUUGGGCUCAAAGAGAUGAUCAACAGGACCUCUCAAAUCAAGAAGCACACUCUUCAUUUGGGAGGGUAUGAUUAUAGCUGCUCUCCCUUAGUUUCUACUUUGUUCUUUAAAGUAGUCACUAAUAUCAUAUCCAUUGUAUAUCAUGUCAUGUUAUAAUGUUAUAGAAAACAUGAUCUCCCUUACCUAUUAGUUUGUCAACAACAUUAAGAUAUUCCUAAUAUCUUACGUAUACUUUCAUUUGUGGAUAUGCAUAAAGAUAUGCUAUUACCUAGAGUUACAAAAAUAUUUACAGUACUCUAUUGACAGCAAAAUAUAUUCAUAAUCUAACCUAAUGCUACUCCUUGGCAACAUCAAUAAGAAUUUGACAAGAGGUCCUCUCCAUUAUUGACACGUGUCACACAAUUGAACUUUUCUUCUCUAUUUCAUCUUCAACAAACUCUAAAAAAAUCAAUUCAAUUUAAAAAAAAAAACAAAAAUAACAUUAGUUCCUUGGUGCACCAUUUUCUACUGUAUUUUUUAAUACACCGGUGCACUUCAUAGUCGUAGUGUUGUGCUAUUAUAAUACUAUAGAAAACUAGAACCCUUGUCCUAUAUGUUUGCGGACAACAUAAGGUAUUUCUUAUAUCUUAAGCACACUUCUAAAUUUGUGGACCCCAUAUGUUUUAGUAACAUCAUGAGUGCAUCCUGUUACAUAAGAUUCUAAAGAUGAUAAAUUUUUGUUGACAAGAUAAGAUAUUCCUAACAAAAGAUGAAUUUAGCGAGUGCAAGAUAUUCCUAACAAAAGAUGAAUUUAGUGAGUGCAAGGAUCUUGAAUUUAGAUUCACUCUAUCCACUUGACCAGACCAACUUCUACAUGAGACUUUUAAAAGCUUGAGUCUUGAAUACAAGGUUCUUGAGAUAUAAUGAACUUUAAGAAGAUGGCCACCUUCCAUGCAAAUCAUCUAAAUAGGUUUACUUUUAACAACACAUGAUUUAUUGCCAAAAACUUCAUUGAAUUUACUUCUCUUGUUGUAUUGGCUGUUUGACAAGACUUUCCUAACUUUGAGAGACUUUUAUUAGUCAGUAACAAUAUUCAGAUGAUACAAGAUGGAAAUUUUCCUAAUGACAUCUUUAGCAAACCCAAAACACUAACACUAGCAUGCUUUCAUGAUGAAAAGACCAUCUUUCCUUCCAUAUUCCUCCUAGAGAGAUUUCAGAAUCUACAAAGGCUUGAGGUAUUCUAUAGCUCCUUUGAAGAUAUAUUCCCAGAUGAAGGGCUUGUUGAAGAGGGGAAACAUUUUGUGCUUGAAAAUUUAAAAGAACUUAAGUUAAGCAAGCUACACAACCUAAAGCGUGUGUAAAGAAAAGACUCUUUAGUGUAAAAAAUUCUUCAAAGCAUUGACACAUUGGAGGUUUGGGAUUGUCCCCGUUUGAUGACAAUAUUUCCAACUGUGGCAUCCUUCCAGAAUCUGACAACAUUAGUAGUGAAGAAUUCCUCUAGAAUUGUACACCCAGUAACAAUUUCAGCUGUCACAAAUUUGAUCUCACUAAGAUGACUAUAAUAGGAUGUGAAAGAAUGAAAGAAGUAGUGGCAAAUGAAGGAAACAGAAAAGGACAAGUGAUUUCUUUUGGAAAUCUACAACAUUUGAUACUCCAACAUCUGCCAAGCCUAGAAUGCUUCUCCUCCAUCCCAAGUUGCAGCUUCAGGUUCCUAUCCUUGAAUAUAAUUGAAGUGGAAGAAUGUCCAAAAAUGAAGAUUGGAAGAGAACUGGAAAGAGGGUGAUGAUCUCAAUGCAACUAUACAAAAGUUAUCAGCAUGAACAAAUGCACGUAAUAUUGGUAAAGAUUCGAUUGACGUCAUUCUCUUAUCCAUUCUCGUUUCUUUUUUAUUUUUUGGCGGCACCGUAAGUUUUUAAAUUUUUCAUUUUUUUGUAACUUUUCUAUUAUUGAUGACGUCCGAUCAGCAUCAUCAUCAGCCCUAUCUAUCGAUCGAUCUUGCCUCCUACUUCACUGAACAGUAGGAAGCGAAGCAGGGCUCUCCUCCUUCUCCUUUUUGAUGCCAGAGGCUGUCUCAGCUGCAUUCACGAAGGACGGAGCGAAAAGGAAGCGUCAGGAAUUGCCAGGACUUGAGAGAAGAUGGCACUGCUGAGUCUGGACAGUCAGUCCUCCACUCACUUCAUCAAAGAAGAAGAUCAUUCUCUCUCUUUCUCUUUCUCCACAUUUGUAUCCGACGAAUCGUAGGUUCACGCUUCUGCACGUAUCAUUCAUCUCGUCUGCCGGAAUUUCUUCCCGAUUUUCGUGUCUUGUUGCGCGUAAUUUUCUUCCGGUUUUCGUAGAGAUCUUUCCUCAACCAUCGUCGUCUUCUUCAGCUAGGGCUCUGCUUUUUAAAUUCAUUCCUUGUAAAUUUCUCAGUCCACUACUUCAGAUCAUGGACCAAUAGAGGUCCUCCACUGACAUCAUCAAAGAAGAAGAUCUCUCUCUCUCUCUCUCGUUCUCUCGCUCUCCCUCGCACUUGAACCCGGCAAACUUGUAAGUUCACGUUUCUUCCGAUCUCGGUGUCUUAUUGCGCACGAAGUAGGUUGCGGAAGCUGGUUUCGUAGAGACCUUCCUCAAUCCUCGCCUCCUUCUUUAGUAAAGGGCUCUGUUCUUCAAAAUUCGUUCCACAUUAGAGUCUAAAAGCAUAAGUUCCUCAAACUAGCAAUUUUAUCUUAACAAUGGAGUAAUUGAAAUAGGGAAAAGAAUGAAAGGACUAUUCUUGGGACAUAAUUUUAUCUUAACAAUGGAGGUUCGAAAAGAUAACAAUCGUCUCCUUUUUUCGUGGAUAGAUGCGUUGGAAAGGCAAUUCCUAAGGCGUCUUAGAAUUAGAAUCCAGGUUCUCUUAUAUAGAGAAAUUUGACAAUGUGAUUCAAUGUCGGAGAAGUAGAAUAUAUAUAUGUUAAUCACACAAAGAGACUAUGUUCAUAUGGACAAGCAAAUUGCAAAGAAUGUUGCUACCUCCAUAACUAAAGAGAAAGACCUAAUCGAUAAGGGGCUGGCUUGUUGUGAUUAUGAAAUUUCAUUGUAGAUCUAAUGACUGAUAAUUUUGCUUUCAAAUAGGAGAUGCUAUUGUAUUUUGUUAUAUUAAUCAGAUUUAGGGAAAAAAAAAGAUUUUACUUUGUCAAAUUGAACCAAUAGUUUGAUAAAAACUUAUUUGAGCUGUGCUCGAAAGAAUCAAAUAGCUUAAGUUUAAAUUUUCAAUUCUAUCCAUGUUCCAGUUAUCAAUGUAUUUCCUUUUUUCCCUGUGAUUGUGAUUUGUGUGGCUGAAAUUGAUUUGUUUUAAAUAUAUAUAUAGGACCUGGAAGGCUUCUUCUGAAUGUGUACCCUACUGCAUUCUUGGAGCAUAGAUUUGACCUUGACUUUGGAUUAAUGGCUUUCCUUAUAUGGUUUGCUGUCUAUUAAACUCCUGAAAGUAGCAAGUAAUGCCUUAAACUCACGUUGUGUAUGAUUUGAUUCUCUCAUUAGGGUAUGCUUAUGUCUUGAUCUGUUCUUUACCAUAUGUUGGUUUUUCAACCAUGGAGACAGGUAGUCUGCUCCUGUUCAAUUCGUCAUGCAACAUAUUCAGGAAAUUAAGCAAAUUGCUACUCUUAGGUAUUCGGACAAGUCAUGGAUGGUGAAGCUAAGGAGUUGGAGAUGAGAUUUAUUACUUUUUUUUUGGGGGGGGGGGGGGGGGUGUGGGGGCGUUCUUUUCCAAUGGGUGACCCACAUUUGCAAUAGAAAGUCAUCUGCAAGUAGAAACUCAUUGAUAGGGAUGAUUUUGUGUUUAGAGUCUACAUAUUCACUAGUGCUGGUUAGGACUUGAUUUACAUUGAUCGAGAUGAACUCUGGAAUUGUCACUUUCGCUGGUCCAAAAUGAAUUUUGUAUUCCAAAUAAUAACUCCUUUAUGUAGUCUUGAGGAAUUAAGGAAAUGUACUUCUAUGCCAACUGGGUUUUAUGAGGUUGAUCAUAAUCUAAAUGCAGACUCAUUAAUGCCACAUUCCAAAUCUGAAUGAACUGAAAACAAGAUGUCCUUUUUUGGUUUAUGCAUUCUUGUUAUGUUGUUCUUCGUUUUGAAUCUAAAAUCUGGUCUCAUAGGCUUAUUAAGAUUAUGGGUUCCUACAGGGAAUAUCAAAAAGGUUCGAGAGGAUGCUUUUGAGAGGAUGGUGCAAUUAUUUGGGUUGUGGAAAUGGAAAAAUGUGAUAAGAUGGCUUGGCUAGCAAAGGGUUGGAAUAAAUAUGCAGAGCAUUACUCUAUUUGUGAGGGCCAAUUUUUGGUCCUCUAAUCUGAAGGGGACUCCAUUUUCCAUGUCAUCAUAAUCGAUGAAAGGAUGUUUGAGAUAGAAUAUCUACCAAUCAAUGAAGAUGUGAGGAACUGAGCCUCAGCAAUUGUGGAUUUGUCUUGCUGAAAGCGGAAGAUGCCUUCGAUUUGUGAUGUUUCAGCCAAGCUUGAAGUCCGGGGGGAUGGAUUGCAUUCAACCAAGUGUCCGCAGUCUUGUAUAGAAAUGGAAUCUGAUCAGGUUUGCAAAGUUCAUGGCAAUUCCUAUGCACAUUCAUCAGCAGAGUUUGGGGAGGAACAGAAGUUCAAACUGCUCAUCACAAGAUUUUCCAGGUGUGAAUCUUAAUAUAUUAGCUAAUUCUCCCCUUGAUUGUGUUGUUCUCGUGUUUGAUUCAAAUACCAUAGAGGAACUAUCCAUGUCGUUAGGCUAAGACAAACUGCAUUAGAGAGUUGAUGCUAAGAGAAAGUGUUAAGAGCUAAUUCAUUCUAUUAGUGUUUCUCUAUCUCUAGAUCUCCCGUGUGUGCAUAUGUAUGUGUUGGGACUAAAUGUGCCAGCAAUUGCCGUGAUGCUUCGGUUUUGCUUGAAGUCUUGGGGGAUGAAUUGCAUCCAGCCAAGUAUCCUUAGCUUUGUAUGGCAAUGGAAUUUGAUCAGGUUUGCAAAAUUCGUGGUAGUUCCCAUGCACAUUCGUUAGCAAAAAGUUUGGGGAGGGACAAAAGUUCAAACUGCUCAUCACGACAUUUUUCAGGUGUGAACCUUAAUAUAUUAGCAAAUUCUCCCCUUGACUGUGUUCUUCUUAUGUUUGAUUUGAAUUCCAUCAGGAACUCUCCACAUUGUUAGGGUAAGAGAAACUGUGUUAGAGCUAAUUCACUCUCGUAGUGUUUCUCUGUCUAUAGUUCUCCCGUGUGUGAAUAUGCUUGUGUUAGGGGAUCUCAUAAAUAAUGGAAACAAGCCGAGCCAAUCAUAUCAGUUUUGAUUGCGCUGAGAAUCGUAUUGGUGUGCAUAUAGGCCUUGGGAAGCUAGACCAUUAGUAAGACUCAGAUCAAUUGAUUUAGGGUUGCUAUGUCGGCAGAUAUGAGUUUUACAUAAUAAGAAUAGAAUACGACUAAAAAGCAAAUGCUUUCUUCAUGUUCUGUUUGCGACUGCUGCAGGUAAGGUGAGGGGCUUGUGCAGAGCUCUUGAACUGGCCAGCAAAUUAAUACUCGAUUAUUCUUUCUCCGAAAUUGCGGUGAGGUUAAUACAGCUGAAGAAAAACAAUGUGGUAAGAUCCUCGUGAUACUGACAACUCUGGGAUUUAAAUCACCUAAGGCAUCCUCAUACUGUCUUCCUCAGAUAUCAUUGGUUGUUCUCUUCUUUGUGAUGACAAAAUUGCAAAAUGUCUACUUGAGCAGAGAGUUCCUCCUUCAUUCACAAAGACACAUGUUAAGGAAAGCCCGUAGACCAUGGCUCUCAUAUUUCAAGACAAAUCAUGGCCGUUGAAGCUCAUCAGCCACGAACAUUAUGGAAAAGUCAUCUGCCCUUUGGGCCGCAUCACGAGAGAAACUUUUCUAAAGGUGGAAGACUUGUGUGUUCGAGCUUUAUUGAAAGGGACGAUAUCAUGUUCAGAGUAUCCAUCUUCAGAACCACUGAUAAGAUUUGGGUGUAUAAUAAUAUGUGCAAUGCGAUACAGCAGAGGAAGCAUCGCGUUAGCUCGCUUUUGGUGAGAACAGAAUUUACAGAAUUGCAAAGCUGAAUUCUGCUUUCGGUUCAGCAGAGUGGAUAAAAGCAUUAGUUUCGUUCCAAUGGAUGGAAUGGUCCUGAAUGUGUACGAUACCUUUCCUUGAUCCUAGACGCGGCAAUCACAAUGUGGGCAAGAGUCGUGAGUUGUGAGUCGGAGGAAGCUGAUUACAAAUGUCGAUUCUGUAAUUCAGGAGACAAUCUCUCUUUCAAAUUGGGUGCUUCUUUAAGGUUUCCGGUGGCUUAACCUGACCUUUAGAACUGUAAAGCAUAGUUAUGUCGAUUACGCUUCCCUUAAGCCAUACCAAGAUUUUGCAAGCUCUGGUGAACUUACAUCAGAUUCUUUGCAAUCUCUUUUCGAUUUCUUGAAGAUUUUGUGAUCAGUCUUUUCGUAUGUCGCAAAUUGACGUUUGUCAGUUUCUUCUCAUGUGAAAAACAAUCGGAAUUUUUUUUUAUUUUUUUUUUUAUAUUAAAUGAAUGUUGAUAUGCAUGACGAAGUAAAUAUGCUGCGUCUUUGCGUCGCUGUGGCACGUCUCUUCCGCAGCCUCUCUCUCUCUCAACAAACACAGCAGCCGAGCCUCCAACAGUGGCUUUGCACCUUUAGAAUCAGCGAUAAUCCCAGCGCUCUCGAACUUGAACUUGCUCUCACCGAUUCUCUCUCUCUCUCUGUGUCUUUCUUCCAUGCGAGAACUCGAUACAUCCUCUGUAAACCUACGGCAAUAGAAAUUUGGGAGAUGGUGAGAGGAUGGGAGAAAACAAAAGUGAAACGGAAAUCAACGGACAAAAUUUGCAAUGAAUCGAAGACAAUUCUAGAGUUAAAUUGGAGACGGAACGUCCUGGUAAUUGUGACUGUCGAUCAAGGAAACUAUCUGGUUGAGUUCUGCCGUCGCGGCGGUGAGUGGCAUCUUCGAACUGGUAGUGACACUUUUUGUGCUUCGGUCAGUGCUGGAAGCAACAAUCGUCAAAGAGCUCGACCUCAAUAAAUCGCUGGUGGAGCUCCAAACGCGGUUGCAAUAAAUCAUUAGCUAGAGAUCAAUCCCCCUUCAUUCAGUUGUUCCUCCAAGCUGCAAUCGAAGGCUUCUCCGAUUCUCUCCACCAAUUCAGAUCACCCUACAGUGAACGACACUAUCAGAUUCCGCAUUCAAGGUGCGGCCACACUAAUUCCUCUCUGAUUUGAGUUCUCACUUUCCUGUCCUUACAUAUGUCUGGACCACAUUCACCUGUCGCCCGGCCAUCUCGAGCUCAUGUCGCCAUCACCACUGACCCAUUGUUACGCCCGUUUCAUGUGCAAUCGAACUGCCGAGUCAAAUUUCGAUUCACUCCAGAAUACGUUCUGUCAACUCUUGCCAAGGCUGAGGUCGGAUGGAUCAUCAUAUGGAUACCAUUCGCGGAUACGAAGGAUGAGAUUCUUUGGUUUCGCUCUUGGCACUCUUGCCAGUCCGACGUCACUUCAUCAACCGUGGUAGCCAAGGCCAAUCUGAGUCAUCAUCCUUCGAGACGAUACACCGAGCGUGAAGAUUGGCAGCGGCGAGCAAACAAUCUAGAAUAAAAAGGUGCAAUGCAAAGGGGUGGAUGGAGGUGAUUCAGAUUUUGCGUGGGAAUUUUGGGCAAAACAGGCAAACAAGGUGAAGCUGGUGGUGGCUCUUUGGAUGAGAAGGAAGUAAAGUGUAGAAAAAAAAAAAGAUAAAAAAGGAAAAAGAAAGUAAUAAAAAAAAAAAAAAAAAAAAAGAGAGACACGAAAGGAAAAUAUAGAGAGCACACGAGAAAUCGGUCAAAUGGAAGACGUGCACAAGAGAUGUAAUUCGUCACACCAUCGAACACCUUCAUUGCAAACUCGAUCCCUCCUCCACAGUGCAAUCGACGGCAAUGGGAAUUCGGAAGAUGGUGAGAGAGUUGGAGAAAAUCAAAAUGAAAUAGAUAUCAACGGACGAAGUUAGAAUAUAUCGAAAUUAAUCCUAGAGUCGAAUCGGAGAUGAAAUGACCUGGUGGGAAGUGCGACUGUCGAUCUGAUAGAUAUCAUAAUUACCCGAAUGUCAGUGAGGAACCGGCUGUCCGCGGAUAUUUCUUAUGGCGCGAUCUUCUUUCCUCCGCUUUUUGUUACAGAGUCGUCUCACCCUCUGUUUCUCUCUUGCGCAAUUCAACGAACACCUUCUGCUCCGAGGACGCAGCACAUUCAACGACCAGGAAACUACAGGGGUCAAGUUCUUCGCCAUGCAACGUUUUCUCUAUGUCUAUCUUCAUUUUUUUCACCAGGUCUUCCUCUAUCAGGAUUGUUUCCUAUCCGAUUAAACUUCUGAGUCCAAUUUCGAUUCAUUCCAGUAUAAAUUCUGUCGAUUCUUGCUUCCUUCUUUUCCCUUCCACUUCAUUGCCGCCUUUUGGAUUCCAAAUGCGGUCGCUUGCGUCCUUCGUUUCGCCCUCCUACGCCGCGCAUGAAGGGGAUGUCGGGCUGGUGUAUAGGAUCCGCCAAUUCGAGGGAUGAAAUCUUCGAGUUCACUCUCGGCCCUCCCGCCGGUUUGAGAAGCCCGUCAAAGGGAAGACUUGCAUAAAAGAUGGAAUUCCUUGAGAGGAAGAUUCAUCUCAAAACUCAGCCAUCAUUUUCCUUUUCUUUUCCUUUAAAUAGGCAUAAAAAAAACUCCAAACGACGCCAUUGCAGCGUUUCUUGGCUUCAGGUACCUUUUUCGGAUCUCUCCAUCCAUCUUGACACGCUCCCCCGCUCAGUGAGUUCCGAGUCGCUCCACCAUCACCCUCGCUAUCUACUGCUGCUUUGAAACCGAGCUGCACUCGCCUCAUGAUUGAUUCUGUCGCUCACCGUCUUUAGAAACUUCGGUGAUCUUCUCUCUUUCUCUCUUCUUUUCCUUCUUCCGGUUCGAAUCGCGUUUUCGUUUUGUGCAUUCUUAUGCGUUUUGACAGAGCGAUGUUUAAUGCUAUUGUCGUUUUGCUCAUCAAAGGGUUCAUGCCCGGAAUUUUUUUCUUUUUUCCUUGUUUCCAAUCGUGAAUCCAAGACCACUUGGAAACGAGCGAAGAUUGAACUGAAAACGUCGUGAGAAAUCACCACAGCGAACGAGAGUUGUGCAGAGUUAAGCUCGGUCGAACAGUGGUUCGGUUUUCCUCUAUUUUUUGGCACCCUAUAGUCGCUUCUGGAUUCAGUUGUGGUGCGAGGGUGACUCGCUAGCCAUUCCUGAUCGGUCCUUCGAUUAACGCUUUUCUCUGUAUAGAUUUCUGAGCGGCUUGGGACUUCGAGAUGGGAGUGGCACCGAUGAGUUAUGACAUGGAAGAGGGGACUCUGGAUAUCGGCAUGGGUAAGCUUUUGGCCCUCUCUGCUUUCCGAAUUUUUUUUGAGCUACCGACAAUGGAAAUCUGCUGGGAUGCUUGAAUCUCGUAAUUAAGCUUUGACUGUAUUGUGGGGAGUAGCUUUGUCUCCUUGUUUGUGGUUUAUUGUGUCUUUCGCCAUCUAAAUUUCACUGUGCUUGGAAUCAGAACUUUAAUCAUGGGGUAUUAUUGUUUUCGAGGCUUUCCAUGUAGCUUUAGCGUUUCUGAAAAGUUUACGCUGCCACUCUUAUGACAACGGUUAAUACACUUACUACUUAGAUCUACACAAUCUCUAUCAUUUUACAUGUAUUGGUUAAGAGGUGAUGAAUCAUUUAGCUCUUGUCCGAGUCAAAUUUUUAGCAUGCCUUAGCCGCUGGGUCUUAGUUAUCAGUUGUUCAGACAAUUGCUUUGCUACUUGCAGAGCAUAGGAUUGUCUAUGGUGUUGUUGGGCCGUUGGUUAUACUCGACAAAGUCAAGGUCAAUUUCACUGGUUAUAAUUUUACGAGUUUCAGUGAACUCCUAUAUUGACAUGUUGGAUUACUUUAUUGUAUAUUAGGGACCAAAGUAUCAAGAGAUUGUAAAUAUCCGCUCGGGAGAUGGAACAACUUGACGUGGGCAUGUCCUUAAAGUUGAUGGAUAGAAAGCUGCUGUGUAGGUUCAGUAUAAGCUGCCAGCCUCUUCUUUUUUGCUUUAUCUCUCUUGAAACUGCAUUUUUGUUGGUUGGACUACAUUAGUUGGGUCACUUUGGUGUGCAGUACUUUUUAGCUAAUGACCUAGUGAAAUCUCUACCGUUAAUUACAAGCAUCAGAAAAAGCAGAACAUGUAGAAUAUUUUCUUGGGUAUAUGUGAUGAAAUGUGAGAACAUCAUAUGGGAUAAUAAUUUAAAAAAUUGUGAUUGAGUUUUUUGAGGAGAACAAUGUUAAGAGUCUAAUUAGCAUUCAGUGUGGGCAUACUCUUUCUCUCUCUCUCUCUCUCCGCAUCUGUAUCUGACGAAUCGUAAUCUGACGAAUUGUAAGUUCACGCUUCAGCACACAUUAUUUUAACCGUGUGCCAGAAUUUCAUCCAAUUUUUGUGUCUUGUUGCGCAUAAUUUUCUUCUGAAUUUUGUUUAACCUUCCUCAAUUGUCAUCGUCUUCUUCAGCUAGGGCUCUGCUUUCAAAAUUCGUUCCACAGUCGAUUUUUAUGCAUGUAAAUUUCUCAGCCCACUGCUUCGGAUCAUGAACCAAUAAAGGUCCUCAACCUAGCAAUUCAUUUUCCCUAAUUCUAAAUCUCGUGAGUAAAUAGGUAUGGUCGUCUCUCUUUAUCACACCGGCUGCUUUGAAAAUGUGGAUGGGCAGAGUUCUUCUCUACCGGUUGGCAAGGAUUUGUGAUAAAAACACGUCUGCAUCGGAGUAGGAGAUUUCUUACGUGUUUGAGCUCAUGGAUGGUGAUGAUAUGGUGGAACUUGAAAAUAUUCAGAGAAUCUUAUGCCUUGUCAAAAUAUGAGUCACUUUUAUGCCUUGUUCUCCAUAAACUCCGGAGUGCUCAUCAUCAUGAGAAUUUGGAGGGGGUGGCUCGCGUAACUCUCUUUCCGUCGUUCUCUUCAAAUUCUAGAAUAGUUUCUAAGAAGCUCUUGUUUUGAUCUUGAUUGAUUAUGUAAUGAUGUGGGGAUACUAUUAACUUCUGACCUAUGCUAAAUUUUUUCAUGGCAAGUCAAAUUAAUGAAGUGUACAUAAACUGUCACUGAAGUUGUCGCUUUUCAGGUACAGGGAGGACCAAACAGUUAGCAGAUUAAGCCAUCCUGAGCUGGUUUUCUUAGGUCCAAUGCACCCAAGGGCUCUCACUACUCUUGAAUUGGCCGGCAAAUAUUCUGACGGAGCAUUCUUUUUCAAGGUGGUGAUGAGGCCAUCUCAUGUUAAGUAUGGCUUGGUAUGAUCCCAAGCUUAUUUACUCAAACUGGCAUGUCUGGAAAUCAAAUAUAUUGAUGCUGUUUAUAUCUUUGCUUAUACUCUAGUGUAUUUCCAAGUUUACUGCAUUGUGUAGUAAACCACAUUAUAUGUUAUUUUCCUUGAAGUGUUCAUGGAUAUAUGCUUAAAACCAGGUAUAUAUUUUAACAAUGGAACAUAAGCUGGUGGUUGGUGGUUCGAAAAGAUAACAAUCAUCUCCUUUUUUUGGUGGAUAGAUGCGUUGGAAAAGCAAUUGCUGAGGCAAGUCUUGAGAAUUAGAAUCCAAGUCCUCUUAUAUGGAGAAAUUCAACAAUGUUAUUCAAUGUUGUAGAGGUAGAAUAUAUAUGCAAAUCGCACUAGGAGACUGUUAAAAUGGACAAGCAAAUUGCAAAAAAUGUUGCUGCCUCCAUAACUAAAGAGAAAGACCUAAAAGAUAAGGGGGUGACUUGUUAUGAUUUUGAAAUUUCAUUCUAGAUCUAAUGACUGAUAAUUUUGUUGUCAAAUUGGAGAUACUGUUGUCUUUUGUUAUGUUAAUCAGAUUUGGGGGGAAAAAGAUGAUUUUACUUUGUCAAAUUGAACCAAUAGAUUGAUAAAACCUUUUUGGAGCUGUGCUUGAAAGAAUCAAACAGCUUAAAAAUUUUCAAUUUCAUCCAUGUUCCAGUCAUCAGUGUGAUUACUUUUUCCCCUGUGAUUGUGGUCUAUGUGGCUGAAAUUCAUAUGUUUUAAAUAUUUAAUAGGACCUGGAAAGCUUCUUCCAAAUGUGUACCCUAUUGCAUUCCAGGAGCAUAGAUUUGACCAUGACUUUGAAUUGAUGACUUUUUUGUUAUAUGGUUUACUGUCUGUUAAACUCCUGAAACUAGCAAGUUAUGCUUAAAACUCACACUGUGUACAAUUUGAUUCUCUCAUUAGGGUUUGCUUAUGUCUUGGUCUGUUCUUCACCAUAUGUUGGUUUUUUCCACCAUGUAGAUGGGUAGUUUGCUCCUGUUCAAUUCAUCACGUAACGUGUUCAGGAAAUUAAGCAAAUUUUGACUAUAAGGUAUUCGGACAGGUCAUGGAUGGUGAAACUAGGGAGUUGAGGACGAGAUUUUUUUUGGGGGGGGUUGCCCACUUUUGACAAGAGAAAGUCAUCUGCAUGUAGAAACUCAUUGAUAGGGAUGAUUUUGUAUUCAGAGUCUACAUAUUCACUAGUGCUGGUUAGGACUUGAUUUACAUUGAUUGAGAUGAACUCUGGAAGCGUCACUUUCGCUAGUCCAAAAUGAAUUAAGUAUUCCAAAUAAUAACUCCUUUAUAUAGUCUUGAGGAAUCAAGGAAGUGUACAUCUAUGCUGAUUGGGUUUUAUGAGGUUGAUCAUAAUCCAGAUGCACAUUCAUUGAUGCCACAUUCCUAAUCUGAAUGAACUGAACAGUAUGUGCUUCAACAUGUCCUUUUUGGUUUAUGCAUUCUUGUUAUGUUGUUCUUCAUUUUGAAUUUGAAAUCAAGUCUCAUAGGCUUGUUAAGAUUAUGGGUUUUAUUUUACCUACAGGGAAUACCAAAGAGGUUCAAGAAAAUGCUUUUAAGAGAAUGGUGCAAUUAUUUGGCUUGUGGAAUUGGAAAAAUGUGAUGAGAUGAUUUGGCUAGCAAAGGGUUGGAAUGAAUUAGCGGAGCAUCACUCUAUCUUUGAGGGUCAAUUUUUGAUCUUCUAAUCUGAAGGGACUCAAUUUUCCAUGUCACCAUAAUUGAUGAAAGGAUGUCCGAGAUAGAAUAUCCGCCAAUCAAUGUCGAUGUGAGGAACUGAGCCUCAGCAAUUGGAGAAUUGCCUUGCUGAAAGUGGAAGGUGCUUUUGAUUGCCGUGAUGUUUCAGUCGAGCUUGAAGUUUGGGGGGAUGAAUUGCAUUCAGCCAAGUGUCCUCGGUUUUGUAUGGAAAAGAAAUUUAAUUAGGUUUGCGAAGUUCUUGGCAGCUCUUAUGCACAUUCAUAAGCAAAGUUUGCAGAGGCAUAGAAGUUUGAACUGCUCAUCACAAGAUUUUCAAGGUGUGAAUCUUAAUAUAGUAGCUAAUUCUCCCCUUGACUAUGUUGUUCUUGUGUUUGAUUCGAAUUCUGUACAGGAACUCUCCAUGUUGUUAGGCUAAGAGAAACUGUGUUAGAGUUAAUUCAUUCCUGUGAUGUUUCUCUAUAGUUCUCCCACGUGGAGUAAAUUCAUUCUUGUGAUGUUUCUCUAUAGUUCUCCUGCGUGAACAUAUGUAUGUGUUGGGAGAUCUAAAAAAUAAUGGAAAGCCAAGCUGGUCAUAUCAGAUUUGAUUGUGCUGAGAAUUGUAUUGGCGUACAUAUAGGCCUCAAGAAGCUAGACCAUUAUUAAGACUUAGAUCUAUUGAUUUAGCGUUGCUAUGUCGGUAGAUAUGAGUUUUACAUUACAAGAACAGAAUACGCCUAAAAAGCUAAAGCUUUAUUCAUGUUCUGUUUGCAACUCCUGCGGGAAAGCUGAGAGAGCCGGGCUUGUGAAGAGCUUGAGCCAGCCAACAAAUUUAUACUCGAUUAUCCUUUCUUCCAUAUUGCAGUGAGGUGAACAUAUCUGAAGAAAAGCAAUAUAGUAAGAUCCUCAUGACAAUGACAACUCUUGGAUUUAAAUCAGAGAGUCGCUAGACUAUGUUAGCUCUAACUAUUUAAUCAUGUGGCAACAAAUUUUUUUUUUUAUCCUUUACAUGGUUUAAAAAAAAAAUCCUCAUACUGUCUUCCUAAGAUUUCAUUGUUUGUUUUCUCCUCUCUAAUGACAAAAUUGCGAAACGUCUACUUAUACAGAGAGUUAUCGGUUCAUUCCCGAAGAAGCACAUUAAGAAAAGCCCGCACACCGUGGCUCUCAUAUUUCCACACAAAGCACGGCUGUUGAAGCUCAUCAGCCAUGAAAAUUAUGGAAAGUCAUCUGCUGGUUGGGCCGCAUUCACGAGAGAAACUUCUUUGAAGGUAAAAGACGUGUGUGUGUUUGAGCUUUAUUGAAAGGGACGAUAUCAUGUUCAGAGUAUGCAUCUUCAGAACCACUUAAAAGACUUGGCCAAUUAAUAUAUCCAUAUACUAUACAGCAGAGUUGCUAGGCUGAAUUCGGCAAAAUGGAUGAAGGCAUGAGUAUUGUUCCAAUGAAUGGAAUGGUCUUGAAUGUGUUCGAUACCUUUCCUUAAUCCUAGACUUAAUAAUCACCAUGUGGGCAGGAGUCGUAAGUUGAAGAGAGCUGAUAACUAAUGUCGAUUCUGUAACUUCCAUCUCAAGAGACAAUCUCUCAAAUUAGGUGCUUCUUUAAGGUUUCUGGUGACUUAACCUGGCCUUUAGAAUUGUAAAGGGUAGUAACAUAGAAUACACUUCCCUUAAGCCAGCGCAACCAUGAUGUACAAGCUCCUGUGAACUUACAUCAGAUUAUUUUCAUUGUCUCUUUUCAAUUUUUUAAAGAUUUUGUGAUGAGUCUUCUCACAUGUGGGCGCAAAUUGAAGUUUUUUAGUUUCUUCCCAUGCGAAGAGCAUUUGCAAUUUAUUUUGUCAAAUUAACUAAAUUGUGAUACGCAUGGCAAAGCAAUUUCCAAUCUAUGUUACAUCUUUUCAUUGGUUAGUAAAUUAAGGAAAUUUUUACACCAAUGUCUACUAAAUUGCUCAUUGUUCAACUGUGGAAAGAAGAAUUUCUAGUCACCCACGUUAUUACCCUCGGCCAUGCCGCCAAAUGAUAUGAUAUCAUAGUAUAGAUAAAGAAAGUCCCCCAGCUUGGAAGGAGUAGCUUUAUUAUUUCUAUUUAUAUAGAAAUGGCAAGUAGUCCAUAUGCUGAUUCAGCCAUUCUGAGUUGGUUUUUCAUGGUCCUACACUUCCAGACCUCUCAUUACUCCUAAAUUAGCCCGCAAAUUCGAUUUAUAACUAUCCUUUUUCAAAAUGGUGAUUCUGCAACUUAUACGAGUAGUCCGAUAAGAUCUUGGGCUUAAUUAGGCACCGGUAUACCUAGAGCUCAGUUAUCAUUGCUAGCAUCGACGAUACCACAACUGUUUUAGCAGUCGAUGUCUACUUGUUGGAGAUUUUUGUUUUCCAUUUAUACAGUGUCUAUUGUUGAAGCCAAUAGCAUCCUAGAACAAUACUCAUUAAUAACAUGUAUUAAAAAAAUGAUGUUAGCUAUUAAUUUCUUUCAUCCUCAAGCACUUUCAAACAGAUAAAUUUAUCCUUGGAUUUCUUCGACUUCAAAUCAUUACCUUCUUGCUCUUUGCCCUAUUUUAUCUUUGCAUUUCUCAUUUCAGUUAUAUAAUUUCAUAGCUCGAUCGUUCAAACAUGUAAAUGUGCAGAGUAUUCUGGAUGGAUUCAUUAAGCAACAUAUUCAGGAGAAGCAAAGAGCAACUCUUAGGCAUUCCAACAAUGAAGUUCAUCGGGAGCCAUAGACUCAUAAGAGGGGCCAUGUCUGUGUCCUUUUCUUCUGGUUGAUGUGCAUUUCGGAGAGAAACUCAUAUGCGUGUAGGAAAUGUCGGCAUGAAUGAAUGAACAAAGAUAAUCACCUGAAGGCCUGCAUUCUUUGCAGCAAUAGCUUCUCAAUAUCAUGUGCUUAUCACAACUCGUGACUCAGUACCUACACGUAACUAUGUGUUUUUUCUUCCCCACAUUUAGUGUCGAAAAUCCAUGAAGACACUACCUCAGAUCUCCAUGAUUUGUAUUUCCAGAGUCUUUAUGCUAAUCUGCCGUCAUAAGAUACAUGUAUACAAAAACAAAUGCAGCAAAUGGCCUCUCAUCAACGAAGAAGUUGCCUAGGAGUGAGCUUUUGGGGCUCACCAAUUUCAUACCCCGCAUUGUGACAGAAUGAAACAACACAUAAUAUUGACACUAAUAACCAUGAACCAAAGCAGACCCAAAACAAAUUAAUUCAACCCCUAGAACAGCAGAGCAGGUAAUUAACAAAUAGAAUUCGAUGAGACUGAAUCAUCGACUAGUUACCCUCGUUACCAGAUGGAACAACAAUUUAGAGAACAGCAGUUAAGCUAUGCAACAAUAGGUCACCCAUCAGAGUUUAUGAGGGCAAAGAGACAUCGAAUGGCAAAAGCAAUUACUACUUGGGAACAGGACAAACAUGUCCAGAAUUUGUGAAUGGUUGCUUACCCUUUCAAACAAAAGGAGACAUGAAACUUUCUGAGGCUAAAACCAAAAAUUACAAGCUGAGUUAAGUAGAGUAAUUACAAUGGUCCCAUCCUGUUAUAAUGGGCACAUGUACCGUGUAUUUUUCUGUGCUUAUGUUGAUUCCAUCAUAAUAUUAAUAUCAACUGAAAAGGAGACUUUGAGUAAACACCAAUUAAAUUUGCAACCACGCAAAAAAUUCACUCCUUGACAACAACGCAUUCAAAUAAUGCAACUAAACACACUGCAUUAAUAAAUUAGUGACCGCCAAUCUGGAAAAACCAGAGGAUGAGGAAGCACUUUGUUGGAGGGACAAACCAGAAAUGUUACACCGUUCAUGAGCAACUCUCAUUUCGCACGCCAUGAGCCAUUCUCGAGUCCGAUAGAUCCUGAGGGUGACAAGUGAUCUAACGAGGUGGGAUCCGGAAAACCUUCCUCCAGGUGGGAUGGCCAUUGUCUUCACGAGGCUUGGGAAUGAUGGGCACUGACUCCUGCUGCAGCUCCUCUCGAAACUAUAGGGACUGAUGUAUUGCCAGCCGACAUGUAGUUCAUAUUUGCAGCAGAAUUUAUAACGUAGUCAAUCGCCUGCAUAGCGGAAUUGAAUUUCAUAAACUCCACAAUAGGCCUGAGAACCUAGAAAGCAGCACCGACUUCAACUCCAGCGAAACCAACCUCUGUGAUUGCAGUAUCAACAACCCUCUCAGGUCCAUGCUUCUGCCCAAAAAAAAAAAAAAAAAAAAAAACCUCGUUAUUCUCCGACCACCUCACCCAUUAGAAAGACUCUUAGGAUCUGCAGAUAUUUCAUCGUCAAAUGCAGUAUUCAGAGCCUCUCUCACAGUCUCCCUUUCGCUGCGGUGGCAUAACUAUGUUACGGCGUUUCUGCAUCACAACUUUUCCGCAGCCUUUUUCUCAACAUCACAGCAUCGAAGCCUUUGGCAGUGGCUUUUCCUAUUAGAAUCAACAACAUCAUGCCCUCUCGAACUCGAACUUGGUCCCACCGUCAGAUAAAGCUCACUAAUUCUAUCUCUCUCUCUCGAACGGGUAUCCUUAGAAACAGAGUCCAGCUUGGUCAUUCCAUCAAGCACCUUCCUUGCAAACUCGACUGGAUUUUUCUCCGACCAAUCUUUUUUUUUUCGCAUCUCUCUCUGGCUCUGGAUUCCCCUGAUUCAUCUCCAGCAAUUCAGAUAAUCCCCACAGUAAACCUCACCAUUAGAUUCCACAUUCGAGUUGCGGCCACUCUGAUUCAAGUCCUUGCUUUCCUGUCCUUGCCCAUGUCUGGACCAGAUCUAUCUGUUGCCGGGCCAUCUCGGGCUUACGCAGCCAUUGCCGCUGAACCAUCAUCAGGACCAUUCCAUGUCUGAUUGAACUUCCGAGUCAAAUUCCAAUUCACUCCAGAAUACGUCCCGUCGACUCUUGCUUCGUUCUGCUCGCUCCCACUUCAUUGCCGCCUUUCGGAAUUCCAUUAUUCCGCCCAUCUAUGCCGCGCGGAAAGGGGGACGCGGGGUGGUGUUCGCUGUUUACAAGAGCCUUUUAUCCGAUUGCCAAGGCUGAGGUCGGAUGGAUCAUCAUCAUCAUCAUCAUCAUCUGGAUAGGAUCCGCCGAUUCGAAGGAUGAGAUUCUUUGGGUUUCGCUCUCGGCACCUCCACCGGUCCGGCGUCGCUCCUUCAACCGAAGCAGCCGAGGCCAAUCUGAGUCUGUCGUCAUCCGAGACGAUAUGCCGAGCGUGAAGAUUGGCAGCGGCGAGCACGAAGAGAAAAACAACGGAGAAUAAAAAGAAAAAAAAAAAAAGAGGCGGGAAGCGAAGGUAGGGGGUGGGAUGGAGAUGAUUUGGAUUUUGUGUGGGAAAAAGGGGCAAACGGGUGAAGCCAGUGGUUGUUCUUGGGAUGAAAAGGGAAUUGAAUUUGAAAUAAAAGAGAAUAAAAAGGAAAAAUGGACCCACCGUCGUUUCCGAAAAAAGCCGGCAAAAAAACUCCAAAUUAUAUUUAUUUUUGUUGCAUUUAUUUUUCUUUUUGUUACGCAAAAGCUCAAAAUGAUGUAUAUGGCAUAUUUACUCUAGUUCUUAUGACGUCAAAAAUCCUUAAUUUGUAAUUAUAUGAUAUAUUUAUCUUAUGUCAAGAUUUCGUCUUAUGAAUUUUAUAUUUUUAUUUUUUUGGUCGAAGUUGUUCUUAUUUCAUUUGACGUCAACACCGUUUACAUUUCUUCGUUCAUUUAGGUGGUUUUUUUUUUUAACGAUACUCAUUAACGGAGGAUAAAUGUAUUAUAUAAAUAUAGUUUGGAAUCUUGGUGGCAAAAUUUUUUUUUUAUUAAGAUGGAUGUGUCGCAGUGAGCAUAUUUUAGGAUUUUUAGUGGUUUUCCGCCUCUUUUUUUUCUCAACUUCAUCAAUAAUCAAUCACAACAAAAACGAGAAUGCAUCGAUCUCUCUCUGCUUGUCCCCUAUCGGUCAUUGCCGAGCUUCCAUCACCCCGUCCCUCCUACAUGUCCUUGGAGGUGAUUAUGUCGGUUGUUCUUGUCCCCUUUAUUGUUAGGAAGACACUUUUGAUUGUUUGUAUAAUGAAUUUGCAGCUUAAAAUUCGCUUUCAUAAAUUAUAAGAGUAUGCUUCAUGUGACUUGUUCUAGCUUGAAUGAAUAGUAUUUUAAUAUCACUUGUAAAAGGAAAAUUCCACUUUUCUUUCUCGUAAUUUCAAUUCCGAAGAAAUAUAUUUAAUUUCCACAGGUUUACUGGCUUGAGAUUUCUAUUUAAAUUUCCUAUUAUUGGAAAAUUAACCCAUUGUCAUUUCCGAUUAAUGGCGUAGGACGACUAAUGGCGUCAGAAAUGAUGGGAUUCUGAUUUUAAGUGAUCUUCGGCUGGGAAUGGGUUGUGGCCUUAUUAGCAAAUAGGGUGGGCUAGAGGAACUCCAGCCAACCAAGCUUGAUGCACUUACGACGAAAUUUCAUCUAGGGAAAGCUAAGUGAGUUGGGCCACGAACCAGAAGAGGCCCCCUUUUUUAACACCCAUCAUUUUCUAAGAGUUCUUAUUUUUUAAUUAGUUUAUCAUUUACUUUUUUAUCCAUUCUUUUUAACUGCCUUUUGUUUUUUUUUGCUAUUUUCCAUUUUUGUAAUUUUACAAGGACGGACUCUUGAAUUGUUGAUAAAAAUUCGUAGACAACAUAUGUGAUAACACUAAAGUUAAAGCCAUGGAAAACUCAGUGCUAUUGUAAAUUAGUUGUUUAACAAAUGUAUUAUGCAUUGAUUAACACAUUCCUUGUAAAUAUUUUCCACAAAACCAAAAAUAAUAAUAAGGAUAAAAAGAAAAAGCCCUUCCGCUCCUUAAAAUUAGUCAAAUUUAAUAGUAUAGAAAUCAAAAUUACAUUCUAUAUUGGCAUUACCGAAAUUUUUUUGUUAAAUUGUUACUCCCCCAUCUUCUUGCAAACUCAUCUUUAGCUCUGAUACCACGAAGUAGUUUGACACUAAAUAGUAACUAACGUAUGAAACUCCUUAAACAUUAAUGGUUAGAUUACUUACUUCCACGAAAACUAGGACAAAAAUUGGGCAUGGGGAUGAGAGAGAGUGCGUAGUGAAAGCUUGUUUAAGUGGAGUCUGAUCAUUAUUUUCCUCUUUAGUUGCAGUAAAACUUAGCACUCGUGGACAUAUAUUAAGAUCAGUUAGUGCAGAAGCCAACUCAAUGAUCGCCAAGUUAAACUAGAAAGUGCUUAACCAAAAAUUGAAAGGCAAAAGCAUCACAUGAUUCAUUCUAAAGCAAGCUCCAAAAGUGAUUGCAUCUCUUAAUAUUUCUAAAUAUAUAGAAUUUACAUAUUGAGAAAUGAUGAUGAAAAUGUUGUAGCUAGAAGCCCAAAACAAGGCAAUGAGAUACAAGCUGGUCAAAAGCCAUAACUAUAAAUCCUACUAGAUUUCAUUUCCACUAUGGAUACAAUAUAUUCCUUGGUGGGUAGCAUAAUAAUUCAAGAGUGACAGAUUAUGCAUCGAAUCGAAUAAAAUAAUCCAACCCUAGACAUAAGACUAGGAAGCACUAUGGUUCGCUUGUGAAGCCACCGGAACGAGCUACAAAACAAUUCUCAUUCAACUGAUCCGAUCUAAUACUUUGGUUUUGCAGCAAUCCUAAUGUCGAAUCUUGCGGCAACAUCAUCACCAUUGAAUCUAGCAUCAAUCGAAAGUGAAUCGAAAAAUGUCAAAUUCCAAGACCUCAAUGUUGCAUCAAAAGCGACUUAUGAAAAUUGAUGGGAAGAAAAGAAGGGGGGAGGAGCCAUGUGGUGAAAAGAGGAGGAACGGCCUACUGUUGGGACUACGGUGGCAUUGCCGAAGUGGCCCCCAAUCCUCGGAUACAUCAUAGAUCGGACUUACCAACAGCGGUGAUAGUGGUGUCGAGGGCAGUAGCAAUGACCUUGGUGUGGGAGGGAGGAGAGGAAAAAAUGGAGGGGCUUCCAAGUAGUGUGACCGGAGGGACCAGAAAAUGUGAAAUCAAAAGGGAAAACCUAAUCCCAAUUGAUUUGAGAAUUUCAGUUGCACCUAUGUAUUGUCUUACCUUCCAGUCUAAUACAUGAAUACUACCAAAAUUAUAAAUUUUGGACAAAAUUUCCCUUAUUUAAGUCGUCGGAAAACAUCAGUUGGUGGCUAGCACAUAAGCUUAGACCCUAAUUUGAGGCUAGUUUGGCCAUUUUAUGUGUGAUGACCCAAACCCGGGGCAGUAUGGAGAGAUGGACUGAGAUCGCCUUAGCAGUACACGAGUGAGGUCAAGGACAUGUCUCCAGUCCCACAUCACUUAUGGGAGAGUCUUAGGCUAGUUUAUAAAGGCUUGGGUCCCUUUAAUCUGUAUAACGCGUUUUAAAGCCGUGAGGACUCAGUGUCCAAAGCGAACAAUAUUAUACGGUGGGGCUCGGGUCAUUACAAAUGGUAUCAGAGCCGACUCCCAACUCCGUGUGGGGGCCACAGCAAGGACGUUGUGCCUUAAGGGGGGGAUAAUGUGACGACCCAGGCCUAAGGCAGUACGGAGAGAUGGACUGAGAUCGCCUUGGCAGUACGUGAGUGGGGCCAAGGGCAUGUCUCCUGUCCCACAUUGCUUAGGGGGGGGGAGUCCUAGGCUAGUUUAUAAAGGCUUGACCCUUUAAUCUGUAUAACGUGUUUUAAAGCCGUGAGGACUCAAUGUCCAAAGCGGACAAUGUUAUACAAUGGGGCUCGGAUCGUUACAUUAUAGAGCAAAAUUGACACUUUUCUUUUUCUCCAUAAAGGAAGCUUGCUAGAUGAAAAUGGAGAAGUUAGACCUGAAAGAUUUGCAGGAAGACUUCUCAGCAACUUUGACUUAGUAAAACUUUUGGACUAUUAUUACAAGAAAAUUUAUCGGAUGAUGAUUAUUGUAUCUUUUGUUAUUUCAAUUUUGAAGAGCUUGAAUGCUUUAGGAUCUUAUUUCUCUUGAAGUCUUCUUCUUUACAGGCAUAAUUGUCUGCAAAGAGCAUUCAUACGACACGCAUGGCAAAGCAAACAUCUAUUAAUGGUUAGUCAAUCAAACAAUUUUUUUACACCAACAUCUACUAAGGCUUCGUCCAUUUCGUAAAAAAUAUUACGUUUUUGGAAAAUAUUUUCUAGGAAAUCAUUUUCUAAGAAAAUGAUAAUAUUUUUCAGUGUUUGCUUGAAACUCAAAAAUGAAUUAGAAAAUAUUUUCCACCGUUUGGUUUGGAAAAUUCAAUUUGAUUUCCCUUUGUGCACUCAUUUUAACAAAUUUUUUAUCUUUUAAAAAAUCAAAUUUUCAAUUUUUUUCUUCUUACAUCUUAUUAUAUUUUUUCCUUGUAUUUUUCUUUUCUUUUCCUCCUCCUUCUUCUUUAGUUGAUCAUCAUGGUCACAGUGACAGCCGAAAAGCUUGAGGCCUUGAGCCUCACCAGAUCGACAAGCCGACGAGCCAAAGGCUCACACUCACUAACUUGGAGAGGCUUGAGCUCAAGGCCUUAGGCCUUGCUAGAUCGGUGAGCGAACUUGCUGCUCAGCAAAGGCUUGCUUGAUUGGUGAGCGAUGAGCAUAGCUUGCCAAUCUGGCGAGCCCUAAGCUCGCCUAUGGUUGGUUGCCGACAACCGGCCUAGACACAAGGAAAAAAAUAAAAAUAAAAAUUCAAUUUAAAAAAUAAAAAAAUAAAAAAAGAAAGAAAGGAAGGAUAAUGAGGGUAUGAGAUAAGAGAGAACAAGUGAGGAAAAUAUUUUCCUAAACUUAAAAAGUGAAAAACAUUUUCCUCUAUUUUAAAAGACUUUUUUUCAUUGAUAAAAAUAUUUUCACCGUCUAGUUCAUUCUUAUGAAACGAACGCUAAAAAAUUUGGAAAAUAUUUUUCUGAAAGUUAUUUUUCGUGAAAUGAACUAAGCUUAAAUUUCCACUGUGGAAAUUGGAUUUCUAGUCACCCCCGUUGCCCUCGACCAUGCUGCCAAAUGAUAUGAUAUCACAAGAAAGUCCUCCAACGUGGAAGGAGCAGCUUUACUAUUUCUAUUAUUAUAGAAAUGUGAAGUAGUCUCUCUGUAGAUUGAGCCACUCUGAGUGGGUUUUUCAUGGUCUUUCACUUCCAAGACCUCUCAUUACUUUUUCAAAAUGGUGAUACCGCAUCUUAUAUGAAUUGUCUGGUAAGAUCUUGAGCUUCAAUCAUCACCGAUGUACCUAGCGCUCAAUUAUGGUUGCACUUACAAUACCAUGACCGCUUUAGUUUUUGAUGUGCAUUUGUUGGAGAUUAUACUUCAUCUAUAUUGUGUUCAUAUAUAAUCCAAUAGAAUACUAAAAUGAUACUCAUUAUUAAAUGUAUUAGAAAAUGAUGUUAGCUAUUAAUUUCUUUCAUCCUCAAGCACUUUAAAACAGAUAAAUUUAUCCUUGGAUUUCUUCAACUUCAAAUCAUUACCGUCUUGCUCUUUGCCCUCCAAUUUUAUCUUUGGAUUUCUCAUUUCACUUAUAUAAUUUCAUAGCUCGAUCAUUCAAACAUGUAAAUGUGCAGAGUAUUUCAGAUGGAUUCAUUAAGCAACAUAUUCAAGAGAAGCAAAAAGUAACUAUGUGCUUAUCACUACUUGUGACUCGGUGCCUCCAUGUAACUAUGUCCUUUUUCUUCUCCACAUUUAGUGUUGAAAAUCCACAAAGACACUACCUUAGAUCUCCAUGAUUUGUAUUUCCAGAGUCCCUAUGCUAAUCUGCCAUCAUAAGAUACAUGUAUACAAAAACAAAUGCAGCAAAUGGCCUAUCAUCUACAAAGAAGUUGCCUAGGAGUGAGAUUUUGGAGCUCACCAAUUUCCUACCCCCUCGUUAGAACAGAAUGAACAGCACAUAAUAUUGAUAUUAAUAACCAUGAAGCAAAGGAGACCCAAGAUAAUUAAUUCAACCCCUAGAACAGUAGAGAAUGUGGUUAACAAAUCAAAUUUGACAAGAUGAAUCAUCGACUAAUUACACUCGUUACCAAAUGGGACAAUUUAGAGAAUAGCGUUUAAGCUAUGCAAUGAUAGGUCAUCCAUCAAAGUUUAUGAGGGCAAAGAGUCAUUAAAUAGCAAAGUUAUUACUACAUCGGAACAAGAGAGGCUUGUCCAAAAUUUGCGAAUGAUUGCUUACCCUUUCAAAUAAGAAGGUACGAAGAGGACAGAGGAGACGUGAAGCUUUUUGAGGCUAAUACCAAAUAUUACAAGCCGAUGAAAUUAGUGUAACAACAAUCGUCCCAUCCUGCACCAACGUUAUUAUAUUGAGCAUGUGUCAUUGAAUUAUCUCAUUUUUAUGUGCUCAUGUUGAUACCAUCAUAAGAUCAAAGUGAAAAGAAGUUUGAAUGCAUUAUCGUCAUGGAGUGGAUAGUUUGCGUGGAAAUUUACUCAAAGCAACGUAAAUAACACAUUGCAUUAAGAAAUUAGUGACUGCCAAUCUGAAAAAAGCAGAGGAUGAGGAAGCACUUUGGUUGGAGGAACUUACUAGUGAUGUUAUACAGUUCAUUUCGCCAACUCUCAUUUCCCAUGCCACGAACGAUUCUCGUGUCUGAUAGAUCCUGAGGGUGAUGAGUGAUCUAACGAGGCCAGAUCCUGUAAAGAUUCCCCCAGGUUGGAUGGCGACAUCUUCACUCAGCCUGAGAGUGAUGGGUGGCAACUCCUCUUGUAGCUUCUUUUGAAACUAUAGGGAUGACAUAUCGCCCGCUAACAUGAGUCCAUCUUUGCAGGAGAAUUUGUAAAGUAGUCAAACAACUGCACAAUGAAGUACACUCCACGACAAGCAUGAGACCAUAGAAAGCAAUGUUAAUUUCAACUCCACAAUAGGCCUAAGACUAUAGAAUUGAGGACUUGAUUACACUAAUUAAUCAGAUGGUGCCAUUUUGGUGUCUAAUGUUGUUCAUUUUACAAAAAGAUAUUUAUCAAGCAAUUUGAAUUGAUUUUAGAUCUAUCCCUAAUAUGUGAUUAUGAGGGUGCGCAAUUAUUAUAAUUGCAACUAGCAACCAAGGACAUCGAAUAAAUUGCAUGACAAAAUGAGCAUUUAACACUAAUAGAUAAGAAAGAUAUCAUUCCUAACUAGUCUAGGCGUAAACGACAAUAUAUAUUGAAAAGUGCGUAAUCAAGUGAUAAUUCUUGUCAAAAAAGAAAACAUUGAAAUCCUAUGGCAAAGCCCAAAGACUUUGUUUAAAUAUUGAGCAUGAUUUUUUUAUCAAUGAUUUUCCACAAUUUUAAGAGAAGACUUCCCAAAAGACUAUUUUAAAGCUUUUUUCAAGGAAUUCUAUUUUUCAAAAGCUUUUUCUAAUUUUUCAGAAAAUUUAAAAUUUUUAAUUCUUCUAAUUUAUAACUUUUUUUAUAUUUUCGAAUCUUUAAUAAAACUAAUUUUUAUUCUAAAAUGGGGACUCUGGCUGGGCCCCCAAGGCCCUGUCAAAAGCAGGCUGCCGUCUGAUACCUCGUGGGUUUGGCAAACCAGGCUUUCAACAAGCUCAAUUUCAAACUAAUCUAAGCCCACCUUUUGAAAUAAUUAUACGGGAGAAUUACCAAAAAAGUCCUAAACCUAUUGUAAUUGUGCCAAUUCAGUCCUAAACUUUUUUUUUUAGCCAAUUUAGUCCUAAACCUUUUACAGCUGUGUCAAUUCAGUCCAUCCGGCCAAAAUUGGCCGGCCGGCGCUGACGUGGCAUUUUUAAAUAUUUUUUUUUAUUUUUUUUCGAAUUUUUAAUAUUUUUUUGGAAUUUUUUAAUUCUUUUUUUUCUUUUUUUUUUCCAUAAUCUUCUUCACCUCUCCGGCCGGCCGGCGCCGGCCGGAGGCGAGGGCCGGCGAGGCUCGCCCCCCGCCGGCCGGAGGCAAGGGCCGGCGAGGGCGAGGCCCCGCCAAAUCUGGCGAGGUCAGCCUCGCCAGCCAAUGGCGAGGCUCGCCCCCCGCCGGCCGGAGGCAAGGGCCGGCGAGGGCGAGGCCCCGCCAGAUCUGGCGAGCUCAGCCUCGCCGGUCGUUGGCGAGGGCGAGGCCCCGCCAGAUCUGGCGAGCUCAGCCUCGCCGGCCACUGGCGAGGGCAAGGCCCCACCAGAUCCGGCGAGCUCGGCCCUCGCCAAGGCUGGGGCGAAUACGGGGAGGGAGAGAGAGACCUGGAAGAGAAUAAGCGGCGGAUCGGGGGAGGCGGUCGACACUGCGGGGAGAGGGAAUCGGGGGGAGGCGAACCGACUUGAGGAGACGACCGGACGAAACUCGCGCUCCGCGACGAAGAAGACGAGUCCCUCCGCCGAAUUCCCCCCGAUUCGCCCCACCAGAACGAACGGCUCGGCUUGAUUCCGACCGCCGCGAAGCUCUUAGAUUCCGUCAGCCGAACCUCCGCGUCAAUGGCGGCGUCCGCUUGCAACCGAGCGAUGCAGCGAGCUUCGACGUCCCUCGGACCGGCCCUCAAAUCGGGCGUCCGAUCGUCUCCUCAGCUCGGCUUCGCCUCCCCCCGAUUCCCUCUCCCCGCCCGGUCGACCGCCUCCCCGCCUCCGCCCCAGCCUUGGCGAGGGCCGAGCUCGCCGAAUCUGGCGAGGCCUCACCCUCGCCAGCGGCCGGCGAGGCUGACCUCGCCAGAUCUGGCGGGGCCUCGCCCUCGCCAGCCCUUGCCUCCGGCCGGCGGGGGCGAGCCUCGCCAUUGGCCGGCAAGGCUGACCUCGCCGGCCCUCGCCUCCGGCCGGCGCCGGCCGGCCAGGAGGCGAAGAAGAUGAUGGAAAAAAUAAAAAAGAAAAAAAAAGAAUUAAAAAAUUCCAAAAAAAAAUUAAAAAUUCGAAAAAAAAUUUAAAAAAAAUUUAAAAAUGUCACGUCAGCGUUCGCCGGUCCACGUCAGCGCCGGCCGGCCAAUUUUGGCCGGAUGGACUGAAUUGACACAACUGUAAAAGGUUUAGGACUAAAUUGGCCAAAAAAAAAAGUUUAGGACUGAAUUGGCACAAUUGCAAUAGGUUUAGGACUUUUUUGGUAAUUCUCCCAUAAUUAUACUAAGCCCUUCGACUAAAUACCAAAACCAGCCCACAUUUGCCAAGCUUCAACUUGAGUCCAACGCCCACUAAUCCCAUCGCCUAAUAGGUCAGCCCAAAAUCUCUGAUUUCACUUCCUCAUUCAUUCUGCCCUCCACGCCCCUCUCCACUGUUCCUCUCUCUUACGUUGUUCAUGUCCUCAUCUUCCGGCUCGAAGACGGCGACAAGCGGGCAAGCUUGUGACAAAUCGGGCUAUAUGGUAUGCUGCCUUGGUAUCUUCGAGCCACAAUCCUCGGGCAAGGGAGGAUUGAACCGAAAAAGAAACUCAUUGGCGACACAGAGAUUUGGGAGCGAAAGACGGUGUGCUCGAGCGCAUCAACCAGAGGUUGUCGGAGAGGGUUCGAGUGCGGCAGAGCUUCUGGAGAACUCCUUCUCGCUGUCGAGUUUCACUCUCCUCCUCAACUCUCGCUCGGAUCUCCCACUGUUCUCCGAACCUUCCUCGUUCGAUUCUUCCGGCCGUGUGAGAGAGGAGCGCACUUGACUAGCCCCACCUCCAGUCCUUCACCACCGCGACGUCACCUCCUCCACCACCGGAACGCUACCACCACCAAAGAUGUCGAGAGCACAGUCGGUUCUCUCUCUCUCUCUCUCUCUCUCUCUCUCUCUCUCUCUCUCUCUCUCUCUCUCUCUCUCCAAGAACCAGCCUCCCUCUAGCUCACCCUCUCUCAAGCUCGUCUCCUUCUUGAGCAAUGCUCGCCGUCUAUGGUUUUCAGCCAAACCCCUCAAGAAACAGCCCUCGCCCUUUCUCUCCAUCUGUUUUCAGCCGAUCAAGAAGCCCUCUCAAGCUCACUCCCUCUUUCUCUCCUGAUCUCACUCACCGGAUCUCUCUCUGUCUCUUCUCUCCUCUCCCCCGAUUCUCUCCCGAGCUCGAGGAAAUAUCUAGUGGUUUGCUCUCACCACGUCAUCAACUAAUGUGGCGAGCAUUGUUUUGCUUCCAUCCAAUUACAGCUUGGAACAUAUUUGCUAAUAUGGAAUUUGAUAUGGCUAGUAGAAUAUCUAGAGGGGGUGAAUAGCUAUGAAAACAGAUUUUUGCAAAAUGCAGUAAAAAUGCUAUACUUUUAAACUGAGUCUGAUUGACUGUAGACUUUGCAUAAGGGUUCUGAAUUUAACAACUAUUAAGUAUAUCGCAAUAAAUAAAGUAAAGGAGUUUCCACUAAGUCUGAUUGACUGUAGACUUUGCAUAAGGGUUCUAAAUUUAACAACUAUUAAGUAUAUCGCAAUAAAUAAAGUAAAGGAGUUUAGGGAAGAGAAAAAUAAACACAAGAUUUAUAUUGAUUCGGCUUAGAUCAAGUCUACGUCCACUCUCCCACGCUGACAGCCUUCUGGCUGGUUUCCACUAUGAAUCGAAAGAGAAUGUUACAACCCUAUGAUCUCGACUUUUCAAUGAAGUGAUUCUACUACUCUCACAAAAUCACUCUCUAGAGUUUCUCUCUUUCGAAUACAAUUUUAAGCACUAAAUAAUGAGACAAGUGAUUUGGAAGCUUUAGACUUUGGAAUUUUUCUUUCACGCCCUCCUCGAAUGACUUGAUGAACCUCCUUAAAUACUCCUCUAUGCCUUCUCAACCGUUGACACUUUCCAGAGAAAUUCUUUCAAUCAACCUAUUGGAUAGAAUCAAUCAAGGAGAUCUCAAGCCAUUUGAAGAUUGAGAUGAAAGCUCGUCAAUCAUAUUCGCUCAUACAAGCAAGAUCAUGAUUUCCAUAAGUAGAUUCUUUCCAAAUAAGCUUGCCUUCCAAAAUGAUGUGCUUCUUCGAAAUUGAUUCCCAUUAAGAUUAAAUAGCAUUGUUUCAUGUAAUUUUAGUUCAUAUCACACCAUCACCCUUACAUAUAAGAUAAUCAGUCAUGAUUAGACUGACAUGUGAAACAAAUGAGACAAAACUUGGCCGAGAGAACUUGAUUACACUAUUCCUCAAAGAGUUAAGAUUAAAUUGGUUCAAUUGAAAUGUUUAAAACUCGAUUACAUUCCGUAUAAUAUGUUUAAUACCGCUUGUGCAAUUUUCUCAGCAUACCGAAACACUAGUACCUCAAAUUUGAUGAAAAUAGAAGAUUCUUGUAUAUGUCUUCAUAUUGAUCAUGACACAAUCUUAACCUCGUAGAUUUCAUAAUAUCUCAAAUAAAUUGAUAAUUUGCUCUUGUCAAUUUUGAUCGUCUAAUUUGAUGUCCUCCCUUGAUCGUGAAACUCUAUUUCCACACGUGAAAAACUCUAUGCUAUUAAAGUAAUUAGAUAAAGUGAUGUUUUGAAGAUAUUUGGGUUUCAACAUUUAUCAUAUGGAUCUCAAGUGAAGAUCACAUAAUAGAAAGUGUGAGAUCAUUUGGGCUUAUGAGGAUAGGGUUCAUGCAAUUAAAAAACCAUUUCGAGUCUGCAAAAUUUGGCUCCGAUGGCAAUAAGGAACAUCCUUCACUCAUCUGUCAAGAUCAAUAUGAUCUUUUCUAUUUUCUUAUUUUUACAAUUGUUUAAGUUGAAAUAGCUUAUCUUUUUUCAUAUUAUCUAUUUUUUCUCAUUGUCUGUGUUUAUAUUUUGAUUUUUUGUAUUUAUACAUUGCUUUUUCAAAUAUGCAUGUGGGCAGAUAAUUCUCUUUGCAUUAUUCAUGGAAUCUAUUAAGAAAAAUAAUUGAAUUGCAACUCUUAGGCAUUUAAACAAAUCAUGCAUGAUGGAGCCGAAGAUCCAUCACAUCUUGUCAAAAAGUUGAGGACUGAAUUGUAUUUACCUUAUUCUCUACCAAGUCUGAACUAUAAUCAUGAGAGUUUGGUAGUGUCUCUUGUACUCUUAUAAGCCAUGUUUUUUUUUUCUCAUAUUGUCUUUUGACUAGUUUUAGUUAAAUCGCAUCUUCUACAAACGGCAGGUACUUAAAAAUAUGAGACCCUAUCAACAAUGAGCAUUUUAUGUCACGUGAUUUGAUGAUGGCAUUCAGUUCCCUUGCUCUAUACUUUCGUUUUCUAUGGCAUCAUUGUUAAAGUUAUUAUUUCCAAGAAGGCUACAAUGCAUAAUUUCCCCAGUCCAAGAUUGAACCAUGUAUACAAAAGUGGGGUCCAUAUGUACUAUUUUGUCUUAUAGAGCUCUAUCGUUGGAGAAUAUCUUUGCAUGUUGCUUAGGCCCAGAAGAAGCAAUUAUUUAACUUGACAUUAAAAGUCAAGAUAAUACAUGAAAAGUCAAUACUUAUUUUCAACAUAUGGUAUUAAUAAGAAGAACAUUAUUCAAAAUUGCUAUUAAUAUAUAAUCUCUACAUUGGCAUGUCGUCGAGAUCACCGAUCCCUUUAAUAUCAUCCUGAUGGCACAGUAGAGACAUGAAGCGGGAGGAUUCUGCAGUAGAUGAUUUGCAUCUCAUGUAUUAAAAAGGGAUUGAAAGAAUUAAAAUAUAUACACACACAUACACAAUGUACAGGCACAAUUGACCGAGAAAAAAGAGUUCAAAGACCUACCGACAAUUUUUGCAAAAAUAUUCAAUUACUACUAUGCCUAAAUUCCUUAUUAAUUAUCAAAUCCUACUCCAAAUCUAGUUUGAGCCAUCAUUUAUUUUUUUGGAAAAUGUAAUGAACGAAAACCGUUUCUUUUAUUUCACAUGUUGCCCUAUUAAUUCGUGCAUGAUGCGUUGAGUCUGCAAAUUACCUCUACUUUGUGGGCCAAUGCCAACACAUGUCCCUUCAAGCUCCAUUGAUGUGCCAUCAAGUUCCUAUUAGUCUUCGCCGAAGAAGAUGUGUUUGUUCGAUACUCCUCAAAAGGUGCGACCAUCCAAGUGCAUCGAGUCCAUUCAAAAGUUCAAUAAUAUGAUUCUAGUGGAUGCAUCAGGAUAGACUAUUAAAGUGCGCGAAAUGGAACAACUCGUCUAUCAAUUUGAAAGAGGAAAGGACGAAAGUUUUGAUAGCUCAAUGAAUACUUCGAGUGAAUAGAAACACCUCACUAGGGGUGCUGUGUAAGGCAUCUUGUCUUGCACAAUGCCUCAUAGGCGUGCAUUAUUGAGUCCACUUUGCAUUGUUGGUGCGAGACUUGCUCUCUCUUUCUCAAAAGAAAAGUCAAAGGAAAUUAUCAAUUGAAUCUAGUGUUCGAAAAUAAUAGAUAUAAAUACAUUAAAAUCAUAUCAAUAAGUAAUUUUUGAAAGAGCAAGAAUAGAGAGGUAUUAAAAAUAUGGCAAUUUUAUGAUAGUUAUUUCACAUUCUAAUUUAAUAAUUAUGAUGGGCAUAAAAAUCAGAUAACUUCAAAUUUAUUUUGUGAAUUGAGUUUUUUUUUUCACUUAAAUGGAUGCCUAGAGGGGCUUUCUUUUAAGAAAUCUGCAAAGAUAAUACAUGAAAAGUCAAGACUUACUAAUGGUUAAUAUUAGUUAGACAUAAGGAUCUAAGUUAGCCAAAGUCUAAUGUGUCAAUAAGGAGAACAUUAUCAAAAACUGCUAAUAGAUAUAUAAUCUCUAUAAUGGAAAAUCAUCAAGAUCACUCAUCUUUUGAACUCUAAAAGGUACAUUACAUACCUCAUGCAACAUGAUUAAUUGAAGUGAAGAGAGAAGUUUGUUCAUUUGGGCCUCAUCAAGAGAGUUGUCAGUUUUAGCUUAAUAAUUGGCAACUCUUUUGCUUAAUGAAUCGUUGCCUCAAGAGGGGUGAAGUAGGGAAGUAAUGUUUGUCAACUGUAAAAGGAAAGAGGCCAGACAAGUGAGGGCACCUGGUCAGUUCAUGCAUUUACGAAAACUUAUAUGUUUGUCCAAUAGUGAUGGACGAAAGGACGCAAAGGUAGACAUCGGCGAUGGUGACUAGUCAAGGAAAUGAAUAGUAAAAUGCAGAAAUCCAUCUAAGCUCUUGCAACCACUCUCUAUUACUCUCUCUCCCUCUCCCACAACUUACCCUAAUUAAAGCAAUCUUUCAUAUAUUUGGAUGGUUGUCCAUGAGUGUUAGGGAAAUCCCUUAUGAUGUUUUGAAUAUAACAAAAUAAAUCAAAGGCUACUAACAUGUUUGAUGGUUGAGUAAUAGACCAUGCAGAUGUUAGAACAUGUAGAGGAUAUUAUCAAAGUCAGAAGACGGCCAGAAGACUGAACGUAACAUAUGUCCAGAGUAUAUUUUGAAGAUUUCCAAACUUCUGUGUCAAAGUUUGAAGACUGCUAAACUCAAGACUCAAAGUCUGAAUAUUGCCAGACUCAAGACUCAAAGUCUGAAGACUGCAAGACUUUAAUGUCAAAGUCUGUUCUACAUCAGAAAUCUGCUCACUCUGACAAAUUCCAGACUGAACAUGAAUGAUGAACCAGAAGACAAACUCCAUGCCGAAGCUGAACUGGGUACAGACCUUAAAGCUAAAUCUUUUCAGAAGCAGAAUAUGUUCAGACACAGAUUGUAAAGUCUACAGACUCAGAUUGUAAAGUCUAUUGCUCUCAGACUUUACAUACAGAUUCGAUGAAACGUAACUCAAGCCCAAUCAUAUAACGGCUAGUGAUCUGGUUUGGAUUCCACAUCAAGAUUGAUUUGAUUGAUUCAAUCUAAUUGAUUGACGAUUGGAUCUUGAAAACAAGAACUUUCUAUACGAAGAAUCUUUACUUAUGGAAACCAAGAUUUCGUUUGUAUGGGCGAUCGAAAUCAAUUUGGGAUUCUAUCUUUGUCACUCAACGGCUACCAAAUCUUCUAGAUACAGAGCUGUCCAAUGGGUAUAUUAGAAGACGAUUCUCCGGGAUGUUGUCCAACGGCUAGUUUGGAAGUGGAGGAGUAUUUAAGGAGAUGAAGGACCGAUGAGCAAGUAAGAGACGAAGCGUAGAAUUUAUAAUUCCAAAGUCUGAGCGAUCUUCACUUGUCUCUUGUGAGCUUAAACAUUUGUGAUCGUGAGAGAAAUACCAAAAGAGUGACUUAGUGAGAUAGUGUGAUCUACUAAGUGUUUGCACUCGAAGUUGUAAUCUCUUAUUGAUUGCAUAGUGGAAUCCAGCCAAGAAGGCUGUUAGCGUGGGAGAGUGGACGUAGGCUUGGAUUAAGCCGAAGCACUAUAAAUAUUGUGUUCUUAUUCUCUUCCCUAACUCCUUUGUUUGAAGUUUAUUUUAUUCCGCAUAUAUUUGCCAAGAGUUAUUUUAAACACCUAUUCACCCCCCUCUAGGUGUUCAUACUAGCACUCUCAAUGAGCAGUGAAAGAAGGAGGUGGAGACUUGGACAUUAGUGAUGGGAAUUGAUCAAGGAACAGUAAAUUGUAAAAAAAAAAUCAUCCAUUAUGUAUAUAUACUUACAUUUUAUGAGUCAUCUAUAUCUAUCACUGGGUUGUUUAUAAGAUAUAUAUCGUUCGUCUUGAUGGAGGCAAUCGACAUAUAGAGGCCCUCUUGUAUUUUUUUUUUCUUUUGGUCAGUGAUGACAUGGGGGCAAUCUACUUACCACUCAACUUCCCAAGUGGAUCUCCAUCCAUACCCUAUCUCCUCUUUCUUCCUUGGGUUUUUGAGUCAUUCUUAAAUUUCUAAAUCAUCAAAUAGCUAGUAUUAGAACUCAGCCGUUUAUUGCAAAAUGUUGCUAUUUUUCGACGCUCCUUGUCCUUAAAAAAAAUAAAAGUGAAAGAAAAAUUAGGGUUAUAAAUUAUCAAAAGCCACAUAGCUUUAUUUAUCAAUAAGUGUAUAUUUUUGUAAAAUUUUAAAACUAAUUUGUGAUAAUUGCAAUAUUUGAAAAUAAAUCUUAAAAGUAAAAUACCCGAAAUAGACCCAAGCAUUUGAAAGAAAAGUGGAAAACUCCAAUUGGAAUGACAGAGCACUGUAAGUGGUGACUCAAAUUGUUUCCCAUAUUAAUGCUAUCCCGUAAAAAGUAGCAUUGUUCAAAAAAGUAAACUGGUUUAGAUGUUUAAUUUACUUAGAAGUUUUGAUCUAAAAUGUUAGUGACAACUUCAAUCGUUUCCCAUUAAUUGUGUCCCAUAAAGAGUAGUAUUAUUCUAAAAAGUAAACUAGUUUAAAAUGUUUAAUUUACUUAGAAGUUUUGCUCUAACAGUUCUAUAUGAAGUUCCGUCUAAUAUAACAAUUGCAAUUGACAUUCUAGUCUAAUAAUUUGCUUGGUUAUAAUUUUACUUCUAUCACAAAAAAUUCAAACUGAUAUACUUAUGACAAAUUUACCCUAAAUGAAAAACUUCAAAAUAAUACACCUGUAAUAAAUUUACUCUCAAUUAGUUUAUUUUAAAUUUUACCCUAAAAUUAUUGAGUUAAAUGACAUAUGACAGCUGACAGAUAUACCAAUUUAGAUUUUUACCUUAUGUCUAUCACAUUUAUACUAGUUUUGGGUUUUACCCUCUAUUUAUCACAUGUGUACUAGUUUGUCACUUUUCGUGAUAUUAAUCUAAUUUCACAUAAACUAGGGAAGAAUAACUUGAUCAUAAAUGUACCAAUUUAGAGUUUUUGAGAUUCAAAAAGUUAGUUUUUGAUAAAUUUAUCAUAAGUGUAUCGGUUUAAGGUUGUUGGUGGUCAAAACAAAAUAUUAUCAAUUUAGAGUUUUUCAUUAUAUAAACAUUUUUUAAUAUGAUUUCAUUGACUUUCACAAGGAGCGGAUUUAGGAUUAGUACCUUAUUGGUGUUUGUCCAUUGAUAGUGAAGGAAAGGAUAAAAGGAUGGUUCAAAACUACUACAUUAGCAGUGGGAAAGGAGGAAAGGAUGGAUAACUCAUCAAUGUUUGUCCAUUAGCGGUGGAGGAAAGAAUGGAGACAAGGACACUGGUGACGGUGAGGGUGAGAGUGCAAUUUAGUAAUCAUUAUAUUCCUCAAACAAUUUAUGCUUAAAAAUAUAUUUUUUUCCAAUUCUAUUCCCUUGCCAAGUUUCUAAGCAUUUGAAUGUAUUUAAUAACUGUGUAAAAUUUUUAUUCCCGGAUUAGAAAUAUGUUUAGUACAAUCCUAAUUUUUUUUAUUUUACUUAGAAUUUUUUAAUUUUUUAAUAAUUUUUUCCUUUUCUUUUUCUUCUUCCUCUAGCCGGUCGCCGGCUAUAGGAAGAAGAAGAAAAAGAAAGAGAAGAAAAAAUACUUGAUUCUUGAGUCAUUCUUAGGAACAAAUAAAUAAUUUUUUUUUCUGCUUCUUGAUUCUAUUCUAAAUUUACUUUAAGAAAUAAUUCUAUUUUCCAGAACAAAAACAUUACCAAACAGGGACUAAAGGAACAACAAUGUAGAAAAUCAUAUAUUUCUAUGCUCAAAGUAUUGAUUGGUGUUUAGUUAAGGCCUAACUAUAGUUAGGUUAGCGAGCUCCAUGAUCUAUGCCCAUCUCCUCUCUUUUUUUUUCUCGUGAUUUGAGACUUUGCUACAAAAUCAUUCAUUUAUAUGUCCAUUAACUGGUAUUUACAUUUUAAAAUAUUCAUUCAAUAGUCAUGCCUUUUAAUCGAUCACGUAAGUAUCAUAAUUUUUUUAGAAUUUUUAAUUUAAAUACCGGAAAUCUAAUGUGAUGUAAUAUUUUGGAUGAACGCUUUGAAAUAUUUGUGACACUUAAAUUAGUACUGCACAAUUGUACUGCACAAUUAUUAUAACACGUGCUAUCCUUUUCUCGAGAUCUUUAGCAGCAAAAUAUGCAAGGAAUCAUGAGAUUGAUUGAUAGGUCUAGCAAGCCCAGUGUAGCAUGCAACCACUUAGACUAAUUAUCAACUUUUCCAGCAAUAGCUUUGCACUCAAAUCACUUCGCCUUCUUCUUCUUUCAACGUUCCUGGUCUGUUCCAAUCUUUCUUUCUCUAAAGAACAAUUAGAGAAAAUUCCGAUCGAUGUUGUUGUUGAGAAUAACUUGAAAAAUUAUAUUGAAUUCAUAUCAUUAAGUAGUUUUUAAAAGAGCAAGAACAAGGAGACAUUAACAAAAUUCCUACCAUAUCAUCAUAUGACAAUUUUAUGAUAAUUAUUUAACUUUAGGAUUGGCGCAAUUUUAUGAUUAUAUAAUGACACCGAAUGCCAAAUACACUUACUCUCUUUAACAUCAAUCCCUCCUCCAUCUUUACACUGGCCUGCAAUCUGUAGCGACCUCCAAUUCAGUCGCCACCCUUACCUCACAGCUGACGUCGAGGUUGAGGCCCACUGUAUUAUCAAAAUAUACUUAUUCCUUAUAAUAAAAAAUUCCGCUUGCUUAACACUAGGAUUAGUGCAAUUGGGCGAGGCGUUGUGGGAUUUCUAACUCAGGGACUGGAGGUCAUUUGAAUCUACAUGCAAACUGUUCAGGAUUGAGCCACCUAUACAAGCUAAAAACAUGAACUUAAACUGUUCAUGAAUCUUGCAAGAUAACUUAUGGGCUUUUAGAUAAACUGGUUAUCAUGUCCGGGCCCUUAUGAAAGAAUUGCUUUUAUUUAGGAUGAUUCUAACUUUACAUGAUAAAUUUUUUAUAUGCACCUUGUUAUUAUGCAAAUUGUCCUUAAGAACUUAAUUACAAGGAAAAUGUUCCUCAUGACUUUAAUUAGUCAUAACAUUUUUUUCAUUAGAAAUUUGUCAAGAUAUUUUCAAAUAGUCAUAAUAGAAUACUGAUUUAGGAGCAAUUUCACAGUCUAAUCUAAUAAUUAUGGUUGGCAUAGAAAUUAAAUAACCUGAAUUAUUUUUAUUCACUUAAAGGGACGCUUUGAGUGGCUUUUUCUCAACCAAUAUGGGAAAGAUAAUACAUGAAAGGUUAAGAUUUAUUUUCAAUUUAUGAUUAAUAUUAAUUAGAUAUAAGGGUCUAAGUCAGCCCAAAUCUAAAGAACGUUAUCAAAAAUUGUUAUUCAACAUAUAAUAUUUAGAUUGGCAAAUCAUCGAGACCAUUCCCCUUAAACCCUUGACAGGACAUCUCAUAUCCUAGCGUGACAAGGGUAAUUUGAGUUGAAGCCAAAGCAUGUUCACUUGGUUCUCAUCAAUGGAGUUGUCAGUGUUAGGUUAAUAAGUCACAACUCUUUUGCUUAAUUGAUCAUUUCCUCGAGAGGAAUGAAGUGGGAAAACAAGGUUUCUCAGCGGUAAAAUGAAAGAAGGAAGACAAGUGAGGGUACCCGGUCAGUUGCCAUACAUUUACGUACACUUUGAUCUUUGUCCAGUAGUGGUGGACGAAACGACGUGGAGAUAGACAUAAGUGAUGGUGACUGGUCUACCAAAGGAACAGUAAAAUGCAGAAAAUCCAUCCGCUUCUAGAAGAGGGACCUGUCAUGUUAAAGUCCAUAACUUUGCUUGUCAAUAAUCGUGUUUUGAAAAUUUGCAAUAUUUGGAAAAUAAAUGUUUGAAGAAAAAGACUCAAAACAGACCCAAGUAUAAAGAGAAUGGGGAAACUCCAAUUGGAAUGAGAGACCACGUAACAAAAUUUGUAGUGCAUUGAAAUGUUUCCCAUAUUGUUUUUGUCAUGUAAAGAGUAGCAGUAAUCAACAAAGUAAUCUUAAUAAAGAAUGGCAAAAGUUUAAUUUACUUACAAGUUUUAAUCUAUCAAUUUUAAUUGAAGUUACGUCCAAUGUAACAAUUGCAAUUGACAUUCUAAUCUAACAACUUGCUUAAUUAUAAUGUUACUCCUAUAUUUUAGAUAUGAUUUCAUUGACCUGCGCAAAGAGCGGGUUUAGGACUAGUACCAAGCAGUGUCUAAUUAAUGAUGGAGGAACAGAUGAAAGGAUGGAUUAGAAUGAAUACAUUAGCGUUGGAAAAGGAUGAAAGGACCAUUUGCAGUGUCAAAGAAUGAAAGGAUGGGUGACUCAUCAAUAUCUGCCAUCAGCGGUGGGGGAAAGGAUGGGAGUGGUGAUGGUAAAUGGUCCACUAAAGGAACAAUAACGUAGAAAAUCAUCCAAUUUUAUGCCCAAGGAAUCGCCUGGUGUUUAGUUAAGGCCUAAACUAAGGUUAGGUUAACGAGCUUCAUAGCCUAUGCCCAUCUUCUUUUUUUUCCUUGAGGGUUAGGUCUUUGCUAUAAAAUUCAUCCAUUUCUAUGUCCAUCUAUUGGUGUUUACGUUUAAAACUUAUUUACUUAGGUGUCAUAACUUUCAAUUAAUCACUAUCAGUCAUAAAAUUUCAAGUAGUCAUAAUAAAUAAAAGGAUUUAUGAGUAACUUGACAUUAUAAUCUAACAAUUAUGGUUGGCAAAAAAAGAUUAAACAACUUCAAUUUUUCCUUAUGCACCGAGUUUUUUUUUUCUCUUUCACUUGAAGGGAUGGCUAUGAGGUGCUUUCUAUCAGCAAAUUUGUGAAAAUUUGAAGGACAAUCCACAAAAAGUCAAGACUUAUUUUUAACUAAUGGUCCAUAUUAAUUGGGUAGAAGGGUCUAAGUUGGGCCAAGUCAGAUAUGUCAAUAAGUAGGAUAUUAUCAAUAAUUGCUAUUUAAUAUGUAAAUCAAUAACACAUUUUACAUUUUAGAGAUAUUUCGAUUUAUGUACCACUUUGAAAACUAAAUUCAAUUUUUUACCAUUCACUUAGCUUAAUUAUAAUAUUAACUUCUAUAUUUUUUAUAUGCUUUCACAACCCACACAAGGAAUGGGUUUUAGGACUAGUACCUAAUUAUUUUUUGCACCCAAAACCCUUCGCCUUCUUCGUCUUUUGUCAUUCUUGCUUUGCUGUGCUCCUUCAUCAUUCUUUUUACAUCUCUGUUUUUGUCCCUUUCUUUCUCGAAAAAAGAAUUAAAAAAAUAUAUAAUUAGAUCAAUACAAAAAUCAUAUUUAACUCAUAUCGAUAAGUAAAUCAUUGAUGCAAGGAUCUAAGUUAUGAUUCAAUGAGCAAGAACAUAGAGCCAUUAGAAAAAUUCCAACCAUAUCAUCAUAUGUCAAUUUUUAUAAUCUGAUAUGAGUAUAUAUACCUCAAAUAAUCCACCUCUCGAGGAACUCCAUCAAUUUUACUUUUUAACUCCUUUUCUUUAAAGUGGAAGUCAUGAUGGCUUUUUCUUGGAUUGCAACAAACUUUAACGUUAAAUAUUUUGGACGACAACGCAUAAUCAAUGAUGAUAUUGACAUGCUUCUCUAAUCUUUCAUUGAUGCCCAAUCAACAUUAUCAGUAAAUACCACUUUAAAGUGAAAGUCAUGAUGGUGUUUUUUUUUUUUUUUUUGCACUGAAGGGUGAAAUUCACCAAGACUAAAAAAAAUAAAAAAUUCCUCUAGUGGGCCUUCCAUUCCACUAAAACCUUUGAAAAAUGGUUAGGAAGAUCUUCUAAAGUUGUUGUGAUGAUUGGUGUACGAACAUGCAUGUUGGGUGGGGGCUAUUUAUGCGCCCAAUUUAGCUUAAAUCACAUCCGUCUAAGUAAACUCAAUCAUUAAUGGACCCGACUUUUAUUUCAAAAGAGAAUAAUAAAUAUGCCCUUUUCAUUUUCUCUCUUAUCUAUUGCCUUGUUUAUUUUCUUAUUUACUAUAGACAUUUGAUAAGAGAUUCUGGUUUGAAUUUUUUCACCUACUCUUUUGAUUCCACAAAUUUGUUUAUGUAAGAAUUUAUCUGAAGAACGUAUUCAGCCUUUGAAUCAUAGAAAAAAAAAGGCUGAUUUGUUUAAAAGAAGAUUGGACCAUAAGCACGUUCUGAAAUAUUAAAUUAAAUUUAUGCUUUCAUCAAGCUUUAGCUAUAAUUUUUUCAAAAUAUCAUGAUCAAAUGUCCAAUUCUUUUUAUCAUUUCUAGAAGAGAUCAUUUCAACAAGUUAAUUUGGCAAUAAAUUUUAUUUAGCUGAGUCCAUAUGUUAGUGAACUAAUAAAGGAUUCUCUUUAUACAUAUAUUGGUUUUGACACAUUAGAAUUUUUUUUUAUAGCUAAUACGUUAUUCCACGCUAAUAAUGCUAGAAAGUGUGGGGGAUCACUGGGUGAGAGUUUCAUUUUGUGCAUAUUAAUUCCUUUUGUUUCGCUGCAUCUCUAUAGUUAUAUUAAGAGUAAUGGUAGUUGCUAUCCAGAAGAAAGAAAUACGGAAGCCCGUCCAUAAAUUCAACUUGUUGACCAUCCAGAAUCUUUUGGCAUAUGAUAUGAUGCGCAUAAAAAAUUGAUUUGACGGCCAACUGCGUGAAGUUACAAGUCACGUGUUCUCUCUUUGUCAAACAGUACAGCUUGGUAAGCGUUAGAACUCCAUGUCACGUGGGCGCUGACACACCGUGUAAACUACAUAUCCCGAGGGGAGGGUCGAAUCACCUGUUCACUACUUUAACAGCUGAUAAUCAUCUCUUUCUCCCUUCAUUGCCAAUCCACGCUUCCCUUCCCUCAUCCUUUUUCUCCGCUCAAAUCUCUUGGCUUUGUUCGUCUCUUGCUCUGUUUCGCUCUUUCUUCUCCUCGGCUCAACCAUUCUUCUUCUUCUUCCUCCUCCUCCUCCUCCUCUUCUUUAGUUUUUGCUGCUCUUCUCCCUCUCCGUCUCUCUUUUUUCUCGCUCUUUCUUUCUCAGAAAAAAAAAAUCGAAGAACAAUGUCGGCAGAUCCUGUCGUUGGUAUUGGAUGGGAUGCCUUGAAGAGCUAUGUAGUUGUUCCCAUCGAACGUGGAUUCGGACACGUGAUCUCCUCCAAGAGAUUCGCCGACCGUCUUCGGGGGGAAGUCCAGAAUCUGGAGAACGAGGAUCAGAGGGUCAAGGUUCUUGCGGACGAGGCUAGAAGGAAUGUUCGGAAUUCAUCGAUGUCUUCACGACGUGGAAGGCAAGUGCUGAGAAGGCCUUGGAAGAGGCGCGAGAGCUGUUGGAUGACUUCGAAAAGGCGACCAAUACUUGCUGCUACGGGACUCUUCCCGACCCCAAAUCUCGCUACCAGUUUAGCAGGAAGGCCGAGGGCAAGAUCGAGGCCAUUAAGCAACUCACUCAAAAAUGCAUCGGAUUCAACGGAUUGAACGACAUCUCCUUCAUCGAUCCUGCUUUCACUUCUUCUGCCUUGACGUCAAUGAAGCUUGGGGAUGAUGGUGUCUUCGAAUCCAGAGCUUUGAUGAUACGGAACAUCAUGGGCGCUCUUGCUGACAACACUAAUAGUGUGGUCGGGGUUUAUGGGAUGGGCGGGAUCGGCAAGUCCACCCUUUUACUGGAUGUUGAAAGGAAAGUAAGCGAAGAGAAGUCGUUUCAUUGGGUCGCGAAGGCCGACGUGUCGGAAAAUCCAGACAUUAAGACGAUUCAAGGAGAGAUUGCGGAUGCAUUGGGCCAUAAUGAGAUAAAGAACAAAGAGACUAUCAGCGGGCGAGCCAAACUUCUGCACGGGAGGUUGAAAGACGAGGAGAGGGAGAAAAAGAAGGUCCUCAUAAUACUGGACAACCUGUGGGAGGGGCUCGACUUAAACAAAGUCGGCAUUCCUUGCGGACAUGACAACAAAGUAAUGGGAUGCAAGUUGUUGAUGACGUCAAGAGAUCGUGAUGUUUUUGCGAAGGAAAAUGGGCUGCGACAAGGACUUCCUCCUCGGUGAGUUGGAGGAGGAAGAGGCAAAAAGAUUGUUUGAGAAGCUGGUGGGAGCCAAAGUUCAUGAUGACCAGUUCAAACCUCUGGUAAAUGUAGCACUCGGCAAAUGUGCUGGUGUGCCUUUCCUAAUUGUUGCAAUGGCAAAACGUUUUAAAGAUGCUAAUUUAUCUGAAUGGAAAGAUACUUUGAAAAAAGUCGAGAAGUUUAAAGAUAAAGAAAUCAAUGACUCAAUACACCAGAUGUUGCAAUGGAGUUAUGAAAAAUUAGAAGAGGAGGUGAAGUCCUUAUUACAACUAUGUGUUUUUUAUGGUAUUUCCAAGCCUUCUCUUGAAAACUUGGUGAGGUACAACGUUGGUUUGGGGUUAUUUCAAGAAGUUAGCAGCAUGGAAGAAGCUAGAAAUAGAUUAAGCUCACAUAUCCGCACUCUUCAAGCCUCCUCCCUUCUGUUAGAUAGUGAAGAUGCUUAUGGUUUCAAGAUACAUGACUUGGUUCGUGAGUUUGUUGCCUCCGUUGCUUCAAGAGAUCACUCUUUUUUCGUGUUGAAAGAUAAAGAUAAGUCGAUAACAUAGUUGCAGAAGAGCAAGCUUGAAAGUUAUAGGGCAAUAUGCUUUCCAUACGUUGACAUGAAAGAGCUUCCCAAAGAAUUAGAUUGCCCUGAGUUGCAGAUCUUUUUGUUGUUCACAAACAACAGAUCUCUUAAGGUCCUAGAUUCAUUAUUUCACUCUAUGACAAAACUCAUGGUCUUAAAUCUCACCGGGAUGCAUCUCACUUACUCGCCUUCAUCGCCGUUUCAACUCUUAGAGAACUUACACAGUCUGUGUCUUGAUUGUUGUUAUUUAGAUAAUGUAGCCGUUCUUGGCAAGUUGAAAGGGCUACAAAUUCUUAGUUUUACAAACUCUAAUAUUCAUCGAUUGCCAAGAGAAAUCGGGCAACUGGCAGAGUUGAGGUUGUUAGACUUGAACCAUUGUCAACUUCAGAUAAUUGAACCAGGGGUACUUCAAAGCUUGAUCAAGUUGGAGGAGUUGUACAUGAAGAAUAGCUUUAAUCAAUGGAAUAUCGUGGACCAAACUCCACCAGCUAAUGCCAGUCUGAUUGAGUUGAAUCACAUGAAUAAUCUCCACACUCUGCAUGUUUCCAUUCCUAAUCCAAAAGUGCUUCCAGAGGAUCUAAACCUUGAGAAAUUAAGCAAGUAUGAAAUCCAAAUAGGUAAUGUGCACUACCGGUGGAGCGAGUGCAAAGGAUCUAGGAUAUUAAAGCUCAAGUUGGAUCCAUUAGAUGAUGUUCCUUUGAAAGGAUGCAUUCAAAGUAUCUUAGGCAAAACUGAUGAUCUGUUUUUGGACAAGUUGGGUAGAAAUGAGCAAAGUAUCUGUGAGUUAUCCCAAAAAGGUUUUCCAGAAUUAAAGCAUCUACAGGUCAUGAAUAGUGCUUCUAUCCAUUGUAUCCACCAAUCACCAUCCCAUACACAUUUUAAGAUGUUGGAGUCAUUACUUCUCAAGAAUCUCAUCAACUUGGAUAAAUUAUGCAAUAGCCAUAUCUCAUCCAAGUCCUUCAGUACAUUAAAAGUAGUAGAAGUUGCACGUUGUGACAAGAUGGAAGUAUUGUUUCCUCUUUCAGUGGUGGGAGGACUUCCACAACUAGAAGAGAUUAAAGUUGUUGAUUGUAAGCAAAUGCGAGGGAUUGUAGAUGCUGAUGAUGGUGGCAAAGUUGAGUUGCAUAAUUUGCGUGUAUUGGAAUUGUGUGACUUGCCAAAUAUUAAGAGCUUUUUCGCUAUAGGGACAGCUCCUUUGAGUAGUGCAUUAUACGACCAAGUUGGCACCCAAAUUGCAUUCUUCAAUGAGCAACCGGUAACCUUCUUUCAAAAGAAUAUGAUACUUAUUUCUAUUUUCUUCCUUUGUUUAUUAGAUGUAACACAUAUUAUGAUGCUUAUUUAUUUUGUUAUUUUCAGUUUAUUAUCUUCCUAAUUACCUUAUCCUUUCAUGCCUUGUCUAUAAUUAGUUAAAGUAAUCUUCCGUUUCACUUAACUGUGUAGAAAUCCAACUAAUUGUAUAAAAUCCAUGUAAAUUUAGUUUGUGAUAGAUUUUGAAUUAUUUUAAACUAACAUGCUGCAAGUAUAUCUAUAUUUAUAGGGUUUCAUGAAGCAAAACUGAAGAGUAUUUCAGCGUUCAAGUAAUUUCAUAAGUACAGUAAUUUUUAAUAUUUUGAAAUGAAUCCACUGAAUUUAGUUAUCAAACUUUGUUAUUAUCCACGAAAUGUAUAAAAUAGGUGACUCUUUUGAAAAUCAAUAUGAAGAAUGGGAAGGAGAACCGCUUUUUUAAAUAAAAUCAACUAUACUAAUCUAAUUUAUGCAUGUCUUUUGUGUAUUGUGUCUAAAUAAGCAUUUAGUCAUUGCAUAGGGCCAAAAUUAUAAGAAUACAAGCUUUUGUGCAUUUUUUUUAAUAGUGAAAGUGGGCCUAGGCAAUUGUAUGACCUUUUGUGCAUAAUAUAUAUAUACACAAUGGUAUGAUUUUUAUUAUGCCACACCAAAGUUGUCAUUGCAAAAUUGAAAUUCUUGCUAUCGGAGUUCCAAACUGAUCUUUACAUUUCUCUAGUCCAUACGGCGGAAUUAAGGCUGAGUAGCUACAAUAUCAAAUGAUGGAACUUGAUGCCUUGAUGGAAAAUCCACUGUCUUAAAGUCCAAAUAAUUUUAUAGAGACUUAAUUCAAAUGUUUUGACGGGCCUAGUAUUUUAAUUUGGCUACUUGGUAUGUCUUAGUUUAAUUUCCAAAGCUUCAAGUGCUCCACAAUUUAUUCUUCAAGAUAUUUGUGGCGAAAUUUGAGUUUUCUUUUUGUUGAGUCCAUCCAAUUUAGAUUGUGAAUUUUAUGUAGCUUCUAUAUCUUAUCAAGAAAAACCGGUGGUUGCCCAGUCUCAUGGGACCAUAUGUGGUCAUUGUGAUUUCUCUCUAUGGCGAUGUGGAAAUCUAAAUAUCAAGUUCUUUAACUAAAUGUCUUCACAUUUGGCCUUUAAAGUAUGUAUGGAUAUAUUUGUACACAAAUCCACAGUUUGUGUUUAAUAUCCUGUUAAAUUGGUUAUUGAUAGUGAUUUAUUAACAUUAAAAGAAGUUAAGUGAAUUGAGGAUAAAUAAUUGUCUAAUUAAGGAAAGCGAAUGGCUAUUUUAUAUAGGAAGUAGUUGCUGCUGGUGGAGCCUUUUGGCUCACUACAUAAGAUUGCCCUUUAAUUGUGGCGUGAUUAUAGCUGAAGUUGAUGGUGGGGCCCAAGACUUGCACCAUAUAUUAGUUUCCCCAUCAGUAAAGAAUCAUGGAGAUUUAAGUUGAUGGUGGGUCCCUCAAGACUGCAUGUCUAAGUAUCUCCACUUCAACCUCGACUUUUCCACUUCGCAUGCAAGAGAGGAGUUAGAUUGGGAGGGUUUGCAAAGAGGCUUUGGUGCUUUUAAUUUUCAAGCGUUCGAAAUCUUUGUUAAAGAAUUUUACUCUUGCCUUGAUGCCUUCUCAUUUUGGGCGUAGAAACUAGGGCUGCAAAAAUCUAUGGGAUUAUAAUGAAACGUUUCUAAUAAUUGUAAUAAAUCUCUUCCAACGUUCUAAAGAGGUGGAGCCGACGAAAGUAGCAGUGGAAGGUUGGAUUGUCAGGGAUGACAGUAGUUGAACAAAGAAACACACAUAAGUUAAACUUGUUGUAAUAGAUGGGAGCAUUGGGUGAUGGUAAGGUAGAUGGGAGAUUUCAAGUAACUUUGUAGAAGAAAGGAUUUUCUCGAGUUGAAGCGGUGAACUUUUGAAGAAGACUAGUUACUCUUUGCCCAAAAAAAAAAGAAAAUAAAAGAAAAUAAAGCUUUUGAUUGUGAUUUAUUGUUUAGAAGGAGUAAAACUGGCUCACUAAUCAAAUUAAUCUCCACAAUCAUUUUCCAAGUAGAGAUUGGAGAAAGAUUCAUUAUAUUGUUUAGUAAUAACACUAGUAUUGAGAUUUUCUAACUCCUAUUUUAUUUUAUUCUCUUUUUUCCCCUUUUGUGCAACUUAAUAAUGCCCCUCUCUUCUUGGCACAUGUAUAUAUUAACAUUUUGGAAGUUCCUAAAUUCGUGAUUUAACUGAAUCACCAAUUCUAUGAGUGAAUACUGUAGGUUGCCUUUUCGAAAUUGGAGACAUUAGUAAUAUGGGGCUUGGAUAAUGUCGAGUUUUUGUUUUUCGCAUCCAUGAUUAAAUCUCUUGCACAACUGGGAGAUCUACGGGUAUCUUAUUGCAAAAAGAUGAAGGCAAUCAUUACAAAGGAAGAAGGGUUGGGAUUGGAAAUAUCAGAAACUCUGGCAUUCCCAAUGUUAACUAACUUAAACUUAAAUCAUUUGGGAUGUGCUUCUCUUGCAAAAAGUGUAAGAUUGAUUUUUUGUUUUCAUCACUAAAGAUCUUCUUGUAGAUAAAUUCAUCCUUGCAAUACAAAUGGCAACAUUCUUUUCAUCCAUUGAAAAACUAAUGACAGGUUCACGAGAAGCUUGGAGUCAAGACCACAUCAAGUCAUACUCCACUGCACUCUUUAGUAAAGAGGUACAUGAUUAACGUUAUGCCAAAAUAUUAUAUAUAACAAAAGUAUUAAAUAUGCAAAAGACAACAUAGCCAACAUAAGAACUAACUAAAUUACUCACAAAGUGUACUUUGAUUAAAAUAUUUUAAAGAAAAUGAGUCGCAUACAAACAUAAGUAUUGAAAGUUGCCAACACGUAUGAGUUGCAAUUGUUUAAUUUUAAUUUCUCCUAAAUAGUUUCCAUAAAGAUGGUCAAAUAUCUCUUAUGGUUAAAAGCUUGUCGAUGUUCAUAGGAAACUUAAAAGCUCUCAGCAACCUCACAUGUAUGGCAUCGACAUUGCACGCAUGCACAUUGAAAGCAAUUUAAAAACAAUGGAGAGGAAAGUGAGCAGUAAGGUUCGAGAGGUUGUAGAUGAAAGGCCUUUAAGGUACUCACUUGACUUCAUUUGCUCUUAAAUUAAAAGAUCUCUCUUUUUCCCCCCUAAUCGAAGGAAGCUUUACUCUCCCUUAAUUGCACCAGCAAAAGGUAUAUGAGUCCUCUCCAUUGCUAAACUGAGCAAGAUCUCUAGGGACUAGGGCUUCAGAAAUCACCCCUUUAAGUUUUAACAUGAACUGCAAGACCAAAGUGAUCAAUUCAGUGACUUCUCUAAGUGCGCUACAAUUUCAUUGAAUAAUUUCAUCCAUACUGUAACUUAAAUAACCAUCUCUAAGUGAUUUAACAAAUGCAUUUCAUCCUUUGGCUAGCAAAAAAAGCACAAAGUGUAAUUUGAUUAUUUUGGGAAAUGGAUAAGUGUUCCAGAAGUCCUACAACUUGUCACAAAAAUGCAUUUCGGUCCUAAAACUUGCAAAGUGCAUUUAAGUCCUAAAACUUGUCAAAUUAUUUCAAAUAAGUCCUAAGAUCGACGCCGUUAGCCUUUUCCGUUAAAAAUGCUGACGUCACAUUUUAAAUAAUUUUUUAUUUUCCAAGUUUAUUUUUUAAUUAAUUUGUAUCCAUUUAAAAAAGUUAGAUUUAAAAAAUAAAAAAUUAAAUUUAUUCUUAUCUUAUUUUCAACAACAACUAUAAAUAAAAGUUAAUAUUUAUUUUUAAAAUUUUAAAAAUAAAUUAAAAAAAUAAUGUUAACUUUUUAAAUAUGUUUUUUAAUAAAUAUUUUAAAUUUUUUUAAGUUUUUGGUGAAAAUAAGAUAAAAUGAAUAAUUUGAUUUUUUUAGUUUUUAAAUCUAUUUUUUUUUUAAAAAAAUAAUUAAAAAAAUUCACGUGGAAAAUAAAAAAUUAUUUAAAAUGCCACGUCAGCAUUUUUAACGGAAAAGGCUAACGGCGUCGAUUUUAGGACUCAUUUGAAAUAAUUUGACAAGUUUUAGGACUUAAAUGCACUUUUUGCAAGUUUUAUGACUGAAAUGUAUUUUCGUGACAAGUUGUAGGACUUCUGGAACACUUAUCCCUUUGGGAAAUUGACUAAAUUCAAGAGAGGGAGUGACAUAAUUUAAAUUUGGGAUUAUGAGGGACUAAUGUGACUAUGUGAUAGUUAAGGAGCAUAUCCAAAUUACCAUUUUGCCAUUAUCAACAGAAUCUAGUCAGAAUUCCUACUUUUUGACUUGUUUGUGGUAAAUUCCAAUAGCCUUCUAGUCCUAGAGUCAUCAACAUUAGUAUGGGCAUUUUUUACUAUUUUUUUUUUUUUACUUUAUUCUUCUUCUUUUUUUCCUUUUGUGCAACUUAAGACAAAAUCAUCAAUUUUAUGAAUUCGAAAUUUACAUCUUGACACUCAUCUAUCUUGGAAGUUCAUGAUUAACUCAAUACCAAUUUUGUGAGCGACUAUCGCAGGUUGCAUUUCCUAAAUUGGAGGCAUUAGAUAUCACUAGCUUGGACAAUAUUGAGAUGAUAUGGGAUAAUAAAGUUGCUGCGGAUUCUUUCCCCAAGCUAAAAACCCUUUGUGUGGUUGAUUGCAAUAAGCUUGUGAGCGUAGUUCGUUCUUUCAUUCUAAGAUGGCUCUUGAGCCUGGAAAGAUUGGAUGCAAGAAGAUGUAAUUCGCUUGAAGUUGUUUUUGAACUUCAGCCACUGAAUCAUCUAGAUGGACAUCCUAUUGCUCUUCCAUUUGAAGAACUGAUGAUAUCAAGAUUACCAAAGCUAAAGUGCAUAUGGGAUAAGGAACUCCACUGUCAAAUUAAAUUCCAGUGUCUACGUUCUAUUAGCGUUUCAAGAUGUGAUAGCCUCACCUAUUUAUUUCCAGCCUCAGUAGCUAGAGAUCUAAUCCGACUUGAGGAGUUGGAGAUCGAUGAAUGUGGCAUUGCAAAAAUCAUCAAGAAUGAAGAAGGACUAGUUCCCAGGUUUGUAUUCCCAAUGUUAACCUCCCUCAAGCUUAAGUAUCUGAGAGAGUUGAAGUGCCUCUACGUUGGAACACAUACUUCCCAAUGGCCGGCAUUGAAGACCUUGAACAUGCGUGGCUGUGACAAAGUGGAGAUACUUGUAUCGCACUCAGUAAAUGAGAUGCCACUUGAUAAACCGCCUUUCUUCUUGAUAGAAAAGGUACAAUCGAAGAUUACUUCUUUUACUUUUAUGGUGAAUAUUUUGAAGUGAUGAUUAAGGUCACAAUCAAGCAUCUCAUACAAGUAGGUCUACAUAGGAAGAUGUAAACUGUACGACUCACCUUCAAUUUAUAGAAAUAUUUCUACAUUGAAACAUCACAUGUUCUUCAAUUGUUGACCGAACAUUCUUGUCAGAUGUAUCAAAUGCAUUUUUAAUGAUCCCCUUUUAAUAAAGUUUUAUGCUAAUUCCGAUGGUUUAGCUCUCUCCUAAGUGCCAGAUGAAAACACAUGGCAUGUGUCGUGAUCUUAGCAUGGUACAAGUGUAUUGUCUAAUUUGAAUCCUAUAAAGAUUACCAAAGUUUUGCUAAAAAUGGAAAGAUGUGACGUUAUUGUUGACAUUAAUCAUUGAAAUUUGUGCACGUGCAACUGUAAUUGAUGCAUAGGUUAUUUUCACAAGGGAUUUAUCUUUAGAAUUGUGAACAUAAGGAGUUACUUAAGCUCAAAUAUGGAUCCAAGUUGAAUAUAAAGAUUAUUGAUAAUGUUUAUUUGAUGUAGGCACAUUUCCUAUUGAAUCACGUGAGACUCAACAUUCUAUAAAUGUAGUUAUUGCGCGCAACAUGCAAGACUUAUAUCAUAGUACAUGAAUGCUCUUUUAACUAAGCUGGCUUUAAAUUAUGAUUUGACUAUUUUCUCAGGGCGGAUUCCCUAGUCUCCAAGAGUUAGAAUUGGAUUUAUCGGAAUGGAUGGAGAUAUGGCAUGGGCAUUUUCAUCAUGGAGAAUUCUUUUGCAAGCUUAGUUUGCUUAAGCUUCAUCAUCUCUCCCAGGAGUCUUUAAUAUCCACAUGUCACUUUGUUGAGAGUUUAACCAACUUAAAAGAGCUAGUUGUAUGUGAAUCUUAUCUAGAAGACCCAAGCAGCAAUGAGGAAGCCAUAGAAGGCACAAGUCAUGAGAUGAAAGUAAUAUUACCCUUUUUCAAGAUAUAUUCGACAUUUGCAAACUCUAGAUGUGUCACAUUGUGAUGGGUUAUCAAAAAUGUUCACACCAACAAUUGCUGAAAAUUUGGUGGCACUCACAAAAUUGAAGAUAAGUAAUUGUAGAAUGUUGACAGAAGUCAUUAAUGAUGAGAAAGGUGGGGAGGGGCGUGUGGUGGCUUUCAAUCAAUUGAAGUAUAUGGAGCUUGAUAGGUUGACAGGGUUGAGAAGUUUCAGCUCACGGAGAUAUACUUUGAUGUUCCCUCUCUUGGAAGAUGUCAUUGUGACUAGGUGUCCCAACAUGAAGUUUUUCUCUCAAGGACCGAUAGAGGCAUCAAAAUUAAAGAGAGUUUGAGUAUCAAAGGAAGUGUGGUUUUGGGCAGGAAACCUCAACAUCACCAUCCAAAAUAUGUUUGAAGAAAUGGUAUGCAUCAAUUACCAAAUUCCAUGUAUUUGGAUGGUUUUGACUAGUAAAUGAAUAAUUGCUUUUUGCUAGCUAGAAGUUUACAUUUAAUGAUGCAUUUUUUGACAGGUUUCGUUUGCUGGAGUAAAGAAAAUGCUGCUAUUUGAGUUCCCCAAGCUUAUUGGAAAAUGGCAUAACGAACUGAAUCCCAUCAAGUCUUAUUGGCAAUUAGAAUCAUUGGUGGUAGAUAAAUGUCCAUCAUUUGUUAAUGAUAUUCCAUCCAAAUUGAUGCAUGUUUUAGAAAAUCUGAGCUUUUUGCAAGUGCGUGAUUGCGAGUUGCUUGAAGAAAUAUUUGAUUUGGAAGGGCUGGGGGCAAUGGAAAGCACUAGAGUACUACCUCGGCUACAGGAAUUGAACUUGGCCAAUCUACAAAAAUUGAGGCAACUAUGGAACAAAGAUCUUCAAGAAUCGCCUCACUUCAAUUCUCUAGGUUAUCUCAUCCUUUAUAAUUGCAGCAACUUGGGACAUGCUUUCACUCCAUUGAUGGCUCGGUGCCUUGCCAAUAUUGAACAGAUGGAAAUAAAGGAGUGUGGUCAGAUGGAAAGAGUGAUUGUAGAGGAAGAAGGGCAGGGAAGCAUAGUGGAGAAGAUUACAUUCCCAAAGCUCAAGUGGAUGAAACUAAAAUGCUUACCCAAUUUGACUUGUCUCCUCUUGAGAAAAAAUCAUACGUUGGAAUGCCCCAAAUUAGAAUCGCUAAGCAUUGCUCAUUGCCCUAAGAUGAGAAGUUUGAUUGGGCAAUCCCAAAUGGAGAACGACCACAACAACCCUUCACUUUUCACUCCCCAUGUCAAUCUUUUAAGCAAAUGCAUUUUUGGCAUUUCAUUGGGAACAUAUUCUCGUAGUAUUGGACAAUGCACGGUAUGAUGCAAAUUUAGUGCUUUGUGUGGGUUUAUAUACAUAUCUUCUAAAAUUAUUCUAAUCCUCAAUAAAUAUAACUAUGAACCAUCCAUCUCUGCAUCCUUUUAGAAGUGUUAAAUUGGUGUCAGUUCAUGAAAUCAUUUCAUUCAUAGUACUUUAGAAUUAAUUAGCGAGGUUCUUAAAAAAGUUACCACAAUAACCAUAUAAAGACAUUAUCUUUUUGCAAUGUCAACAAUAAAGAGCUAAACAGUAAACAUAGUAUAGCAUCUAAAAAUGACAAAAAAAUGUAGUAUUGCCACUUCAUAUUUUCUUGCACAUAAGCAAACUAGCAUCGUUCUAUUAAACAUGAAGAAAAGGGGAAAAGAAAACUUCAUAAUGUAAAAGCUUAGUUCACAAAUUGCUUAGCAAUGACAAAUCAUUGUACCAUAAAUCAUCUUCCCAAUCAAUGAAAUUAAGGGAAUUAGAGAGGGCGGCACUUUUAAUUGGAGUGUUAUAAACCUCAAUGAUGAUUCGUGCAAUCAACUUUUUUAUUUCUUAAUACUCACCAAUGCUUGAGCUAGGUCUUCAUAAUAAAAUAAAUACAAAUAGAAAGGUCAAUAUGCAUGGAGUGAUUAGUCUUCUUCGUUCAUAAAUCCUACUUGAAUCGCUAUAUUCCAACAACCUAUCAAGUUAGGUACCUGUGUUAUGCAAUAAAUAUUAACUCUGGAUAAUUAUAUUUAGUAAUAAUUAGUGUGAUAAUGUGCUCAAUUUAUAUUUGGCAAGAGAAAAGGCAGAUUGCUUUUUCCAAGAAAAGUAAUGGCGAAAGAAAGGAAAAAAAAAAAAGAGAGGAAAGGACAGCUAGAUGAUAAAUAGUAGCAAUUAUGUGGGCGGUUGCCGACAUUGCAAGUCUUAUUUCAUAACUAGAUGACAAUAUUUAGUCAAUGUCCAUGCUAAAAUAAAAAUUUUAAAAAUCAUAAUAAAUUAUCCAAUUAACAACACUACCGAAGAGAAAAUAUUAGGUGCAUUGAAUACUCCGCAUAGGAUUCGUAUUGAAUAAUCCGCAGAUCAACACAUGGCAAAGCCGGGCCCGCCUAUCAACCAUCAAAAUUUUUGCUCCCCCCUCUGUUCAUUUACGCCGUCACUAGAAAGCUUUGCUCUCCUCUUCCUAGUGUGGCUCUGCUCCCUCUCUCUCUUUCCUCUACAAAGGUGCAUCUCUAUACGUGAACCACACCACCCCCUUGGCCUCUAUCGGUUGUGGUGCGCUCACAGGAUAAAGGAAAAAACAAAAAAAAAAAAUAGAUAAGAAAUUAGACAAAAGUCUAUUUGGUUUUUCAGCUUCUCCCCCCUUGAGAACUGUUCGCUCUCGGUCAUUUCAUUUGACCUUGUUCCUUCUCUUCGCGACGAGGGCAAAAAAGAAAGUGAACUAAAUCUACAUAGUCAAGUAACGAUAAGUCUUCUUCCUCCCCCACCUCUCCUCCUCUACCUUCUUUUUUUGGGGCAAAUGAUUGGGUGGUCUGUCCAAUGGUUGAAUUGGAAGCUUCGGAAUCACUUCUCUGAAGCUCGCCUCCUCUCUGUGCGCGUGCAUGCGUGGGUUCCGAGCGAUUACGCGAACCGGAGCUUGUUGGUUAUGGUGGGUCGAAGUGGAUCUCCGAUGCGGAAGUGAUUUUGAAGUCGAUUCGAUCGGGGCGUUGAUUCCAACGAAGAAAAAUUAAAAAAUGUUAUCUUCAGCCCUCUCUUCCUCCUCUUUCAUCCACAGCUGCCCGACCUCCGCCCCUCCUCCGUUGUCGCCAACGGCAGAGUCAUCAGCGCCUUGCUUAGGCUGAUCCUCACUAUGUCCAAGCCGAGCAUGGCCGGCUUCCUCUGCUUUGUCCAUCUCAUCGUCCUACAGAUCUCGAAAUCUGGCCGUCCAUAACGACGCAGUUGCAGAUCUAGAAGUCCACCACCAUUGCUAGCAGCCAUGGACGUGCCACUGUCGCCGGAACGAUGGCUUUAGAAUGGGAAGUUCCGUCGCGAAAAAUGAUGGCUUAUGGACUACCAUUGUCCCCUCCGUAGUCGCUCGCGAUCGGCUCAUGGUCGGCCCCAUCCAUGGCCGGCCACCCCUCCAUCAUCACAGAUGCUCGUGGUCGUUGCCCAUCCAGAUCUGGAUUGGAGUCGUGUCUCCAGAUCUAGUAUCGUCCAUAGACGCAAGCCUAGCUCGUCCAUGGCUCGCGAGGAGGCUCCUCCACAGAUCUAGCGAUCACUGCUUGUCCAUGGCCAUGAGCCUUGACGACGAGUUUGAGAUCCUGACGGCCAAGGACUCCGAGGUCAAACAGCGAAACAAAGAAUAGAGGAAUAGAUGUUAGGGAAGAGUGGCCACAGACGAGACGGCCGGAGCUUGAAUGCGGCCAUGGACAAGGGGCGUCAUGAACAGGUAGACCACAAAGACGACGGAGAGGGUUGGACGCCCGGCAAUGGUCGCCUUGGACACAGCGCCGGCAACUCCGCCGUUGGCAACGGCGGAGGGAGGCAGGAAGGUUGGGUUCAAUGUGGGUGGAGAUGGAGGAGAAAGCCUAGAUGGAGGAGGAAAGUGAGGUGGAUUGAGAUUUUUUAUGUUUAGUCAUCUGACCAAAAAAUGCUAAUAUUUAGUCAAUGUCCUAGCUAUAUAAAAAAUUAAAAAUAAUAGGAAUCAAUCAUCCAGUCAACAUUUCCAUUCCGUUCCAUGAAGUUCUCACGGGAAGACUGAACGCAAUAAAUGACGACCUCCACCGGCACUUCUUUUUUUGGGUCGAACCCUGAGGCACUUGAAAAUGUGCGAUAUCAACCCAAAUUUGAAUUUUUGGCGUUCAUUUUUUUAUUAUGGAUUCCAUAUAAGUUUCGGUUAUUUCUUUUUUCCCUCGAGGGAAGAAAUGCUUGUGUUUUGUCUUAUUCUAAUACUUUUGUGCGAUUCUUUCUAUCGUUGCUUAUGAGUAGAAUGUUUAAUCAUGAGGAGUAUCUAUAUAUUUGUUUACUAUUUAUCGUAAAAGUUAUUGCUAAUUAUUUAUUUAUUUCUAAUGUCAUUUGCAUGUAUAAGUUGUCAUGUAAUAAUAGGUAUCCCCACAUUUUGAGGAUAUUUCAAAAGGUCAUUAUUACAUUGAAUCAAGAAUACUAAUAAAUUGGGGAAGCAUAGAAAUAGUCAUAUGAUUUUUUGGUAGUGACAAGUUGUGAUAGCUUUAAUUUCAUUUUUAUGUCAAAUAUGAGCUACCUCUAAUAAUAAGUUGCUCCCACAUUGUUAGACAAUUUCAAAUACUCAUUGAAAUCCUCAAUUAAGAAUAUUAAUAGAUUAAGGGAAGUGUGGAAAGUCAUUUUGUUUUUUUUUUUUUUUGGUUGUGAGAAGUCAUAGUUGCGAUAACUUUACUUUUUAGUGGACAAUCAUAUUGUGGUCAUAACACGGUAAAAAAAAAAAAAAACACGGUUGAUUUUCUCCACACAAACAUAUUGUGGUCAUCCGCUUCUUUUUUCUGUUCUUUUUACUUUUCUUUUAGCCUCCAACACCCGAACAAAACUCCAAAAUCCUCAACACAAGGCAUCAAUUAAGGAUAAGAAAUUGGAUACCAUUUUUUGCGAGCAGUUGCACCACUGGCCCACCACAAGAUUCUACCACAAAAGUGAAUAAAUAAUAUUUCAAGCAAGUUAUUAAUGGUCCAAUGUAGAACUAGUAAGUUGGCCCAACUUGCUUUUUUAUGAGAUCAUAAUAUAUGUUAAUUAUUCCAAUCAUUAUAUUGCCCGUGUCUAUUACAUAUUUAUUUUCUUUCGAUACAAAAAUUUUUCUGCACGUAAUAAAGAAAAAACUUGUAAACAAUUGAAGUUAUUAUUAUUUUUAUCUGGUUCGCCAUCUAAUUUGCAUGACGCUUCUCAUUAGUGAACUUUAUUAAUUGAAGAUUCAUAAGUAAUGUUCACAAUUGGUAUUAGUGUUGAAUAAGUAGCGUGCUCAUAGUAAAUAGAGGAAAUAAUCUCUAUCGUAGGAAGACACAUUUGAUGAGUGUUGGACUCGAGUUGUCAAUCAAUUGUAAGUGAAGAUGCACAAAUCUCACUUGUGCUCCCAUUUUGUGGCUUAUUGAUCCCAACUAUUGAUCUAUUUAAAAAAGUUAUUUCUAAAAUUUAUCUCAAUGCAUCAAUGAUUGAGGCACCAUAUGGUAAAAAAAUGGGGGUAGUGCAUCUCCAUCCUUUCCAUAUAUACAUGGACAUGCUUAUAUAAUCAUCUUCUAGGUCCAUGCUAUUAAAAAGCAAAUAAGCAUCACUGUACAAGAUUUCUUACCUCCAUACAAAUAAACACGAUGUCCAUGCUGUUGAUUCACUUUUGCUAAUAAUUUUCGAUUAUUCUAAAUCUACUAGAGAUGAAAAUGGGAAGUUAAUUUCUUUUAAUUGAUAAGAAAUAUAUGUAGAACCUGCUUAUACCUAUCGCUGGAGCAUCAUCAUCAUAUUGCACCCAUCAAUGUGGCAUUGGACCCAACAUAAGGAAGAGAGAAUAAUGAUAUGUAUGUAUAUCCUGAUUGGAUUGCAAUAUGAAGCACAUGCAUCAAAGCUUCUUUGAACCGUGCUUCGGCUACAUUCGUUCCUCGAACCAAAUAAAUUUAAGAAAUUCUUACCUUAUCUAAUGUUGCAUUAUCAAAAAAUCAGUGCAAGCAACUUUGAUAAUGAUCAGUUGAAUAAUCCAAGUAUUCAUCAUUGAACUUUCCAAAAAUUAAAGAGAUAAGGCGUUGCUAGUAUUAAAUGUCAAUUGAGGCACUUAAAAGUCAAUGCUCAAUGUACUAUUGAUUAUAAAUGCAUUUAUAAUUUCAUGCUUGUUGCAAUGCAAUAUGCUUGGCCUUAGUCAUUAGUCAACUUAAAUGAAAGGAUCAAUUAGCCGCUCCCUUUUUUUGUCAAUAACAAGUUCCCACAUUCUCAUGAUUUGUGAGAGUGAGGGAAGUUUAGAAAUUCUUUGUUUGAGGUCAUAACUCAAUGUAAUCACAUUCAUUUAGUCAUUUUUCUCAAUAUGCCAGGUACAAUGUCCUGAGCUUAAGCGGAUGUUUCUCUCCCAUAUGGACAAUUUAAGCAAAAUAUGGAGUGACAAUCCUCAAGAAACUCUCACUUUUGACAAUUUAUGGAAAGUGCAAGUUCAAAAUUGUAGGAGCCUUGAAAUCGUGUUUCCGCAUUGGGUGGCUACAAGUCUAACCCAACUUAAGGAACUUCAAGUGGAGUCUUGUGGGAUUGAGGAAAUAGUUGCUAGUGGGAAUGAGACUCCACAUUCCAAUACCACUCAAGAUCUUUUCCCAAAACUAACCUUUCUAGUGUUACAUGAUAUGCCACAACUCAAGAACUUCUGCACCAACUUGCCCACUUUGAAAUGGCCAAUCUUGAAGGAACUGCGAGUGACUCAUUGUGAUAAAGCGAACAUGAUGUCUCUUGUAGCAUCUAUGAGCAAUUGGGCUCAAAAAUAUUAUCAACGGGCUUUUAGACCAAGAAGCACACUCUUUAUUUGAAAUGGUAUGAUUUCAGUUGCUCUCCCUUGGUUUCUAUUUUGUUCUUUAAAGCACUCACUGAUCUCAUAUCCACUACAUAAUCAAGCCACGUUAUAUUGCUAUAGAAAACAUGAUCUCCCUUACUUAUUAGUUUGUUGACAACAUUAAAAUAUUUCUAAUAUCUUAAGUAUACUUUUCAUUUGUGGACAACCAUAAGAUAUUUCAUUACCUAUAAUUACAAAAAUAAUUAUAGAUUUUUGUUGAAGGCGCAAUAUAUUCCUAAUCUAGUCUAGUGGUGCUCCUUGGGGAAAUCAUUGAAAAUUUGACAUGAGGUCCACUUCAUUGUUGACACGUGUUGCACAUUUGAACUUUUUUUCUCCAUUUCAUCAUCUAAAAACUCUAUAAAAAAAAAUCAAUACAAACAAUUUUAACAAAGAUAAGAUUAGUACCUUAUGCACUAUUUUCUUUUGUAUUCCUUAAUUGAUCUCGUCUUAUACAUAGUCAUUCUGUUGUAUUACUUUAGACAACCUAAAACUCCUUACCUACGAGUUUGAAGAUAACGUAAUAUAUUUUAUUAUAUCUUAGGCACACUUUUAAGUUUGUGGACCCAUACGUUUCAGUAAUAUCAUCCGUGCAUCCCAUUACAUAAGUUUCCAAAGAUGACUAAUUUUAGUUGACAAGAUAAGAUAUUUCUAAUAAAAGAUGAAGAUGAAUUCGAUGAGCUUGGAGAGAUCUUGACAAGUUCACUCUACAAACUUAACCAUACCAACCUCUAUUCGAGACUUUUAAAAGCUUGAGACUUGAAUGUAGGGCUCUUGAGAUAUAAUAAACUUUAAGAAGAUGGCCACCCUCCAUGUGAAUCAUCUUAAUAGGUUUACUUUUUACGGCACAUGAUUUAUUGUCGAAAUUUUGUUGAAUUUUCUUCUCUUGUUGUAUUGGCAAUUCAACAGGAUUUUCCCAACUUGGAGAGACUUUUAUUAGUCGAUAACAAUAUUCAGAUGAUACAAGAUGGAAAUUUUCCGGAUGACAUGUUUAGCAAGCUAGAAGCACUAACACUGGCAUGCUUUCAUGAUAAAAAGGCUACCUUUCCUUCCAUAUUCCUCCUAGAGAGAUUUCAAAAUCUACAGAGCCUUGAGGUCUUUUGUAGCUCCUUUGAAGAUUUAUUCUCAGACGAAGGGCUUGUUGAAGAAGUGAAACAUCCGGUGCUUGAAAAUUUAAGAGAACUUAAGUUAAACAAGCUACACAACUUAAAGUGUGUGUGGAGAGAAGACUCAUUAGUAUCGAAAAUUCUUCAGAGCAUCAAAACAUUUGAGGUUUGGGAUUGUCCUUGUUUGACAAUAAUUUUUCCAACUGUGACAUCCUUCCAGAAGCUGACCGGCUUAGAGGUAAAGAAUUGCUCUGGAUUGGUACAUUUAGUAACAGCUUCAGCAGUCACAAAUUUGGUGCAUCUUGAAUGGAUAACUAUAAUAGAAUGUGAAAGAAUGAAAGAAGUAAUGACAAAUGAUGGAAAUGGAGAAGGAAAAGUGAUUUCUUUUGGAAAUCUACAAUAUUUGACACUCCAACAUCUGCCAAGCCUAGAAUGCUUUUCCUCCAUCGCGAGUUGUACUUUUAGGUUCCCAUCCUUGUGGAGUAUUGAAGUGGAAGAGUGCCCGAAAAUGAAGACAUUUUCUAUGGGUACGCUAAGCACAUCAAGACUGUAUCAUGUGUCAUUGUUCAGAUAUAAGUGGAGAGGGAAUUGGGAGACGAGUGAUGAUCUCAAUACAACCAUACAAAAAUUAUCAGCAUGAACAAAUUCACAUAUAAUUGGUAAGAUCCAAUUGACGUCAUUCUCUCAUCAAUUUUUUUUUCUUUCUCUUUAUUCUUUUGGUAGUGCCGUAAGUUUUUAAAAUUUUUCUUUUUGUGACUUUUCUAUUAUUUAUUCCGUCAGAUCAGCAUCACCAUUCCGUCAGCUCAUCCUUCAGUGAACAGCGGGAAGCAAAGCAGGGCUCCCCUUCUCCUUCUUGACGCCAGAAGCUCUCUCUCCAUCUUUCUUCUUCUUCUUCUUCUUCUUCUUCUUCCUCCUCCUGCUCGGUGAAGCGAAACUAGGGGGAACCUCUGCUGCCUUCACAAAGGACGGAGCGAAAAUGAAGCAUCAGGAAUUGCCAGGACUGCGAGAAGCGAAGCUGCACUUAGCGGAGUGAAGCCAAGUAGAUUCAACCAGACGCUAUCGUUGUCGCCGUCGUUGCUGCCGAAGGUGGCACAACCAAGUCAGUCGUCCACUCACGUCAUCAAAGAUGAAGAAGAUCACACUCUCUCCCCGCAUCUGCAUCCGACAAAUUGUAAGUUCAUGUUUCUUCCGAUUUUGGUGUCUUAUUGCGAAUUGUUGGGAAUAACGGAUCCUCGAAAAGCGGAUUCGACACUGAAUCGAACCCUUAAAUCAAUGCAGAAGCGAAGCCUGGGAAAACAACACGUAUCACUGAUCGUAAAGCACACCACGGAUUCGAGCGUACCUUGUUAGCCACAGAUUAAACACCGACGCCGAUAGAGGAAGAGAAACUUUGUCCUGUUUGAUCCGAUGAAGCAAAAUCGCCUUUGAAGGGAAGAAAAACGCGCCGUAUGCUUUACUGUUUUUCCUUUUCUUUUUGGAGAGAGAGAGAGCGUGGGAGAAGACGUACGUACAGUUUUUUUGAUUCCAACCGGUAUCAUCUCUCUCUCUCUCUCUCCUCCCUUUUAUACCUUCCCCCAUCCACGGGCCCUAUUCCCGUGGGCCGGGCUUUUUGGGCCCAACUUGGGCGGACGAGCCUUAAGCCCAUCUCAUAUAAAACCAUCAUCUCCCACUCGCACAUGGUGGGCCGAACAGGAUUCUCUUUACCUCUCUUCAACAUUCAUACCGGUGAAUAAUCCGUGUGACCAUCAUACUUUGAGAGCUCGUUGCUAUACAUAUGUUAGGAAUAUAUAGCAGCUCAUAAUGGGUGUCACACUCCGAGUAGAUUUAGUAUGCAGUACCCUAGAUCGAUCGAUCACAUUUAUAUCUCUCUUAAUCUCUUUCAAACUUGAUAUAUAUAUAUAUAUAUAUAUAUAUAUAUAUAUAUAUAUAUAUAUAUAUUGUAUUCACAAUUACAAUUAUCACAAAGACAAUCAUAAUUGGUCGACCAGUGAAUACAAAACUGCAAUGUGAUUCUCCAAAAUCGAUCUUCCUCUUUCCUUCAAACUCUCAAUUUCAGUUUAGCUUACUUUUCUAGAAAUGUCCCAUUAGAUCGAAUCAAUUCAUGACCAUUGGCAACAUCCUAAGAUAGCAAACACUAAAUAGAAAUCUUGAGAAUAAGUAAGAGUCAUGAGGGGACUAAAAAUUGAGGAACUCUUUUCCUCAAGAGUCUCACACGUCAUAAAAGUUGAGAUCAAACUUUUUGCCAAUCUUAUUGGUCGUCUCAUGCAUACGUAGUAUGAAAUACGUAUUACGGUAUUAACUCCUUUCCCAUGGAGCCUAUGUCUACAUUUUUCAAUACCGUACAGAUGAUAGUUCAGACAUGCCCAAUGUCUAACUUGAGUUCACGUAUCUACUCAUUCACAGAAUUCAUCAGAACUCACAUCUAGCAUCUUAGACAGAUAAAGUAAAAUAUGUAGGGUAUUUUACUUUCGGACAUCGUAAGAAUUAUGUCCUCAUCUUAACACUCAGUUAAGGCGACAUAUGUGUUUUAAGCUUGAGCUCCUAGAUAAUAAGCUUAAAAACAGUCUCAUCUCUAUUUAUCACACAGUAAAUAGAGGCGAUUACCCGUGUGAGUGGGCUAAUCUUUUAUCUGUCCGACAUACUUCCUCAACUUAUAAUAAUACACUGAGUAUUAAGAUGCAUAAAGAUCAUACAAAGAUUCAUAGGCAUUAAUCAAUGAAAAACAAAAUUUCAUAAAUGUGAACAACUCAGGGAAAUUACAACUCAGUACAUCAGACUCUACGCAAUCCUAGAGAUUUUACAUGACCACAAAACACAUCUCUAGGUAUUGGCUUUGUCAUAGGAUCUGCUACCAUUCUAUGCGUAGAUAUGUACUGCAAGUUCACAUCCUUUCGUGCAACCAUAUCUUUUACAAAGUUAUACUUGGUAUCUAUAUGUUUGGUCUUGCCAUGAUACUUUGGAUCUUUGGUGUAUGCUAUAGCUGCUUGGCUAUCACAGUUAACCAAUAAUUGAUUUGCAGCUUUCUCAAUAACACCUAAAUGAUCCAAGAAUCUCUUAAGCCAAACUCCUUGUACUGCUGCUAAUAAUGCCACAAACUCAGCUUCCAUCGUGGACAAGGCUAUACACGUUUUCUUCUUACUACUCCAUGAUAUGGCGCCAUUGCUUAGUAAGAAAGAAAAUCCUGAGGUAGAUUUUCUUUCAUCUAAAUCUCCUCCCCAAUCAGCAUUUGAAUAGCCUUCAAGUCGCAUAUCCUUUCCAUGGUAAUUCAACUUGAAAUCAACAGUUCUCUUUAGAUACCUCAAUAUUCUCUUAACGGCUUUCCAAUGUGCUGGACUUGGGUUGGAUUGGUAUCUACUCACCAUUCCAACUGCAAAACAUAUGUCGGGUCAUGUACACAUCAUAGCGUACAUCAAGCUCCCAACAGCACUAGCAUAAGGAACAUGUUUCAUUUGUUCCUUCUCUUGUGGAGUCCCUGAACACAGUCUAUGGCUCAAUCCUUCACCCUUUGCAAUAGGAGUGUCUAUGGGUUUACAAUCUUGCAUACGAAAUCGUUCAAGAACCUUAUUUAUAUAUGUUUCUUGCGAAAGAGACAACAAUCUCUUCAAACGAUCUCUUGAAAUUUUAACUCCAAGAAUGUAUGCAGCUUCACCCAUAUCCUUCAUCUCAAAGUUGGAAGACAACCAACUCUUGACAGUAUUAACCAACUCCAUAUUGCUUCCGGCAAUCAGUAUAUCAUCAACAUAUAAUGAUAUGAUCACAAAUUGAUCCUUGGAUCUUUUGAUAUAUACACAAUGAUCCUCUUCAAUCAUUGUAAAAUCAUAUGCCAUUAUGGCAUUAUGAAAACGUAUAUACCAUUGUCUCGAUGACUGCUUGAGGCCAUAUAUCGAUCUCAAAAGUCGACAUACCUUUUCUUCUUGGCCUUUCACUAUGAAACCAACAGGUUGUUCCAUAUAUAUAUUUAUUCCUCUAAUUCUCCAUUGAGGAAAGCAGUCUUUACAUCCAUUUGAUGUAACUCAAGAUCCAGACUAGCCACUAUUGCCAGAAUAGUGCGAAUCGAGGUAAAUCUCACUACAGGAGAAAAUGUAUCUUCAUAAUCAAUUCAUUCCUGUUGAUUAUACCCAUUCACUACAAGGCGAGCCUUAUGCCUUUCUAUCGAGCCAUCAACCUUUCGCUUUAUUUUAAGAACCCAUUUGUUCCUAAUAGCUCUGCGUCCUUUUGGAAGAUCAACCAGUUCCCAGACUUAGUUUGAUUUCAUUGACUCCAUUUCCUCUUCCAUUGCAUUAAUCCAUUUUUCCUUACUAGGGCAAUUUAGAGCAUCAUUAAUAUUUCUUGGCUCAUCCUCAUCUUGUUAAGCAACCAUAAAAUUUUCCCCUUCAAUGUCAAAACGGGGAAUACUUUGGCGACUUGUUCGCCGUAUGGGAGAUUGUACACUAUGCACAUCAUUUCCCAUCAUGCUUCCACUUGGAUUAGGUAAUGAUGAUGUCGUCUCAUCAUGUGGUUGUAAUUGAGAAUGAGUUGAAUUCAAUUCAUCACUUCUCAUAUUACUCCCACCUCGGAUAAACUCCACUAACAUCAUUAUCCUGAUCCAAUGUUUCAAAUAGGGAGUGAUCUUCCCCUAUUUCGCCCUUCUUAGAAAAUUCAUCCUUUAAGAAUGUGACAUCUCGUGAUUCAAAUUCAGUUAUACUCCCACUUUCCUGCUCACCUAUGAACACAUACCCUUUUGAGUGUUCCGAGUAUCUUAUGAAAAUACUCUUCUUUCUUCUGGGACCUAAUUUCCCAAACUUAUGAGAGGACUCAUGUGUAUAGGCAGCACAACCCCAUGGCUUAAGAAAGCUUAAGUCCAGUUUUCUACCUGUCCAUAACUCAUAUGGAGUGGAAGUAACUGAUUUGGAAGGCACACAGUUAAGUAUAUAGGCAACAAUUAACAACGCAUCACUCCAAAAGGUAAUAGGUAAGUUAGCAUGCGCCAUCAUGGACCUAACCAUUUCCAGUAGGGUUUUGUUCCUUCUCUCCGCAACACCAUUUUGUUGAUGAGUAUACGUAAUAGACAACUGUCUUUCUAUUCCUUUUUCAUCACAUAAUUUUCUGAACUCAUCAGAUAAAUAUUCCCGACCUCGAUCGGAUCUCAAUGCUUUUAUUUUCUUGUCUAAUUGAUUAUCUACCAAGUUCAUAAACCUUUUGAAACAACUUAUUGCUUCAAAUUUAUGAGAAAUCAAAUAGACAUAUCCGAAUCGAGUAUAAUAAUCAAUAAAGGUGAUGAAAUAAACAGCCCCAUACCUUCCUUUCACAUUCAUUGGACCACAGACAUCAGAAUGGAUUAAAUGCAGAGGAAAUUCAGCUCUUUUUCCUUUUCCAAAUGGUUUCCUUGUCGUUUUCCCUUCUAGGCAAUGCUUACAUAUGGGCAAAUCGACUUUUUCAAUGUUGCCCAACAAGCCCUCUUUGGCUAGUCUAUUCAUACGCUGUUGGCCAAUGUGACCAAGUCUAGCAUGCCACACAUUCACAUCAUUAUCAUAUGUAUUAGGAGACGUGAGAAGGGAAUAACAAACAUUUGCAUUAACAUAAUCAAUAUCUAAUACAAUGAAACCAUCCAGAAAAUAACCACAACCAUAGUAAUUUGUAUCCAAAAACAAAUUCACACCUCUACUAUAGAAGUUCAUAUUAAAACAUAAUUUAACCAACACUAAUACAGACACUAAAUUCCGACGAAUCUCCGAAGCAUACAAUACAUCAUGAAGGAACAAAGUGCGUCCACCACGCAUAUUCAGUUGGCAUGUGCCAAUUCCUUUCACUUCAGCUCUGGAGUUGUUUCCCACAUAGAUCCACUUAGUUUCAGAUGGUACUCGUCGGAAUUCCACGAAGGAUCCUCUAUCCUUCGCUACAUGGUCCGUCGCUCCUGAAUCCACAGUCCACAAAGGAUUAUAUUCAGUUAAGAACACAGAACUCGACACAAAAGCAAAGUUCUGAAAAGUACAAGGGGUGCAUACCUUCUUUGGCUCACGACAGUCGCGAGCAUAGUGACCAUUCUUGUCACAGUUGUAGCAUUUCGCCCUUGCAAGCUUCUUCAUGCAAGGACGCUUUCCUCUAUUAUGUUGGUUAAACUUGGGUUUCUUCCAUGAAGGACUAGCUUCUUCCUUGCAUUUCCCUUUAUCAAACCAGUUAAGGCGCUUGCGCUUAGAGCUCGAAGCUCCAUUUGAGCUAGAACUAGCAUGAUAUAUAGUUCAGCAUCCGGCUUAGCCGCCAAGAGGCGGUCCUCUUCCAGCUCAAGAUGAUGCAUUGCAUCCUCAAAGGUUUUGAUAUUUUCAUUAUGGGUCAGGUGCACCUUCAUAUGCUCCCAACUUUGAGGCAAGGAACGAAUCAUUGCUUGCACUUACUGCUCAUCUGUGAGGACAUGGCCAGCAUCUUUCAGCUCAGUUAUCAUGUUUGACAUCUUUCUAAGAUGUUGCUUCAUGGUUUGACCAUGAGGCUUCUUGUAAGAGUCAAACCUGAUAGUGAGCUGCCUCAGUCUGGUCACCGAAGUAUGACCGAAUCUAGCUGCCAAUGCCUCCCACAUUUCCUUGGCAUUGUCAAAAUGCCUAAACUCUCGCAUGACGUCAUUUUCCAUGCUGCUCGGCAACGUGAUGCGAGCUAGAGAGUUCUUUCUUUUCCACGCAGAAAAAGCUUCCUUGUCUCUUUUGUGCUGUGCAGUGGUUCCCUCUUCAGGUUCUACCAUGGUUAGGUUAAGAGCCUCAAGUGCUUCUUGCUCUUCUAGUACAUACUGGAUUUUCAUUUGCCAAAUUUCAUAGUUGUCACCAUUGAGCUUUUCACCUUUGUUCAGCUCGGCAACUAUGCUCUUUGUGGCUGAAGCCAUUGAUCUGAACACAUCAGACAAAUAUGCACGAAUUAUUAAUGUCUAUCAUUUAUGCAUCCCUAUUUACAUAGACUCAUCAUAUUAAUGAACAAUUUCAAGUAAUGUUUUAAAAUCAAAAUGUCACUAUGUUUCCAACCAUCCUCCAAAAAUCCUAACUUAAAACUAUCAUUAAUAUGAUUGUCAUAUGCAAAAUCAAUUCUAUGAAGCUACAAAAACUUCUAAAACUACCCACAUCUAAUUACCCACAGCAACUAGCAAUAACAGAAAGCAAUAGAUAAUUGAUAUCCAAUAAAACAAUAAUGCUUUCAACUAAUACAACUAACAUAUAUGUUGUUACAACAACAACAAUCAGGUAGUUAAUAUUACAUAAGAUGUCCACAAAGCACACUUAACUGAGAUCAGCCAAUACAACUAACACCAAGUCAACACACGAACUGGGAAAGAUCCUCUUUUGUUCAAUUUCUUGAUAUUUUCCCUUGUCACAAUACAGUAAUAUUCAUUUACAAAAUCCAUUACAAUUUUCUUAUAAGAAGCAGCUCUAUUGACAUCCCAUAUGCGAUUCAACACAUCUUGCCAUUCAAGUGGAAGAGUGUUUAUGAAAAAUCGCACCAUCUCUGACUGUGGCAUAGGACGACCAUUCCAUAUUACCUUUUGAAUUUUUCCGUUGACUGCAAGGACGUGAUCAAUUAAGUCACCACUCUCCCAUCAAUGAUCAGUUAGCUCAACUAUCAACUUAGACAGUCUUUCCUUUUGUUCAUCGGUAAUUGCGCGAAUAGGUGUGCGCAACCUCAGGGGAGGCAUUGUUCAUACAACAAAUGCAGAACAAAUAAGGGAUCACAUAUAAUCCACAUAUACGUAAUUGAAAAAGAAACACAUUCUUCCCCCCCCCUUUUUUUUUUGGUCAACGGUCAACGGUCAACGGUCGUCGGUCGUCAGACCGGUCAGACCGGUCAGGCCGGGUCGGACGGACCAACCGCACAUGCCGCGCGCAUGCGCGGGCUGACGUCACGCAGAUGUCAGCCAGCACGUGCCGCACGCGUGCCAGGCGUCCGCUGGUCGGGUCGCCGGCCGGUGACCGCCCGGCCAACCGUCAUCGGUGCUAACGUCAUCGAUGACGUCAUCCCAGCGGUUACUGACCGUUGAGUGACGUCAACAUGCGUCGGUUCGCCGACCGGCGUGUGUGCCGCACGCGCUGGGCGAGCCAGCGCUUCCGGGCGCGUCGCACCCACGCGCAGCGCCUUCUGGCCGCGCAUGUGGGCGCAUGCGGCGUCGCCUGGCGGCGCACGACGUAUCCCCAGACUCAUCUCGACGUCGCAUUUCUUCCUAUGUCAUCAGAAUUCGAUUUCGACUUACGCAAACUCGGAAAAAAGGACGUACAAUGCUCGGGUGUCGGGAUUUCACGCCUCGAUUCGUACGGCCGAAAAGUUUUUUGCGAAAAAUCAAUCAAAAAACGUCAAACAGGUCGGGAAAACGUGAACUAGGGCUCUGAUACCAAUAUUGGAAAUAACGGAUCCCCAAAAAGCGGAUUCGACACUGAAUCGAACCCUUUAAAUCAAUGCGGAAGCAAAGCCCGGGAAAACAACACGUAUCACCGAUCGUAAAGCACACCACGGAUUCGAGCGUACCUUGUUAGCCACAAAUUAAACACCGACGCCGAUAGAGGAAGAGAAACUUUGUGAUGUUUGAGCUGAUGAAGCAAAAUCGCCUUUGAAGGGAAGAAAAACGCGCCGUAUGCUUUACUAUUUUUCCUUUUCUUUUUGGAGAGAGAGAGAGAGCGCGAGAGAAGACGUACGUACGUUUUUUUUAUUCCAACCGGUAUCAUCUCUCUCUCUCUCCUCCCUUUUAUACCUUCCCCCAUCCAUGGGCCCAACUUGGGCGGACGGGCCUUAAGCCCAUCUUAUAUAAAACCAUCACGAGUAAAUUAGGGCUCUAUUCUUCAAAUUCAUUCUACAUUCGAGUCUAAAAUUAGGAGUUCCUCAAACUAGCAAUUUAUUGCCCUUAAAUCUACACCUUCUAUGCUUCCCUCGCGAGCAUUGGCGAGAUUUCUGCGUGUUUGAGCUCUCAUAGAUGGAGAUGAUAUGUUGUGUUCAAGGUCUCAUGUUGAAAUUUCUUUGGGUAGAGAUAUCUUUGUAACAUUAGGUACAAUUUUCUACCAGGAAAAAGGGAGAAAUCACGGAACUUGAAAAUAAUUCGAGAAUUCCACGCCGUCAAAAAUAUGAAAAGUCACUUUUACGCCUUGUUUGCAAUAUAGUCUAGACUGUUUGAGGAAUCACUUGUAAUCUUGAUUGGUUAAGUGUUGCUGGAAGGACAAAAAUUUAUUUUCAAUUAAUGCUAAAUCUUUUCAUAGCAAGUCAAACUAUUGAAGUGUACUUAAACUAUCUCUAAAGUAGUCAUUUUUUAAGUAUAGGCUGGUCCAAGCAUUCAAGAAGAUUGAGGCAUCAUCAGCUGGUUUUUAUGAUCCCAUGUGCCCAAAGCCUCUCACUGCUCUUACAUUGGCCAACAAAUUUCAAAUGGAGCAUCCCUUUGUCAAAGAUGGUGAUGAGGCCCUCUUAUGUUUAGUUUGGCUUGGUAUGAUCCCAUGCUUACUGACCCAAACUCGCACGUCUGAAAAUCAAACAUAUGGAUGCUGUUUAUAUCUUUGCUUAUACUCUAGUAUAUAUCCAAGUUGACUUAAUGUAGUAAAUCACAUGACAUGUUAUUCUCCUUGAACUAUUCCUAAGUGUAUGUCAAAAAUCAGAUAUAUAUCUUAACAAUGGAGUAAUUGAAGGAGGGAAAAGAAUGAAAGGACAAUUAUUGUGACCUAAGUUGGUCGUUGAGGUUCGGAAACAUAACAGUUCUCCUUUUUUGUGGAUAGACGUUUAAGAAAACAAUUGCUGAGGCGAGCCUUAAGAAUUAUAAUCCAAGUCCUCUUACAUGGAGAAAAUUGACGAUGUUAUUCAAUGCUGUAAAUUUAGAUUAUAUACGUAAAUCAUCAUACAAGGGGACUAGUUGAUAAGGACAAGCAAAUUGCAAUAAUGUCAUUACCUCCAUGACUAAAGGGAAAGACCUGAAAGAUAAGGGGGUGGCUAGUUAUCAUAGUGACGAAUAAUUUUAAUGCUAAAUAGGAGAUACUGUUUUAUUUUGUUAUACAUAUCAUAUAUUUGAGGGGAAAAAAAAAAGCUUACUUUACUUUGUCAUAUAGAACCAAUAGUUUGAUAAAUCAUUAAAUUUAGCUGUGAUUGAAAGAAUUGAACAGCUUAGUCUAAAUUUUCAAUUCCAUCCAUGUUCGACUCUUAGAUGUCUUUGCUUUUUCCCUUGCGGUUGUGGUCUGCAUGGCUAAAAUGCAUGUCUGUUAAAUUUAUAUAUGACAUGGAAGGCUUCUUCUGGUUAUGUACCCUAUUGCACUCUAGGAGUGUAUAUUUUGACAUUUGACUUCAUAUUGCAUGUUGAGAUUGAUGACUUUCAUUAUAUGGUUUAUUGUUGAUUAAAACUCCUGGAACCAGCAACUACUGCCUUAAAUUCAUGCUUUGUGUGAUUUGAUUCUCUCAUAAUUGUAUGCUUUUGUUUUGGUCUUUCUUCACCAUAUGUUGGUUUUUCAACCAUGUAAACAAGGAGACUGCUCCUGCUCAAUUCAUCAGGCAACAUAUUCAGGAAAACAAGUAAAUUGCGACUCUUGGGUAUUCAGGCAGGGUGUGGACAGUGAAGCUCAAGAGCUGUAAACGUGACCAAAGGGGCAUUUUUUUUUUUGGCUGGUUGGUCCUCAUUUGCAAGAGAAAUUCGUCUGCAUGUAGGAAUGUUUGUGCGUUUGAGCUCAUUGGGAGGAUAUUGUGUUCAGAGUCUACAUUUCCACUAGUGCUGGUAAGGACUUGAUUUACUUAACAAAGAUUAACUCUAAAGGUUUCACUUUGGUUGGUCCAAAAUAAAUGCUGUACUCCUAAUAAUAUCUCCUUUUAUUUUGUCUUGAUGAAUCAAUGAAGUAUACUUAUAUUCUGAUUGGGUUUGUGAGGUUCAUAAUAAGCUAGAUGCACGCUCAUUAAUGCCACAUUCCAAAUCUAAAUGAACCAAAAAGGAUGUGCUUCACGAUGUCUUGAUUUAUGCGUUCUUGUUGUUCAAUUUGAAUUUGAAAUCAAGUGUCAUAGGCUUAUGAUAAUUUAUGGGUUUUAUUUUUCUCACAGGGAUUACCAGAGAGGUUCAUGAGAAAAUAUGGUGAGAAUCUCUCUAAAAGGAUGCUCCUGAGAGUGUCAACUGGUGCAAUUCAUUGGCAUGCAGAAUAGGAAAAAUGUGAUGAGAUGGUUUCGUUAUCAAAGGGUUGGAAUGAAUUUGCAGAGCAUCACUCUAUAUGUGAGGGCCAAAUUUUGGUCUUUGAUUUGAAUGGACUCCCUUUUCCAUGUAAUAAUAUUUGAUUAUUGCACGUCUAAGAUAGAAUACUUGCCAACAAAUGCUGAUCUGAGGAACCAAGCUUGGCAAUUGUGGAUUUGUCUUGCUGGAAGUGAAUUGCAUUCACCCAAGUGUCCUCAUCUUUGUAAGGCAAGGAAUCUCAUCAGGUGUGCAGAGUUCAUGGCCCAUGUACAAUCAUCAGCAGAGUUUGGGGAGAGAUGGCGAACUGCUCUUCAUGAGAUUUUCGAGGUGUAAAUCUUAAUCUACUACCGAAUUCUCUCCUUGAUUGUGUUGUUCUCCUGUUUGAUUUGAAUUUCAUACAGGAACUCUCCAUGUCGUUAGGCUAAUAGAGACUGUGUUAGUGCUAAUUCAUCCUUGUAGUGUUUUUUUCUGUCUUUAGCUUUUCCGUGUGUGCAUUUGUAUGUGUUGGGCGAUUUCAUAAAUGUCAAGCCAAUGGAAACAAGUGAAACUAAUAGUGUCAAUUUUGAUUGUGCUGAAAAUGAUAUUGGUGUCCACAUGCCUUAUAGGCCCUGGAAGCUAGACCACUUGAAAGACUCAGAUCUAUUGAUUUGCCGUUGCUAUGUCAGUAGAUAUGAGUUUCACUUAACAAGAAUAGGAUAUGCCUAGAGAGCAAAAGCUUUCUUCAUGUUCUGUUUGUGAUUACUGCAGGUAAGCUGAAAGAGCCAUGAUUUUGCAGAGCUCUUGAACUGGCCAGGUAUCCUUUCUUCCAAAGUGCAGUGAGGUGAAUGUAUUGGAGAAAAGCAACGUGGUAAGAUCCUCAUGACAAUGACAACUCUUGAAUUUAAAUACCAUAUAGUUGCUAGACUAUGCUAGCUCUAGGCUAAUCGUACAUCAUGUCAGGGUUUUUGUUUUUAUCCUUCACAUGUAUUGUCGUCCUUAGAAAUCAUUGGUUGUUUUAUUCUUUUUUAUGACAAAAUUGCGAAACAUCUACUUAAGCAGAUAGUUCCUGGUUCAUUGUCACAGAUACACAUCAAGAAAAGUCCGCAGACCAUGGCUCUCAUAUUUCCCGACAAAUCUUGGCUGGUGAAGCUCGUUAGUCAUGAACAUUAUGGGAAGUUAUUUUCCGGUUGGGCCACAUUAACAAGAGAAACUUCUCUGAAGGUAGGAUACAUACUUGAUUGAGCUUAUUAGAAGGGAUGGUAUCACGUUCAGAGUAUCCAUCUUCAGAAUCACUGAGAAGACUUGGGGUCAGAAUAUUAUGCAAAAGGACACAGCAAAGGAAGAAUCCUUUAGGCCAUUUUUGGUGUGAACAUAACUUCAGAAUUUUGCUAGGCUGAAAUUUGCUUCCAAUUCGGCAAAUCAGAUAAAGAGCGUGAGUUUUGUUCUAAUGAAUGGAAUGGUCCUGAAUGUGGAUGAUACCUUCCCUUGAUCUUAGUGUUAGGGCCUGUUUAGCAACGUGCCAAACAGUGCCAGAUUCUGAUUUUUUGUUCCCAGAAUCAGUUUGGGACGAGAAUCGCGUUUGGUAAAAUUUUUGUUCCCGGGAACAAUUUUGGACAAGAUUUGAGAAUAAAAAAAAAUUUUGAUUCUCUGUCCGAGAAUCAAAAAAAGAAUCAAAACGGUAAAACCCUCGCUCUCCCCUUUCGUCAUCCCGGUUGCCGUCCGCCAUCGCCCGCCGCCGUCCGCCACCACCCGCCGCCACCCUUCCUUCUCGGUCGCCGGUCCAGCGAGGUCGUCGGAGGCUCGCCAGGCCAAGGCGAGGUCCAGCGAGCUCGCCGGAGGCAAGCCCAACCACCGGCGAGGCUGGGCGAGGCUCGGCCUCGCCAGAUCGGGCGAGGUCGAGCCUUGCCGAUGGCUGGGCGAGCCUCGCCCAGCUGCCGAUGAGGCUCACCUGGCCACCGGCGAGGCUCGGCCGACGAAGGCCGACCUCGCCAAGGGCUGGCGAUGCUCCGGUGAGCGUCGCCGGCCCUCGUCUGGCUGGUCGCCGGUCUGGCGACCAACCAAAUGAAGAAGAAGAAGAAGAAGAAGAAGAAGAAGAAGAAGAAGAAGAAGAAGAAGAAGAAGAAGAAUAGGAAAACGGAGAAAAAAAGAAAAAAAAAAGGAAAAAAGAAAAGUAAAAAAAAAUUAUUUAAAAUUUAUUUAAAAAUCAAAAGAAAUUAAUUUGGAACAGAAUCAAUUAACACGGUAUCAAACGCAAUUCUAUUCCAGAAUAAAAACUUUUGGACAGUUACCAAACGCACUUUUUUACUCAGAAUCAGUUCCCGGGAACAUAAUCAAAAAUAAUCAUUUCUAGUCAGAAUCAGCUCCCGGUAACAGAAUCGUUGCCAAACGCGCCCUUAGCUGUCAUCAUGUGGGCACGAGUCAUGAGAUGGAGGAAGCUGAUUGCCAAUGUCAAAUUAAGUGCUUCUUCAAUGUUUCUAGUGGCUCAACCUGACAUUUGGAGCUGUAAAGUGUAGUAACAUCGAAUGCACUUCCCUUCAGCCAUAUUACCAACUCUGAAUUUCAAGGCACAACCCAUGGUUUUACAAAGUUUAAUGUGGACAUACAUUAGAUUCUUUUCAUUUUCUCCUUUCGAAUUCAUGAAGAUUCUAUAAUGAGCCUUUUUUUCCAUGUGGGCUGCGCAAAUUGAAGUUUCUGAGUUUCUUCUCAUGUGGAGCAUUUUAGAACUUAUUUUGUCAAAUGAACUGAGUCUUGAAAUGCGUGUCAAAGCAAUUUGGAAUGAAACAACCUGGUAAGGGGGACCAGCAAAUGACAUACGUCGGCAUCGUCUGAAUGUCACAAGGAACCGGCUAUCUGCAGGUAUUUCUUGAAGCAGCAACGUUCAUCAAGGAGAGUUCGGAGUUCGGCCUGAAUGACUUUUGCUUGAGAAAGAGACCAUGGGUCCUGACUCCUGAGCUUCAUCAACUCAUUCCAAAUAUGUUGGUCGAUUUUUGCUUUGUUAUGCUCUCUUCCACUUCAUCGCGUCCUUCGGAUUCCGUUGCCGUUGUUUAGGCCCACGUGCAAAGGGGAUGUUUGGAUAUGAUAUGCCGAUUCGAAGGAUGAGAUUUCUCGAUUCCACUCUCGGUCUUCCUGCUGGUGCGGUGUACCAGCAUUGACGUGGAUGUUGGUCCGUCAGCUGACAAUUAUGUGGGCAACUAUUAAUAAUAUUUUAUUUUAUUUUAUUUUUUGAUUUUUUAUUAAUUUUUUACUUCAUCGACCAAUGCAAUCGGAGGCCAAUUGAGUCAUCAUCGUUUGAGACUACAAGCCAAGGGCGUGAAGAUUGGCGGCGAGCUUGAAGAGAAAACAAUGAGAGAAUGCAGUGCAAAGCAAAGCCCGUGGAGAUGAUGGCCAAUCGUGUUCAUUUACAAAGGGAAAUUUCCACUUUUAUCUCUCGCAAUUUCAACUCCAUAAAAACAUUUUAAUUUUUCCUUAAGUCUUUCAAUUUGAGAUUUCUAUGUAAGUUCUUUCUUAUUGGAAAGCAAAUUGAACUAAGUUCAUUUCCAAUUAUCGAGAUGUCAUCCAUGUAAAUUAACAUCAUGAUAAAUGAAUUUCUUCUCCUAUUUACGGAGUAAAUCCUAACUUAAACAAUGUCUCGGAUAAAUGCACAUAAGACCUUUCAAUAGUUUAUCUGCACUUUUUGCCUUAACUAGUCCUACAGAUUUUAUCAUACAUUUGUUGACAAAUAUGACAUGAGUACUCACAGGUUGCACAGUCUUUACCACCAUAUCAAGGUUGAGCAUACGAAUGACAAGAGUCAUGACACCAUUUGACAAAUGACAUCCUAUUCCGACAAAGUCGGCCAUACUAAGGGUUCAAUAAGUUGAGAACAAAUCAAAUUUAUGUAAUAUCAUUUUGUGGUUUUAGGAUUGAAUCGUAUCUACAUACUAAUCUAGUUCGAGCAUUUCAUCAAACAAGUAAUAUGCAUUUUGAUCAAGGAGCUCAUACGCAAAUGUACGGCAACGAUUGACUUUUAGAUCAUCACGAAAAUAACAGUACAAGUUCUAGUUGCUAAUAGAGCUUCAAUCUCAACUGAUUUACUCACAGACAUUAGCUAAAGCUAACAGGCUCUGUUUCGUUCAUGAGCGGCAGAAACAGAGUGUGUGGGAUUUACCUUGAUGACAUUUAAGUUUUUAACCUCGGACGGUGAUCAGAUCAUUGACAAAGUUCCCAGUGGUGUCAACGCCGAUGAUCGAGGCCAGCGAAAGGGGAACAACCAAGGUUCGUGAACUUGCGAGCGUCCUGACCAGAAAACAGAGCAAAAAGAGAGUUGGCCUGACUACAACGAAACCGGCAAUGGCGGAGCGGCUACAGGGGUGGCUAACGGUGACUGAAGGACGACGGAGAAGGAGAGCCGAUCAAGAAGCCUCAAGAAUUCUCGAGAAAGAGAGUUUCUUCGUCAGGUUCAGCGUAUGCAUACUGUUGUGUUAUCGCUGAGCCUGUGGUGGCCGUCAACGGUGGCUCAACCGUGGCUGGUUUGGCGAUUGGAGAUGGCGGACGGUGGAUUUCUGGUGUCGAUUAGUAAUGGAGAAUCUUCUGGAACUCGACUGAUCGAGAGGGAGACGGAGAGGGAGAGGGAGAGACUGUGGAUUGAGGGCUGCGGUGAGGGAAAUUGUCUGGGCCGAGGUUUACUCCGAUGGGCCUGGCAUGAUCUGGGCUACGAUUGUGGAUCAGACCCAAUAGAUUGGACCAGGCCCUCUCAAUUCUGACCGAGUGGGAGCUUUUUUAUUGCUUUUUUUUUUUAAUUUUCUUUAUUAUCUUAUAUACCUUUACAAAAAAGCAUGUUCAACUUGCUGGCAAAAGAAUAACUUCACAACCGACUCUGCCAUAAUUCCUUAUCUGUGCAAUAUUGCAACAUUAUUCAGUGAGGAUAGUUAUCACACCUAGCUCUAUAAUCCUUGAUUUGAAUUUGAGCAUUGAUGGCAUGGUUGCACUCAUGCUUGAGUUGAUUUCUUGCAAAAUCAAUUAGGUCAAUAGCCCGUUGCACACUCCCUGACCAAAGCAAUUGGCAUGCCAAAUGUGGCUUCGUUAGAAUAGGCAAACCCCUCAAGUUUAGUAAUAAACCUCGUAUCGAGACAUAAUCCAAAACUUGUGAGUAAGUUUUCAAUUUGCGGUUCUCCAUUGCAAGACUUUCGGGACACUUGUAUGAUACUCAAAUUACAUAAAUUGCCCAUGACCAUAAGUGUAAUUCUAUGUGAUGUAGUUCUUUGAUUCACUUUUGUUUAUACUAUAGAGAAACACACCACGUCAUUGGAAUUUGGCUAUAAAAAGUACUCAUUCUCAUAAGACACUCCAUCACUUUUGAUUGAACGUGAAUUUGCAUGGCUUUCAUUGUUUCCAAAUUUGAGCGUCUUCCAUUUCAUGAAUAGGCGAAUUUCGCAUUUGUCAUUAAAGACAAAUUUCAUGACGUCCUUGCAAACCCCCAAUCUCAUUACCUUGUAUAAAUUGGAAUCUUCUUGUUGAAUGUCUUAUUUCUAUCUGUUUAUUUCCUAAAAUUCGCAGGAGCUAUAAUUGCAUAAUAUAUUGUAUCCCCAUAAAUUUAAUUUGUGUAAAAUUUCCAAGACCCUCCUCAUGUUUGUUGCCCAGUUCACACACCACUUUGCAUGCUCUUGAUAUUUAAAAUUCCCACUUCGCAUCUUAAGAUUGACUAAAAAGACCGAAUCACCCUUCAAUUAAUGUACAUAAAUUCAAUCGGGGCGAGAAAAGCGGAAGGGCAUUUUUUAAAAGAAAAAUGACGGUCUAAUUUUAAACUCUAAUAAAUAAAUUCUAAAUGAUGCACAAUUAAUUGAGUUUCAUGCAAGUUAUAUCACCCUUUUUUUUUUUUUAAGAAAACACACCUCGGAGAAUGUCUCCAUCAAAUAAUACCCAGACAAACCUCAUGAAUUAGAUAAUAUAGGCGAGAACCCUAAUGAAUUAACCCAAGCAAAAGGUGACUUGCAAUUGUUGGUGUGAAAAAACUGAUUCAUGUGAGUUUCCUAUGGUACUAAGCUUAAGAAAUUUCUAUGUGCACAUUAACACUACAUUUGUUUCACGGAAAACAAGUUCUGAGGAAACGUUUUCCGAAUUUUCCGACAUUCGUUUCAUAGAAAAUAAGUUGAUUGGAGAAUACAUUUUCCGUCAACAAAAAAAAAAAAAAACUUCUUCAAAAGUGGGGAAAAUGUUUUCUCUUUUCUUUCAUCCCCUUUCUUUCACUUCUAAACCAAACGCUUUUUUUCACCAAACACAUUUUCCUUUUAUUUUUAUUAUUUUAUCUUAAAAUAAUUCGAAUUUUUAAUUAUUUAAAAAAAAUCCUUCUUCUUCGUACUCUCCUCAUGUCCGCGCACGGUUGGCAUGUAUCCGCACACCGCUGCAUGCACCGUGGCCGAAGCACUCGGCCACGGUGGGAAGAAGCAUGCGUAGUAGUCGAACCCCUUUUCCGCGACAGUGGACCUCAGAUCGCACAGGAUGGCGUAGAAUGCCACAGCAUAAUUGUCCUGAUCAGAGUACUGCUCUCCACUGCAUACCUCGUCCACAAAAGUCAAGCGUCCGAGUAGCAGAGCAUCGACGCUCACGAGGCGCGUGCAUUCGGGAAGAGGAACACACGAACGGGAGCCUCAGCAGAAAAUUCUCUAUCGGAUCAACCCCAUUUCCAGACGCUACUCCACCUUCGCUCUCUCUCCGUCGCCUCAGUCCACCGGUUGCUACCGUCGCUGAUCCUCCAUCGCCAGCCAGAACUCUUAUGCACUCGGCACAAAUCACACACGGUGGGGAGGCUCAGAGGUUUCUGAACGUCCAGAGAGUUAUGUCUCUCGGCUUCUUGCUUCGUAUGGUGACCUUCAACAAACCUCCCGGCACCGUUAGCAUCAUCUCCGAUCAUUGCUCCACCAGCAGGCCGUAGCUCUGUUAGCACCUGUUUUCCAGUGAGUUUGCUCGGACUGCUCUGAACUUGUUCGUUUCUCCUUCGCUGGCUCCGAUCCUCAGCAUCAUUGUCUCAGACAACCUCUUCCUCUCAUCCGAUAGUCCUUCGUGCAUCGGAUAAAAUAAAAACUAUAAUCUUCUUCUUCGUUCUUAGUUUCAUGAAGAGAGACUUAGGCAUUUUUGUGUGAUUUUUAUUGUCAAAUUCACUGCUGGCGUGUCCACGCUACAAGUGCUUUGUAUGAUCAUCGCUGAAGUGUUCACCGUGAAGUGUUCACAAUAACAAACUGAAUCACAAAUCAACAUUCACUGCAAUGCAUGUUUGUCUGUUAGAUGGUCGAUACUUGUUUAGUUCUUCCUGCAAAAUGUCUUGCAAAGAUGACUCCGUCUACAUCUAUGUUACUUUGAGAUCGCCAAGUGUAGGUUGCUCUCUUUGGCGGUUUCCGGAGUAAUGUUCCAUAAACUGUACAAUCUGUUCUACUGGGAGAAGAAAGAAAUUCUCAGCAUUAUCUCCCGAAUGCUGAAAAUAUAUUUUCUGCAUUCUGUUAUGUCAUUCUUCGUUUUAAAUUCGAAAUCAAGUUCCGUAGGCUUAUUAAAAUCAUGGGUUUUAUUUUUUCAUGGGGAACUUCAAAGAGGUUCAUGAGAAAAUAUGAUCAGAAUUUCUGAGAGUGUCCAACGGUGCAAUUAUUUGGCCUAUGGAAUUGGGAAAAUUGCGACGAAAGUUAGAAUGAAUCCAUGAAAUCGUACUUGAUAAAAGCUUGUCCAAGAUAGAAUAUCCGCGAUUGACAGCGAAUGCCAAUGGUGAGGAACAGAGCCAUGGCUAUUGUGGAUUUGUCUCAAUGAAAGUGGAAGACGUCGGCGACGGCCAUGAUGUUUUGGUCUGAGCUUGAAGUCUUGGGGGAUGAAUUUCAUUCACCUAAGCAUCCUCAGCUUUGUGAGUUUGUGAAGUUCAUGGCAGUUCCCAUUCGCGUUAAUUUUAGCAGAGAGUUUGGGGAGAGACAGAUGCUCGAACUGCUGGUCACAAGAUUUUCGAGGUGCGAGUUAAUCCACGAGCUAAACCUCCCCAUGCGACGGACUGUGCUGUUCUCUUGUUUGAUUCAAAUUCCGUACAGAAUUUGUAUGUGUUGGGGAGAUCUCGGAAAUGUCAAGCUAAUGGAAACAAACUGAAUCGGUCAUAUAGGAUAUGAUUGUGCUGGAAAAUGGCGUUGGUGUUGUGCUUAUAGGUCUCCAAAGCUAGACCAUUAAAAAGAUUCGAUCUAUCGUUUUUAGGUCGCUACGCCGGUAGAUACCAGUUGCACAUAACAAGAUAUGCCUAGAGAUUGAAAGCUUUCUUCUCUUGCUUUGUUUGCAAUCAAUGCAGGUAAAGCUGAAAGAGCAAGGUGCGUGCAUAGCCCUCAAACUGGCAAGCAAUUUAAAUCCAAGUAUUCUAUCUUGCAACUUGCGGUUUGGCAAAUAUAUCUGAAGAAAACAAUGUGGUCAAAUCCUCAUGGCCAUAUGACAGCUCUUGGAUUUAAAUCGGAUAAUUGAAACAUAGUAAAUGAAAACAUCACCUAAUAAACCAAGCUUAUAAUCAAGGGAGAAAGUAAGUAAAUAUGGAAAUUAAAGUCCGAGAAUUCAACUCAAUACAAUGUUGGUUAAAGAAUAUAUAUUGUCUCAUUAUCAAGCCUCGGGACAAAAAAUCUCAUAAGUUAAGUCUGGAAAUUAAAACCAAGCCUAAUGAAGAUAUAUGUCGAAGUGACCCCAGAGUGUAUCCUAAUAUUAAAGCAAAAGGAAUUUUUUAAAAUCAUUUAUUUUCAUUUUUUUUUAUUUUCUUUAUCCAUUUCAUCUAAGAAAAACACAAUGUAAAAUUUCAAUUUAUUUCAAGAUUCAAGAAAUAUGACCUCCCUAAAUCCGAAGAACAUGGAUAAAAUGAAAUUCAAAUAAAAUCAUUCUUAAAACGUAAUCGCCCAAUUGAGACUUGCGUUUUUCUACAAUUUUUAUUUUUAUUUUUAUUUUUAAUUAGUGAAAACAAAACAGGAGAAUUUAUCCGGACACAAAUGUGCCCCAAAUAUAUCCACUCCAGCUUUUUGACUCACGAACAUUAUUAGCUAAAGCUCAUGGGCUCUGUUUUUAGUUCAUAAGCGGCAGAAAUAGAGUGUGUGUAAACCUUGAUGAGAGUGAGGCUUUGACCUCGAUCAGUGAUCAGAUCAGAGACGAAGUCCCUCGAGGUGUCGACAUCAACGAUCGAGGCCGGCGAAGGGGGAGCGACCAAGGGUCCGUGCUCUUUCGGCCGUCCUGACCAGAAAACAGAGCAGAACGAGAGGAGGCCUUGCUGCAAUGAAAUCGGCGAUGGCGGAGUGGCUACAGUGGCGGCUAACAGUGUCUGGAGGACUAUGGAGAAGCGAAAACUGAUGAAGAAGCCUCUAGAAUGCCUAUAUGUGAUGUGCACAAAGAUGAAAUCGUUGUGGGCCUCGAUUCCCUUCUUCCUUCAUGAGCGCACAUAAAGAUAUUGGUUGCAUUUAACGUUUGGCUUAAUGGAUCAGAUGAUACCACUGCCAAGGUUAGCAUUUUCAUACGAGUUGAGGUCCUUUCUUCCGGAUAUUCAUUCUAUUUAGACUGGCCUCUUUGUAAAGUUUCAUCCAUGAGUGUUGCGUUUAUCUAAUCAAUCUCGUGAUUGCACUAAAGAUUAAUUUGUCCCUAUCACUCGUCCUUCUCCCAUUAGAGAUCGAUAUGUGAUCUUAAAUACUGAAAACUCUCUCAUGUGGCUCAUUGAUAUUUAAUUUCUUCAACUUGCUCACGAUCUAGAAAAGACAUAUAGAAAAAGUGAAGACAAAAUAUUAGGUCCCCAACUUUACAUCUGCCUUACAAAUGUUCCUCGGCUAGAUACAAUACAAGAUGGAUUCACUCCUAUGGAACAUAAUUGCAAUGUAUGCAAUUAUGUCCUUUGAUUCGUUGGAUUCGUAUUAUUCAAUUAUGUCCUUUAAUUUGUUGGAUUGGUGCAAUUCAUAAUCUUUUUCUUGUUUGCAUCUCUUCCUUACAUAGCAUAUUCACAGAUGAUUUGGUUAUCGACUCAAAAGUCUCUGCUUACUCCAACAAAUCAAUUAUCGUACUCACAUGAUUUUGGAUUCUCAUUAUAUUAAAAAACAACAAUAUGACAAAAAAAGACAGUGAAUAAUUUGUAUCUCAUAUAUUUUCUUUUUGUCCUUUUUUGUUGGCCUCUGAAUGCGUAUUGUACUACAUAUUACAUAAUUUCGUUGUGGUUGUGUCCUACGUACGUAUAAUAUAUGCCUUUCAUGAAAAAAGUGCACUAGUCGGGUCCCUUCAUUGAUGCUUCUAAUUUUCAAUUGACUGCAAAUUAUAUGUGGUCUAGCGCGAAUGGGUUGAAGGGCCGAGGCUUAUUUUGAUGGGCUUGGUACGGUCUGGGCUGCACUUGUGGAUCGGGCACAACAGACGGGCCUGGCCCUGUCAAUUCUGACUGAAUUGGACCUUUUUAAUUACUUUAUUUUCUUUCCUCGUUUUUUGUUUGGGUUUUUACUUAUUUUUUACUAUUUUUCAUAUCAUAUUUUUAUAUUUAUUUUUACCAUAGUGCGUGUUCGACUUCCUGGCAAAAAUUCAAGUGUCAAUAGAGGCAACAUUCCAUCAUCUGGCCAAAGAUUUACUUCACAUUGAACUCUACAACUAUCUUUUAUUUGCGCAAUAUUCAUUCAGUGAAAGAAAAGUCCUCAUACUUAACUCUAUAAUCCUUGAGUUGAAUUUCAGUGUGAUAAUGUCGCUGCGCUUGUGCUUGAGUUGAUUUCACAUAGAAUUGAUGCAUUGUGUAUGGCUUGGGCCUUGAAGCACAUCAUUACUGCUCCACCCAUGCAGCACACUGCGGUGGAAUCAUUGUACAUGCUAUAGUAGUUGUACUCAUGCUAGCCAUCUUAGUGCCCAAGUCCUUUAGGAUGAUUUUCACUAUAGUUGCGUACGGAACCAAAGGGAAAUACUGUCGCUUGCUAUAGAUUAUCUUUGACACAGUCGUGUCUACUACAUAGCUCAUUGUGGUGCACAAAAAGAAAGAGCUAGUGAUGCAUACGAUUCCUUGAAAUGCUAUCAUGAUAUUUAUAUAGGUGAUCUGUGUAUUUUCAAGAUUGCUACUUUAUUCAUAUAGUAUUAAUUAUCUUGUGGAUCCAUCCAGGUCUUACAAAGUAAAAGCGUUAUUGCAUAGAUCGAUGUCACUUAGUUAAUAUAACAUGUAGGCAACAUAUGAGCUGGGUAUAACCACAAUGAGUUCACGUCUAGCAUGUGGAAUUGCGAUGAGCAUUUGACAUUAGUGCUGGUGAGAGUUUUAGAGAGCUGGUAUUGAAAGGGGCUAACUCGGAAAGCUAGGGAGUGGCAUAACUUUUUCCCCCUUUGAAAUAUGAAUUGAUCUUUUGUUUACAAGUCCUAAGUUACUCGGUGAAAUCGUAGUACUUAUACAUGAUUCUGCAAUCUUGAAUUGUGCUCCGGCGGUACGUGGACGAACUUUUGUUAUUUGCUUCGGGGUGAUAUUCAUGCAGCCGACACGGUCCGAUUGGGUCAACGCCCGACUACACACUCGAUGGCCAAAGGAAUCCACAUCACCAAAUGGCUUAGCCAGGAUAGUUGGACCCCUCAGUUUCGGUAGUAAGCCUCGUAUCAAUUGAGACAUAGUCCAAAACGCUCACUUAAGUUGUCAAUUUAUGGUGCUUCUCUCCACUACAAAUCUUUUAGAUAAACGAGAUGUCGGAUCACUUAUAGUGCUCAAGCUAUACAAAAUCCCCACGAAUGUAAGUGCGAUUCUUUCUAAUGUAGACAUCUAGCAUAUGUGGUUCAGUGCGAUUCUUUCUAAUGUAGACAUCUAGCAUAUGUGGUUCUUUCAUUCACUUCUGUUUAGAAACGCAAGAUUGGAAUCCAACCAUAGAAAGGACUCGUUCUAAUAGGGCACUCCCUCAUUUGUUAUUGGGUUAGGUAGCUGAUCUCUUAGUCAUUAAUCACGUCAAAUGAAUCUUUGCUUUAAUCAAACUUUAGAGCAAUUCCAACUAAUCGUCCAGCCAUUAUUAUGACAUAGGCAAGAUUAGAGCAAUUCCAACUAAUCGUCCAGCCAUUAUUAUGACAUAGGCAAAAAUAACUUGGUGAUUCUCCAUCAGUCUUGGAAUCUUGACUAAAUGCGAAUCUUCAUUGUUUUCAUUACUUCAAGGUUUGUCAUACAAGACAAAUAUUCUUGACAUCCCUAUAAUGCAACCCCUCAUCUCAUAGCCUUGUAUAAAGUAGAAUCCACAUAUAUAUAUACACAAACAAGAAUGUCUUUUUCAUAUUUGCUUAUUUCCUAAAAUUCACAGGGUAUAAUUGAAUCAAAUAUUAUAUUUCCCUUAAAUUUAAUCCAAAUAAAAUUUUCCAAUACCAUAAUGAUUGGUUCGCAGUUCCCACACCACUUUACAUGCUAGAUGUUUGAAAUUCCUAGUUUGCAUCUUAAAUUAACUUGAAAGACAGAAUCACCAUUCAAUGGUGAACAAAACUUAAGCUGGCGUCAGAAAAGUGAAGGAGCAUUUUUUCAAAAAAAAAAUGAAAACAUAGUCUAAUUUAAACUCUACUGAACAAUAAAGAAUUCUGGAUGAUGCGUGACUAAUCGGGAUUCAUGCAAGCUAUAUUGUUUUUAUUUUCUUUCUAAGGAAACUUUUAUGUUAAUGGAAUUCAUGCAACUAUUGUGCAACCUAGGAAAUUUCUAUGUGCGCACUAAGCGACAAAGAUCCUUUGCCACGGUUUGUGUUCGCGUCAUGCCAUCAGCUCGGGGCUCUGUCUAGCUCGCACUAUCGCUUACUCAGUUCUGCACCACUGUUGACAUCUCGUCGCAUCUAACCAUCUCAGUUGAGAUUUUCCGAGAUUCGACGAGGAUGAAGAACAGAUCUGGGAGAAGGGCAUUCAAAUCGCAUGGCAAUUAAGAACUAAGACGUUGGCAGCAGGAACGCAGAGCUUGAUGCGUGGCGUAGAGCCCCGUCGGGAUCCACAAACACAGCACCGCCACAAGUUCAUGGUCAGCGCGUCGAGGAGAGAGAGAAGAUCGAGGGCCAGCAAAGAUAGAGAAAGAGCGAUGGAGCUUCUGUGUCCCUGGUGACGGUGGCUGGUUUCAGAGGCUAUCGUGGUUGGGCUAGGCAUGCGAGGAAAGUUGCGACGAGAGAAAGAGAGAGGAUUUCUGAUAUAUUUUGCUCAUUUACGGUCAGAAACCAAGUGAGGAUCUUCUUCAUGGAGCACAGUUCGUAGCAGAUGAUCUCCAUUCCUCCUUGUAUAUGCCAUUUUUGUCGACCUAAACUAGUAGUUCUAUAUCAAGUAUUAUAAAUUCUCUUUUUAUUCUUUUAAAAUAUUAACAUUUUAGAUGUGAUUAUCGACUUAAUUGGACUGGCAGUUUCGUGCUCUAGGGAGAGAACCAUCCAAAGCUGUUCAUAAACCGCAAUCCAUCACUAAAUAUGAAAAUCUCUUAAUUAUAAUGAAAUAAAACUUAAUAAUAAGAAAUCUAGUUGGCUUUAUCAUUUGAGGAUUUUCCCUUGUACUAUACUAGCGAAGGAGUACACACAUCUGCACAUUUGCGAAAAGAGAAUUGAAAUGGUUGUGAUAGUACAAAUUUAAAAGUAACAUAUUUGACGAAAUUAUACACAUACACCAUCUGUGUAAAAAAGUUGUGCAUGGAUGUCGCAUACACUAUUAAUUUGAGAGUGGUAUGUGCACUAUUUUUCGAUAUGUUUAUGUGAUUAGUUGAUAGUUGUUUAGAUUUUUUAAGUUAUGAUUUCGUUCUUUCUGUGAUGCCAUUUUCCAUGUUAAAUUUUAACAAUAGAUAUAGGCAUUUCAUGAAAUUCUUUUAUGAAAGUUUGAGAUUGAAAUCCAUCCUCUUCGAAUAUGAUUAUUUUCUAUUUUGUCUGUACUUGUCAACAUCUAACACUACCAAUUUCGAGUGGGGUCACACCCAAACGUCAUCAGAUCCAAUUGAUCUAUUCUUGUGGAUAAUUAAAUGAUUCAAACAUAGACAAAGAUCAGUAGCACCAGCAACUCCAUUCAUCCUCAUUCAUAUCACAUUGCAAUGAUUUCUCAUUGAAGUAUUGUUUUUCUUAGAUGUGACAACUAAUGAUAUUAGAUAUUUUCCGACAAAAGCUUAUGUUAUUCUGUAAAUGAAUAUUGAGAUAUACCACAAAUAUAUAUCUGUAUGUAUCUCAACAAUCACUUUUUUUUAUAAGAAAAUACAUCUCGGCGAACGGCUUCAUCAGAAAGUACCCAAAUGGCCUCAUGCUACAGGUAAGAUAUAGGCGAGAACCCCUCAUGAAUGACCCAAGAAAAAUAAGAUUACUUGCAUUUACUAGCAUCGAAAAAUAGGAUCAUGUUGUGCCCAUCGACUAGAAUCUAAAGCCAAUCGAACAAUCUAUGUUUAUAAUGAGUCGCCACCGAACAAUCUAUGUUUAUAAUGAGUCGCCACCCUGCUAAACCACAUAAAUUUUUAUGUGCACUCUCAGAUAUACAGAUCUUUUGAUCCGGUUUGUAUUCUCAUCACCCAUUCCAAUCAAUUGAUACGCGCUCAGUUCUCUCUCUCUCUCUCUCUCUCUCUCUCUCUGCACGCACCGCAUCUGGCCAUCUCAGUUGAGAUAUCCUGAGAUACGACAAGAAUAAACAGAUCUGGAAGAAGGGCCUCCAAAUCUGUCACUAUCAACGACUAAUCUGUUGGCAACGAUGUGAUAGAGCUCGACAAAUUGUGCGGAGCUCCGUCCCGAUCUCCGUCCCGAUCGACAGACUCGACCUUGCCAUGAGUUCAAGGUUGGUGCAUUGGGGAGAGAGAGAGAGAGAGAGAGGAUCAAGUGGUCAAAGAAGCUAGGGAUGGUGCCAUGGAGUUCUCUAUCUCAGAUGGCUGGAGUCAGUGGUUGUCAAAGUUGGGUCGGACGUGCUAGAAGUUGAAAAGGUGCACGGAGAGAGAGAGAGAGAGAGAGAAUUUUUGAGAGGUUUUUCUCAUGUACGGUUAAAUACCAAAUAAAAUGGAAACAUAUUGCUAGCUCUUAAUUGAGGCAAAAAAUCACAGAACGAUUCUUGGCACGGUAUCUCCAUUUCUCUGUGUAUGCCAUUUUCAUUGACCUAAACAAAUAAUUCUAGGGAAAAUGACAGAUAGUCUUUGAAUUUUGGCACUAUGUGUAACGUGGUCCUUAAACUUUUAUAUUUAUUUAAUACAGUUCCUGAACUUUAAUUCAAUAGACAAUCGGUCCCUGAACUUUUGAUUUUUUUUAAUACAAUCUUUGAAAUUUUGGUACAAGUUCAAUUUAGUUUCUGAACUAUAUAUUAUUCUUGAUUUUAAAUUAAUGAAAGGAUUACAUUAAACAUUUUCAUAUAGUUUAAGGACUAUAUUGAAUAUGUACCAAAAUUUAGACAUUACAUUGUACAAAUUAAAAAUUUAGGGACACCUUACCAAAAAAAAAAUUAAAAAUUUAGGGACUAAAUUAAAUAUUAAGUUAAUGUUCAAGGACCACAUUGCACAUAGGGUCAAAGUUUAUGGACUAUUUGUAUCAUUACCCUAUAAUUCUAAUAUCAAAUAUUGUGGAUUUUCUUUUUAUUUUUUCUGAAAAUGGUAUUGUUUUCAGAAGCCCCUAAAGUUCUUUAUAAACCGUAGUCCACUACUAAAUAUAAGAUCAUUUCAACAAUGACGAAAUAAGACACUUUAAUAGGAAAUCUAGUUGGCUUUAUCAUUUGGGGAUCUUCUUUUGUACUAUACUGGCGAAGGAGCACACAUGCCUGCGUGUUACAAGAAGAGAAUUGAAAUGUGUCCGAAGAGGGGUAAAUGUCGAAAGAGAUGAAUUUAUUUAUUGACUUAAAUUAUAUUCGAAAAUUAUAUAUUUGGCAUAAUUAUAGCAUACACCAUCCUUGUAAUAUAUUAUCAAUUUAAGAGAGUAAGUAUUUAUGAUCUUUAAAUCAUAGGUAUGAGAUCGCUUGUAUCAAUUUUCUUUACAUUGAUGGUGUAUGCUUUAUUUUUUCGGUAUGUUCAUGCGGAUAGUUGACAAUUAUCUUGAUUUUUAUGGUCACGAUUUCGUCCACUCUGUUGGACCAUAUUCCCACAGUACAUUUUAACGACAGAUAUAGGAAUUUCAUGAAGUUUCUUAACAAAGCUUAAGAUUGAAAGCCAUCUUCUUCAAAUUUAACUAUUUUUUUCUUUUUAAUAUAGAUUAGCUUUGGAUUUGUCAAGAUAUAAUGCUACCAAUUUUGAUGGGCUCAAACCCAAACAUUGCCGGAUCAAAUUGAUCCAUUCUUAUUGAUUAUUAAGGGGGUGCAUGACAACCAAAAAUUUAUGUUCCAGAAAUAGUUUUUCUGUUCCAGACCUAUUUCUGGAAGAGAAAUCCGUUUGAUAAACCUAAUCAGUUUUUUUAUUUCUAGAAUAGAUUUCUAUUCCAGAAAUAGGUUUAGAAGAGAAAUCAGAAGUUAAAAUUUUCUACUUCUGAUUUUUUGAAAAGAAAUCAAAAAUAAUUUCUCUCACUAAACCCUAAUUUCGGUGAGUCCUCCCUCAUCUCCUCUAUGUCUCUGCCUCCUGCUCCUCCUCCACCUCUCCUCAUUUUAUUAAAAAUAAAAAUAAAUAUAUUCAUUUAAAAUAAAUAAAUUAUUUUUAUUUAUCAUUUUAUUUUCAGUUUAUUAAAAAUAAAUUUAUUUAAUUUAUUAAAAAUAAUUUAUUUAUGAUAAAUAAAAAAAAUUAUUUUUAUUAAAAAUAAGUUUAUUUUUAUUUGCUUUGAGUGUUUUGCUAAAUAAUUUUUUUUAUUUUUUAUUUUUAUUCAUUUUAAAAUAACUUUAUUCGUAAAAUAAAAUAAAAUAGAAUAAAUAAAAUAAAUUUAUUAAAUUUAUUAAAAAUAAUUUAUUUAUGAUAAAAAUAAUAAAUUUUUAUUUAUUAAAAAUAAAUUUAGUAAAUUUAUUUUUAUUUGCCUUGAGUGUUUUGCCAAAUAAAUUUUUUUUAUUCAUUUUAAAAUAAAUUUUUUCGUAAAAGAAAGUAAAAUAGAAUAAAUAAAAUAAAUUUAUUAAAUUUAUUAAAAAUAAGAUAUUUAUGAUAAAUAAAAAUAAAUUAUUUUUAUUUGCCUUGAGUGUUUUGCCAAAUAAAAUAUUUUUAUUUUUUUAUGAUUUAUUUUAUUUUUUAUUUUAUUUUUUUGUUACUAAAUCAUUUUUAUUUUUAUUUUUAUAUUAAAGGUCGUCGGUUGUCGCCGCCGCCGUCUGGAAAGAAGAAAUUUUGUGUUGUUAUCAAACGAAUUUCUAUUUUUAGAGUAGAAAUUUUGUGUCGUUAUCAAACGGUUAUUUUUGCUUAGAAACUCUUCUAAAAAUAGAAAUAGAAAAAUAUAUUUCUGUUCCAGAAACUAUUUCUGGAACAGAAUGAUUGUCAUGCGCGCCCUAACUAGUUUGAAUAUAUACAGGCCACUCAUUCCAUAUUCAUAUCACAUUGUGACGAGAUUUUUUAGAUCAUCGAUUUUCUAAGAUGUGACAUAUUAUGAUAAUGGAUCAUUUCCAAUAAAAAUUUAGGUUAUUCCGUGAACGAAUAUUGCUCAUACCUAAGCCUACAAUUGCAAAGUUGAAGUUGAGCAUCGACACUAAAAGGACACUCUCUAGAUUUCAUCGUAGGCAAAAUUCAUGCAGCUCGUACAAUCGGCUUGUGUCCCGUGGCCAAAGCACUCGACACGAUUGACAAAAGCGUGGGUAUUAGUCGAACCCCUUCUCAGUUGUGGUGGACGUCAGAUCCUGCAGGACGAUGUAGAAUGCUUUGGCAUAAUCGUCCCAAUCGUAGUACCGCGCUCCAUUGCAUACCUUGUCCACAAAAGUCACGUCCGGAUCGCUUCUUGUGAUACAGAGACAGUGGGAAAGUACUACGAACUGGACUGCGAUUUUGCGUGUUGCGGGCAUGAUUAUUGUGUUCACUAUCUUUCCCUCUCAAAAAGCUCUCUUUUUUUUUUUUUUUUGGUCGAAAAUAACAUCCAUAUAUAUAUCAACUGAAAUUACAACCAUUCGUUAUAGCGUCCGCAGUCAAAAUAGCAAGAAAAACAGCAGGAGGUUGAUGUAACCAGUGUCGGGCUGAAUCAGUUGUGCGAUGGGCCUUUGUAGCCCAGUCAGCGGCCCGGUUUGCUUCUCUCAGACAGUGUUGCAGGGUUAGGUCAGCGAAGCGGGAGAGCAGGUGGAGCGCCUCUUCUACGAUCGGCCGAAGCUCCCACAUGGAUGAUCUGCCAUUGCGCACAGCUUCAACAAGGGGAAAGCAGUCCGUUUCAAUCAACAGAGUGGUAUUAUGGAGUUGUCGUCGCAGUAGAUGAUGCAGGGUACAGGUUAGUGCGUUGAGUUCAGUUUCCAGCGCCGAGUGCGACCGAAAUUUGCUAGAAAAUCCGUCCAUAAGCCUCCCACGAUGAUCUCUGCAGACACAGGCCAUCGUGCCCUCAGUGCUGCCCGGUUGAUAAGCUCCAUCUAUGUUAUAUUUCAAAGUGCCAGAGUCUGGAGGACGCCACAGAUGCGCGGGAUUGAGGUGCGGAAUCCUGGAUCUCGAUCCAGCAACAGCAAGGGAAAGGAGUGAUCGGGUCUGAGUGAUGGCCAUGUCAACUACCCGUCGUGGAUCUGGUGUCUAGUUGCGGAAGACUGCAUCAUUGCGCAUUCUCCAAAUCUGCCAUAGUGUAUUGGCAGUGAGCUCGAGACCGGGUAGGUUCUUUGGUGUCGCUGCUAUGGCUGAGAUCCAUUGAUCAAUUCGUUGGUUGCUCCAAGGGGGUAGUGUGCUAUUAAUAUGUUGGUGUGUCCAGACAGCUCGAGUCCACUCACAUUGGAGGAACAGAUGUUCGAUGGUCUCUUGGUUCUGUUGUUUACACAGCAUGCAUCAAGGGUCAGAGGCGAUGUGUCGAUUAAAGAGGUUGGCCCUUGUCGCAAUUGCAUUCUGACACACAGCCCAGGUAAAUACUCUUAUUUUUGGCGCAGUUUGCAUCACCCUUAGUAGGCUGCAUCGGGGCUAGCCCUCGCCCAACCGGGCCUCUCCUGUGGUGGGUGAGGCCAAUCGACUAGUUAUGACCGGUGGCUGGCCAACGGAAAAGGCAAAAAAGAAAGCCAAAAAGAAAAGGAAAAACGAAAAAAAAAAAAACAUAAAAAAUAUUAAAAAUUCAAAAAAUAAUAAAAAUUGUACACGUUAGCAUCGGCAGUCCUACAUGGCAUUGCCCGCGUCCACGUCAGCAUUUUCCAACCAAAAUUGGCCGAAUUGACCCAAUUGACAAGAAGUGAAAAUGUUUAGAACUAAAUUGGCAAAAAUACAAUAGGUUUAGGACUUUUUGGACAACUUUCCCCCUAAAUUUGUCAGGAUCUUCAGAUAAAUGUCAUAGGAUUCAAUCAGGAAAGGUAGGCAAUUUAUGUAGAAUCUUCUUGAGAGCAAAACUAAUAUAUUUUUCAUCUCCACCAUCUGCUAAUUAUUCAAGAGCAUCUUCCAAUUUCCUAUAGAGAGCCUCUAUUUCCACUCUCAAUAUCGCUAAAACACACCAUUUAUUAAUUAAAAGUGUAAAAUGUCUUUAAUUAAAAUAGGCAACUAAGUAGACCAGAAAAGGCAAGCAAUGGGGGUCUAAGCAACUAUCUAUUUUGAAGCCAAAAAAUAAAAAUUCAAAAAAUACACACACAACCCAACUCCAUCAUCUUGCUCAUGAAGUUUGAACCUGCUCGUGUGCUUUCAAUUUAGUGUUGCAGGUUAUCUUGAUCGGACAUUAUCAUUAUUCACAAAUUAGAAGUCUUUAAGUUGCUUAUUUGACUAAAGAAUAUCUUCCCAAAUGCACCCUAAGCAAAAGUGACUUUAGGGUCACAUUAUUUCUGACUCUUCUAUGGCUCCACAAUCAAGACAGCACAUGGACUAAAUUACCCCUUAAAAAAAUCCCAUUUUUGUUGGCCUUCAUUUGGUUGAGAGCAAGAGUCAUUUGGCCAGGAAAAAACAUAAGCUAAAGAUACCUUUUGUAUGGCUUCAUACAAGGAAAAUUACCAAAAAAAGCCUUAAAUCUAUUGCAACUAUGUCAAUUUAAUCAUAAACUUUUCAAUUACACAAAUUUAAUUCUUAACAUUUUCACGUUUUGUCAAUUGAAUCAAUCCAAUCAAUUUUAGUUAGAAACCACUGACGUGGAUGCUGACUAUUUUACAUGGCAUGACCAACACUAACGUAAGCAAUUUUUUUAUAAUAAUUUUCUUUUUUUUUUCUUUCUUUUUCCUUUUUUUUUUCCUUUCUCUUUGUGUAGGCUAGAUCAAUCUAAAUGGCAAGCACCUUUUGAAAGGUAAAAUAUGUGAUAUGGUAACUUUUCAUUUAUUUGUAACAUUCACGUGUGAUGAGUAACUUUUUUAUACAUCAAAGUCAUUUUCAAGAUGCUUAGUAACUUUUUAUAAUAAAUAUCGCAUGAUUAGUGAAUUUUAUUAUGCUUGGAUAAGUUGCAUGUGUAUUUUGAGUAAAUUUGACUGUUGAAUUCUUCCAUGUGUCACCCAUCCAAUGAUGGAUGUGGAAAUUUUAUAUCUGACAUUGAUGGUGGACCUAAUUAAAACCCAGAAAGGUAUUAAAAUUAAUAUGGAUAGUGCUUUUCUUUUUAAACUAUAAACCCAAUCUCAAAUUUGAGAUCAAUUCUAAAUAUAUUAACAUUAUGUUUUGGGCCGACAAUGGGCUUACUCAAGAUACUUAAAUGAGAUGACCAUCCAGCUUUAGUCACAAGGUAUCCUCAUGCACUCUUUGCUUUUCAUUUAGGUUUCCGGCCACUCGAAUCUCUGAGAAAAAUGUCAUGACUCUUUGCCUUCUGACAAGAGCCUUGGAAUUGGGUAAACUAACAUGCAAAAGGGAAUCUUUCAUUUAAUUAUAAUUAUUAUGAUUUUCAAAGCAAAGUUUAACUAAAAUUUAAAAGUCACAAAAAUACAAAGAUCGAAGUGGGCUCGACAAAAAACCACUGGGGGUUCGCCCCAGUGGCCACCCUUCCAGCAUGGAAGGGGGAGGUGAGGGGUUCAAAUCCUCACCUUCUCAGGAGGAUGGGGUAGGGACGCGUAAGUUUCGAGAAUGGGUUGCGACUCCCACGCCCUGCAAGUGGCAGGGCACAAGUCUGCGAGUGAGUGUAGAGUAGAAAUAGAGUAGGACUGACCAAAAAAAAAAAAAAAGUGGGCUCGACAAACAACAUAAAGUUUAAUUAAAGUUAAUGACAAAUGUAAUCACGUGAAGAGCAAUAUCAUUGGAUACCAACCAACCAGUCACAUGAGCAGCAAAAGCAGCUCAACCACAGUUUGCAAAAUUAUUUGAGAGAUCCAAGGCCACUCGUCAAUUUUGCCUAUUUGUUGCACGGGUCCAAGACUAUAUUUUUCAUAUAUUAUUCUAAAUGUCAGUUUUAACAUAUGUUGCUUUUGUUCGUAUUUCAAGUUAAUUAUUUACAUUUUUAUUGCAGGUGUUUAAUACAUUUAAAAUCCUAAUCGUCAUGUGCGUGUGGGUGUGGCCUGUCCUUCUCCAUUUGUUCUCUUAAUUACAUCUUUUUAUAUAGACAAUGACCGACUACAAAAAGUACUUAUUAAACAAGAAACAAGUUUCAGAUCAAAAAAAAAGAAACAAGUUUCGACCAAAAAAAAAGAAACACACAGUCAUCCUAGUCGAAUCAUUUUUUUACUUUAACAACUGGCAAUCAUUUUUUUAGGCCACUUGAUGGAACUGCAACUUAAAAUUUAUAAUGCAAGAAAUCAAUUCAAAUUUGGACAGAUUUUGUCUUGAUUGAGAAGACCGGUCAUUUCUGAAUCUUAUUUUUGGCCAACGACAAACUUGAACAGUGUGCUGCCCAAUUUGCAGCUUCCCGAGGAUUUGAAGGUGCUUAGUUAACUUAACUAAGGUUACAUUUCAGAUCUCCAUGUCAAUAUAUAUCUCCUUUUUAAUAAUUUGGAUCUUCGUUAAGAUUCUAAAUCGUUAGAUCUCUUAUACUAAAUCGCACACAUUAUUAAUAGAAUAUUAUCAACAAUUAUUUUUCAAUAUAUAAAUCAAUAACACAGCCAUUUAUGUUUUACGGAUGUUUCGAUCUAUAUACCAUUUUAUAUCUACGGUCAACUUAAUAAAAACCUAGAAACGUACCAAAAUUAAUAUGGGUAAUGCUUUUCCAGUUAAAUUUUAAACUCAAUUUCAAAUUUAAGAUAGUUCUAAAUAUAUUGACCUAAUGUUGUGGGCCGACAAACGCUAGAAAAGUCCUAAAAAAUAAUUUGGGCUUAUUAUGGAUACUUAAUUGAGAUGGCAGUCCAAAAGGUAUCCUUAUGCGACUCCUUUUGCUUUUCAUUUAAGUUUCUGGCCUGAGACCUUUGAGAAAAAUAAGUACAAUGACUCUUUGUUUUCUAAUAAGAGCCUUCAAAUCAGGUAAACUAAAAUGUAAAAGGGAAUCAUUCAUUUGAUUAUAAUCAUUACGGUUUUCAAAGCAGAGUUUAAUAAACAAAAAGCCUUAAAAAGGUACCAAGAAAUAGAAAUCGAAGCAAGGCUCGACAAACAACAUAAAUUUAAUAACAAAUGGAAUUACGUGAAAAGCAAUAUCAUCAGGUACCAUACACGGUCACAUGACUAUGUUUUCUUUAUAUAUUAUUAUUUGUGUGAGUUUUAAUCUACUUUGCCUUUGCUAAUAUUUCAAGUUAAUUUUUUUACAGUUUUAUUGAAGGUUUUUAAUAAAUUUGAAACCCUAAUAAUCACCUCGUAUUGAUUUUUGCAGCUACCCGCAUGCACUUAUCGACGAGAAUAUUAAUAUUGUGAAAAAGAUUAAAGAUGCUACUUAUCACAUGUGUAUGGGAAUUUGGCCUGUCCUUGUCCAUUUGUUCUCUUUAUUAAUUAUAUUUUGUUAUAUAGAUAAUGACAAACUAUAAAAAGUACUUAUUAAACAAGCGAUGAUCCUCGUUGAAUCAUUUUCUUACUUUAACAGCUGGUAAUCAUUCGUUUUUUUUGUUUUAUUUAGGCCACUCGAUGGAACUGUGAUUUAAAUUUAAUAACGCGAAAAAGUCAAUAAAAAUUCAUGAAUUUUGUCUUGAUUGAGAAUACCGAGAGCAGUCAUUUGUUAUUCUUAUUUUUGGCCAGCGAGUCACUUGAACAUUGUGUUGUCAAGUUUUCAGCUUCCCAAGAUUUGAUGUUGCUUUAAUUAACCUAACUCAGGUUACAUUUCGAAUCUCCAUAGUCAAUGACUAUCACCUCCUCCUUUCUAGUGAUUUGGAUCUUCGGUAAGAUUAUGAAUUGUUGAGUCACUUGUAUUGAAUCUUGGCCAUUAUCAAAUUGAACAUUAUUAACAGUUGCUAUUCAAUAUAUAAAUCAAUAAUACGACUAUUUUAUGUUUUAGAAAUGUUUCGAUCUAUAUACCAUUUUAUAUUGACUGUGUACUAAAAAGUCUAGAAACGUAUCAAAAUUACUAUUCUUUGGUCAAAUAUUAAAUUUAAUAUGAGUAGUGCUUUUCCAGUUAAAUUAUAAACUCAAUAUGAAAUUUAAGAUCAAUUCUAAAUAUAUUGACCUAACGUUGUGGGCCGUCAAACAUUUCAAGAGUCUUAAAAAAGAAGUUGGGCUUAUUAUGGACACUUAAUUGAGAUGGUGGUCCAACUUUAGUCUUAAAAUAUCCUCAUGCAACCCAUUUUGCUUUUCAUUUAGGUUUCUGACCUGCUUGGAUCUCUGAGAAAAAUAAGCGCGACAACUCUUUGCUUUUCAGUAAGAGGAGCCUUGAAAUCAGGUAAACUAAGAUGCAAAAGGGAAUCUUUCAUUCAAUUAUAAUCAUUACUGUUUUUAAAGCAGAAUUUAAUAAACAAACAGCCUUAAAAGGCACAAAGGUACAAAGAUCGAAGCAAUGCUUGACUACCAACAUAAAAUUUAAGCAAGAUUAACGACAAAUAGAAUCACGUUAAGAGCAGUAUCAUUUGAUACCACACACAUCCACAUGAGCUUUUUUAUAUAUAUUAUUUUAAAUGCUAGUUUCAAUCUAUUUUGCCAUUGCACUUACUUCAAGUUAAUUAUUCACAUUUUUAUUGAAAGUGUUUAAUAAAUUUGAAAUCUUAAUCGUCACCUUGUGUUGAUUCUCACGAGUACUCUUGCACACAUAUCGACGAAAAUAUUGAUAUUGUGAAAAAGAUUAAAGAUUCUACAUAUCACAUGCACGUGGAAGUGUGGGCAGUCCUUGUCCAUUUGUCUCUUAAAAAAUUACAGUUUGUUGUAUCGAUGAGGGCAUACUAUAAAAAGCACUUACAAACAAGCGAUAACCCCGGUCGAAUCAUUUUCCUACUUUAACAUUUGUUUAUUAUUUUUUUAAGCCACUUGAUGGAACUGCAAUGCAAAGAAAUAGAUUGAAGUUCACAAAAUUUUAUCUUGAUUGAGAAGACCGAGAGAGCAGUCAUUUUUAUAUUUAUUUUUGGCCAAUGACAAACUUGAAAAGUGUGCUACCAAAUUUUCAGCUUCCCAAAGAGUAAAUGAUGCUUAGUUAACUUAACUACAGUUACGUUAUAGAUCUCUGUAAUUGAUACUUAUCUCCCCCUUCUUUCGAGUGGUUUGAAUUUUUGUGAAGAUUAUGUAUCGUUGGAUCUCUAGUACUAAAUCUCGGCCAUCAAUAGGUAGAACAUUAUCAACAAUUGCUAUUCAAUAUACAAGUCUAUAACACAAGCCCCCACAUACAUAUAUCGAUGAAAAUAUUAAUAUAAUGAAAGGGAUUAAAGAUGCUACUUACAACAUGCAUUUGUGGGUGUGGCCUGUCCUUGUCCAUUUGCGCUUUUAAUUACAUUUUGUUAUAUAGACAAUGACAAACUAUAAAAUGUCCAUAUUAAACAAUGGAUGAUCCAAAGUCGAAUCAUUUUCUUACUUUAACAGCUAGUAGUCAAUUUUUUUAACCCACUCGAUGGAGUGGCAACUCAAUUUUUAUAGUGCGAAGAAAUCAAGCAAAGAUAUCAAUUCAAGUUCACAAUUGAUUGAGGAGGACUAAGAGCAAUUAAUUAUUUUUGGGUUAAUACCAACAAAAUCCCCAAACUUGUACAUCUGUGAAAAUUUAUCCAUAACCUAAUUCUUUUUACCAUCAAAAUCCAAAACUAGUAUAUUUAUGAUAAAUUUACUGUAAGUUAAUUUUUUGACCAUUAAAAACUCUAAACUUGUACAUUUGCCAUCUAUUAGUUUCUAUUAAAUGGCAUUAAUAUCACGAAAAGACAUAAAGUGGUAUACUUAUGACAAAUAAAUGGUAAAAUUCCCAAAUUGUAUAUUCGUCAACUGUUAUAUGUCAUUAAACUUAGUAAUGGAUAGUAAAUUUAUCACAUGCGUAUUAGUGAGAGAUUUUUGGUGAUGAAAAAAUUAAUUUGAAAUAAAUUUAUCAUAAAUGUAUUGAAUUAAGAUUUUUCAUGAUAUUGACUGUUAUUUUUUUAAUUUUAUUUUAGGCAAGUGAUGACUGGGAGCAGUGUGCUCCCAAGCUUACAGCUUCCCAAGGUUUUGACCGGUGCUAAUUAACUAAAGCGAGAAUACCGAGCUGCAUGGUCCAUGCCGAUCUUCCUUUUCUUUCUCGCGGCUUGAGUCUUUGUCGUGGUUUUGAAACCUUGAAGCUCUGGUACCGAAUCUCUGCCGUUGAUGAUCACAUGUACAAGCAAAAGGUUGCUGUGUUUCUAUCACCAAAUUGUCGACCUGUCAAAGACCAAAUUCUGUACUCCAAAAGACCAAAAUCUGACUUAAUGGAAAAAGCGAUAUUAAAUCUCAGGUCUAAAGACUCAUCACAUAUCUCUCUCUCUCUCCCGCCCUCGAUUGAAAAAAUAGCAAACAUUAUUGCAGCCCCUUCAUUUGAAUAAAUCUGGAAUGAGACCCCUUAGUUGAGGCUUGGUGUUCAGAAAACACAUCAUACCCCACCUUAACGUUCACUGCAUAGGAAGAGUGUAGAAAAAGACUUCCAAGUCACUGCUGAUAUAACUAGCGUCUGACACCAAGGGCCAAGUUCUUCUUCGUAUCAGUGAGUCCAUCGUCACUUCUAUAAAAAUAUGAUUCAACAAGAGCAGCAUUUCACUCAUAUGUAUCUAUAUGUAUCUAUAUGGAGAGAGAGCAAAGCUGUCAAUCAAAAUGAAAUCAACUUUAUAUCUUGCAAAAAAGGCAUUUCUCAAAGAAAAUCACCAUACGCAAGUUCUGAAGAAGAGGCCUCGUGUACACCAUUUGGAAUAUAAAUAAAAGUUCGUAGACUACAUUCACAUACAGCCCAUGAAUUAAAUUGAACAUGUACCAAAAGUUCAUAAAUUACAUUGAACAAUUAAAUUCACAUGGACAAUAGGGCACAUUGAGCUAAAGCUGAAAGAGCACAUUGAAUAAAUUUAAAGUUUAGAUAUCUCAUUAUAUAUUGAGCAAAUUUUAUGGACUAUUUGUGUUAUGUCAGCAGUAACUGCAAAUGAAAAUUAUAUAGAACUAGCAAGAUGUUUGUCAUUUGCCUAUAUAUAUUAUAAAAUGUGAGUUUUAAUUCUAUUUUGCCUUUCCUCAUACUUCAAGUUAAUUAUUCACAUUUUUAUUGAAGGUUUUAAUAAAAUCGAAAUCUUAAUCGUCACAUUUUAUUGAUUCCCACAAGUAUCCACAUACACAUAUUGAUGAAUAUAUUAAUAUGUUGAAAAAAAAAAAUAAAGAUGCUACUUAUCACGUGCAUGUGAGGUGAUUGGCUAGUCCUCAUCCAUUCGUUCUCUUUUACUGAUUACAUUUUGUUAUAUCUAUAACGACGGACUGUAAAAGUUACUUCCUAAAACAAGCGAUAGUUCAAAUCGUAUCAUUUUAUACUUCAAUAGCUACCAAUCAUUUGUUUUUCUUUUUUACCUUCUCGGGCCACUUGAUGGAACUCCAAUUUAAAUUAUAUAAUGCGAAUAAAUUAAUUAAAGUUCACAAUUUUUGUCUUGAUUGAGAAGUCCAAGAGCGGUUAUUUUUUCUUCUUAUUUUUGGCCAAUGACAGGCUUUUUUCUUGGUCGAAACCAAUGACAGACUCGAAUAGCGUGCUAGUGCUACCGAGUUUUCAACCUCCCUAGGAUUUGAUGGUGCUUAGUUAACUAAGCUUACAUUUUGGAUCUCCAUAGAUGAUACUAUUAGAAUAAACAAAUUUUUCAAUCACAUGAAUAUGAUAUAAAAUUAAUAAAUAUAGUGUACCCAAUCAAACGUAACCAUUAUUGAUCUAACGAGUGAGAAGAUGUAUUCUCGUGGGUAUGAAUAUUCAUCACUCUCUUCUAUAAUCGUUACGAUGGUGUGUAUCUUUCUCUCUUCAAUUUUGUCAAAAUAGCGAUAGCAUGAUAAUGGAAUACAUGCAUUCUCCACUGAAAAGAGAUCUUAUAUAGAGAGAGUGAUGGGAUUAAUUCUAAAAUGAAGGUGCAUGCCUAAUUGGAUGUCAAAAAUAUAUUGCCCAUGAUAUAUUUUACUAAAUUGGGCACAUGUCAAAUAUUAGAUAAUAGACCUAAUAAGCUAUGGGUUGGACAUUGUCAAGUCCCAAGAGAUACACAUAUCCUCCUUCCUUCUAGUGAUUUGGAUCUUUGUUAAGAUUCUAAACAUUGGAUCUCUUGUGCUAAAUCUUGGACAUCAAUAAAUAGAAUACUAUCAACAAAUGCUAUUUAACAUAAAUAUCAAUAACAAAUCCAUUUUAUGUUUAGAGAUGUUUCGAUCUAUGUACCAUUUUGAAAAUUAAACUUCAAUUUUUUCUUGUUCAAUUAGGUUAUUUAUGAUGUUACUUCUACAUUUUUAAUAUGGCUUCAAUGUCCCCGCACAAGGAGGGGGUUUAGGACUACUACCUAAUCAACUUUUGCCCAUUAGAAGAUCUCCUCAUGAUAAUAGUAACAGAUUAUUUGCUCAUUUUACUGUGCUCAUAAUCUGGUUGAAUAUGAGUCUAGUGCAACCCACAAACCUACAUAAAAUUGGCUUUGAUUUUUUGAUCUCUUUUUGAUCGGUUGUUAAAAAAUUUAGUGUCAUAUAACAACUUGUUACACUAAAAUUGAGUUUUUAAAUAGAUUUUUAACACAUAUCGCCACCUUUAAAUAGAACUCUGUGUCACUUGGUCCGAACUAUCCUUGUCCAUUUGUUUUCUUUGUUAAUUACAUUCGUUAUAUCAAUGAUGAUAUCGGAUAAAGUGUACUUAGUACACCAGGGAUGAAUUAAAAUCGAAAUCAUUUUAUUCAUUCGAUCUUGAUUCACACAAGCCCCCACAAUAAAUAUCAAUGAAAAUAUUGAUAUAAUAAAAAAGAUAAAACAAAAAAAAUGCCACUUACAAUGUGCUUGUGUCAGUGUGUGGGGUGUGGCCUGUCCUUGUCCAUUUGUUUAUUUAAUUACAUUUUGUUAUUAGACAAUGACAGACUAUAAAAGGUCCUUAUGAAACAAGCGAUAAACCAAUUUUGUCAUUUUCUCACCACAACAGCUGGUAAUCAUUUGUUUUUGUUUUUUUUUUUUUUAAACCACUUGAUGGAGCUGCAACUUAAUUUUUAUAGUGCAAAGAAAUCAAUUUAAGUCGACAAUUGAUUCAGAAGACCGAGAGCAAUCAUUUUUUAUUUCUUUUUUAGGUUAGCGAGGACUGAGCAGUGUGCUGUCAAGUUUUCAUCAUCCCAAGGAUUUGACUAAUGCUUUAUUGAAGCCCUAACGAAGGGGGAGGCUACCGAUGGGCACAGUCCAUCCCUUAUCCUCUUUCUCUCUCGUGACGAGGGUCUUUUUGGAGGCUCUAAUCUCUGAAUCUUCUGUGCUGAAUCUCGGCCAUCGAUAAUCGCAUGUAUCAGCAAAAAGUUCCCGUGUUCCCAUCACGAGAAUCUGAAAAUUAUCGGCCUGUCAAGGACCAAAAUCCGACUCACUGGAACCCGCCCAUAGGCAGCGCAAAUGGCAUAAGUGCACUCUCUUAUCGUUGAGAUUAAGAGUUCGAACUCUCUCGUUUGCAUUUUCAUGACUUAAAUGAGGGUUUCAGGAGUGAAUUACUAGGCUAGCCCUGGAAUUUUACGUCUAAAUAGCAAUUUGCGAUGAGGCCUGACGGUAGUACCGAGCAUCGAAGGGUUGUAUGAUCCUCGAUGGGUGAUCUCUGACAAUUCCUCGAUUAUCAAAAAAAAAAAAAAUCCUAUUCAAUGGAAGAAGAAACAGUAAUGCCUAGGUAUAAAGACUAGUCACAUAUAUCUCUGUAGCGCCUCUACUCUAAUAAAAUCUCGAGUUAGACCCCUUGGUAGAGGCUUGGUGCUCAAAAAAAAAAAAGUCAUAAUACUAUUUCACCAUUAAUAUUCACUGCAGAGGAAGAGCGUAAAGGAGACUUCAAGUCACCUCUAAUGCAACCGGCAUCUCACAUCAAAAGCAAAGUUACACUUUGUGUCGGUGUGUCCAUCUUCACUUACCCCUACCAGACUCUGACUCUGUAAAAAUAUGAUUCAAGCUAUACCCAGCAAUGGUGACAGAUCACAGAAUCUUGCAAAAAAAUGAACAGUACAUAUUAGUUUUAACAUUUUUCAAUACUAAGAAAUCUUACGUUAUUGUUAAGUCACUUGAGGAUAGAAGCCCUUUUUGAAAUAUAAAAAAAGAAUUCUUGAGGAGGUAGUGACCAAUUAUAAAGGAGGCCUUGCUUUUUAUACGGGAUACUUUGUUGGGGUUGUUCCAAAUCUAUCCCUAGAAAAUUGAAUUUUGUAAGUGAAUAAAAAGCACAAAAUGCUAAAAUACCCAUUCUGUUGUAGUUGCCUUCCUACAUUCCAUAUUUUUAGAUUGUCGUUACAUUUCUUGUCUUCUUUAUUUUUCUAUUAAUACCUACAUAAUCUCUUUGUUUGGAAUGAGCUCUGAAUUUAACCAUGCUUAUGAAUCUGUUUGUUGGGUGUACAUUUUCUUUUUGACAAGUUAUACUUGUUGAAACAAAAUUAUAGACUCACUUCACCCACGCAAUUAAUGUGAGGAUCUAUAUCUGUAGAAUGACAUGAGAACAGUCUUUCACUUAAGAGCUGCCUUUAAGGUUAAUACAUAGCACUCUAGAUAACUAGAAAGGAUUUUUCCUUCUUCCAAGAAUUGGAUUUGCUACAUUCUCCAUUAAAAAAAAUGUAGCCACCUGGUCUCCACCUAAGCUAAUCUUAUGCAAAACCGACUAGAAAAAGUCCACUAUCUAAACCACAAAUUGUCCGCAAUGUGAGAGUCCAAUGCCACUCACUACUCUUGAAAGUGCUGGCAAACUUGUAUAUCGGUCAUGUGGCCAUCAUAUUUCUCUUUGUAUAUUAAACAAAAUAGUUGGCUGUAAUUGUAGAUGAAUUUCUAUAAAACUAGCAAGAUUCGCACAGGGCUAAGGUAAUUUUUUAUAUUAUUUUAAAUGUUAUUUUUAAUCUAUUUGGCUUUUGUUCCCACUUCAAGUUAGUUAUUUUUCAUGACUUUUUAAAUUUUAAGUUUGUUGUAUCGUGAUUAUUAUUUGUCAAUAUAUUUAACUUAUGUUAAUAUUUUUAACAAACUACGUAGACAUUCAUGUCAAAAUAGAUAAAUAUUUGACGGCCAAUACUUUAACAUCCCUACGAGGGAAAUUGGUAUAAAAUUAGAAAGAAUAUGAGAUAUUGUUUAGAAGUUAAAAAAAAAAGUUUGGAUAAAAUAUAAUGCAGAUAACACUUUAAACUUGAUGUUGCCAUAAAAAUAUGCUUUCGAAUAUUAUUCUACACUAUAAAUUAAAUGAACGACCACUCCAACAUCACAGUUUUACAAAUAAAAUUCCAUGAAAACAUCCAUGCAUAUACUCAAAAAAAGAAAUUCUGAAGUAUCUAGUGAAUCUCCUACGUUUUAAAUUAUGAUGAUAUUGAUAUGCAUCUCCUAUCUUCCGCUGACGAUUGCUUCCUUGCACCGAAAGGUGAAAUUGUCAAGACUAAAACAGCAAGAUUCCUCUGGUUGACAAAUAGCUGUUGGGAUGAUUGGUGUGCACACACAUUUGGUGGAGCUAAUUAUGCACCCAUUUUACACGUGAUACUUUGUUAGGGUCAUUCCAAAUUUGUCUCUACGCAAUAUUUCCUUAAGAGAACCCAAGGACAAAAUGCUAGAAUAGCCAACCUCUUAUAUUUCCCCUUAUUUCACAUUUCACAUUUGUCUCCAUAAUUUUUCCGUUUUCACAUGUAGUAUCUCUCUGUUGGAAAGGACUUUGAAUUUGAUUAUGCUCGUCAUUGUGUAUGUUCGGUGUAAAUUUUCUUUUUUGAGAAAUUAUACUUUUGAUACAAAAUUAUUCACUAAUUCACGUCCAAAAUCAACAUGAGAGUCAAUAUCUAUAUAAUUAUGCAAUAACAGUCUCUUCUCUAUGCCCUACCUCUAAGGUUGAUACAUAGCAUUCUAAAUAGCUAGAAAAGACUUCUCCUUAUUUUAAGAACUGGAUUUGCAACAUUCUCCAUUAAAAAAAUGUUCCCACUUAGACUCCACCUAGGCUAAUAUUUUGCACUACUAACUAGAUAGAUUAUUCAUAUAUCACGAUGUACUUAUAGGCACUGAUUCCUUAUUAGCUACGUGAGUUCUACUCAAUCUAAUUACAAGGAGAAUGUCUCUCAUGACUUUAAAUUGUUUCUAUUUAGUCAAAAUGUUUUCAAACGGUCCAUAAGAUGCAAUAAUUUGACUAGACAUUAGAUAUAUGGGGUGUCCCUACUCCCUCUCGAGUCCACAUUCAUAUAGUUAAGGCUAUGAAUGUACAUAUUAUUGUGUUCUCUCAUUCUAUGUGCUUAUAUUAUGGUCUUUCAUACUCAUAUAUUACUUGUUUAAAUAUGCAUGUGGAUAGACAAUUCUCUUUGUAUUCUUCAAGGGAUAUAUUGAGGGAAAUAAUUGAAUCACAACUUUGAGUCAUUUAGACAUCAUGCACGAUGAAAUUGAGGAUCCAUCCCAUCUUAUCAAAACGAUGAGGACUAAAUUACAUUUUCAUUUUUCUUUGUCAUCUUCAACUGCAAUCACAAGAGUUUGGUAACGUUGCUUGUAGUUUUACAUGUCCUUUUUUUUCCUUCAUAUUGCCAUCUUUUAAUUGUUGUUUAAUUAAAUCACAUCUUUUAUAAAUGGCAAGUACUUGAAAAUAUGAAUUCCUAUCAACAAUAAGCAUUGGAUGGUGAACGAUUUGAUUAUUAAAGUUAUUGUUUUCAAGAAGGCAGCGAUGCAUUAUUAUUUAUUACCAACCGUCCCAUGACUGUACCAUGCUUGCAAAAGUGAGGUCCAUACGUACUCUUUUGUCUAAUAGAGCUUUGUGGUUGGAAAAUAGCUUUGCUCGUUCCUCAAACCCCUCAUCACUCCUUUUGUCACUUCACUUUAGCAAUGCACGGUCAAGCAUCUUUGCCUCGGUCAUCGAGCAAUCUAUUUGUCCUUUCUUGGACUUUAAUGACAUGAAUAUCUCCAAAGGAUUCGCAAUUGCUUGUCCUGAACUAAUCGUAAUGAAGUGUACUAUACAUGAUUCAAGUUUCCACAACAUCCUUUCAACCAUUAUCCACUAUUCUUGAAAAGGAGAGUAGUCACACGGAUACAAAGAUUUAAACCACAAAAAUUAAUGCAACAAAGUAAUGGGCUCAAAUUACUUGUAUGAUCUCAGCCAUUGAAUGAAAGAAAAUUGACGUUGAUUGUUGGAUUUGGCAUGACCAUUUUGUCCUACCAAACCCCCGUGCGUAUCCAACGCCAAAAGUAGCAAGCUACGUUAUAUCACCAUUGCGCUAAUUCAAUUCGUGAACCAUAGUUUGGGUUCUCUAGCUUUAACCUUCUGAAAUGAGGCAACUACAACUAAAAUUCAAUGCGUAGCACACUGCUUAUGGAAACUGAUAUUAUCAAGUUGCAGAAUUUAAAAUACCGUAGUUUUCUUCCUCUUUUUUUUUUCUGCACUUCAGUUUGACUAUGAGUUAUUGUAAAAUAAAGAAUUAAUUGCAAAAAUUUUCUUGAGAAAAUGUGGAAAUGAUCUCUCCAACUCGAUACUUCUCAAGGCUCCGGUCAGUUCAACCGGGACUGUAAAACUAGAAAAGCGAAACACUAACAUCUUAUUGUGGAAAUGGUGUCCGGGAUUUACGUAGCAUUACUCCAUUGGUCAUGUCCAUCUCAUAGUUUUCAAAUAUAAAGGGAACCCUUUUUUUCACCUAAUAUUAUUCAACGAGAGUGUGUACAGAUAUUAUGAUGAUAUACAGCUGCACAAAAAUGCAACUAAUUUAAACUAAAUGUGCAAUUUGGUGAAAUUGUGAACAUCCCCACGGCUACUUAAUACGUGCAUGAGUUCAAUCAAACAUCGGCAUGGCUUUGGCGAUUUAUUAAAUGAGAUUAGCAUAGAUUGACAUGUAGCUCCAAAAUUAUGGCACCCCAUCAUUCAAUUUCACUUUCUACAAUGUCAUAUUAGUAUAUAAAAAAAUAGCAAUAUAGACUAGUCACAUAAUGAUAUGAAAAAAAAUUAAUUGAAAUAUGAAGAACAAAAAAGUAUCAUAACAAUAAGCCGGUUCCUCCAACACCAAAAAUAAAAAGAAAGUAUCGUAACAAUUAGCCUUGUCUUGGUCACGGAUCAGGCUCUGUCCAGGGACUCAUCUAGUCUAGUGAUGUCCAUGAUACGAACAAAAUUCUUAAUCUCUACGCGCAAAAACUAAUCGAUAAAAGAUAAGUCUUCGAUCUCCAAAGGAUGCGAAAACAUGAGUUAGAAUUUAAAUUUUAUUUUUGGUCGAAAGUUAGACUUUAAGGGUGCGUUUGGCUGCACCCUAUUUCUGUUCCCAGGAACAGAAAUUUCUGUUUUUUUGUUCCUCGGAACAAAAAAGGAACAGAAACGCGUUUGGGUGCGUUUCUGUUCCUUUUUUGUUCUUUUGUUCCCAGGAACAAAAAAAAAACAGAAACAAAACUUAGAAACACUUUUUUAUUUUAUUUUUCUUUUUCUUUCUUUUUUCUUUCGCCGGUCGCCGGCCUCGGCCAUGGCCGGCGACCGGCCAAAAGAAAAAAAAAAAGAAAAAAGGAAAAAGAAAAAAGAAAAAAAGGAAAAAAAAAAGAAAAAAAAGGAAAAAAAUAGAAAAAAUAAAAGAAAUAAAAAAUUAUACAAAUUUACUAAACGUGUUUCUAUUUAUUUUUUGUUCCCGGAACAAGUUUACCAAACGCGUUGUUUUGUUCAGAAAUUGUUCCCAGGAACAGAAACACUUUUUUUUUAUUUAUGUUCCCUGGAACAAUUUUUAAACAGAAACGCAAACAAACACACCCUUAGUUAAUGAUGAUUUGAAAGAUUUAAACAAUAAUUUAUCUAGAACGAGCGACUGAUAUGAAGAUAUCAUCUAGAAUAAGACGCGAAAAGGCUCCAAAUCCUCCUAGAUCGAUUGCGCGGGUCCCUUUUUCCUCUCGAUGUGUCUUUUCCCCCUUGGCUUUUCUCGGAUUCCCUUUCUAUUUCGGUGUCUGCAUAAGGCCGGUCGCGUCUCCCUGAGUGAAGAGGCUAUUCAUGCCAGGAUCUCUGCCUUCAUUUCCUCGAAAUGGACGAGAGAUCUUUUGUAUCCCUUGCACGCGAAGCUGAAUGGUGCUUCUUACAAUUGCCAAAAAGUACGUCCCGCGUAUCGUAAAUAAUUAAUGGAAAAUCAGGCUUGUCCGCUAAACACAGUUUGUUUUUUGCUUCGAGAAAACAUGAAGGCCUCAUCCCUUUUUCUCUUUUUGCCAGAGAUCCCUGGCUCUCCCUUCAAUUUCAGUCAAACCUCUUACUCAUUCUUCCCCUUUGUCAAUUGCAUGAAACUUACCCCUUUCCUUUAUCAAUUUCAGCAUCCCCACGUUCCACAAAUGCCAUGAUUCGGACUCUCCUUAAGCAAGGAAUCAUGCCCAAGCAUGGUAUGAUUCCAUGCCGUUGUGAUUCCACAUUAAUCCGUACCAUGAUGACUUAACAUUCUUGCUUGAAAUUCUGAGUUUAUUCUUACAACUAUUGUUGGCAAAAAAAAAAAAAAAAUGAAACAACUUCAAAUUUUCCUUACAAACCAAGUUUUCCUUCUAUUUAAAAGCGUGAUUUGAGGGGACCUUCGUCAAAUAUGUGAAAAUUGGAGAGACAAUACAUGAAAAGUCAAGAAAGGGUUUAAUUAGUCCAAGUCUAAUAUGUCAAUAGGUAGAAAACUAUCAAAAUUCAAUAAAUAUAAAAUAUAUAUGCAUUUAACAUGGCCAUUUUAUGUUUUAUUAAGUGUUUUCUUUAUUUUUGAUGUAGAAUUUUAUGUUCUUUUGAAAUAAAAAAAGUCUAACAACAGAAGUUUCCAAUUGAUUAUAGCAUUAGGAAAAGAAUAUCAAGUAAUGUCUAAUUUAUGACAUGAAGGAACUCUCUAUAUGGUGGUGGGAUAAUUACCAAAAUAGUAUGGAACCUAUUGCAAUUAUCUCAAUCAGUUUUAAACUUUUUUUUUUUAAAAUUCAAUCCCAAAAUUUUUGAAUUUGUGCCAAUUCAAUAUAUCCGAGCAAUUUUAGCCAAUCGACGCCGACAUGAACUUUCUUAAAUAAUAAUUUAAUAAUUUUUUUUUAUAUUUUUAUAUUUUCUUUUCUUAAAUUUUCCCCCCUUUCCCCUAAGGCCACGAUAGCCUCACUCACCCAGACUGUGUGAGGGUUGGUACGCCCUCGUCCAAUGCUAGUGAGGGCAUCUUGGCCAUCACCUAUUGACCCUUGCCAUCCCCUAAGCGAAAGGGGAAAAAAUUAAAGAAAAGACAAAAUUAUAAAAAAAUUCAAAAUUUGUUAAAGUAUUAUUUAAAGAAGUGUACGUCAGCGCCGUCAAUGCCAUGUUAGCACCAGUGACCAAAAUUGGCUGGAUGGACUAAACUGGCACAAAUGCAAAAAACUUUAGGGCUAAAUUGAUUUUUAAAAAAAUUACGAUUGAAUUAGCAUAAUUGCAAAAGGUUUAUAACUUUUUUGAUAUUUUUCCCCUAUAUAAUAUAUAGAAGAAACUAAGGGCAUGUAUAACAAAAUUUUUAGAACGAAAAUCAAUUUUUUACUAGAAAUUGAUUUCUCAAUUUAUAUUCCUUGGACGAGUUUCUAAGAAGAGAAAUACGUUUGAUAACGAUUCAAAAUUUAUGUUUCUAGAACAUAAAUUCAUUCGAUGACAUAAUAAAAUUUAUAUUUCUAAAGGGCGGUGACUGGCGGCCAGCGUCUGGCCCGGCGACUGGGGAUGGGCGUCCAAUGAUCAACGUCUGGCGUCAAGCAAUCUGGAGUCAAGCAGUCCAACAUUUUGCGACGGCGAUGAGCUUCCUGCGCUCCAUGGGUGGCGGGUGAACGGCAGGUAGUAACGAGAGUAAAUGAUAAAAAGAGUUAUCGUUUCUCAUUUUUGUUCUAGAAAUAGAAAAGUUCAAAAAAUUUAGCUUUUGAUUUAUGCUCCAAAUCUAUUUAUGAAAUAAAAAUCCGUUCCAAAAAUAGAAAAAUGAAAUUACAUUAACAAACGAAUUUCUAUUCCAAACCUGUUCCGAGGAACAGAAAAAAAAGAAAAAGAAAUAGAGAAAUAGAAAUUUUGUUAUGCCUAACCGGCUAAGCAGCGAAUCAAAAGCCAAGGCUUAAAAAAAGUCAUACAAGUAAAAACUAAGAUAGGUAUUUGAUUAAGCUUGUUCCUUACGUAGGGAAUGAUAUGAUGAUAGCAUUAGAAACUCUUACUCUAUACUUCCGUUUCCUAUGAUAUUCUUUUCUAAAUUAUUAUUUCCAAGAAACUAGCCAUGCAUUAUUAACCCAAUCCCAUGAUUAAACCAUUCAUGCAAAACUGGAGUCCACAUGUAUUCUAUUGUCAGAUGGACUUUGUCAUUGGAAAAAUGCUAUACGUGUUCCUCAAGUCCAAGAGAUGCAAUAAUUUGCCUAGAUGUUAAGUAAAUGGGGGUGUCCCCAUUCCCUCUCAUGUCCCCAUUUAAUGAAGAUGUUGCUGGAUCUAUUACUACCUCAUUCAUUAGUAAUUUGACUUGAGAUUAUAUUAUGUGCCAAAUGUAUAGCCUAAGAGCACAAAUUUUGACAGGCUAAGAUAGAUGACUUUCAGAUUAUGCACCCUAUCAUAUAGUUAAGGCUGUGAAUUAUAACUCUUGAAACUAGCAAAUAUUGUUAAGUGUCAUGAAUAUAUGUAUGUAUGUAUGUAUGUAUGUAUGUAUUGUUGUGAUCUCUCAUUCAAUGUGCUUAUAUUAUGGGCUUUUGUAUUCAUACAUUGCUUGUUCAAAUAUGCAUGCAUACAAUUCUCUUCGCAUUUUUCAAGGGAUAUAUUGAGAAAUAAUCGAAUUGCAAUUCUUAGGCAUUUAGAUAGAUUGUGCAAGGUGAAGCCGUAGAUAUAGUACAUCUUGUAAAAAAAAUGAAAGAGGACUAAAUUGCAUUUACAUCAUUCUCUACUAAGUCCGAACUACAAUCACAAAAGUUUAGUAGUGUUGCCUAUAGUUUUAUAAGCCAUACAUUUUCUCACAUCGCGAUCUUUUAAUUGGUAUUUCAUUAAAUCACAUCUUUUACAAAUGGUAAAAGAUGGUAGCAUUCAGUAUUCUUAGUCUAUACUUUUGUUUUCUAUGACGUCAUUAUUAAAGUUAUUAUUUCCCACAAGGCAGCCAUUCAUUUGUUACCACAAUCCCAUGAUUGAACCAUGCACGCAAAAGUGGGGUCCAUAAGUAUUCUUUUGUCUGAUAGAGCUCUCUUGUUGGAAAAUAGCUAGGUGAGUUGCUUAGGCCCAGCUGAAGUAAUAAUGUAACUAGACAUUAAGGGCGCCAAUAGUAAUCAUUAUAUUUCAGAAAUCAAUUUUUAUUCCAAAAAUAGGAUCGAAUACAAAAAAAUUUCCUCUCAAUUGGCAGCAAUGAAUGGCGAACGUCAAAUGGCGGAUGGUAGCGGCGUCCAGUAGAUGUCGAACAGUGGACAAUCAUCAACACACAUAGACCAACGACUUGCAGACGGCAGCUGUGCGGCCAACGAUUGGCGGCGGCAGAUGAUGAUUGGUGGUGGUGGACAACAAGUGGUGAUAGGCAAGCCACUAGCUAGUAGCAAUGAGGAGCAAUGAGAAGAGUUUUUAUUUUUCAUUUCAAUUAUAAAAUUAGAAAAGUAGAAAAUUUUUAUUUUUCAUUUCUAUUCCAAACUUAUUUUUAGGCUAAAAAUUUAUUUCAAAAAUAGAAAAAAGAGGAAAUUACGUUACCAAACGGAUGAUUAUUAUACCCGUCCUAAAUCAUGGUAUGUCCCAUCUCGAGCCCAAGGUGCUUUUUGAAAAUGCUAAAUAGACGAAAGUGGAGCAUCAAACACAAGAUUUUGGCUACAAUGUGGAAAUAAAUUAAUAAAUUAAUGAUAAGCCAAGAUGGUUAUAACGAGAUCUUUGGCGGCAAAAUAUGCAGAGAAAUCAUGAAAGUUUGAUUGUUAGGUCCAAGCACGCCUCAUGCAGCAAGCAACCACUCAGACCCUAUCAACUUUUUCCAGUAAAAAGUAGCUAUGCUUUGACGCCGCCCUUCCUUCUUCAUCUCUCUUCGUCCUUGCUCUAUUUCGCUCUUUCUUCUUCUUGGCACAACUAUUCUUCCUCCUCCUUCUUUCUCUUCUGCAUCUGCUCCUCCUCCCUCCUAUUGUCCGAAUGGCACGAUAGACAUAUGACGCGGGCACAUUUUGCACUAAACAAUCUACAGUCCCAUGUAUAUGGUUCACAUCAUCAUCAACUCCAUUUGCAUGUUUGACAAAAAGGAUUUGAAAGAAUUAAGUAAAUAUAUAUAAUAUAUGUAUGCAAUUGGAAGAAAAAAAAAGUUCAAAGACCUACUGAUAAUUUUGGCAAAAAGUUCAAUUACUACGAUGCCUAAGUCCCUUAUUAAGUAUCAACUACCGCUUCAAAAUUAGUUCGAGCCAUCAUCUAUUUUUUUGAAAAAUGCAAUGAAGACAACUAUUUCUUUUACCAGUAUUUGCUAAAAUAUGCAUUGUAGCUCACAAGAUAUUACCAUCAUUUGAGGUACACUCGUUUUGGUGAUGAAGUGUCCAGAAUAGCUUUAUUUAACAUGUUGCCCUAUUGAUUCAUGCACGAUGCGCAGAGUCUGCAAAGUACUACUUUGUGGGCCAAUGCCAACACAUGUCCCUCUAACCUCCGUUGAUGUACCAUCAAGUUCCUAUCAAUCUUCACCGAAGAAGAUGAGUUUGUCCGAAAAUCCUCAAAAGGUGCGCCCAUGAGAGUGCAUUGAGUAUAUUCAACGGAUCAAUAAUAUGAUUCUAGCGGACCAUCGGCAAAUACUUUUGAAGAGUGGGAAAUGGAAUAGCUCGUCAAGAAAUUUGAAAGAGAAAAGGACAAAAGUUUUGACAGCUCAACGGGUAUUUGGAGUGAACACCAGCACCGCAUUUUGUGUACCGUGUAAGGCUUCUUGCACGGUGCCUUAGAAGCCUAUAUUAUUGAGUCCACUGUGCACUAUUGGUGUGAGAGUUGCUCUCUCUCUCUCUGAAAAAAAAUCAAAGAAAAUUGUCCAUCGAUGUUGCUGUUCCAGAAUAAUAGGAAAAAUUACAUUAAACUCAUAUCAAUGACUAAUUUUUGAAAGAGCAAUAACAAAGAGACAUUAACAAAGUUCCAACCAUAUCAUCGUAUGGCAAUUUUAUGAUAUUUAUUUCACAUUCUAAUAUGAUGAUUAUGGUUCUCUUAAAAAUUAAUAACUUCAAUUUGAUUUUGUCAAUUGAGUUUUUUAUUUUUAUUUUUCAAGUAAAGAGAAGCCUAGAGGGCCUUUCUAUCAACAAAUCUGCGAAAGAUAAUACAUGAAAAGCCAAGACUUAUUUCCAACUAACGAUUAAUAUUAGGGAUAAUACCUUAAAAAACCCCAAACUUAUACAUUUGUGACAAUUUUACCCAAAACUAUUUUUUUGACCAUGAAAAACCCCAAACUGGUAAACUUGUGACAAAUUUACCCCAACUGAUUAUAAAAAACCAUAAAAUGGUACAUUUAUGACAAAUUUACCCCAAACUAAUUUAUUCGACUGCAAAAAACCCUAAAAUGGUAAAUUUGUGACAAAUAUAUCCUAUGCUAAAUUGGAUUAAUACCACAAAAAAGUCAUAAAAAUUGUAAAUUGUGACAAACAGAACGUAAAAUCCUAAAUAGAUAUGCUGGUUAACUGUCACGUAUCAUUUAACUUAAUAAUUUGAGAAUAAAAUUUAACGAAAACUAACAUAGGGUAAAUUUGUCACAAGUGUACCAGUUUGGGAUAAAUUUGUCAAAAAUAUACAAGUUUAGGGUUUUUGGUGGUCAAAAAAAUAGUUUGGGGUAAAUUUGUCACAAGUAUACCAGUUUGGGGUUUUUUAGGGUAUUAUCCCUUAAUAUUAUUAGACAUAAGGAUCUAAGUUAGCCCAAGUCUAAUGUGUCAAUCACAAGAACAUUAUCAAAACCUGCUAUUCAAUGUAUAAUCUCUAAAAUGGCAAAUCAUCGAGAGCACUCAUCUAUUAAACUCUUAAGGGGACAUCACAUAUCCUCACACAGCAAGGGUUAAUUAAAGUAAAGGGAAAGCUUGUUCAUUUGGGCCUCAUCAAGAGAGUUGUAAGUUUUAGCUUGAUAAUUGGUGACUCUUUCGCUUAAUGGAUCAUUGAUUCAUUGCCCAUGGAGGAGAGAAGUGGGAAAACAAUAUUUAUUGACAAUAAAAGGAAAGAGGCCAGACAAGUGAAGGCACCCAAUCAGUUCAUGCAUUUACAAAUACUUAGAUGUUUUUUUUUUUUUUUUGGUAACCUAGGGAACCUCCGCUUGCCGCUUCGCGGCGGAGAGUAAACCCUGGGGAGACACGUGGGAAACCACCACCCACGUGUCCCGGGUAAGGCGUGGCUAGCACUGAAGCAACGACGACACCGUGGAUCGAACUCGGGAUCUCUCGUAAAAAGUUUCCUUGCUCAACCACCUACGCCACCACCACGGGUGAUUACAAAUACUUAGAUGUUUGUCUGGUAGUUGUGGACGAAAGGACAUGAAGGUAGACAUUGGUGAUGGUGACUGGUCGAGUAAAGGAACAAUAAAAUGCAAAAAUCCAUCUCAGCCUCUGCAACUACUCUCUCUAUCUACCUCUCCCACCACUAACCCUAAUUAAACCAAUCUUUCGUAUAUUUAGAUAGUUGUCCAUGAGCAGUGGAAGAAAGGACAGGUAGACUUGGACAUUAGUGAUGGUGACUAAUCAGGAAACAGUAAAAUGCAAAAAAACAAAAAAAAUCAUCCAUUUCCAUAUAUAUACUUUUUAUGAGUCAUCUAUUUCUAUCACUGAAUCUUUUAUCGGUCUAUUAUCUUUCUUGUCUCGAUGAUGUGACCGACAUAUGGCGGCCUUUUUGUUUUUUUAUUUUUUGGCCAGUGACGACGUGGGGGUAGUCUGCUCAUCACUCUACUUCCCAAGUGGAGCUCUAUCCAUACCCUAUCUCCUCUUUCCUCCUUUGGUUUUUGAGUCAUUCUCAUAUUUUCAACUAGCUGGAUAGCUAGUAUUGAAACUCAGCCGUUUAUUAUAAACUGUCCCAGCAAAAUGUUGCUGUUUUUCGACGCUACCCAUCCUUCGAAAAAAUUAAAAGUGAAAUAAAAAUUAGGUUUAUAAAUUAUGAAAACCCACAUAACUUUACUUGGCAAUAAUUGUAUGCUUUUGAAAGUUUUUAAAACCAAUUUGUGAUUACUGCAAUAUUUGAAAAAUACAUGUUAAAAGUGUUAAGACUCACCACACAUCCCAAGCAUUUAAGAGAAAAGAGAAAAGAGGGAAACUCCAAUUGGAACGAGAGACCACAAAACAAUGUUAGUGGUUACUCGAAUUGUUUCCUAUAUUAAUUGUGUGUUGUAAAGAGUAGCAUUAUUUAAAAAAAAAAAAGUAAACUGAUUUAAAUUGUUUAAUCUACUUAUAAGUUUUGAUCUAACAAUUCUAUAUGAAGAUGCAAUAAUUUAACUAGACAUACGAUAAGGGGGUGCCUCCACUCCAUCUCAAGUCCACUUUUACCAAAGAUGUUCUAAAAGAAAAGCCAAAAAGACGAAAGCAUUGAUUUUUCAAGAAUGACUUCGCAUGAGGAGCAUCACACAUGAGAGACUUUGGCUACAAUGUGGAUUUGAUAGUUAUGCUUGUUUUUUUUUCUAGUUUUGCUAUUAAACCUUUUCAUAAAAAAUGAUUCGGCAUCCAUCUGUUGAUUAGCGACUAUUCCUGCAAAAAAAGUUGCUAUGCGAUUAUUUUUCGACAUUAGCUUUCCUUCAUCCACUUCUCUAUUGGCUCCAUGAAUUUGUCUUGGAUGCUUCACUGAGAAUUGCUUCAUUAAACUGAAAGCAAAAAUUCACAAGGCUAUAAGAGAUAUUUUCCGCUAGUGAGCCUUCCUUCCCACCAGAACCUUUGAAAAAUAGUUAGGAAAAUCUUCUAAAGUCAACUAUAUAUAUAUAUAUAUAUAUAUAUAUAUAUAUGUGUGUGUGUGUGUGUGUGUGUAUGUAUGUAUGUAUGGACACACAUUUCUCACCCCAAUUUAGUUUAAAUCACAUCCCUUUACGUAAGCUGGCCAAAAUAUCCUCCACACGCAUGUGUAUCCUCAAGCAUUAACACAUCCGCCUUUUUUUUUUCAAAAAAUAAAUUUGCCAUUUUCAUUUUCUCUCAAAUAUAUUGUCUUGUAUCUUUUCUUAUUUACUGUAGACCUUUGAUAAGAGAUUCUGAUUUAAAUCUUCUCACUUACUCUUCUGAUUUAAAAUUUUUUUUAUAUAAUAAUUUAUCUAAAAAACAUCUUCAGCCUAUUAAUCACAAAAAAUGGCUGAUUUAUUUCAAAGAUUGGAGCAUAAGCAUGUUCCGGAUUAUCAAACUGCAUUUACGCUUUUGUUGAACUUUUGCUAUAAUUUUUCAUAAACAUCACGACCAAAUCUUCGGUUCUUAGAUUCUUCCAAUUUGAAGUUUCAUCAUUUUGUAGAAGAGGUCGCCUCAACUAGUUAACUUUGUGGGAGAUUUGCUUUAUAUGAACUUAUAGGUUGGUGAAUUUACAGAUAAUUCUCUUCAUUCAAAUGGUUAUGGCCAGUGGUUUUGAGACAUUUGAAAUUUACUUAAUUUUUAUAGCUAAUUGAUUAUUUUACGUUUUAAUGCUAGAAAAUUUGGGAGAUCAUUGGGUGAGUGUUUCAUUUUGAGCAUUUUUUAUUUUAAGUUUGGUUUCUCUGCAUCUCUACAGUUAUUUUAAGAAGGAUAGUUGUUGCUAAACAUAAGAAAGACGGAAGCUCAUUGUUUCAUUGAACUUGUUGACUAUCUAAAAUACAAUUUCAUGUUGAGUAAAAGAAAUCAACAUUUUAUAAAAUAUGGAUUUUAUAUUGAAAAACUAAUGGCUACCUAGGCUCCACCUAAACUAAUAUUGUACACUCCUGAUCAGGUAGAUUACUUAUAUAACAUAAUAUUCUAUUUACUCCAUAUUACUUUCUUUAAUGACGGGUAUCAAUGCAUUGGGGAUAAAGUGACUAUGGGAAUCAAAUUGCUUUUAGAUUGCGUUUACUUUUAGAUAAAACAUAUAAAAGGAUCAAAGAUAAAAAGAAAAGGAUUAAAAAAUCUCAUUUGUGUCUAUAUUAGGAUUACUUUUAGGGAUUAUUUUGAUGGAUGUUUUCGUCUUUAAUAUGUUAGAGAAUUUUUUAGUAGAUAAUUUUCUUUAGCCGAAAGUAGAUUUUGGCUUUGAUUUUUAGCUCACAAGAUAUUCAUGUCUCGCGGUUUAAUGUCGAUGAAAAUGUUAAUAUUAUAAGAAAGAAUAGAGAUGCCUUCUCAUGUAUUUUCCAAGGUGCCACUUGUGCUUUUCUGCCGUCGUAUGUGGGGCACAUUAAAAAUGAGUUAAUGGCAGACCGGGUAGUUACAUGUCACGUGUUCAAUUUGUCAAAAGGUCAAAUGUGGUAAAAGUUAGAACUCCGUGUCACGUGGGUAUGGCCAGUCCUCGUCCAUUCAUUUUAUUUAUUCCGAGGGCGAUGGUUUGAGUGGAAUCAUUUGUUUGCUACUUCAACAGCUGAUAAUCAUCUCUUUCUUUCUCCAUUCGUUGCUAUUCGACGCUUUCCUUCCUUCAACCUGUUUUCGCGCUCAAUCUCUUCGCCUUGUUUGUCCCUUGCUCUGUUUCGAUCUUUCUUCACCUCGGCUCAACCAUUCCUCCUUCUGCUCCUCCUCUUCUUCUUCAGUGUCUGUUGCUCUUUUUCAUCAUUCUCUCUCUGGCUCUCUAUUUUCUCGCUCUUUCUUUCUCAGAAAAAGAAAAAAUCAAAGAAAAAUGUCGGCCGAUUCUGUCGUUUCUAUUGCAUGGGAUGCCUUGAAGAGCUAUGUAUUUGUUCCCAUCAAGCGUCAACUUGGAUACGUGAUCUCCUCCAAGAACUUCGUCGACGGUCUUAGAGAGGAAGCCCGGAAUCUGGAGAACAAGGCUGAGAGGCUCCACAGUGCCGCGGAAGUGGCCAGAAACAAUCUCCGGAAUUUCUACAGGGAGUUCACGGAGUGGGACGCAAGUACUGAGAAGACUUUGAAGGAGGCGGGAAAACUAUUGGACGACUUCGAAAAGGCGACCAAGACUUGCUGCUACGGCACUCUUCCUAACCCCUAUUGUCGCUAUCAGUUCAGCAGGAAGGCCGACGGCAAGAUCGAGGUCAUUAAACAACUCACUAAAAAAUGCAGUGAAUUCAAGGAAUUGAACGACAUCUGCUUCACCGAGCCUGCUCCGGGGAAUGUCACUGCUCUGACUCCAGCCAGGAUAGAGGACAAAGAUGUUGUCCAAUCGAACAUAUCGACGGCCACCAUUUCUUCUGCCUCAAUGUCGAAUAAGCUUAGGGACGAUGACAUCUUCGAAUCCAGAGCUCAAAUCACAAGGGACAUCAAUGAGGCUCUUGCCGAUAAUAGCAAUAGCGUGGUUGGGGUUCAUGGGAUGGGCGGGCUCGGCAAGUCCACCCUUUUGGAGGAAGUCAAAAGGAUAAUAAGCAAAGAGAAGUGGUUUGAUUGGGUCGCUAAGGCCGACGUGUCGAAAAAUCCGGACAUCAAGAUGAUUCAAGGAGAGAUUGCCGAUGCGUUGGGCCUUAGUGAGAUCAAGGACAAGGAGUCCGUCAGCGGGCGAGCGGAACUUCUACAAAGGAGGUUGAGAAAAGAGGAGAAUGACAAAAAGAAGGUCCUCAUAAUACUGGACAACCUGUGGGAGGGGCUCGACUUAGACAAAGUCGGCAUUCCUUGCGGACAUGACAACAAAGUCCUGGGAUGCAAAUUGUUGUUGACGUCAAGAGAUCGUGAUAUUUUGCGACGGAAAAUGGGCUGCGACAAGGACUUCCUCCUCAAUGGGCUGAAGAAGGAAGAGGCAAAAAGAUUGUUUGAGAGGACGGUGGGAGACAAAGUUCAUGAUGACGAGUUCAAACCUUUGGUGAAUGUAGCACUCGACAAAUGUGCAGGUGUGCCUUUCCUAAUUGUUGCAAUGGCGAAACGUUUUAAAGAUGCUAAUUUAUCUGAAUGGAAAGACACUUUAAAAAAAGUCGAGAAGUUUAAAGAUAAAGAAAUCAAUGAUUCAAUACACCAGAUGUUGCAAUGGAGUUAUGAAAAAUUAGAAAAGGAGGUGAAGUCAUUAUUACAACUCUGUGUUGUUUAUGGUACUUCCAACCCUUCUCUUGAAAACUUGGUGAGGUACAGCGUCGGUUUGGGGUUAUUUCAAGAAGUUAGCAGCAUGGAAGAAGCUAGAAAUAGACUAAGCUCACAUAUCCGCACUCUUCAAGCCUCUUCCCUUUUGUUAGAUAGUGAAGAUGUUGAUGGUUUCAAGAUACAUGACUUGGUUCAUGACUUUAUUGUCGAUGUCUCUUUGAGAGAUCACCCUCUUCUUGUGUUGAAAGAUGAAGUCAAGUCAGUAAUAGAGUUGCUGAACGACAAGCCUAGUAAUUAUAUGGCGAUAUGCUUUCCCUACGUUGACAUGGAGGAGCUUCCUCAAAAAUUAGAUUGCCCCGAAUUGUGCGUCUUCUUGUUGUUCACAAACAAUGAAUCUCUUCAUGUCCCAGAUUCAUUAUUUAACUAUACGAAGAAACUCACGGUCUUAAAUCUUACUGGGGUACAUCUUACUCAUUCACCUUUGCCGUUUCAGCUCUUGGAGAACUUACAAACUCUGUGUCUUGAUGGUUGUUUGUUAGAGGAUGUAGCCAUUCUUGGCAAGCUAAAGGGGUUACAAAUUCUCAGCUUUGUGAACUCCAACAUUCAGCGAUUGCCAAAAGAAAUUGGGCAAUUGGUAGAGCUGAGGUUGUUAGAUUUAAACUAUUGUUCAAAACUGCAGAUAAUUGAACCGGGUGUGCUUGGAAGCUUGAUAAAAUUGGAGGAGUUGUGCAUGAUGUAUAGCUUUGAUCAAUGGAAUGCUGGGGAGCUGCCAACUCCACCAACUAAUGCAAGUCUUGUUGAGUUGAAUAACAUGAAGAAAUUGUGCACUUUGUAUGUAUCCAUUCCCGAUCCAAGUGUGCUCCCAAAGGACCUAAAUGUCGAUAAAUUAACCAAGUACCAAAUCCAAAUAGGAAAUGCAUGGCGCCUAAGCAUUGGCAAAGGAUUGAGGAUAUUGGAGUUGAAUCCGACAAGUGAUAUUCUUCAGAAAGAAUGGAUACAAAGUAUCUUAGGCAAAACUGACGCUCUAUGUUUGGAUGAGCACAAUGGAAUUGAGCAAAGUAUUUGCGCAUUAUCCAAAAAAGGUUUUCCAAAAUUAAAGCAUCUACAAGUCAUAAAUAGUCCUUCUAUUCAUUACAUCCACCAAUCGUCAUCACAUACAAAUUUUAAGAGGUUGGAGUCAUUAAUUCUCAAGGAUCUCAUCAACGUGGAGAAGUUAUGCCACAAUCAUAUCUAUUAUAAGUCCUUCAGUUCAUUAAAGGCGGUACAAGUCAAAAGCUGUCACAAGAUGGAAGUUCUAUUUCCUCUUUCAUCACUAAGAGAACUUCCAUGGCUAGAAGAGAUUGAUGUUUCCAAUUGCAAGUCAAUGCAGGGGAUUGUAGAAGCCGAUGAUUGUGGCAAUGUUGAGUUGCAUAAUUUGCAUGUAUUGAAAUUGUGUGACUUGCCAAAUAUCAAGAACUUUUUCAACACCGGGUCAACUCCUUCAAGUAGUAUGCCAAACGACCAAGUUGGCAUGCAAAAUGCAUUCUUCAGUGGGCAACGAGUAAGUUCAAUCAAAAGAAUUCACGCAGAUUAUGGUGCUUAUUUAUUUUUGUUAUUUUCAAUUUAUUUUUCCUAACUACCUUAUCUGUUCAUGUCUUCUCUGUAAUUAGAUAAAAACAAUUAUCCAUUUCUCUUAAUUGUGUAGAAAUACAAGCAAUUAUAUGAAAUCCAUGUAAAUUUGGUUUGUCAUUAGUUUUGAGUUAUUUUUUACUUUCGUGCUGCAAGUAAAUCUGUAUUAAUAAGGUUUCAUAAAGCAAAAAUGAAGGGAAUUUUGGCAUUAAAGUAAUUCCAUAAGCAAAGUAAUUUAUAAUCUUUCGAAAUGGAUUCCACUGAAUUUAGUUAUCAAAUCGUUGUUAUUAUCCACAAAAUGUAUAAUACAAGUGCCUCUCUUAAAAACCUAUACGAAGAAUGGGAAGAAGGGCCAGGUUUUAAAAAUAAAAUCAACUGUGCUAAUAUUAUUGAUGCACUAUUUAAAUAAGCACUUAGUAAUUGCAUAGACCCCAUAACUAUAAGAGUACAAUAUUUUGUGCAUAGGUUUCUUAUAGUGAAUGUAGGCAUUGGCAAAUGUAUGAUUUUUAUUGUGUCACAGCAAAGUUGUCAUUGCAAAUUUGGAAUUCUUGCCGUUGGAGUUUUAAAGUGAUCUUUUCCAUUUCUCUAGUCCAUACGGCGGAAUUAAGGCCAAGUUGUUACAAUAUAAAAUAAUGGAACAAGAUGCCUUGAUGGAAAAUCCACUAUCUUUGACGGGCCUUGUAUUUAUUUUGGCUACUCAAUAUGUCUUUAGUUUAAUUUCCAAAGCUUCAAGUGCUCCACAAUUUAAUCUUCAAGAAAUUUGUGGUGAAAUUUGACUUUUCUUUUUGUUGAGUCCCAUCCAAUUUGAAUUUUAACUUUUAUGUAACUCCAAUAGUUUAUCGGGACAAAUCCACAGUUUGCAUUAAUAAUCCUGUUAAAUUAAUUAUUGAUAUUGAUUUAUUAACGUUAAAGACAAGUUAGUAAGCUAAGGAUAAACAUUUGCCCAAGUAUGGAAAGUGAUAAAUCAACGUUAAAGACAAGUUAGUAAGCUAAGGAUAAACAUUUGCCCAAGUAUGGAAAGUGCGCGGCUAUUUUAUACGGGGAAAGUUGGUGUCAGUGGACCUUGUAGGCUGAUUAGAUAAAAUUGCCCUUUGAUAGCGGUGAUAUUAUCACUGAAGUUGAUGGUGGGGUCCAAGACUCACGCCAUAUAUAAGCUUUCCCAUCAGUAAAAGAUCUGUUCGUCUUUUUUCCCUGAUCGAAGGAACCUUGCUCUCUGAAUUGCACCAGGAAAGGGUACCUGAGCCCUCUCCGUAACUAAGCAGGUCUAGGGCUUCGGGAAUCAUCACUUUUAGAUUUUACAUGAAUUGCAAGACCAAAGUGAUCAAUUCAGUGACUUCUCUAAGUGUACAGCAAUUUCAUUGAAGAAUUUCAUCCAUGUUGUAACUUAAAUAACCGUCUCUAAGUGAUUUAACAAAAGCUAUGUAUGCUAUCCACUUCAUUCUCGGGCUAGCAAAAAAAGCAUAAAUUGUGAUUUGAUUAUUCUAGGAAAUUAACUAAAUUCAAAAGAGGGAGAGAUUUUAUUCAAAUUUGGGAUUAUGAGAGACUACUGUGAUUAUAUGAUAGCAUGAAAACAUUUAAAAAUUACCAUUUUGCCAUUGUCAACAGAAUCCGGUUAGUAUUCCUACUUUUUGUUUUGUUUCCCGUAAUUCCAAUAGCCUCCUCGUCCUGGAGUCGUUGACAUUAGUAUGGAGAUUUCUUUACCAAAUUUGUUGACUUUAUUCUUUUUGCCCUUUUGCUCAACUUAAGAUAGAAUCACCAAUUUCAUGAAUUUGUAAUUUUCAUCUUGGCACGUAUCUAUAUUUACAUCUUAGAAAUUCAUGAUUAACUCAUUCACCAAUUUCGUGAGUGAAUAUCGCAGGUUGCAUUUCCUAACUUGGAGACAUUAUAUAUCACUGGCUUGAAUAAUAUCGAGAUGAUAUGGGACAAUCAAGUUGUUGCGGAAUCUUUCACCAAGCUAAAGUCACUUUGCGUGGAUGAAUGCAAUAAGCUUGUGAACAUUGUUCAUUCUUUCAUUCUAAGACGGCUCUUGAGCCUAGAAAGGUUGGAUGUAAAAACAUGUGGUUCACUUGAAGUUGUUUUUGAAUUUUGGCCACUGAAACAUCUAGAUGGACAUCCUAUUGCUCUUCCAUUAGAAGAGCUGACAAUAUCAGCAUUAUCAAAGCUAAAGUGUGUAUGGGAUAAGGAACUCCACUGUCAAGCUAAAUUCCAAUGUCUACAAUCAAUUAGUGUUUCUAAAUGUGAGAGCCUCACCUCUCUGUUUCCAGCUUCAGUAGCCAAAGAUCUCAUGCAACUUGAGGAGUUGAAGAUCGAUGAAUGUGGCAUUGCAGAAAUCAUCGAAAAGGAAGAUGGACUAGUUCCCAGGUUUGUAUUCCCAAUGUUAACCUCCCUUGAGCUUGAGUAUCUGAGAGAGUUGAAGUGCCUCUACAAAGGAACACAUACUUCCCAUUGGUCGGCAUUGAAGAGCUUGAAGGUGCAUGGUUGUGACAAAGUGGAGAUACUUGCAUCGCACCUUGAGAAUGAGAUGCCACUUGAUAAACAGCCUCUCUUCUUGAUAGAAAAGGUAUGGCCCAAGAUUACUUGUUUUGUUUUGAUGGUGAAUAUUUGAAGUGAUGAUUAAGGUUACAACCAAGCAUCUCAUACAAGCAGCUCUACAUAGAAGAUGGACACUAUACGACUCACCUUCAAUCUAUGAAAAUAUUUCAACAUCAAAACAUCACAUGUUCUUCAAGUGCUGACUGAACAUUCUUGUUAGAUGUAUCCAAUGCAUUGUUGUUGGUCCACUUUUAAUAAAGGUUUAGGCUAAUUCCAAUAGUUUUGCUAUCUCCUAAGUGCCAUGAAGAUGAAAACACGUGGCACAUGUUGUGAUCUUAGUAUGGUACAAAUGUGUUGUCCGACUUGAAUCCUUUAAUGAUUACUAAUGUUUUGCUAAAAACAGAAAGAUGUGACAUUAUUGUUGAUAUUAAUCACUGAAAUUGGUGCAACUGUAAUUGACAUAGAAGUUAUUUUCACAAGGGAUUUAUCUUUAGAAUCAUGAAUGUAACAAGUAACUUAAACUCAAAUAUGGAUACAAGUUGAAUAUAAAGAUCAUUGAUAAUGUUUAUUUGAUGUAGGCACAUUUCCUUUUAUUGAAUCAUGUGAGACUAAACAUUUUAUAAAUGUAAUUUUUGCACGCAACAUGCAGGACUUAUAUCAUAAUACAUGAAUGCUAUUUUAACCAAUCUGGCUUUAAAUUCUGAUUUGACUAUUUUUUCAGGGCGCAUUCCCUAAUCUCCAAGAGUUAAAGUUGGAUUUAUCGAAACGGAUGGAGAUAUGGCAUGGGCAUUUUCAUGAUGGACAAUUCUUUUGCAAGCUUAGUUUGCUUAAGCUUUGUCAUCUCUCCCAAGAGUCUUCAAUAUCCACAUGUCGCUUUGUUGAGAGUUUAACCAACUUGGAAGAGCUUGUUGUAUGUGAAUCUUAUCUAGAAGACCCAAGUAGCAAUGAGGAAGCCAUAGAAGGCACGAGUCAUGAGAUGAAAGUAAUAUUACCAUUUUCAAGAUAUAUUCGACAUCUACAAACUCUAGAUGUGUCACAUUGUGAUGGGUUAUAAAAAAUGUUCACACCGACAAUUGCUGAAAAUUUGGUGGCACUCACAAAAUUGAGGAUAAGUAAUUGUAGAAUAUUGAUAGAAGUCAUUAAUGAUGAGAAAGGUGGGGAUGGCCGUGUGGUGGCUUUCAAUCAACUGAAGUAUAUGGAGCUUGAUGGGUUGAUAGGGUUGAGAAGUUUCAGCUCAGGUGGAUACACUUUGAUGUUCCCGCUCUUGGAAGAUAUCAUUGUGACUAGAUGUCCCAACAUGAAGUUUUUCUCUCAAGGACCGACGGAGGCAUCAAAGUUAAAGAGAGUUCAAGUAUCAAAGGAAGCGUGGUUUUGGGCAGGAAACCUCAACAUCACCAUCCAUAAUAUGUUUGAAGAAAUGGUAUGCACUAGUUACCAAAUUCCAUGUAUUUGGAUGGUUUUGAUCACUAAAUGAAUAAUAGCUUUUUGCUAGCUAGAAGUUUAUGCUUAACGAUGCAUUUUUUUUUAUAGGGCACGUUUGCUGGAGUAGAGAAAAUGCUGCUAUCUGAGUUCCCUGGGUUGAUUGGAAAAUGGCACAAUGAACUUAAUCCCAUCAAGUCGUAUUGGCAACUCAAAUCAGUGGUGGUAGAUAAAUGUCCAUCAUUUAUUAACGCUAUUCCAUCCAGAUUGAUGCUUGUCUUAGACAAUUUGGGCUAUUUGCAAGUGCAUGAUUGUGAGUUGCUUGAAGAAAUAUUUGAUUUGGAAGGGCUGGAGGUUGUGGAAAGCACUCGAGUACUACCUCAGCUAUGGGAAUUGAACUUGGUCAAUCUACCAAAAUUAAGGCGACUGUGGAACAGAGAUCUUCAAGAAUCGCUAUGCUUCAAUUCUCUAGAAAGUCUCAUCCUUUAUAAUUGCAGCAACUUGGGACAUGCUUUCUCUCCAUCAAUGGCUCAGUGCCUUGCCAAUCUUAAAGUAAUGGAAAUAAAGGAGUGUGGUCAAAUGGAAGGAGUGAUCGUAGAGGAAGAAGCAAAGGGAAGCGCAACGGAGAAGAUUACAUUCUCAAAGCUCCGGCAGAUGACUAUGGAAUACUUGCCCAAUUUGACUUGUUUCCUCUUGGGAAAAAAUCAUAUACUGGAAUGCCCCAAAUUACAAAAGAUGAUAAUUGCCCAUUGCCCCAAGAUGGAAAGUUUGAUUGGGCAAUCUCAGAUGGAGGAUGACCACAGCACCCCUUCAUUUUUCACUUCCCAGGUCAGUCUUUCAAAUAAAUGCGUCUUUGGUGUUUCAUUGGGACUUGUUCUCGUAGUAUUGGACAAUGCACGGUAUGAUGCAAAUUUUGUGCUUGUGCCAAUUUAUAUACAUAAUCUUCUAAUAUUUAAGAUGAAGAUUAAAAAUAUUCUAAUCCUCAAUAAAUAUUACUAUUAUAUGUACAUCUCUAUAUCCUAUUAGAAGUGUUAAGUUGGUGUAAGUUUAUGAAAUCAUAUCAUAUGCAGUACUUUAGAAUUAAUCAGCGAGGUUCCUAAAAAAGUUAUCGCAAUAACCAUAUAAAAACAUUUACUUUUUGCAAUUUCAAUUAUAAAGAACUAAAACAGAAAACUUAGAAUGGCAUCUAAAAAUGGCAGAAAAAAUAUUAAGUAUCGCCCCUUCAUAUUUAUUUGCGUGGAAGCAAACUAUUGUCAUUCUAUUAAACAUGAAGAAAAGGGAAAAGUAAAACUUCAUAAUUGUAAAAGCCAAUUUCACAAAUUGCUUAACUAUUAUAGCUCAUUAUACCAUAAUUAGUGGAGCCAACUUUUUUAUUUCUUAAUAUUCACCGAUGCUUGAGCUAAGUCUUGAUAAAAGGAAAAAAAAGGUCAAUAUGCCUGAAGUGGUUAGCCUUCCUUGUUCGUAAAUCAUAUUUGAAUUGCUAUGCUCCAACAACCUAUCAAAUUAUGCACCUAUAUUGUACAAUAAAUAUUAAUUUUGGAUUAUUAUAUUGAGUGAUAAUUAGUGUGAUACCGUGCACAAUCUAUAUUUGGCAAAAGAAAAUGCAUAUUACUUUUUCCAGAAAAAAGAAACGGCUAAAAAAAGGAAAAAAAAUGAAAGAGAAAAAAUGACAGCUGGAUAAUCCAAGGGCGGUUGCCAACAUUGCAAGUCUUAUUUCAAAACUAGAUGACAAUAUUUAGUCAAUGUCCUAGCUAAAAUAAAUUUUUUAAAAAUCGGAAUAAAUUAUCCAACCAACAACACCACCCAAGGGAAAAUAUUAGGUGCAUUAAAUACACUGCCUAGGAUUCGUAUUGAAUCAUCCGCAGACUGACACGUGACAAUGCCGGACCCACUUGUCAGUUGAACCGUUAAAAUUUUUGCUCCCCCUUUCUCUUCAAUAACGGCCCAUCACUUGAAAGCACUACUCUCCUCUUCCUGGUAUGGCUCUGCUCCCUCUCUCUCUUUCCUCUGCGAAGGUGCAUCUCUAUACUUGAACCACACCACCACCUUGGCCUCCAUCAAUUGCUGUGCGCUCACCGGACAGGAAAAAAAACAGAAAAAGGAAAAAAUUAGACAAAGUCUAUUUGGGGUUUUAGACUUCUCCCCCCUUAAGAAUUGUUCUCUCUCAGCCAUUUCAGUUCACCUUGAUCUUCCUUUUUGCAACGAGGAAAAGAAAAAAGUGAACCAAAUCUACAGAGUCAAGUAAUAGUAACUCUUCUUUCUUCCCCUCGCCCCCCUUCCUCUACUUUCUUUCUUUGGGCCGAUUGAUUGGGUGGUCCGUCCAGUGGUUGAAUCGGAAGCUUCGGAAUCGCUUCUCUGAAGCUCGCCUCCUCUCUGCACGCGUGCAUGCGUGGGUUCCGAGCGAUUACGCGAACUGGAGCUUGUUGGUUAUGGUGGAUCGAGGUGGAUCUCCGAUGCGGAAGCGAUUUCAGCGUCGAUUCGGUCGGGGCGUUGAUUCCGGCGAAGAAAAAUUAAAAAAAAUCUUCUCUUCAGCCCUCUCUUCCUCCUCCUUCGUCCACAGCUGCCCGACCUUCGCUCCUCCUCCGCCGUCGCCAACGGCGAAGUCACCAGCGCCUUAAUUAGGCUGACCCUUGCUAUGUCCAAGCCGAGCAUGGCCGUCUUCCUCUGUUUUGUCCGCCUCAUCGUUCUACAGAUCUUGAAAUCUAGCCGUCCAUAGCGACGGAGUUGCAGAUCUGGAAAUCGACCACCGUCGCUCGUAGCCAUGGACGAGCCGCUGUCGCUGUAGCCAUGGUUGCAGAUCUGGAAGUCCCGUCGCGAGUAAUGACGGCUUAUGGACCACGGUCGGCUCGUGGUCGGCCCCAUCCAUGGCCGAGCCACCCCUCCAUCGUCACAACUGCUUGUGGUCGUUGCCCGUCCUGAUCUGGACUGGAGUUGUGCCUCCAGAUCUGGUUUCGUCCAUGGACGCAAGCCUAGCUCGUCCAUGGCUAGCGAGGAGGCUCCCCCAAAGAUCUAGCGACCACUGCUUGUCCAUGGCCAUGAGCCUUGACGGCGAGUUUGAGAUCUUGACGGCUAUGGAUUGCGAGAUCAAACGAAAGAAAAAACAGAGAAACAGAUGUCAGGGAAGAAUGGCCAUGGAUGAGAGGCCGGAGCUUGAACGCAGCCAUGGACGAGCGGCGUCAUGAACGGGCAGACCACAAAGACAACGGAGAGGGUUGGACGCCAAGCAAUAGUCGCCUUGGACGCGGCGCCGGGAACUCCGCCGGUGGCGACGGCGGAGGGAGGCGGGAAGGUUGGGCUCAAUGUGGAUGGAGAUGGAGAUGGAGAAGGAAAGUGAGGUGGAUUGAGAUUUUUAAUAUUUAGUCAAUGUCCUGGCUACAUAAAAAAUUAAAAAUAAUAGGAAUUGAUCAUCCAGUCAACACUUUCAUUCCGUCUCAUGAAGUUCUCCUCAUGUGAAGACUAAACGCAAUAAAUGACAACCUCCUCCGCCACUUCUCUUUUUUGGGUCGAAUCCUCAGGCACUUGAAAAUGCGCGAUAUCGACCCAAAUUUGAUUGUUUUGACCUUUUUUUUUUAUUACAGAUUCCAUGCAAGUUUUGUUUUGUUUUUUUUUUCCCUGACGGAGGAAUUUUUUUUUUAUUCUCAUAAUUCUGCGCAAUUCUUUCUAUUGUUUUAUGUGAGUAGAAUGUUUAAUUAUAACAAGUAUCUACACAUUUGUUUACUUUUUAAUUUUAAGAAUUAUCACUAAUUAUUUAUUUAUACUGUCAUUUGCAUGUAUAAGUUAUAUAAUACCAAGCCCCGCAUUCUAAGAAUAUUUCAAAAAGUCAUUAUAACACUCAAUCAACAAUACUAAUAAAUUUGGGAAAGUAUGAAAAUAGUCAUCUAAUCUUUUGGUAGUGAUAAGUUGUAAUAGCGUUAAUUUCAUUUUAAUAUCAAAUAUGAGUUGUCAUAUACUAAUUGAUAGAUUUAAGGAAGUGUGGAAAGUCAAUUUUUUUUUUUUUUUUGGUGACAGGUCGUAAUUGCAUUAAUUAUAUUGUAACCAAAUGAAAAAUAUAAAUACUUACUUUUCAAUGAAUAAUUCAUUGGAGGUCAUGAUGUAGUAAAAAAAAAUUUUGAUUUUCUCCAUACAAACAAAAUGCGAUCAACGGGUGCACACCCACUUUUUGCCAAGGGGUGGAUCACUCGGUACACUGCAAGAUUCUAUUUUAUUUUUCCACCUCAAAUUUGAAUAAAUAUUAUUUCGAGGGUGUUAUUAAUGGUCCAAUGUAAAACUAGUAAAUUGACCCAACUUGUUUUUGCUGAGAUCAUAACAUUAUGUUAUUUAUUCAAGUCGUUAUGUUGCCCAUGCCUAUUAAGAAAUUAUUUUCUUUCAAUACAAAAUUUUUCCAUACAUAAAAAAGAAAAAGGUUGUGAACAAUUGAAGUCACUAUAUUUUUUUUUAUAUCCGGUUCACCAUAUAAAUUUCAUGACUAUUUUCUUUGGUCGAUGCUGAACGUACUAUUGAUUUAUAAAAGCAUUUAUAAUUUCAUGCUUGUUGCAAUGCAAUAUUCUUGGCCUUAUUCUUCAGUCAAAUUGUAUAAAAGCAUCAGCCAACCCCUUUCUAUUUAUGUCACUAACAAAAUCUUAACUUCUCAUGAUUUGUGAGAACGAGGGAAGUCUAGAAAUUCCUUCUUUAAGGUCAUAACUCAAUGCAAUCACAUUCAUUGUGUCAUUUUUUUUUUCUCAAUAUGGCAGGUACAAUUUCCUAAACUUUGGUCGAUGGAUCUCUCCCACAUGGACAAUUUAAGCAAAAUAUGGACUGACGCUCCUCAAGAAACUCUAACUUUUGAUUGUUUAUUGGAAGUGGAGGUUCGAAACUGUAAGGGACUUGAAAAUUUGUUUCCGUAUUGGGUGGCUACAAGUUUAACCCAACUUGGAAAACUUCAAGUGGAGUCUUGUGAGAUCGAGGAAAUAGUCGCUAGUGGGGAUGACAGUCCACGCUCCAAUACUACUCAAGAUCUUUUCUCAAAACUAACCUCUCUGGUGUUACAUGACAUGCCACGACUCAAGAGCUUUUGUCCUAACUUGCCUUUGAAUUUGCCAUUAUUGGAGGAAUUACGAGUGACUCAUUGUGAAAAACUGAGCAUGUUAUCCUUUGUGGCAUCCAUGAACAGAUGGGCUCAAAGAGAUGAUCAACAAGACCUUUCAGAUCAAGAAGCACACUCUUCAUUUGAGAGGGUAUGAUUAUAGUUGCUCUCCCUUAGUUUCUACUUUGUUCUUUAAAGCAGUCACUAAUAUCAUAUCCAUUGCAUAUUAUGUCGCGUUAUGAUGUUAUAGAAAACAUGAUCUCCCCUACCUAUUAGUUUGUUGACAACAUUAAGAUAUUUCUAAUAUCUUACGUACACUUCCAUUUGUGGACAUGCAUAAGAUAUUCCAUUACCUAGAGUUACUAAAAAAUUUACUAUUCUAUUGAUAACAGAAUAUAUUCCUAAUCUAACCUAAUGGUGCUCUUGGGCGACAUCAAUAAGGAUUUGAUGAGAGGUCCUCUCCAUUAUUGACACGUGUUGCACACUUGAACUUUUCUUCUCUAUUUCAUUUUCUAUAAACUCUAAAAAAAUCAAUUCAAACAAUUUUUUUUAUAACAAAAAUAACGUUAGUACCUUAGUGCACUAUUUUCUACUGUAUUUUUUAAUACACUAGUCGUCAUGUUAUCCUGUUAUAAUACUAUAGAAAACUAGAAUCCCUUUCCUAUAAGUUUGCAGACAACAUAAGAUAUUUCUUAUAUCUUAAGCAUACUUCUGAAUUUAUGGACCCCAUAUGUUUUAGUGACAUCUUGAGUGCAUCCCGUUACAUAAGAUUCCAAAGAAGAUAAAUUUUUGUCAACAAGAUAAGAUAUUCCUUACAAAAGAUGAAUUUAGUGAGUGCAAGGAUCUUGAAUUUAGAUUCACUCUAUCCACUUGACCAGACCAACCUCUACAUGAGACUUUUAAAAGCUUGAGUCUUGAACACAAGGUUCUUGAGAUAUAAUGAACUUUAAGAAGAGGACCACUUUCCAUGCGAAUCAUCUUAAUAGGUUUACCUUUUACAGCACGUGAUUUAUUGUCGAAACUUUGUUGAAUUUACUUCUCUUGUUGUAUUGGCAAUUCGACAGGACUUUCCCAACUUGGAGAGACUUUUAUUAGUCAAUAACAAUAUUCAGAUGAUACAAGAUGGAAAUUUUUCGGAUGACAUGUUCAGUAAGCUAAAAGCACUAACACUAGCAUGCUUUCAUGAUAAAAAUGCUGCCUUUCCUUCCAUAUUCCUCCUAGAGAGAUUUCAGAAUUUACAAAGCCUUGAAGUCUUCUGUAGCCCCUUUGAAGAUUUAUUCCCGAACGAAGGGCUUGUUGAAGAAAGGAAACAUCCGGUGCUUGAAAAUUUAAGAGAACUUAAGUUGAACAAGCUACACAACUUAAAGUGUGUGUGGAAAGAAGACUCUUUAGUGUCGAAAAUUCUUCAGAGCAUCAAAACAUUUCAGGUUUGGGAUUGUCCCUGUUUGACAACAAUAUUUCCAACCGAGACAUCCUUCUAGAAUCUGACAAAUUUAGUGGUGAAGAAUUCCUCUGGAUUGGUACAUCUAGUAACGACUUCAGCAGUCACAAAUUUGGUACAUCUCACUUAUAUGACUAUAAUAGGAUGUGAAAGAAUGAAAGAAAUAGUGGCCGACGAUGGAAACGGAGAAGGAAAAGUGAUUUCUUUUGAAAAGCUAAGUUCGUUGACACUUGAACAUCUGCCAAACUUAGAAUGCUUCUCUUCCAUCCCAAGUUGCAUCUUUAGGUUCCCAUCUUUACGGGAUAUUGAAGUGGAAGAGUGUCCGAAAAUAAAGAACUUUUCUAAGGGUACAUUAAGCACACCAGAACUAGAUUAUGUGUCACUGUUCAGAUACAAGUGGGAAGGGAAUUGGGAGAAGGGUGAUGAUCUCAAUACAACCAUACAGAAGUUAACAGCAUAAAUCAAUGCACAUAGAAUUGGUAAGACCAAUUGAUGUCAUUCUCUCAUCCAUUUUUUUUUUCUUUAGUCUUUCGGCAGCGCCGCAACUUUUUAAAAUUUUUCUUUUUGUGACUUUUCUAUUAUUGAUUUCGUCAAAUCAACAUCACCGUCAACCCUAUCGAUGGAUCUCGGCUCAUCCUUAACUGAACAGUAGGAAGCAAAGCGGGUCUCUCCUUCUCCUUCUUGACGCCAAAGGCUCUUUCUCCAUCUUUCUUCUUCUUCUUCCUCCUCCGUGGAGCGAAAUUGGGGGAAGCCUCUGCUGCCUUCACAAAGGACGGAGCAAAAAUGAAGCAUCAGGAAUUGCCAGGACUGCGAGAAGCGAAGCUGCAAUUAGCGGAGCGGAGCCAAGUAGAUUCAACUAGACGCUGUCGUUGUCGCCGUCGUCACCGCCGGAGGUGGCACCACCGAGUCUUGACAGUUUGUCGUCCACUCACUUCAUCAAAGAAGAAGAAGAUCACACUCUCUCUCCGCAUCUGUAUCCGACAAAUCGUAAGUUCAUGUUUCUUCCGAUUUUGGUGUAUUAUUGUGCGUGAAUUAGGGCUCUCUUCUUCAAAUUCGUUCCACAUUCGAGUCUAAAAACAGGAGUUACUCAAACAAGCAAUAUAUUGCCCUUAAAUCUACAUCUUCUGUGCUGCCCUCCCGAGCAUUGGCGAGAUUUCUGCGUGUUUGAGCUCUCAUAGAUGGAGAUGAUAUAUUGUGUUCAAGGUCUCAUGUUGAAAUUUCUUUGGGUAGAGAUAUCUCUGUAACAUCAGGUACAAAUUGCUAUCAUGAAGAAGGGAAAAAUCAUGGAACUUGAAAAUAUUCCGAGAAUUCCAUGCGUUGUCAAAAAUAUGAAAAGUCACUUUUACGCCUUGAUCGUAAUAUAGUCUGGACCGUCUGAGGAAUCACUUGUAAUCUUGAUUGGUUAAGUGAUGCUGGAAGGAUAAAAUUUAUUUCCAAUUUAUGCUAAAAUCUUUUUCAUAGCAAGUCAAACUAAUGAAGUGUACUUAAACUAUCUCUAAAGUUGUCAUUUUUUAAGUACAGGCUGGUCCAAACAUUUGAGCAAAUUGAGGCAUCCUGAGCUGGUUUUUUAAGGUCCCAUGCGCCCAAGGCCUCUCACUGCUCUUACAUCGGCCAACAAAUUUCAAAUGGAGCAUCCCAAUGGAGCAUUCCUUUUUCAAAGGUGGUGAGGAGGCCCUCUUAUGUUGACUUUGGCUUGGUAUGAUUCCACGCUCAUUGACCCAAACUCGCAUGUCUGAAAAUCAAACAUAUGGAUGCUGUUUAUAUCUUUGCUUAUACUCUAGUGUAUUUCCAAGUUGACUUAAUGCAGUAAACAACAUGACAUGUUAUAUUCCUUGAAUUGUUCAUGGGUAUAUGUUUGAAACCAGGUAUAUGUCUUAACAAUGGAGUAAUUGAAGCAGGGGAAACAAUGAAAGGACGGUUAGUGGGACUUAAACUGGUGGUCGAGGUUUGAAAGAAUAACAUUUGUCCCCUUUUUGUCAAUACAUGUGUUGGAAAGCAAUUGCUGAGGCAAGUCCAAAGAAUUAGAAUCCAAUUCCUCUUAUAUGGAGGAACUUGACAAUGUUAUUCAAUGCUGUAAAAGUAGAAUAUAUAUGUAAAUCACACGAGGAGACUAGUUGAUACGGACAAGCAAAUUGCAAAGAAUGUCACUAUCUCCAUAACUAGAGGGAAAGACCUGAAAGAUAAGGGGGUGGCUAGUUAUGGUUCUGAAAUUUCAUUGUAGAUCUAAUGACUGAUAACUUUGUUUUCAAAUAGGAGAUACUAUUUUAUUUUUUUACAUUAAUCGGAAAUUUGAGAAAAAAAGAUGAGUUUACUCUGUCAAAUUGAUUCAGUAUUUUGAUAAAAUUUGAGUUGCGCUUGAAAUAAUUGAACAGCUUAGAUUAAAAUUUUUCACUUCCAUCCGUGUUCCGAUCAUUGACGUCUUUGCCUUCUCCCCUGCUCUUGUGGUUUGUGUGGCUUAAAUUCAUCGUUUCAAAUAUAUAUGGGACAUGGAAGGCUUUUUCUGGUCAUGUACCCUAUUGCUUCUAGGAGCGUAUAUUUUGAUAUUUGACUUUGGGUUGUAGUCUGAGAUUGUCUACUAUCAUUAUAAGGUUUAUUGUCAAUUAAAACUCCUAAAAGUAGCAACUACUGCCUUAUAUUCACGCUGUGUGAUUAGAUUCUCUCAUUAGUGUAUGCUUAUGUUUUGGUCUUUCUUCACCAUAAGUUGGUUUUCAACCUCAUAAAUGAGGAGACUACUCCUGUUCAAUUCAUCAGGCAACAUAAUCAGGAAAACAAGCAAAUUGCAACUCUCAGGUAUUCAGACGGGUCGUGGAUGGUGAAGCUCAGGAGCCAUGGACUUUUUUUUCGUUGCUUGACACCCAAUUGCUAGAGAAGCUCGUUUGCAUUUAGGAGAUGUUUGUGUGUUUGAGCUCAUUGAUAGGGGGGAUGUGUGUUUAGAGUCUACAUUUCCACUAGUGCUAGUAAGGACUUGGUUUACAUUUACCCGAAAUGAAUUUUGGAAGUGUCACUUUAGAUAAUCCAAAAUAAAUUCAGUAUUCAUAGUUAUAUCUCUUUGUUUAGUCUUGGUGAGUCAAUGAAGUGUACGUCUUCCAUUCCCAUUGGGUUUGUGAGUUUCAUAAUAAUCCAGAUGCACACUCAUUAAUGCUACAUCCCAGGUCUAAAUUAACCAAAAAGAAUGUGCUUCAAUGUGAAAGCGAAAAUUAUAACCUAAACGCUCAGCAUGAGAAUUUAGAGGUGUGACUUGUUGGUUUCUAAGUUGCGCUUUUCUGCACAGUGUUGCAUUCUUUUUCUUGGUCCGUCUCAAAAGUUAUGAAAUUUUCCUGAUAAGAUUUUGUAUAUUGAUGGGUGACAUUACGAUUUAGGAGAUGCCAAGUGUAGCUAAUGUGUUUUGUCUAACGUGAAAAACAUGUAAACGUUAGUAACAUGAUUGGAUGCAUUGAUUUGUAGAUCGUUGUAACUUGACAGAAGGUUUACAGCAGUACCUAUGAAAACUCUACUUUUUCUUUUGUGCAAGUUGGACCAAACAAUCUAAAUGUCAAGUGAGCCCCCAUGAGCAGUUUUGCAUGGUUCCGUGUUUCCGCGGCCUCCCCUGCUCUUGAAAAAACUAGAAAAUUUGAAUCGAAGUAUCCAUCUCUGAAAUUGGUGAUGUGGCCACUAUUAUUAAGGAUAGAACUGCGGUAUGGCCCGUGUCCUUUCAUAAUUGGCAUAGCUCAACCAUGACGCCUUCUACAUCUUUCCCUUUAGUCCACUCUUUUCCCAAGUCGUUUUGGUUUUUCAUAGGAAUCAAUGUUAUCUUCCUUGGAGUGUUCAUGGCUUUAUCUGUAAAACCGGGGCAGUUUUGAUUUUGAAAUUUUAUUUUUUAAAUUUAUGGAUUCAUAAGAUUACCAAUUCUAAAAUGAAAGAUUCUAUAUUUUUUUUUUCCAGUAAUCAAGUGUAAAGAAGAUUACUAUUAUAUAUAGACUAAGAGGAUGUGGUGGGGACGAUCAGUGUUAGCAACUCUUGAACUUUUGCCAUGAGAGUUAAAAAAUUAUGUACACUACCGUAGAGUCUACAAGCACUGUAUUGUGAAAUCUCAACUUCAAGUUGCAAGUUGGGAUUGAAGACUUCUAUUACCCAGUUAACACUAUUAAUUGAACUCCCUGAAACUAGUAAAUACUAGCAUAAAUUUACAUUUUGUUUGCGUUUUCCGUUUAUUAUUUCUUUGUAUUUAUUCUUUUCCUCAUUAUACUACAUUGGUAGUGUUCCUUGUGAAUUCAUAAAGAAACAUUCAGAAGAACUAGCAAAUUGCAACUCUUAGGUAUUUGAACAAAUUAUGGCUGGUGCAGCUCAAGACCUAUCAACUCCAUUAUCCAGCUGGUCGGGCCGCAUUUGUGAAAGAAGCUUAUCUGGAUGAAGGGGAUGUCCACAUGUUUGAGCUCAUUGAUAGGGACGAUUUUAUGGUCAAUCUCCAUCUCCAAUUAUGCUAGUAAGGACCUCAUUUAGGUUGAUUGAGAUGGACAUUGGAAGUGUUGCCUGCAAGUAAUUCAUGUCUUUUUUAUUCAGCUAUGACGAAUCAAUUGGAAGUGCACUUACUUUUAGCUUUGCGUCUCUUUCUUGACCUGCUUACAGUCUUACCAGAAUUCUCCUCUUUUUUUUUUGGGUGCAGGUCAGAACAGAUAGUCUAAAUGUCCAGUGAGCCCUCUUGAACAGCCUUUUCAUGGUUUCAAUUGUCUGUGGCCUCUCACUGCCCUUUAGAAUGCUGGAAAAUUCAAGUUAAGAGUAUCCCUUUUUCCAGAUGGUGACAUGGCCAUCGUUUCUUAAGAAAGAAAUAAUGGUGAGGCCCAGAUCUCCAUUCAUAACUGGCAUAUCUCAAUUAUGAAUGCGACCUAUCUUAUAUAUGUGCCCUAUUGUGCAAUUUUUUCUUGCAUUAAUUUGCUUUCUAUAGAAACACAGAAUAUAUUAUCUUCCUUGAAGUGGUCAUGGUUAUAUGUUUAAAACAGGCUCCUUAACAACUAAAGGGACUAGGGAAAAACAAUAAGUCGGACAGUAAUCAGGAAAUUACCUAGUGAUGGGUGUGGAGACAAGGUCAGAGGGUUGAGACAGGCAAUAACAACCAUAAAUUAGGAAUUUAAUGAUUUCUAAUUGAAGUAUAAAUUCUUCCCAAAGAUGACUACUUGGUACUUUCUCUGUCUUCUAGUUUAAGUAUAAAUUCCUUCCAAAAAUGACUACUUGGUACUUUCUUUGGCUGCCUAGGCUUGGGAAGAAGAGGCAACACGAAAUGUCCAGCUUAAGCAAUAGCUAUUGCAACAAGCCUAGGCUUGGCAUGACUAGGCUCACUGCAAUAGCACGGCAACACUAAUCGGAUAUUGCUCCCUGGCAACAAAUGGUUUACAAGAGCUACUAUUGCAAGCAGGUUCAAACUUGCGAUCAGAAAUGAAGCGAAGGUAGUGUGGCCCUAGACCUCAAAAAUUAGUCCCACCACCUCCGUGGUAUGAAAAAAAGAAAGGCAGCUAUUUUUUUUUUUUUUUUGCCAGGCGAAUGAAGAUCACUUUUUGUGUAUAUGUAUCCAUCUAGGAUGCUAGGUGUAGCUUUUCAUGUUUGUUCAAUGCAUAUCGCGAUGCAAGAUUGGUGACUUGGAAAUCCACCAGAUUUGUGCAUGUCUCUAUAUUGAUCACACGUACUUAGUGUAGAGUCUAAGAGCACAGGAUUGUGAUAUUUUGAUUUCAGAUUGCAAGUUGUGACUAAAGACCAUCUCAUCAAGCCUUUUAGACUGCUAAUACAGAUCUCUGGAAACUUCAAAUAGUAUCAUAAAUGUACAUCUUGUUUGCCUUUUCACUUUAGUGUAUGCUUACAUUCCUUUGUCUUAUCAUACAUUGACUGGUCAAAUGUCUUCAUGGGCAGAGCGUUCCUUAUGAAUUUAUAGAGACAUGCAGUCAAGAAUACCAGCAAAUUGUUACUCUUAGGUAUUCAGACACAUUGUGGCUGGUGACCAUCAGGAGCUAUGAGUGCUACGCUGCAGUGAACUUCUCUAUUGGUUGGUCCAAGUUUGUGAGAGAAACUUAGUCUUGAAUGAAGGGCAUGUCUGCAUGUUCGAGCUCCUUGAUAGGGAUUAUUUUUAGGUUGAAUUGGGAGGUGAACACUGGAAGUGUCACUUUAGGCCAUAUACUAGUUAGAAGCGAUCUCUGCCUCUUUUCUGUUGUGAUGAACCGGAUGAAAGUCCACUUUUAUUUCUGACUCUGCUUUUUUCUGAACUAGCUACAAACUUAUAAUUUCUUGGCCUAGCCACUCCAUUGAUCGGAUAUUGUGAUGAAUAGCCUUGCACACAUUUUCUACUUUGGGUAUUUCUCUUGCGCUUGUAACGCUUUUAUCAUUGCCUUCUUGGAAAGGACCUUAGUUCAGCAUUAUCAUGGUUCUGGUUAUUCAACCUGGUUUCGUAGAACAAAUGAAAUUUAUGCAGUAUGCCAUCAGUCAUGGUCACCUGAUAGUUUUCAAAGAUGGGAGAGAUGGACUCUAUACUCAUGUAAUUGUAUUUGAUUAAAGUGCUUAUAUAGAUACAUUAUCCUUUCAAGCAAGAUGAAAUAUAAAACCAAGAUGGCGAAUUCCUCGAGAAGAAAAUGGGAAGAAUCCAAAGACCUCACGGACCUUGAAGAUUCAGAGGGUUCCUGGCCAUGUUGGAAACCAUUGGCUAAACUGCAAUUACCUUCUUAUCUGCCUUCUACGGUGAUGAAUUCCUUUUCAAUUUGUGAGUUUCAAAGUGAUUAAAUUGCACACUCAUUGAUGCGACUUUGCAAAAUAAUAUGCUUGGAACCAAAAAGGACUAAGCUGCGAACGUCAAAGAGUGACAGAAGUUCCAAAUUGUUCCUCAAGAUAAUUUGGAGGCGCGUGCACAUGACAUAGUUUUCUUAGUCACUCUUCAAAUUUUAAAAAAUUUGAUGAGAAGCUUUUGGUAUGUUGGUUGAUGGCAUUGGUUUGGGUGUUCGAAGUUGUAGUCAAUCAGUUAUAUCCAAUACGAAGAGCGUGCGAAAUUCUGUUUCAUGUUCGCACUUGUUGAUUUCCAAACUAUGCUGGAUCUUUUCAUAAUAAAUCGAAAAAAUUCACAUAUGUGCCCAUGAGAGUUCUUUUUUUAACCGGAGGUCAGACCAAACAGCCUAAAUGCCCAGUGAACAAUGUUGAGCCGGUUUUUCAGUGUUUUACUUGUCCAAGGCCUCUCCCUGCACUUGAAAAAGCUUAGAGAAUUUGAGUCAGAAUAUCCCUUUUUCAAAAUGGCAAUAUGGCAAUUUCUUGUCAUGAAAGGAAAAGAACUGUACAUUCCUCAUCUCCAUUCAUUAUCGGCAUAUUUCAAAUAUGAGACAACAUGACAUGUUAUUUUCAUUGAAGUAUUUGUGGCCAACCGACCAUCCUAAUGGCCGAGUAAUGGAACUUGGUAAAAUGGCAAUCAAAAUGGUAAUUGUGAUAUAACCUUUAUGGUUGUGUGUGUCGAUUCGGAUUAUUAACUAGUGCGUCUACCUUGAAACAAUCAACUUCUCUAGUUGCUCCAUCAAUUUGUCUUUUGUUCCCUUUUUUAAAGUGGAAAUCAAGGUGUCGACUUUUUUAAAUAAUAUCUCAAUAUUUUUUGAAUUUUUUUUAUUAUUUUGUUAUUUUGUUAAUUUUUUUUUUCAUGCCCUUAGGGUCGGCCAGGAUGUGGGCGUGCAGCACCUCGCCCAGACCAAGUGAGGGCUGGCGAGGGUGUGCAGGGAAAAAAACAACUAAAAAAACCAAAAGAAAAAAAAAUCAAAAAAAUAUUAAAAUAUUAUAAAAUGUCCACAUCACUUUCAGCAGUGUCAUGUCAGCGCAUGCUGAUCAAUAUUAGCAAAAUGGACUUAACUGGCACAAAUGCGAAAAGUUUAGAAUUGAAUUGACUAAAAAAAAAUAGAUUCAAUUAGCACAAUUACAAUAAGUUUAUGAGUUUUUUGAUAAUUCUCCCGACAUUGUUUUCUUAUUAAUGAAUUUUGUCUCACAAUUCAAGGUACAAAAUGGUAUUGUUCUUUAGAAAAGCUUGAAAACUUAUAUAUAUUAAAAUAAUUUGGUGAGAACGAAAUAUCUUUUUUAUCAAGGAAUAGAAAAGGAAAAGGAAAGAAAAGCAAACAAGAAAAUAAAAAUAAGAAAAAUUACUCUUUGCCAUGCCAAACCUAACCUAAAGGUAACAAACUGUCAACACGAUACAACUUUUAUUUAUAUCACAAGAUUCUAUAUGCUCUUCGUCCAUUUAUUACUUGUCAACUUUUACGGACUUGAUACAUCAAUGACCCUUUUCCUCUUUCUUUCUUGAUUCAACAAUAGGGGGAGAAAAAAACACAUCAGACCCUUUUCUGCAAAUAUGGACUCGCGGUCUCAUCCAAAUAUGAAGGAAUCGAUUAAUUGCUCAUUGAAUUCAUAUUGCUCGCAUCUAAUUCUAUAGUCAAAAAGCCGAAGCUAUGCUUCGGCAUUGAGUGUGCACAACUCUUUAAUUUGACCACAAGCGAAAUCCAUGCAAGUAGUACAGUCCAACUACCCCAGCACGAUAGCACACUAUCCACGGCCGAAGCAUCUGGCGUUGCUGUAAGAGGCACUGGUGCAUUAGUUGAAUCCCCCGAUCGCGGUGUCAAACCUCAGAUCGGUCAAAACUUGACCCGAAGCUUGUGCAAAAUCGUUUGGGUACCGCAUGCCGUUGCAUAUCUUGUACAUAAGCAUCACAUCCAGGUCACUUCUUACGAGUCAGACCCCUACAAGAGCCCCAUGAACAUAAGUGUGAGCGUAUGCGAUGUGGACAAGGUCAUCCAAGAGCCCUGUUUCCUCCCUUUUGGUCUCUUUGGUUUGCUACGAGGAAACACACACUUGAGAUUGGCUAUAAAAAGAUUUGUCUCCAUAGUGCUAUCCAUCAUUUAUUCUUUGUUAUUAGGCUAAGCUAGUACCAAUUUUAGUAAUUUAUGACGUCACAUGGAUUUUUUUUAUAACUUCCAAAGCUUUUUCUAUGAAUUAUUUGUUCAUUAGUGUAAUAUGUUGUUGCUGUCCUUGCAAACCCUAAUCUCAUAAUUUUUAAUAAAAUCCCCCCCUCUUACUAUGCAUGAAAAUUUUUAAAUUGGAAUCCUCUAAGUCUACGAAAUAAAUUCACAUUACGAUAAAUUACUCACUUCUUCUUUUUCUGUCCUCUUUCUCCUCUUACUUUGCACAAACGUGUCAACCUCAUGUACUAGUCUUGAAUAUAUUUCUAUAUGUAACAUUGUAAAUUUUAGGCCAUGUAAUUAAUGGAGUUCAUGAUAGUUAUAUAACCCGAAUAACACGAUACUUCUACCACUACUAAUACUACUACUAGGAGUGUAUUAAAAAAAUAAAAAAUAAAAAAGUCCGAAAAGCCGGAUCGAACCAUCCAAAUUGGCCUGAUAAUUUUGGGCUCAAAUAAUCCUGGGCCGGCACACUUGACCUCAAACUAUCCUUGAGUUUGGGACUUGAAUGAUUGCCAAACUAGCCCGAUUCAUAGAUCAGAAACUGUACAUAUAUAUGGCCCCUAUGUCAAUUCCCAUUCCUGCUAGUUGAGUGCUUGACUUCUCUCAUUCUCCCAUCUCUCACACUGGUUGAGAUCCGGCCACCGUUGAGCUGCCAUUGCCACCACCGUCGAGCCCCAUUUAUGCGGCCAUCAAUCCCCACACUCACCAUAUGCCCUUCGUCCAAGACGUCUCGCUCACUCCGUCAGUCCCUCUUCUGCUUGCUCACGUCUUAGUCUUCCUUAUGCUCCCUCACUCUAAACCUGUGAUAAAUUUACUCUCUAUCAAAUUUUAUUGUCAAAUUAUUAAGUUGGAUAACACGUGACAAUUGACAAUGGUAUCAAUUUGGGGUUUUCUCCUCCAUUUGUUACAAUCAUAGUAGUUUGUGAUUUUUUAUAGUAUUAAUUCAUUUUAACAAAAACUAACAAAUAGUAAAAUUAUCACAAAUGUAUCAAUUUAUUAUUUUUAAUGGUCAAAAUACUAAUUUGGGGCAAAUGUGUGAUGUACCAAUUUGGAGUUUUUGUUAGUCAAAAAAUUAAUUUGAGAUAAAUUUGUUGCAUAUAUACUGAUUUUAGAUUUUUUGUGACAUUAAUUCUUUAUUAUUUUUUUGUUUAACACUUUAUUAGUUACAUUUAGAUAGUAGAUGGUAGUGGAAAGUGGCCGUUAAUGACGAUUGGCACUUUUUAAGUGCUAAAUGACGAAAAUCGCCUCUGAAUUAGUCUAAAAUCUAAUCCGAGCUAUCAUCAUAAUUUGGAUUUUAAGGCAAUCUAGAUCGAGAUAUCAAAAGAGGAACCUCUCCCUUAAAGAAUCUACAAACAUGGUAAAGCUAUUUUAUAAACCAUAUUCUCUAAUAUCCUUAUGUUCAAAUGAAAAUUUACGUAGAAUAAUAAUCGAGUUGGGAGAAUCAUUACCUACACCCAGUGCAAACAAUAUUCCUCUCAUAGCAUGUAUGAAGGUCUACUAGGAGUGAAACUCAGUCAAAUUAUUCAUGAGUCGUUGGAGCUUGGGUUGAUGACCAUUUGAGAACUAAUAUUUAGUCGAGCUCUAACUCGAGCUACUUGAGUAUCUUGCCAAUUGAAAGCUCAAGCUCAUCAAUACUUAGCUCAAUAAACUUUGUAAACCCGAUUCAAAAAAAUCAAUUGUAAAUAAAAUUAAAUAUUAACAUCCUCAUUUGCACACACGUAAUAUAUAGUAUAUCAUCUUUUUUUUUUUGGUAAAGGUAAUAAUAUUAUAGAGAAGGACAAAUGUACAAAAGAUCAGUUCCAUAACCGACACUCUUAACCGAUUGGCAAAAGUGAAGGGGAGCCGAUGUAAAAGAAACAAGGGCCGAGCCCGCUAGCAAACACUAAGGCGACACCCAAGGAGCACCGGCGCGGUGAUGGACCCAUCAACCCUCCAGUGAAUAGCCUGAGAAUGCGGAACGGAAAUGAGAGCAGCACAUAGCGAUUAAGGAGCAUAUCCACUUAGAAACACGCCCGGGUCGAAGCCCCAUCCUCUUUGAAGUCUUUGAUUCCUCGGAGAGGGAGAGACAUUCUUAAAGGUGUUGGCUUUAUCUCUAACCAUCUUGAUAAGGUGAUUUUCGAGCGCCGGAAGCACAAGAGAUUCACCUCUGAAAAGGAUUGCAUUCCUCUUCUUCCAGAUGAGAUGGCAAAGGCCACCAAAGGAGAACCGAACUAUUCUGUGAUAGAAGUCAUUUCCAGAUAGGAACUUCCGGGCCCAAGAGAGUACCUCAUCCCAGCAUCGGUUUCUCCAAGGAAUGUUGCAUUUGGCGGCCCAGAAGAAGGCCAAAGAAGUCGAGAUGCGACAUCCGAAGAAAAGAUGAUCUCUUGAAUCAGGGACUUCACUACAGAAGGCACACACGACCAUAGGAUAGAAGCAUUACCUGGGUGGGAAGGCGAUUCUUUACAAUUAGCUAGAGAAUGAACUGGUAGCGAGGGACUAUAGCGGAAUCCCAUAUUAGAGGCGCCCAGUUAACCGAAGAUUUCUUGGCUCUAAUAAGGUUCCAUGCCGAUGAAACCGAAAAUAAACCGGAGGGAUGAUUGCACCAGAAAAACCUGUCAUUGCCCGAAGUCAACUCUGGAAGAGAUAUACCGCAUCUCACCAAGCAUUCCUUUAAGGGCCGGCCCAAUGGAGAGAAAAGGUCAGCAACAACCGCAUGGUCAGGGAUGCGAAGUCUAUUUCUGAAUGAUGAGGGCACGAAUGCAUCAAGCGGGCCACACGAUAACCAGUAAUCAUACCAUAGGGACACCGUGUAGCCGUUUCCAACCUUCCAUCUAAAGGAAUUUCGAAAAUAACUUCUAAGUUGGAGAAUAUUUUUCCAAGACCAGGAGCAUAAUUUGGGUUGGGACACAAUCCAGAAGUUCCUUUUGGUUAAGAAGAUGGAAUGGAUCCAACGACACCAUAACGAUUCCUUAUCGUGGAAGAGGAACCAUAUAAAUUUUACCAUUGAAGCUUUGUUGCAAUCCCUCAGAUUCCGGAUACCCAAUCCACCUUCAUUUUUAGGAAGACAAACGUCCUUCCAUGCAACCUUAGCUCCACCACGGCCCAGGGCCGUUCCUUUCCAUAGAAACUGUCUCAUGAUUCUUUCAAUAUUGUCUAGAACCGAGGAAGGAAGAGUAAAUACACUCGUCCAGAAUGAUUGAAUGGCAUGGAGCACCGAACGGAUGAGUUGUAAUCUACCCGCAAAUGAUAAGAACCGGUGAGUCCAAGAUUGGAUUCUAGCAGUGAUGCGGUCCGUCAAAGCAAUACAAUCGGCUUUACUCAGUCUAGAGGAAAUAAUAGGAACUCCCAAGUAACGAACAUGGAGCUUACCUUCUUGAAAUCCGAAUGCCCAGAGGAUUCUAUUUCGAAUGGAGAGAUCACCACCAGAUAUAAAGAUCUCACUCUUAUUCUUGUUAGGAAGGAGACCACUCCAAGAAGAGAAGAUGUCAAGGCCUCUCUUUAGCAUGGACACCGAGGACCAAUCCGCUUGGGAAAAUAGAAAAACGUCAUCGGCAAAGAACAAGUGAGAUAGUCGAACCGGUUUACACCUCCAGAAAUAUUUAAAGUCCUGGUUCGCCGUGCGGGAAGCCAACACUCCAGAAAAUACUUCCAUUACUAAUGUAAAUAAGUAUGGGGACAUGGGAUCUCCUUGUCUAAGGCCACGGCCGCUCGGAAAAAAACCAUGAAGAUCACCGUUAAUGGCUAUCGAGAAUCUUGGAGUCCGAACGCAAGCCAUAACUAAUUUGAUGAAUCCUUCCGGGAAUUGGAAUGCACCAAGAACACUUUCCAAGAAGUCCCAAUCUACCGUGUCAUAUGCUUUGUGAAAAUCAACCUUAACCGCACAUUUUGGAAGAUAAGGAUGAAGAUGGAAGCCCGCAAAGAGUUCUUGGACAAGGAGGAUGUUAUCUCUAAUUCUCCUGCCUUUCACAAAUGCAUUUUGAGAUUCACUGACCACCUCAUUCAACACGGCUGCUAUUCGAUUAACUAGUAUUUUAGUGAUAACUUUGUAAAUGGUAUUACAGCAAGCAAUCGGUCUGAAAUCCGACACAGCACUCGCAUUGGGAAUUUUAGGCACAAGAGCAAGGAUCGUUGCAUUUACCUCUUUGAGUAGUCUCCCGGAGUGGAAGAAGUCCCGAACAGCCAGCAAUACCGAGGGACCUACAAUCUCCCAAUUAGACUUGAAAAAUUCCGAUGGGAAACCAUCCGGGCCUGGGGCCUUGCCCUUUGCAAGUGAGAAUAGAGUGGAUUUGAUUUCAUCAUCUGUGACUGGUUCAUCGAAGACACGAAUCUGCUCAUCAUUAAGGGGUCGGCGUAUAGCACGUUUCAACUCCUCAAAAGAUGGUUUAGAUAAAGCCUCAUGCGGAGAUAGCAAUGAGGAGAAGAAAUUAAUAAAAACCUGGGGCAGCGCCGAGAGAUCAGUUAUAAUAGUCCCAGAGGAAUCUUUAAUGGAUAGAAUUCGGUUACUGAGUUGCCUCCUUUUGACCGAUUGGUGGAAAAAUUUCGUGUUUUUAUCUCCUCCUUUUAGCCACUGAAUUCUGGAUUUUUGACGGUAAAAGGACUCCUCUUGAUUCCUUAGAUCAACAAAAUCCCGACGACAACACCUCUCCCUUUCAGCAAGCUGAGGAUUCAUCGGGUCAGAUUGGAGAUCAGAUUGAACGGCACUAAGGGCCUCUCUCGCUUCCAAUGUUCUUUGUGAGAUCUCCGAGAAAGCUUCUCGGUUGAGGAGCUUGAGGCGGGCCUUUAACAACUUGAGCUUAGAUACUAGCUGAAACAUAGGAACACUAUCACCAACGUAUCCCAUACCUGACGGACAAUGGACUAAAGUCCGGAUGUUCAUCCCAAAAUUCAAAGUACUUGAAUGGCUUCCUUGAGCGAGGCGGUUCAAGAACUUUCACUAUCAUCGGAGUAUGAUCCGAUAUGCCCGGGUUAAGGAAAGCCGCCUCAGAAAAGGAAAAGUCCACGUUCCACUUAUUAUUUACCAACACUCGAUCAAUCUUCCUCAACUUCCUUGAGCUGCCUGCCGAAGUAGACCAUGUAUACCGGAGGCCCACAAAUCUGAGGUCCGUCAACUCAGUUUGAGUUAAACAGUUUGCAAAUUCAUCAAAAUAGGGAAUCCAAUUGGUAGAACUACCAACUCUAUCUGAGGGGUCUUUAAUUGCAUUAAAAUCCCCCCCAACCAGCCAUGCCUCAUUCUGAAAGAUAGCAUUAUAGUGUUGAAGGUCUGACCAAAGCGGUCUACGACGAACAAAAGAAUGUUGCCCAUAUAUAGCAGAAACACAACAACUGGAACCAGUAAUAUUAAACUUAAGACAGCCAUGGAUAGCUUGCUCAUUAAUAGAGAUAGGGGAGAAGGAGACAAAAUCCGGGUUCCACCCGACCCAAAUCCUCCCCCGGGGAGAGCAAUUAUAGUUCGCAACCCAUUUCCAACCCCUAAUAAGGGUGAAUGAGAUUUCAUCAAAACGGUCUUCCGGAACUUUCGUCUCGAUCAGGCCAAUAUAACAAAGAUUAUUAACCGCAACAAGGCGCCUAAUUUCCGCACGCCUUAACGGAUCGAUAAUACCCCUAAUAUUCCAGAAUCCAAAAAACAUCCAAAAAACAUGGAGGAAAUGGCUUACCUCUUCCUAGCGGUCUUGGAGCCCUUAACAGGCUUCUUCGCACCAACAGGGAGAGGCGAAUCUUCCAGCAGCUUAGCAAGCUAAUGUUGCAGGCUUUCAGUCAAGUGCAGAUUCGGUUUAAUGCUUGUGGGUUCUUCAACAUUCGAAGGGUCCUCAUCAGAGGAAUCAUGAACACUUGAAUUACAAAUAUCUUCAGAGGUCUCUUGGACCAUAGAAGGAUCCGAUCCAGGAGGGUCAGCCACAGUAGGAGAUUGAGCGUUUGGGGACUGCAACUCUACUUGAGAGCCUUCUUCUUGGAUAAUAGUGUCACUCUUUUGCACCUGACCUUCCUCCGUAAUAGGCGAUAAGCCGAAGGAUACCGUGGAGUUCGCCGCCCUUCGAGCAGCCUCAGCAGCUUCUCUUGCUGCCUGUUUCUUCCUUUUUUUUUUUGGUCUUUCGUUUAAUCUACUUCCAGCCCAUCUCGGCAUUCUCAUGCUCAAUUAAAUCAGCAUUGAUCAGAUGAUCAUUCUCAGCUGGGCGAGAAGGCACCAUACAAUGAGUGCUUGAUUCUCCAAUGAACAGAGAUCUUGAAAUAUCAGUACCAGCAACCGUAUCUGCAGAAACCAGGUCUCGCCUAGGAGCGUGAGAGCUAUCAUCCUUUUGCUCAUAUGAGGUCGGAACAACCACUUCCUUCCCCUUGGUGGAUACCGACUUAGGCUCAGAGUUCGCUUUAGAAUUAGAUUCUGAAUGAUCCACAUUAGCAUCCUCUACUGCAGAAGGAGCAAGAACAGGAACAAUAUUUUUGCAGCUAUGGCCAAACAUUCCACAUUUGGUGCAGACUAAUGGCCUCCAUUCGUAUUCAACUUCAACCACAUCUGUUUUCCCUUCCGUAACCAAGUCUAUAGACUCGUACAAGGUCUGCUGAACCGUUAUUUCAACACACACACGGGCAAAUGUGAGCAUAGACAUCUGCUCCGUUCUUUGGUCAACAUACAAAGGUCUGCCAACAGCACUAGCUACCUUUCCAAUCGCCUGGGCUGACCAAUACGCAAAAGGAAGGUUCCUUAAUCUCACCCAUAUCGGAACAGCCAUGUGAGUGUCUCUCUUAAGUUCAACUCCCGGCUGCCAUUGCUGCAGUAUAAAGGGGAUUCUCGCCAUGGUUAUAGGACCGCCUUCCAGGAGUUUCCUCCUGAAAUCCUUAUUAGGGAUCCAUAGGAGAAACAAUCCCCUUCCGUUAGACAGGACUUCAACCAAUGCUGGUCCCCAAGCUCUCUUGAGGGACUCUUCAACAACGUUAAACGGUAACUUUCUACCGAUAAAAUAGCCAACAAGACAGUCAUAUAGCUUUGGAUCCGCAGCCUGCAAGUCAGAUUCAUUCAUAUGCACGACUGGUUUGUCACUUACAAUCUGAGGAGGCGAGAAUUCCAGAUCAUAGCCUUUGUUAGCAGCACUAGCUACGGAAGCCCAUGAACGAGGAGCAGGCUUUCUUGAUUCGCCCCUUGAGCGGGGUCGAACAGAUUUAGAUCUACCCCUGAAAGCCGAACGUCCUCUACGAGCUACAUUGGACGGUCGUGAAUUCGCAAUACCAGCAGAAGCAGACGGGACAUUACGAUUCUCCACAGCCAAAGAGGGAACAACCGAAGGAAGACGGUCAGUUCUAGGCGAGGAGCCACUUAAUCGGUUCUGCAUCGGAUCAUCCAUCACAGCAGAAUUUGCAGACAACAGAUCGCAAACCCUAAUCCAUCAGCUUCAGAUUAAUCCGUAAAUAGGAAACGUACCCGGAGCUUCUUGGAAGGGGUUUGUAGAGCAGCGAAAGGCACCCCUUGACAUCUUUUUGUUUGAAUCAAGCUCCGGCAUUAAAUUAGUGUUUGGUUGAGCUCAAAUCUUGUUUUAAACAUCGAGUAUGAAGUUGAGUCGAUCUCGAGUUUGGCAUUGUAGCAGCUCAGGUGGCUCAAUUAGAGACCCCUAGGCCCUAGCUGUGUUGACAUCCGAUUCGAUUAAUAAGAGUCUAUGUAUUCAUUGAAGCAAUUAAGAAUUCCGACGUGCAAAUUAUUAAGAAAUCUCAUUGCUCAAGAUUGGGUUGUGAUCUUCAUCACGCAAGUUUUAAAUCCCCUAUAAUUUUCAAUCCCUAUAUUAACCAAUAGCUUAGAUGAUAAAAGUAAAUGAACAUUAAUAAAUGUAGGAAAUCUUCAAAAGUCACCUUUCCUAGGUCCUAGCUGUAAUCUCGUGGGGGACGUAGCUUGGCUUAAAAAAUCCUUCCUGCAACUUUUCUCCGACAAAAUGGCACUCCAGUUCUCUCUCCUCAGUUCUAUGUAUUUGUUUGUUUACUGAAAAGAGGGCUUUUGCGGCAAUUUUUGUCUCAAUAUAAUUUAAUUUCGGAUAACCAUUUGACAAUUGAAAAAAUCCCUCGGCCGAUAAGAAAUUUUUAAUAUCAAAUGUCCACCUUUGCGUUUUUCAUAUAUUAACUUGGAGUGUACAAAGAGAGAUCCUCGAUAAUUUCAACUUUUUUGAUUAAUUGGUAAAUCACUAAGUUCCGUCAUGCUAGUCUCUCUCAACAAGUACUUCUUAUCAUUUAAAAAAAAAAAGUUCCACUUUUAUUUCUCACAACUUCAAUUCUUAAAUUUUUUCAAUUUUCCUAGAUCUUUAAUUGAAAAAUUAACCCAAUUUCAUUCCGGUUAUCAUUAUAUAUCAUCAACAUAAACUAAACAAUCACGAUAAAUGAAUGUCCUCUCCUUGAAGUAAAUAGGGAAUAAUUAAAAAAAUCAACAAUUGUUAACGUCUGAGAAAUUAAAAAGGGAAGAAGAUCCGUCAGGUUUUCCAGUUCUUGCGUUUCUAGCAUUCGGUCCUCUCUACUUCCUCUCUCUCUCUCCCUCCAACCCUCGAGCCGAGCUGCACCGCCUGGUAGCGGCCUUCGACCGCUACCGCCGCAUCUACACCGUCGGGCCACCUCGGCGUUCAGCAGCAGCGCCGCCCCUCUCUCCGCCUCCUCCGAACACAAACCCCACCCCCGGGCAAAAAAAAAAAAAAAAACAAACCCCUAGUUCCCUCGCUUCGGUUCUCCGGGAUUGCGUGAAGAUGGACGAGGACCAGGAGAUGGAGAGGUUUGGGAUGGAGAACGAUUACGACGACGGGCAGUGGAUCGACGGGGAGUUCUACUACCGGCGGCGAAGGGAGAAGCGCGCCCAGACCAAGGGCGACGUGCUCUACGGCGUCUUCGAUUCGGACUACGACGAGUCCUCCAAGAGGAAGCGGAGGAAGAACAGGGACCUCCUAGGUAACGCCGAUUCGUCGAAGCCCGUGAAUUUCGUGUCCACCGGCACGGUCAUGCCGAACAGAGAGAUUGACGAGAACUCGAUGACAGAGAAUGAGGAUGAAGAAUCCGCUGUCGUGGAUGGGGAUAGGCCGGGCUUGGGGGUCUUGAGAAGAACCAACAAGGGAUAGUGACAUUCAUUGAAGCAAAGUUGCAUCCUAAGAAUAUGGGUGUGGGUUUCAACGACUUACAAGGAAACUCUUGCAAAGGCACCUGUUGCCUCGUUGGGGCCAGAGGAAAAGAAGCCAUCACCUGACGUGCCCGGUAAGGAGAAGCUUUGGUCUAAGCAAGCGAAGAAGAAGACGCUGAAAAACAAAGCGAAGUAUAUUACGGCAGAAGAACUGUUGGCGAAGGAGCGGGAACAGGGCGUUGAAGUUGUGCAAAAGGUACUCGACAUGCGCGGACCUCAGGUUAGGGUGUUACCAGACUUGGAGAAGCUGAAUGCAGAAGAGAAGGCGAGGGAGAGUGAUGUUCCUAUGCUCGAGCUCCAGCACAAUACAAGGUUGAUUCUGGACCUGGCUGAGUUGGAUAUUCAGAAGAUCGAUGGGGACCUGAGGAAUGAGAAGGAGACAGCUCUGAGCUUGCAAAAAGAAAAAGGAGAAGCUGCGAGCUGAGGCAGAACUUCAGAAGAAACAACUGAAUAACAUGAAGGAAAUAAUGAAUACGCUAGCCAAAUCUUUUGGUGACAUGCAAAGAAGGUUUCCUGGCGAUUAUACACAUUGUAACUUAUCCUGCAUUGCUUGCUCAUUCGCACUCCCUCUGUUUAUCAGAGUAUUUCAGGGAUGGGAUCCUCUUCGCAAUCCCUCACACGGGUUGGAAGUUUUGAGGUGGAAAUCUCUUUUGCAAGGACAGGAAUGUCUUGAUAUAUGGCAUUUAGGAUCCCCUUGUACCCAGUUGGUUUCAGAAGUUGUCUCGCUUGCUGUGAGAGGCAUUGACACUUUUUGCGAGCGGUUGGACCACUGGCCCACUGCUAGAUCCCACUCAAAAGUGAAUUAAUAUAAUCUCAAGCAAAAGUUAUAAUGGUCCAACAUAGAAAUAGUGAAUUGAUCCAACUCACUUUUUCUGAGAUCAUAAUAUACAGUAUUUAGUCUAGUUGUUACGUUGCCCAUGCCUUUGCAAAUACAAAAAUUUUCCUUAAAUAAAAAAGUAAAAAACUUGUAAACAAUCUAAGUUAUUAAUUUUUUUCCCCGGUUCGCCAUCUAAUAUUGAUGAUGCUUCGAACUUUAUUAAUUAGAAAACAUCUUUGUGGCGUUGUAUGAAAUCAUAUCUACCCAAAAUGUGAGCGCCAAAAACCUAACAGCCACCGGGAGGGCCAUGGCGGCUCUAGUAGGUAAAGAGCUCAAUAAUCCAACAACUGAGCUAUGCACAUGAAACAAGGGAAGCACAAUCAGGGUAGUCUAACUUUGUUAGUUUGUACACACACUUGAUGUUCUGAACCAAUGAUGCCAAAUUGCGCUGAGUUAGCAGCAUGCAAUUGGGGCGACCCGUAGCGUCGGAGGUGUGCCAAGAGCUACAUCUGAGGGAUCAUUGACAACUUUGGACAUUGAGCCAAGGGACAUUGAGCCAAGGCUCGGCUCUACAUCGGUCGAAGAGAGUGAUUUUGGAAUCGGUGGACUGAAGCUUGGCGGUUGGGUGGUGGAUGUUAAGCUUGGAAGCAGCGGAUUGAGCCCAUCGGUUUCCUUCUUGCGGUGUCAAUAGAAGCUUCGGUUCCGAGUCGGAAAGGUAGAACUUGAACUCCUUAGCUGUGUAGUUGGGGUUGAGCGGAGCUGCAGCGACUCGGCAACGGAUUACAGCCGGGAAACAGCAUCACAAACUGCAAAACGAACACGUAUUUCCAAAUUAGCAAACUGCCCCACUAGUCCGUGCAGAUUGGAGAUAUACAUAUGCAGAAUGUGCAGACAACUAGUUUGUCAUCGUUUGAUUGCAUUAAACCAUCCAUCUCCUUUAGAUAAGCUUUGACUUUGUUUUACGAUGAAGCGUUGCUUAUACAUCCCAAAAAAACAACCUUUGGACGCGACAGAAAAGGCUCUUCAUGCUCUUUCCAAUUCAAUUUGUUCCUGCUCAAUUGGCACCACGCGCUUGCAGAAAUUUCACGCCUCAGAUUCUUUUUUCUUUUUUCGAGCUAUUUCCCACUCGAUCUUUCAUAAACAAUCGAUCUCAUCAUUAGAAAUUUAUUGUUACCGCAAUCUUCUUGAUAUUGCAUUCUCGAAUUUAUACAGCUUCAUCAAGGAAAUUUCUGCAUUUGAAUUGUUGGAUGCAAAUUGCGCAACCCCAAAUCUUCAUAACCAGACAAAAACAUGCAUAAUUGAGUAGAAAGAUUAAUGCACCUGAGAUCCAUCGAACAUAAAACGGAAGCAGGAAAAAGGAAUUACCCACAGGGGAUCCACAAAUCAAGUCAUUCUCCUCUAUUACCCUCCGUAUUACUGGCUCAAUGAGGUGGCCCUCACGUUUAGCAUUAGGUAAACGCUCCUUAAAUGAGGACAUGUAGCGUUAGGUUAACGCUCCUUAGGUGAGGACAUGUGAGAAUUAGGGUUAGAUAAGAGACUUGACCACUAUUUAUAGAGUUUUCAACCAGUUCCCCUCAUUACGGGCCAGGCUCAACUCGGUCCACAUUAGCCAGUUCCAUAUUAGACUAAUUAAGAAACCUUCUAUCUCACUUUAAACCAAAUCUCAUAAAACGAUAAACGUUAAACGGUAAAUUAUAAUAUCAAUUAAUGUAGUCCACAAUUAGGAAAGCUCUUACAUGGAUUCCCAUCAUCACACAAACUGAAAACAUGCGACGUCGUACUUGCGAGGAGAUUCAAUGAUCGGGGGACAUAGAUAUCUCCAGUCGGGGAAAUCCGACGCCACCUUCUUCAACAGGCUCGCGAGACGGAGUCCCUCCUUGGCGAGAUCGCUAGGCUGAAGCUUCAGAUUCAUGCCAUACGGCAUGGAAUUCAGAUUCCGCAAGGCAAUCCGGGGGAGGUGGCGGACGUGGCUGCUCUGUUGCAGGUUUUGCAGGAGAGGAAUUUAAUCCCGGAGAGUGGUUGAGCGCGAGUCUGAUGCUACUGGAGAAGAGAGAGGAGAAGAAAACUGUAGUGGAGGAGGAGAGAGAUGAAGAUUGGGGUUUUCUGUGGCGAUUUUGAGAGAGGUGAGAAAGAAGGGAGAGAAAAAUAAAAACGGUUAUUUUUUUUAUUAUCCGAAUUGAAAAUAAUGCAUGAAAUUUCAGUUAAGUUGCAUUCUAACACCCCUAUUAUAAAUGGACAGCACUAGCGUCGUUAAAUGAUUUUGAAAACAUUCGUGAAAAGAAUCUAGAAUUUAGUUUUCCAUAGAGGAACAAUGGGAUUGACACUAGACUACUCAAGAACACAAGCUAGUAUUGCUGGAAGCCCAGAUGGGAAAGGGCAGUAUGGAAAUAAGUCUCUCUAAGGGAACUGGGACGUCACUUUGUAUAGCAGCAGAACUUCUCAGGCAGAAACAUUGGCAAAUUGGCAGUUUCGCGAGCAUUUUGAAUGAUGCAGGACAUAUAGCAGAGGAUGUGAAAAUGAAGCCUUACAUAUCCAAGAAUUUAUUUACUGUUCAUGAUGCUGCUUCUGCUAUCACAAUUCGAACCUUAAAAGAUCGGAUGAAGCAAAGAAAGGUAAGGGACCACUUUAUUGAGCUAAAUACUGUGCAUAACACAUAAUACCUUGGUAAAAAGAAAAACAGGACAUCAGGUUAAGAUCUCGACAGUAGAGGGAAAGCAAGUCGCACCUUUGAUGUAAAGGUUUCUUCUCGAUACGUAGAGCAAGCACCCUCGAGUUUUCCUGUUUAGAAAGCUCGUCGAUGAAAACCUUCAUUUGUACAACCUGAUUACAAACAACAGAAAGGAUUAAGGAAAUUUAUAAAUAACAUGUCAAAAAAGCUAUAGAAAAUAAUGGUUUAAAGGAUAUGCAUACCGAGAGGUUGCUAUUACGAAACAGAUUGAGAGGGCAACCAACCACAAUUCCAAAUAGUGAUAAUUCAGAUAUAUGCAUAUAUACAAGGAAAUAAGAACCCAAUCAAGCCCCAAGUAGAAACGUGUCCAAGACAAUUUGUCACAAAACUAACACUAUACUACUACUAUUAAUAUUACAACAGGGGGCGUGCCAAAAAAUAGAAAAGAAAUAAAAACAUGAGCCCAAAAACCGAGACUGAACUGCUGGGCUGGCCCCAUUUUUUGUGCUAAAAUAGUCACAAGCCGGGCCACCAUAUCUCAAAAUAUCUUUCAAUUCGACCCAAUAUAAGCAAUUUGGGUUUCAGUUAAAGCUUAAAAGGCCCAUACCCGCCCAGUUCACAAAUUAGAAACAAUGUCUCAUUUUCCUUCUCUCCGGGGCUUUGUCAUCUUACCUUUUCAUGAAUAUUUAGGUCUUGACCUGUCUCAUUCUUUCUUCUCUCACGCUUAACGAGUCAUCGAGCCCCCACCAAGUCGCCACUGCGGCAUCAUCGAGCCCCCACUGUGCGGCCAUUGAGCCCCAACACUCACCAUAUGCCCACCCGGUCAAUCGCAGUCUCUCUAUCUAUCUCGGCUCUCCGCUCCCCCACUCUCUAGCAGCAAAACAAGUUCUUACUAGCCUGUUCUGAUGUCUUCAAAGUUUUUGGUUUUAGGGCAUGCUACUUGAAUUUUUUUUAUGGAAUGUAAAAACAAAAACAAAAUAAACUAAACAAUUUUUUUUUUCUAAUUUUAGAUUGCGUGUGAUCCUAUUGAGUCUAGGCCAAAUGGCAUGGCUUUGAUUCGAGCCAGGUCCUUAGGCUAGAAUAUUCUAAGCCACAUAUUUUUGGACGGGCCAAAAAAUUGACAAAAUCCCACUAGGCCCGCAUUUUAACUCAUUCAUAAAAAGUGUGCUAACUCAAUAUAAAUUUGGAUACACUGCACUAGCGAAUCUAAAUAAUCGAUACAAUGCUAAAAAAAAAGUGAUGACAUGAAUGCACUAAAUAACUUCGUUUGGGAGCACAUGGGACUUGCCAUAUAGUUAUUACUAUCAGUUACCCUAAAUAUUUCAUUUAAUUCAUGUAAUUUCAUAAUUUACUACUACAUUCUUCUUCUUCUUCUUUUUUAUGUCUUUAGCUCAUCGAUAAAGCAAACUAAGCAACUUCCGCUCAUCGCUUCAUUCAGUUAAACCAGUCGUGGGUCGGUCUAUCGAUACAUAGCAUCCAUCAUGUAACCUCACUGGCGUCCUACCGUUCCUCAAACCCCUCGUUGCUCAUUUUGAAAUUGUUCCUCAAACCCCUCAUUGCUCAUUUUGUCACUUCGCUUCAGUGUCUUUUUGUCAAGCAUCUUGGCCUUGGUCACUAAGCAACUUAAUUCAGACUGUAAUGAAUAUAAAUAUCUCCAUAGGAUUCUCAAUCGAUUGUCCUAAACCAAUUGUGAUAAAGUCUAUUAUGCAUGAUUCAGAUUUCCACGACAUCUUUUCAAUCAUUAUUUCCUAAUCUGAAAAGAAGAGCGUAAAUUUCUUACAAGAAAAAGUGAAAAAAUCAUGGAACUUGAAAGUUGAGAGGAUUGCAUCCCUCGUCAAACUAGAAGAACAUGAAUAAAAUGAAAUUCAAAUUAAACUACUCUUAAAAUAUAACUACCGUUGCAGCAGAAACAAAUGAUGACCACAGCAUCAGAAAAGGUCAUCACCAAAGGAUUAAAAUCCAGUCCAAGUUUGGGGCAAGGGCGAUUCCUUCACAGAUUGUAUAAGUGCAUAGAUCAAUGGCGAUUCUGACCCUCCAUUCUUUGCAUUCUUUGCAUGCAGAUCUUGCGUUCCUUCACAACAGAAUACACAUUCAAAACUCUGUUCAUAUAGAACACUUUAACUUGAACCAGAGACAUCAGCAAGCCACGAGACAACAAUUUUCAUGUCAUGCGUCGAUCAUACGAGACGAGAAUCCUAACACCAUUUGACAAACUAUCAUCCUAUUCCAACAAGGUCGGCCAUAAUAAAGGUUUGAUAAGUUAGAACAAAUCGAAUUUAUGUAAUAUCAUUUUGCGGUUCUAGGAUUGAAUCGAAUUUACAUACUGAUCUAGUUCGAGCAUUUCCUCGAACGUGAUACACAUUUCGAUUAAGGAGCUCAUACGCAAAUACAAACCACUGAUUCAAUUUCAGAUACUCACAACAACAACAUUAUUACGAGGCCGAGUUGUUAAUCGAGCUUCAAUCUCAACUGAUUUACUCACAGACAUCAUUAGCUAAAGCUCACUGGCUCUGUUUCGUUUGUAAGCGGCAGAAACAGAAUGUGCGGGAGUUUUUGACCUCGAACGGUGAUCAGAUCACAAAAAAAGUUCCUGGUGGUGUCCACGUUGAUAAUCGCGAAUGGCGAAGGGGGAAAAACCAAGGGCUCGUGCACUUUUGGGCGUCCUGACCAGAAAACAGGGCAGAACGACAGUUGGCCUUGCUGCAGCGAAACCGGCGAUGGCGGAGCGGCUACAGUGGCAGCUAACGGUGUCUGAAGGACGACGGAGAAGGAGAACUGACGAAGAAGCCUCGAGAAUUCCCGAGAAAGAGAUGGCGGACGGUGGAUUCCUGGUGACGAUUAGCGGUGGAGAAUCUUCUGCAACUCGGCCGAUCGAUCGAAAGAGAUUGUGGAUCGUGGGCUGCGGUGAGGCAAAUUGUCUAGGCUGAGGCUUACUCUGAUGGGCCCGGCGCGCUCGUUCGGAAGAGGAAUCCACGAAUGGGAGCUCAGCAAGAGAGAAUUUCUUCAUCGGGUCAACCCAUUUCUAGAAGCGUCUCCAUCUUCGCUCCCACUCUGUCGCCUCGGUCCCCCCGGCAGCCACCGCCGCUCGUCCUCCAUCGCCGGCCACGACAACACUCAUGCGCUCAGCACAGAUCACACAGGGCAGAGAGGCUCAAGGAUUUCUAAACAUCCAGAGAAUUAUCUCUCUUGGCUCCUUGCUUCGUCUGUUGACCUCCAACUGACCUCCCGGAUCGCUAAACCACCAGGCCGUAGCUCUGUUAGCACCGUUCUCCGAUCAGUUUGCUUUGGCUGCUCUGAAUUUGUUCGUUUCUCCUUCGCUGGCUCCGAUCCUCAACGUCAUUGUCUCGCACAACCUCUUCCUCUGAUCCGAUCGUCCUUCGUGCAUCAGAUAAAAUGAACACUAUAAUCUUCCUUCUUCGUUCUUAGCUUCGUGAAGAGAGACCCAGGCAUAUUUGUGUGAUUUUUGUUGUUCAAAUUUACUGCUGGCGUGUCAAUGCGCGCACUAUAAGUGCUUUGUAUGAUCCAUCGCAUGAAGUGCUCACUGUGACAUGUUCAUAUUAAUAAUCUGAAUCUCAAAUCAAUGUUCACUGCAAUGCGUGUUCGUCUGUUAGAUGGUCGAUUCUUGUUUAGUUCUCCCUGCCAAAAAUCUUGCAAAGAUGAUUCCAUCUACAUCUAUGUUAUUUUGGCGGUUUCUGGAUUAAUGUUCCGUAUGUUAGAGGAUCAAGAGCUCCAUCCUACUCUGCUACAUCAAGAGUCAGCCACAGGGGAUCCUCAACUCUGGUAGAUGUAGAUCACCAAAAGACUAUCGUGAAGUAAAUAAGCUGAAGACAUGGAUAACCAGUCUUAUCAACGGUGGAGAUUUUACAAUGCCGAAGACGUGGAUUGCCAAGUCUUAGGAUUUGUCAAGACUGCUAUUCUGUUAUAAAUAGCUGUAAAAGUUUGUUAGUUUGUGUCGGUUAGUUCGUUUAGUCUGUUAUUAGUUUUCCAGCUUCUCUCUAUAUAUAAAGAUAGAAUUGAGCUCAGGAAAAGGUGUGAAGAAGAGAGGAGAGGGAAGAACAGGAGAUUCAAUAUUGAUCUGUUGUAUUUGAUUUCUCUUUGUUCAAAACUUGGAUACAAUGAACUAAGAAUUGAAUACUUCUUGUUCAGAUCCUUUUGCAACUCUAUCGAGUUUAUUCUCUAUCAUCAUCAUCAUUCCUCAUCUUCAUCUUCUGCAUUCUUGGAUUCUCAAUUUCUCAUGGUAUCAGAGCAGAGAGCAUCUGAAUGAAGAGAUCCGUCCAGUAAUAAGUUCUUGCAUCAAGACAGAAGAGAUGAACGAACAAUGAAGCUCUCUGGAUCAAGGUAAUCACAUAAGAGCUCAUAGUAUUACUGUUGUCAUCUUCUUCAAGCUAAAGGAUCGUAAUAAUGGCAAUUAGAACUCCAAAGUACCCUUUUCCGAUACAUAUGAAUAUCUCGAAUUUUGUCACAAUCAAACUUGCUGAAGACAACUUCCUAUUGUGGCAAGCUCAAAUUCAAAGGUUUUUGAAAAGUCAAGAUCUUUUUGGUUUUGUUAAUGGAGACAUUCUUUCACCUCCUCGAAUGCUGCAAAGAGAGGAUGAAGGUUGUGAAACUGAUCUUAUCAAUCCAGAUUACACUGAUUGGACUAGAACAGAUCAGUUGAUUUCAUCAUGGAUCUCUGGAGCUGUUACUGAAAACAUUAUGAGCUUGAUAAUCGGAUUAGAAACAUCAUCUGAAGUAUGGCAAACCCUUCUGAAAAGGUUUACACAGAAGUCAAUUGCUAGAGAGUUCGAACUAAGGGGAAAACUGCAAUCAUGCCAAAAGCAUGAACAAACCCUUGCUGUUUAUCUCAGGGAAUAUAAAUCCAUAUGUGAUCAGUUGAAUGCAAUAGGCAAACCAGUGGAUGAAAUAACCAAAAUGUUUGGUAUAUUGGAAGGUUUAGGUCCUGAGUAUGAAAACUUUCGAACUACCAUAUAUUGUUUAAAGCCUCAGUAUGAGUAUGAUGAGGUUAUUGCCCAAUUAGAAAGGUUUGAAUCAAGGCUCAAGUCCUUCUCCAGGAAUCAAUUCAACCCGAAUUUGGCCUAUUUUGGACAAAGACAGUCUCAGAUACAGUCUAAAGAUACCACAAAUGAAGAUUACAUCUCUCAAGCUUCUGGAUUUAUAUCUCAAAGAGGAGGUUACAGAGGUGGUCGAAGCUAUGGUCGUGGCAGAGCUGUAAACAAUAGAGGUCGUGGUUUUGAAAGAUAUCAGAAUUACAGAACAGAUAUCUUAAAUCCAGGACAAGGAGAUCAACACCCCAGACAGAGAAAUGUUAUCUCUACAACAAAUCAAGGAUUUAGACCCUACACCACUUACUCACAAAGGUGCCAAAAUAUCAAAACUUAUCCAUAUGUAAACUCAAAUAAGAACUUACAGGAUGAGAAAGAAACAAGUAGCAUUCGACUCGAAUGUCAAAUAUGUAAAAGAUCUGGACAUGAUGCUCUUCGCUGCUGGUAUCGGUUUGACAAUUCCUAUCAAGCAGAAGAUAUUCCAGCAGCAUUGACGGCAAUGCAUAUUGAAGACUCAACAGGAAGUGAGUGGUAUCCUGACUCUGGAGCUACAACUCACAUCAGUGCCAAUCCUGGUAUGCUCCAUACCCUUUCUAAAUAUCGAGGACAUGAUACUGUUAUGAUAGGCAAUGGAUCAUGUUUACCUGUAACUCACAUUGGCAACACUUGGCUGAAAACAAAGAGUAGUACAUUACCACUUAAUGAUGUCCUAAUUGUCCCAGAGAUAAAGAAGAAUCUUCUUUCAGUAUCUAAGCUCACAGAUGACUAUCCUUGUUCUUUUAUCUUUGAUAAAACUGGUGUUUAUGUAAAGGACAACAAUACCAAAAUAAUGGUGAAGCUCGGAAGGAAAACUAGAGGGCUUUAUCAAGCUAAUCCACAGACUACAGAAGCCUUCUUUACUCAGCGGCAAAAGACAGUCGAUGAAGACACAUGGCACCAGCGAUUGGCUCACACAAAUACACAAGUAGUUAAACAUUUGCAGAAACAUAAGCUUAUACAAUUUGAUUCACCAUCUAAGAAUGUAUGCAGCAGCUGUCAAAUAGCUAAAAGUACAGCUCUAUCGUUUCCUUUAUCGGAUUCUACAUCAAGCUUUCCAUUAGAAAGAAUUCAUUGUGACAUUUGGGGACCCUCACCAGUCUGUUCUUUUCAAAAGUUUAGAUACUAUGUGAUUUUUGUUGACAGUUUUUCUCGAUACUGCUGGUUAUAUCCUAUGAAGUUGAAGUCUGAGUUCUAUGACAUAUUUGUUCAAUUCCAAAAGUUAGUUGAACGACAGUACAAUCAUCAGAUUAAAAUCUUUCAGAGUGAUGGAGGAGGAGAGUUCGUAAGCAACAGAUUCCAAACUUGUCUAAGACAUCAUGGAAUAAGACAGCUUAUAUCAUGUCCUCACACACCAGAACAGAAUGGGGUCUCAGAAAGGAAGCAUCGACACAUCGUAGAACUGGGAUUAGCUAUGCUAUAUCACUCAAAAGUUCCACUAAAAUUUUGGGUGGAUGCAUUUGUGACAGCUAGUUACAUCAUAAACAUUCUUCCCACACCAAAGCUGAAGAUGGACACACCCUAUAAUAAACUUCAUAAUAGACAGCCAAGGUAUGAUCAUUUAAGGGUGUUUGGCUGUGCAUGCUAUCCUUGUUUGAGACCAUAUGCUGUCGCGACCUCUUUUUUUCUGGCGCCCGCAAUCGGGUACGAGCGCCUAAGGAGGCUAAUGGCUCGGCUGAAUUUAUUAAGCCUGGACUCUCCCAAGUCCACCAAUUCACGACUUUAAUAAUUUGAGUUUUUAACCCAUAAAUCAAUUUUUAAAAUGGAGUCGCCACUAAUCGAUUUGAGGUGGGUUGAUUAGAAACCCAAGUGAAGUAUCGGGAGAAAUACUCACUUCUGCGCAACUAGAGAAAUUAGGAUCGGGGACUUGAUUACACUAGUUAAUCACUAAUGCCAUUUCGGUACCUAAUCUUGUUUAAACCCUAAGGCUUUUUGGAUUUUUGAGAGAUUUUCCAUGCAUUUUUGGGAGGAAAAACAUUUUUUGAGUAUUUUUCUCAUUUUUUUUGGACAUAAAAGGGAUUUUUGGUAUUUUUGGUAUUUUUUGGAAAAUAUGGAAUAUUUUUGAUUUUUUUGAUUUUUUUUCUUUUCUCGGAAAAUAAAAUAUUUUUAAAUAUUUUUUCAAAAUAUUUUUGGAAAAUAAAUUAUUUUUUGAUUUUUCUCGAUUUUUUAGAAAAUAAAACAUUUUUCGACAUUUUUAAAUAUUUUUCGAUUUUUUGGAAAUUAAAACAUUUUUUUAUUUUUUAUUUAUUAAAAUAUUAUUUUUAUAUUAAAAUAACAAAAUAAAACCGACCCGGGUCGGAUCCGCGGGUUGGGUCCGACCCGGGUCGGCGACCCAAAUGCGGACGGGCCCGCGUUGCGGGCUCGACUCGGAUUUUUCAUCUUUUCUUUUUUCUUUUUUUCUUUUUUUUUUAAAAACGACGCCGUGGCCGGGCGUUUGGGGACGCCCGGCCCAGCCCGACGACCCGGGUCCACGACCCGCUCCGCGACCCGACUCCCUGCGAACCCUACCCGACCCGGAUCCGAAUUCACGACCCGGCUUCCGCCGCCCCGGAAUCUCGCGAAACCCUACCCGGUUCCGAGGUGUUUGGCGGCGACGGCGACUAUGGCGGCGACGUCGAAGGUGACAACGGCGGCGGCAACCACUGCAGCCACGACGGCGGUGACAACGUCGACGGCGACGACGGCUAGGUCAACGGAAAACGGCUGCGAUGAACAAUAACGCCCCCCUUUUUACCUUCUCUCGGAUGGGGACGGCGACGGCAGGAGAGCAGUUCGCGAUGGUGGAGGCGACGACGGCAGCAACUCAGCUUCCCGAUCUGGCGCGGCUUCGGCGGAUCGAUCACGGUAAUGGCUCCGCGAGGUGAGGCACGACAACAAGCCGUCGAAGCAACGGCGUCGGGACUGAGGUGAACGGUUGCAGCACGGCGUUCGGCGGCAACAACAGCAGCAAAAAAAACCAGAUCUACUGCGUAGAUCUCGGCCGGACCCUCCUCGGCCUUGAUUCCUCCUCACUUAGGCCAGAUCCGAGCCUCCACAGGCCGGAUCUGACCUUCUCGAAGUCACUCGCCGCCUGCCUUCCCCGAAGUCUCUCGGUGGAAGGUGGGCUAAGCUCGCGACCCGAGCUCUCUCCUGCGCUCGCCCUUCAACCCUUCCCGAUGUCUCUCAGUGAAGGAUUUCCGAGCUCGCCACACCCUCCGACGAUGCUUGCGACCACCUAUUUAUAGGCGAAGGAACUCCGGUCGACAGAGGGGCUCGGUUGCCGGCCUCCGGCUUGCCCACCGGUUCUGCUCGGCCGAACCGGUGUCCCAUCGAGCUUUCCAGCGAAGCUCGCUCAGCAUUGAUGGCGCCUGCGAUCUUAUCCCCUCCGGCCGACGUCGCCCUACACUCCUCGGCCGUAGGCCGUCCUUGGCGCGCGUCGCCGGCCAUCGCGCGUGAGAUGCAAGCGACUGAGGAAGAAGAAGACAGGAGGAAGAAGAAGAGAGAAAAGGGGCCGGGCCAAGGGUGAAGGAAAAUGGGCCACAUGGGCCACGCGGAGGGGGAAGAGAAAGGGAAAAGAAAAAAAGGGCUGGGCUUUUGUUGUUUUUUUUUUGUUUGUUUAUUAAUUAUCUUAUUUAUCCGAAAUAAAAUAAAAACUUAAUUAAAUAAAAUUAACCUAAGUAAAAUUGAGGUGUCAACAGCUGCCCCUCUUUGAAGGUGAGCUCGCGGAGGUUGCAUUCAAAGACAGACUGAUGCCUCAAUUUUAUCCAUACAUGCAUAGCAGAUUAUAUUUUAUUUGGGAUCUAUUAUUCUAUGUAGGAAAAGAGCAAUAUAACUUUACAUAUACUAAGACAGAUAAGAAGAUACCUGUAGUUACUUACCGGGAGUGAGUGAGAUAGGGUGUGAACCCCGAGUUUUGGCAAGUAUCAAGGCGUCAUCUUACCUGGUGAUAUGAGGAGGUUGCUUUUCCAGGGCUCGAACCAUUCUUCGGUUACCUGUUAAAACAAUCAAUGAUUUUUCUAGGGCCCGAACCUUUCUUCGGUCGCCUUGACGGGAGACUGCUCUUCCAGGACCCAAACCAUUCUUCGGUCGCCGUGACAGGAAGUUGUUUCUCCAGGACUCGAACCAUUCUUCGGUCGCCUGUUAAAACAAUCCAUGAUUUGUCUAGGACCCGAACCUUUCUUCGGUCGCCUUGACGGGAGAUGCACCGACCUUUCUCAGGGCAUCUCAUUUGUGGGUGCCUGAUUUGUAUCAAGGACACCAGUUGGAACCCGACCUUUCUCGAGAGGAUGCGCCGACCUUUCUCAGGGCAUCGAUUUGUGGGGCGUCUGACUUCUGUCGAAGACACUAGUUGGAACCCGACCUUUCUAGGGAGAUGCGCCGAUCUUUAUCAGGGCAUCGAUUUUGGGGGGCGUCUGACUUCUGUCGAAGACACCAGUUGGAACCCGACCUUUCUCGGGAGGAUGCGCCGACCUUUCUUAGGGCAUCGAUUUGUGGGGCGUCUGACUUCUGUCGAAGACACCAGUUGGAACCCGACCUUUCUCGGGAGAUGCGCUGAUCUUUAUCAGGGCAUCGAUUUUGGGGGGCGUCUGACUUCUGUCGAAGACACCAGUUGGAACCCGACCUUUCUCGGGAGGAUGCGCCGACCUUUCUCAGGGCAUCGAUUUGUGGGGCGUCUGACUUCUGUCGAAGACACCAGUUGGAACCCGACCUUUUUCGGGAGGAUGCGCCGACCUUUCUCAGGGCAUCGAUUUGUGGGGCGUCUGACUUCUGUCGAAGACACCAGUUGGAACCCGACCUUUCUCGGGAGGAUGCGCCGACCUUUCUCAGGGCAUCGAUUUGUGGGGCGUCUGACUUCUGUCGAAGACACCAGUUGGAACCCGACCUUUUUCGGGAGGAUGCGCCGACCUUUCUCAGGGCAUCGAUUUGUGGGGCGUCUGACUUCUGUCGAAGACACCAGUUGGAACCCGACCUUUCUCGGGAGGAUGCGCCGACCUUUCUCAGGGCAUCGAUUUGUGGGGCGUCUGACUUCUGUCGAAGACACCAGUUGGAACCCGACCUUUCUCGGGAGAUGCGCCGAUCUUUAUCAGGGCAUCGAUUUUGGAAGAUACCUUGGAUAUUUGUGAAGGUCUCUCACCUCUUGGUAAUGGGAAUGUCGAGGGUGUGCCCCGCUUAUUCAUGAAGGUGUCUCACCUCUUGGUAAAGGGGAAUAUCGAGGAUGUACCUGGGAUAUUCGUGAAGGUUUCUCGCCUCCUGGUAAUUGGGAAUAUUGAGGACGUACCUGAGAUAUUCGUGAAGGUCUCUCGCCUCCUGGUAAUUGGGAAUAUUGAGGACGUACCUGAGAUAUUCGUGAAGGUCUCUCACCUCCUGGUAACAUAAAUUUGAGUGUAGCACAAGACUUACCUGGAUGGCCGCAGGCACUUAAAAGGGGUGGAAAACCUGGAUAGCCACAGGUGUACAAAGUACUGGAAUACUUGGAUGAACACAAGUAUUUAAUGAUAUAACAUGGGACUACUCAGUUGGUCCAAGUGUAAGAAAGCAUACCUGGGUAGGUGCAGGCACACAAAGCAGUGGAAUGCUUGAACAGCUGAUAUUAUUUGGGGACAACUCGGGCAAGUUGAGUGUCAUGAAAAGGAAGUACCUAGACAAUAGUGGGUACUUUGAUGAUAUGGGGAUACCUAGACAGCAGUAGGUAUUCCAAGAGAUACUUGGUCAGUCACAAGUAUCAAUACUCUGGGGACAACUCGGACAGGUCGAGUGUCAGAAAAAGGGAGUAUCUGAACGGCGACCGGUACUCAAAGAUAACAGGGAUACCUAGACAACAGUAGGUAUUUAACAAUAAAGGGAUACUUGGUCAGUCACAAGUAUCAAUACUUUGAGGACAACUCGAAUAGGUCGAGUGUCAAGAAGAGAGUACCUGGACAGUGAUAGGUACUUUAAGACAAAUGGGGAUAGAGAUAUGCUUACCCGGCAAUAUCUCUGAUCUCUAAGAGUAUGUCUGCUAUUUGCAUAGUAUGCACACAUGAUUGUAUAUGCUGUAAAUUCAUGAGUUCAAAUGAGAUUCAUGCAUGAUAAUUUUGUCAGUUUUGCAUCAUCUGAGUUCCACUGGGGAAGAUUUUGAAAGACAACCUUCAUUUAGAAUGUAGAUGUCUUGAGCAUGCCAGACGAGGGACUUUCAGUCUGAAAGGACUUUCCGCUCACUCUCAUGGAAAAGGCUAUCCUGACCAUUGAUGCAGGAUUUAUAAGGACCACACUAUCUCACUGUCAUCAUGUCAGCAGGGGUCUGAGUAUUCUCGCAAACAGUACGACUUUACCAAUGUGAGAGGUCUUUGUUGAAAUUGUGAUGAAGACUUGGUCAAUAGCUCAUCAAAUGGGACCGUCGAGGUCAAGGCUCAUGAAUGAAGUGCCGCACGAUCAUCUCCAGGUUUGCAAGUCAAGAGUCCUGCGAAAAGAGAUAGAAUAGUCUUGCUCGUACUUCUUCGAGCGAUGCUUAUAGACAUAUGAAAUCCUACGUUAAUUGAAGUGCCCCUAGUCUGAAGAGACUUUUACAAUGGGAUGCAAUGUAGGAUUGAUUCAUGUGUAAAAGGGUGAGAGCUGGUGAUUGUCUUGGCAUUUGUCACCAGUCUUCCUUCUCACUGUCAAAUGGAGGCUCUAUCAAUUGAACCACAACAACAACUUUUCUUAACUGUAUUUUUUACUGGGGGGCAUUGGCCUUGCUUUUACCAGGCACACUGCUUUUUUCAUGCCCCUAUUUUUAUUCCAGUUCUCCAUUCAUGGACAUUGACCUUGCUUUUACCAGGUACACUGCUUUUUUAUGCCCCUGUUUUUUCAUUCUUGUUGCUUGAGAGCUGAUCUUGACAAGUUCAAGCAAAUGCCUUUGUUAGACUAUUGAGUCUUCAUCUUUUGCCGGCGCUUCUGAUUAUGCUGCUCAAACAGCAGUGGCUUUUGCUUUGCCUCCAUGUGAGGGUGAAUUUACAAACUCAAUUGAGUUGUACAAUGGAUACAAGUGUAUAAAGAAAGAGCUGCUCUUCAUGACUCUAGGGCACUUAAAUUAACGCGAGUGUUCAUAUGUAAUAAAGACACUCAAAGAUUGAUGCAAGUGCAAGCAAGAAAAUUUCUAUCUCUCUUCUCACCUUGUGAUGCUGCUUUGUCUCCAAUCUGCCCCAGUGUGGGGUGGUUCUUGACGGGGGUAUGAAAGAAACUUCACCAAUGUAUGGGGCUCAAUGGGGUGAGCGAUGGAAUGCCUCUCACUAUUUUGGUUAUCGUACCAUUCGCGAGAGAACUCUUUGCCCUGCAGUCAUGGAAUCUUCUGCACUCAUCUCACAAGUGUAUAGAUGGGGGACUGUGUGUAGGAUAUGGCUUGUCUUUCAUCAUUCUGACGUGCCUUACCCAGCACGCUCAAUUAAUCUUGUAUUAUUCACUUAGCUGUCUAUUCUAAUAAUUCUCAGUGGAAUCAGUGAUUUAGACAGACAAAAUCAUCAUGCAUAAUUCAUCUGGAAACGACAUGCAACAUUUUGAAUAUGAUGGAGUUUGAACUCUUCAAAACAAGUGAAUGGUUUUGACUCGCAAAAGACCCUAUUGACAACUUUAGGGGCUAACAUAAUAGUGUUUCCAAAUAUGUUAGAUUUUGAACAUCAAAAGGGUUAUUUGCAAAUGGACGUCGAUGGUUGUCCCUAUUGAUUAGGAAUAUGACACAUGAAUGAUCAGUCGGGGUUGGGAAUCUGAUCGGGCAUCUCUGCUUUUGCCCCUGCAGAAGAGAAGAUGUACAAGUAGAUUAAUUAGUCUGGCCAAAAUCAAAUGUGAGUUGAGGCCUGAAGGAUCUCUGUCAUUUGCUUUGGCAAUACUUGAGACGCCAUUUUGCUUGGGAGAGUUUGUCAUGCCUCUCAUUGAUUUGUGAUUUUUGUUUUUGACAGUCAGUUAAUCCUGCAACAAACAAGACAUGCUUCUCAUUGAUUCGUUAUCCUUGCUUUUGACAGUCAGGUGAUCCUGCAACAAACAAGAGGGAAUGUGUUAGUCAUGAACUCUUUCAAGAGUCAAAUAACUGGAAUCGAUACAACUUUACCCUUCACUGGUUUGCAGAUGAUUGGGUGAACCUGAAGUGAGAGGGGGACAUGAAGUCCUAUGUCCCUUGCUUCAUUAGGUCAAUUAUUCUCUGAAUUAGCUCCUGGAUGACAUGUCUUUUUACACGAAGCCAGGUGAAUUUGAUGUGGGUCAUUUCCACGUACUAGCUUGGCCAAUAUUGAUUUGCCUAACCAUUGAGUUUGGUUCUUGAGUUGUGAUGCUCCCUGCCAAUAGGGGGAAUAUGUCAAAAAUGAAUUUAAAGAAGGGGGAGUAUUGGAAACGAUACCAAAUUACUCUUCUCCAAAGUCUUGAUAUUUGAAUGUCGAUGACAGCCUUUUCGUCUUGGCAUAGUUUGACAUUUCUUUCAAUUGGCCUUCCUCACUUGUGACCAUGUAUGCGUGAUUGUUGGUCGUUGAUUCAUCUUCAACGCCUUCCUUAUAUGGAAUUUCUCUUUCUGUCUUUAACUAUAGCAUCAUUGGGCAAAAGUCAUGUACCUCAAGCUUUUAUGGAAUCUGAGAUCAAAAGUCUCAAGCUUUCUGAUGGCAAUUACUCCUCGGAAGAAUACGCGUUUGGAGUGAAGUUUCUAGAUUCCAAGAUCAUUGUCCAGGGUGUGGGGCUAUAGAUUGCUUUGACUGUCUAGAUUCUCUCCCUGUUGACAGUAAUCACUUUAAAGGAAGAUAAGCAAAUCCUUCUUUGUGCUUCUUGGCUUGUUGGAGCUGGAAGUCCUGUCAAUGAACUCGGGACAUCCUGCCUCGAGUUAUCAUGCUAUGCAUGCUUCAAGUUUGAUAAUAUGCAUGUGCCUAUUACAUCCCAUCCUUCGUUUCCUGUAGAUGGAAGAGAGAGGAUGUUAUUUUCGACAUUAUGUUCAGGGAAUAGGACUUACCAUUUUGAAACGUGAUGAUCAUUUAUGUUUGCCCUCGCUUUCUUGGAAGGGUGUCUUUGAAUUUGGUGGGUUCACCUGAUGUGCUUGCUUCAAAUGCCCGCUGUCACACUAAGUUAAAGGGGACGGGAAUGAUCUUCUGAGACAUAAAGUGAGUGAGUCAGAAAGACAGACAUGAUUAAAUUUAUCAUCUUUUUUGAAAGAUUUUGGUGAUGAAGUGUUUUCUAUUUUCAAAAUAUGUAUUCAGGGGAGAAAAAAGCAUGAGGAAGCCCAGCCCUCAGUAUUCUCCUUGGAUAUAUUUUUUCAUGGUUGGAUAGCAUCACCGGGCAGGUUUGGAGUACCGCCUCAUGCUCUUAAACAAAAUAUUAGAAUUGUACAUUAGAGUACUUGAAUGGAAAAUACAACAAUAGCACACUAUACAAGAUGAGAAACAUGAAAUUAUAAAAACAAGUAAAACUCAUGAAAACCCCUGUGUAAAGGAGCGCUUUGAUAGUGCUGAUCUUGAAGCUAAGCGUCUUUGAAUUCCUCGCCUUCAGUAGACUCGAAGUAUUCGCAUGCGAUGACUACCUCGUUGAAGUUACGGAAGUGUAACCCAUGCAGCCAACAGCGAUGCUUGCAGGACAAAACUUCUAUGAACUGCUUCAUUAACUCCUCUUCAGCCAGUUGAGGGUGGGUUUGCAUCAUGAAAGCCCUCCACCUCCUUGCGUAUGCUCGGAAAUCUUCCAUUGGUUUUCUUGUGAAGUGAGCCAAGCUCUCACAAGGCAGUUCAGUUCCGAUCUGGCUUUGGUACUGAUGCAAGAAUGUGGAAGUCAGCUCAUUCCAAUCCUUUAGAAGAUAAAUGUUUGCUGUGAUAAACCAUUGCAGUGCAGACCCCGUAAGAGUUUCUUGGAAUGCCUGAGUUGUGAACGACAUCGGGCCAUAGUACCGACUCAUUUCGGCAUGGAGAUACUGCAAGUGGGCCAUGGGACAGGCUGUGCCGUUAUAUUUGCGGAGAUUUGGUAUCCACAUUUCUAUGGGGCUCAUGAUCCUACGAGGGCAAGACGGGCUUGAUGUAUCUUGGUUAGGCCACUGGUUUUCCCACUGCAUAUCUGUGGUGGUGGUGAAUUUUUCUGUUUCAGGGAAGCUGGACUCUAUCGAGAUUACCCCAUUGCUUUCUUCCGGGUCAAAGUUACCGAAGAAGGAUGAGGGAUUUAAGCUAUCCUCAUGGUCAGGUGACGAGCUUAGUACUUCGUUAGGAUCGUAGCGGAUAAAGACGUAUGCUUCUUCUUCUAACGGGCCUUCAUCCCCGGAUGAGAGUAGGAAACAGUUAUACGAUGAAUCGUCAGUUGCAUUGUCGAAAUAACGCUGGAAGUCUUUAGGAUUGUAUUCUAGGGCCGGGAAGUCUUCAAAGCUGUAUUCUUGGGAAUGCUCGAAGCUUUGGUGCGGUGGCUCAUCGAUAGAUGCUACAUUGAUUUGCUUAGGCUUUCUUUUCUUGGCUUCUGGUCCAGACCUUUUGAGUAAGGCUCUUCGUUUUGCCAGCUCGAUUCUGUCAAAGGAAGUGAGAGACAUUGGAGUUUCACUAUCUGAUUCACUUCCCAGGUUGAUAGGGGUUGGUAUUCUUUGGACCCUAGCUCUUGGAGUAAGCUUGGGGAGUUGUCCAGUCGUGCCCCGAUCUUGAACAGGCUCUGUGUCUUUGAUCUCGUACAAAGGCUCCUUGCCUUUCAUAGUGGGAAAUUUUCCAGUAACAGGGUGUUGUUCAGUUGCCCAUUUAUCAUGCAAGGCUUUAUUGACAUGCUCUUCUCCUAUCUCAGCGACUAACGGUUCCUCGUGCUCCGCGAUCAUCGGCUCUUCGUAGGGUAGGGUGAUGUCAAGAUUAUACUCUUGGUGAAAAACAUGAAUUAGUUCCCUCCAGGUUUUAAGGGGAUUAAUCUUCUUGAUAAUGUACCACCGCAAGGCAGGGCCAGUCAAGCUCGAUUGGUACGAUUGAAUCAUCCUUCGGACCAAGUAGGCCUGUAGGUAGGUCUCUGGGCGGGAGGUAUCAGCAUACCUUUCGCAUUCAGGUGCUUUGAGUUUUUCAGGGAUCUCAAUGCCGGCGUAAUUGGAUAGGUCCAUGGGAUUCUGCUCCUGUAGCUGGCUUAACUUUUUCAUAAUCCUUUCAAACUGUCUAUGGUACUGGCUAUUUUCUGGCAAAUUUGCAGGUGUCAUGACGGUGUUUGAGGCAACUAUGGAGUUGGGCUCAGCUUGAGUGGAUUUCAUUUGUCUUGAGAGUUGUUGAAGGACAAUUGACAUCUGUCCUACGUCGUCUUCAAUGUUAAUAAGGCGAUUUUGUGCAUCAUUCUGAUCGGGCCCUAAUGCAUGAGGCCAGUCGUGAGCUAUUGGUGGCCGGCGAUUCAUAAUUACCUGCUCGUUGCGAAAACAAUGAAUGAGCACGAAAGUAAACAAAGAUUGACCCAUGGCAAUGGUCUAAUUGCUUUUUCAUUUAUCAAAAGAUGAUUUAUAGACUGCCAACUCCUAACAUCUAGGACUUGAAAUUGAAAAGACAGGAGGAAAUACUAGAUAUUAAACAAGAGUCCCUAAACAAUGGGACAUAACUUUCACACUAUUUACACUAAGGGGCACAUGAUUGCCAAUUUAUAUGCGACGGGGAGCCUUGUUCUUGCGAGAACACCUGCUUCCUUGAACUGGCUCUGAGGUGUGCAUCCAGUCCAUUCCCGAAUCCCUCUCCAUGAGCUCUGCUUGCUCGUGUUGGCUGCUCUCGCUGAUCAAGUGAGGGACUAAUGGCUUCCAUCUUGUCGGGAUGCGAUGGUUGUGGAUGUAGGACAUGGAGGCGUGGUGGGCUUUUUCUUCUCCCUCAAGCCCUUCAGGUACCACGAUCCUUUUACGAUGGCACUUGUUCCAUGCUUCUUCAUAAAUGUCAACCAUGUAUUCAAAAUUUCGAUGAGUGAAGAGAAGUGGAGGGGUCCUCUUCUUGAAAGAUGGCGGGAUCUCCUGAAGGGCUCCAUACUGUCGUGCCACCCGUUGUGGGAAAUAGGAAAAAGCACCGGUGAGGCCGAGCAGCGGAAUUGGAUGGCGGCGCUUGAAAGCAAAGUGAGCUCUCUUUUCAUAGAACCAACCAGCACGCCAUUGGAAUGCCUCAGGAGCCGGGUCUCUUAGGAAAUUUAUCCAAUUUAAACAGCUUUGAUUGGGAAUGUAUGGUCCUAAAACCAUAAAUUUUUGUAAUGGAUUUUCGAAGUCAUUCAUUCCAGAUGAUCGCAUGAAGCCCUGGAAUUCGCUUAGGUGAGAAAAGAACCAGACUUGUAAAAUUUCAGGAGAGGCUCGCAUGAUUUUCUCCGUGUUGUCUUUAAAACGAUUAAAGGACAAGAAUGUUUCAGUUAAAAUCAUAUUGACAUAAUUUUGCCCUCUCAAGAUUUGAUCAACUAUCCAUGCCAUCUUAGGACUUAUGACAUUUCUUUGAUGGGGGAAAAUGAUGAACCCAAAAAAGCCCAGGAGGAAAAUCUCACUUUUUUGGGUCAUAGGCUGAUUUUGAAAACAGGCGUUCAUGAAUUCUAGUGGGCAGGUAUUGUUGUUGCCUUCAAGAAUUUGUCUCAUGACAUGGAUUUCAGUUCCUAAAAGUCGCGCUAACCCCUGCCACGGGAGGAAGCCUGUCGAUGGCUUAACAAGCUUUUUCUCGAGAGGCAUUCCAGUGAUGAUGCUGUAUUCUUCCAGAGUUGGGGUUAGCUCAAACCCACCAAACAUAAAAGUAGUCGUUUUCAAGCACCAGAAAUGUGCCAUGGCCUGUAUGACUUUGGGACGAACAGUGAUUUGAAUCAACGAUAGGAGAUGACCGAUUUUGGCCUUCACGCGCUCUUGGGCAAGCUGGUCCAAUUGACCCCACCAUCUGAAGAGUUCCGCCUUAGGAGCACGAAUAAACUGGAUAUCGUCUUUCCCCAUUGCAUAUAAACUGAGACUUGAAAAGCUUAUCCUAAAUUGCCAUGGGCCAAAUAAAAAGACUGAGUAACAGUAAAGAAAUCACUUUGCUUUUUAAAAAAAUUGCAAGCACCAAGACAUACAGAUGGGAUGUGCGGCUCGAUUUCUAACUCAGAAGGAUUGGUGAGAUUAAAAGGAUAUCCGCCCGUCGCAGUCUCGCGUUAGCAGCAUACCCUCUUAACCACGUCUAAGAAAUUCGAGGAAAAGAAAGGCGACCUCUACAUCGCAGUCUCGCGUUCGAGGUCGUAUCUUUCUUAACACCAUCCUAGAAAUCCUAUGGCGGCCCAGGUCCGGCGGCCGGGUUGUGUGUGCCAUGUGUAGUGUUUAAAACAGUAAAGCAUGCACAACAGUUUAUGAUCACAAAACAUUUUAUUUUAACAGAAUAAAAAAACUUUAAGCUAUUAUCCUGCACAAAAGAAAAAGACCCAAGUUAGCAAAGUAUUUAAACAAAGAUAAAAAUGGCCUAAGUCCUCAAAGUCCCAAGCGGAGUCGCCAAGCUGUCGCGACCCCUUUUUUUCUGGCGCCCACAAUCGGGUACGAGCGCCUAAGGAGGCUAAUGGCUCGGCUGAAUUUAUUAAGCCUGGACUCUCCCAAGUCCACCAAUUCACGACUUUAAUAAUUUGAGUUUUUAACCCAUAAAUCAAUUUUUAAAAUGGAGUCGCCACUAAUCGAUUUGAGGUGGGUUGAUUAGAAACCCAAGUGAAGUAUCGGGAGAAAUACUCACUCCUGCGCAACCAGAGAAAUUAGGAUCGGGGACUUGAUUACACUAGUUAAUCACUAAUGCCCUUUCGGUACCUAAUCUUGUUUAAACCCUAAGGCUUUUUGGAUUUUUGAGAGAUUUUCCAUGCAUUUUUGGGAGGAAAAACAUUUUUUGAGUAUUUUUCUCAUUUUUUGGACAUAAAAGGGAUUUUUGGUAUUUUUUGGAAAAUAUGGAAUAUUUUUGAUUUUUUUGAUUUUUUUGAUUUUUUUUCUUUUCUCGGAAAAUAAAAUAUUUUUAAAUAUUUUUUCAAAAUAUUUUUGGAAAAUAAAUUAUUUUUUGAUUUUUCUCGAUUUUUUAGAAAAUAAAACAUUUUUCGACAUUUUUAAAUAUUUUUCGAUUUUUUGGAAAUUAAAACAUUUUUUUUAUUUUUUAUUUAUUAAAAUAUUAUUUUUAUAUUAAAAUAACAAAAUAAAACCGACCCGGGUCGGAUCCGCGGGUUGGGUCCGACCCGGGUCGGCGACCCAAAUGCGGACGGGCCCGCGUUGCGGGCUCGACUCGGAUUUUUCAUCUUUUCUUUUUUCUUUUUUUCUUUUUUUUUAAAAACGACGCCGUGGCCGGGCGUUUGGGGACGCCCGGCCCAGCCCGACGACCCGGGUCCACGACCCGGCUCCCUGCGAACCCUACCCGACCCGGAUCCGAAUUCACGACCCGGCUUCCGCCGCCCCGAAAUCUCGCGGAACCCUACCCGGUUCCGAGACCCGGAUCCGAUUCGACAACCCGGAAAUCGCAAACCCUAGGGUUUGCGAUUCCGCGGCGCCGAAGAGGGGGAACCGAGGUGUUUGGCUGCGACGGCAACUAUGGCGGCGACGUCGAAGGUGACAACGGCGGCGGCAACCACAGCGGCCACGACGGCGGUGACAAUGUCGACGGCGACGACGGCUAGGUCAACGGAAAACGGCUGCGAUGAACAAUAACGCCCCCCUUUUUACCUUCUCUCGGAUGGGGACGGCGACAGCAGGAGAGCGGUUCGCGAUGGUGGAGGUGACGACGGUAGCAACUCAGCUUCUCGAUCUGGCGCGGCUUCGGCGGAUCGAUCACGGUAAUGGCUCCGCGAGGUGAGGCACGACAACAAGCCGUCGAAGCAACGGCGUCGGGACUGAGGUGAACGGUUGCGGCACGGCGUUCGGCGGCAACAACAGCAGCAAAAAAAACCAGAUCUACUGCGUAGAUCUCGGCCGGACCCUCCUCGGCCUUGAUUCCUCCUCACUUAGGCCAGAUCCGAGCCUCCACAGGCCGGAUCUGACCUUCUCGAAGUCACUCGCCGCCUGCCUUCCCCGAAGUCUCUCGGUGGAAGGUGGGCUAAGCUCGCGACCCGAGCUCUCUCCUGCGCUCGCCCUUCAACCCUUCCCGAUGUCUCUCAGUGAAGGAUUUCCGAGCUCGCCACACCCUCCGACGAUGCUUGCGACCCACCUAUUUAUAGGCGAAGGAACUCCGGUCGAUGGAGGGGCUCGGUCGCCGGCCUCCGGCUUGCCCACCGGUUCCGCUCGGCCGAACCGGUGUCCCAUCGAGCUUUCCAGCGAAGCUCGCUCAGCAUUGAUGGCGCCUGCGAUCUUAUCCCCUCCGGCCGACGUCGCCCUACACUCCUCGGCCGUAGGCCGUCCUUGGCGCGCGUCGCCAGCCAUCGCGCGUGAGAUGCAAGCGACUGAGGAAGAAGAAGACAGGAGGAAGAAGAAGAGAGAAAAGGGGCCGGGCCAAGGGUGAAGGAAAAUGGGCCACAUGGGCCACGCGGAGGGGGAAGAGAAAGGGAAAAGAAAAAAAGGGCUGGGCUUUUGUUGUUUUUUUUUUGUUUGUUUAUUAAUUAUCUUAUUUAUCGGAAAUAAAAUAAAAAAUUAAUUAAAUAAAAUUAACCUAAGUAAAAUUGAGGUGUCAACAUAUGCAAGCCACAAAUUUGAUCCUCGAUCUCUCCCCUGUAUCUUCUUGGGUUAUAGUAAUCAGCACAAAUGAUAUCGAUGUCUGGUAUCAACUAAUAAUCGUGUAUACAUCAGUAGACAUGUUGUCUUUGAUGAACAUUCUUAUCCUUUUAUAAAGAAGUUGGUCAAUGAGUAUGGACAGUAUACAAAUCUAUACAAACAAUGGAUUGAAGGAAUACAUUUCCUUGAACCUUCAAGAACCGAGUUAACAGACAAUGGUUCUUUGCAUCAGUCAGCCAAAACCCAGAUCCAUCCUGAUCUAGAUGAUUGCUAUAAUCAUCACCUAUGUCAUAGACAACAAUCUCAGACCAUUUCCUCGAGAACUAUGUAGAAUGAGAGAACAACAGAUGAACAACCUGUCAUGGCUUCAAUAGAUACUAUGCCUACAGAUCUAUCUACCUCUCAGGGACAACAUAUUACCAGCUCUUCAUCUUCACACAAUGAUCUACCAGCUGAAAGUAGUUCUGGUGAAAGGUACUACAAUUCCAAUUCCAUUAUGUCUUCUUCUCAAGGUACUCUUAAUAAUCAUCAUAUGCAAACUCGACUAAAGUCUGGGAUUAGAAAACCAAAUCCAAAGUAUGCUUGUUUAGCUGAGUAUCAAGUUCCUAUGGAACCACGGUCUAUCAAAUCAGCCUUAACUAAUGAAGCCUGGUACAGGGCUAUGAAAGAAGAAAUGGAUGCUCUUGAUGAAAACCAAACCUGGACAUUGAUUCCUAGAACUGACCAGAUGAAUGUGAUAGGCUGUAAGUGGGUAUAUAAGACCAAACUCACACCAGAUGGGGGUUUUGACAGACUCAAAGCUCGUCUAGUCGCCAAAGGCUUUCAUCAAGAAGCAGGACUUGACUUCACUGAGACUUUUAGUCCAGUCGUGAAACACACAACAAUUCGAAUAGUGCUAUCUCUAGCCAUGAUAAAGCAAUGGCAAAUACAUCAGCUUGAUGUUAAGAAUGCUUUUCUUCAUGGAGAUUUGAACGAGACUGUAUACAUGGAACAGCCACCUGGCUUUAUCCAUCCUCAGAAGCCAAGUUAUGUCUGUCUGCUUCAAAAGUCCCUAUAUGGUCUUCGACAAGCACCAAGAGCUUGGUUCGAUAAAUUCAGCAAGUUUUUACUUGAAAGUGGCUUCUUCUGCAGCACAUCAGAUCCAUCCUUGUUUGUUCUUCAUACAGACUCCCAUACAGUCUUAUUGCUACUAUAUGUUGAUGAUAUCAUCUUGACUGGCAGUUCACCACAUCUCUUAACUACCCUUAUUCAGAAACUAGUCUUCACUUUCAUAUGAAGGACCUUGGAUAUCUUCACUAUUUUUUGGGCAUUGAAGCCAAACGAACUUCAUAGAAACUCUUUUUGUGCCAAACAAAAUAUGCCACUGACUUGCUGAAACGAGCUCAUAUGGCAGAUUGUAAACCAAUCUCAACACCCUUGCCACUUCGAUCAAUUUCCAUGGCUGACACUGCAAAUCAACUCACAGACCCUGUGGAGUACAGAAGCUUGGUUGGUGCUCUUCAAUACUUAACCAUUACUCGACCAGACCUGGCGUUUGCUACUAACCUUCUCUGUCAAAAGAUGCAACAUCCUACCGUAGGAGACUUUCAUCAGUUAAAAAGAGUACUUCGAUAUGUCAAAGGUACCAUACAUCUUGGGUUCUAUCUUCAUUCUCAAAGUUCAGUAAACCUCUAUGGUUUCUCAGAUGCUGAUUGGGCUGGUUGUCCAACUACACGACGUUCCACAACGGGGUUUUGCACAUUUCUUGGAUCUAAUCUACUUUCUUGGUCUGCCAAGAAACAACCUACUGUUUCCAGAUCCUCAACAGAAGCAGAAUAUCGUGCACUUGCUUCGACAAUUGCUGAACUCACCUGGAUAACUUUUGUGUUACGAGAUAUUGGCAUCUCUCUUCAAUCACCUACAUUAAUAUACUGUGACAACAGAUCAGCAAUUUCUCUUACAGCCAAUCCAAUAUUACAUGCUCGAACCAAGCACAUUGAAGUUGACUUUCACUUCGUCCGUGAGAAAGUUUCUUCUGGAUCUAUUCGUGUUCAGUAUAUCUCUACUCAUCUUCAAUUAGCUGAUAUCUUUACUAAGUCACUCUCACGAUUAUCUAAUCUUACUCUCCGAACCAAAUUGGGAAUGUGGUCGUUCACCCUUCCCAAUUUGAGGGGGGAUGUUAGAGGAUCAAGACCUCCAUCCUACUCUGCUACAUCAAGAGUCAGCCACAAGGGAUCCUCAACUCUGGUAGAUGUAGAUCACUAGAAGACUAUGGAUAACCAGUCUUAUCAACGGUGGAGAUUUUACAAUGCCGAAGACGUGGAUUGCCAAGUCUCAGGAUUUGUCAAGACUGCUAUUCUGUUAUAAAUAGCUGUAAAAGUUUGUUAGUUUGUGUCGGUUAGUUCGUUUAGUCUGUUAUUAGUUUUCCAGCUUCUCUCUGUAUAUAAAGAUAGAAUUGAGCUCAGGAAAAGGUGUGAAGAAGAGAGGAGAGGGAAGAACAGGAGAUUCAAUAUUGAUCUGUUGUAUUUGAUUUCUCUUUGUUCAAAACUUGGAUACAAUGAAAUAAGAAUCGAAUACUUCUUGUUCAGAUCCUUCUGCAACUCUACCGAGUUUAUUCUCUAUCAUCAUCAUCAUUCCUCAUCUUCAUCUUCUGCGUUCUUGGAUUCUCAAUUUCUCACCGUAAACUGUACAGUCUCUUCUACUGGGAGGAGAAAGAAAUUCUCAGCAUUAUCUCCCGCUUGCUUAAAAUUUAUUCUCAUGUUUUUUUACAUUGAAUCGCUUGACCAUUGAGAUUAAUUUGAUUUAUUUUCUAUUGAUUGCGUCUUUGAUGAAUCCAAGUAACAAUCCAAGGUAAGUUUCGAUUGUUUGCAAUGUGAAUUUGGUGGCUGGGGAGGUUCCGCUGUGAAACGUUGGCCUCAGUCGCUCUGAAUGAAAGAAUACGUUUUCUUGAAUUGUUAUCUUGAUAAGGAAGAGAGUGACACAGGCUACGGUUUGUUGUGAAAAAGAAACAAGCAACAAUUGCUGAAUUUCUAUUCUGCAGGAAAUGGAAGCGAAUUAGAAUAACUAAUGUGCUUUUGGAUGCUGAUUGCCGGAUUAUCUUGUGAACAUAUGGUAUCUUUAUUUCUCUUUCGAAUGUUUGGUAUUUGCUCCGCUCUCUUACUGGUAACCGGUGCCGCGAACUUCUUGGUUGAUUAAUUCCUCUUUCUGCAAAUGACUUUGGCCCCAGUUACAGUCCACUUUCAGUAUACGAGUCAUCAUUGUAAUUUGAGUACCGGGUGAUGUGAUACAGUCUUGAAAAUUUCAAAUACUAAAUUCCAUCAGCCUCAGUUUUUUUUUUUUUUAAAAUCAGAAUUUCAUGUUUGAAAGAAUGGUUUGUAUGAAUGAUCUUUGCACUGGAUUAACUCAAAUGAUAUUUCAUCAUAGAUAUUUAGAACAGAGUAUUUCUUUAGUUGGCUACUUUGCGACCUUUGUUGCUGAUAAAGUAGAUUGACUUGCUAGAAGGAAUUAGUGCUUUGUAAGUGCAGCCAAUUUUUUUGUUAAUUUCGUUGCUGGGUAUUAAUUAGUUCAUGGAAUGAUGCUCAUCAGAUUUGGUAGAUUCAAACAAUGGUAAAUAGCCCAUGCAACAUCAGGAAAAUAUGAAAAAUCAUUUCUUAUUUGUUGAGAAUCAUCAUCAUUCUUUCUCUCAGCAGUGAGAGAUACUGCAAAUAUCGUAGAGUACGAAUUGAAUGAAGAGGUAUCGUAACUUUGGACUUGUCUGUCAAUCUUGCUUAUCUCAUCAAUGGCCAAUGUUAUGCUGAUGUUUGAAUGAAUCCAAGCACUUAUCUUUAGUAGGCUUUGGAAUUUUCACAAUCUAUGGAUCCAACGAGUCUUAACAAUUGAUGUGUCGGGGAAUUUCUUACCUAUACCAAGUCCACUGGGCGGAGUCUAUGUCAGUGGUUGAUCAUCUAAGCCCCAUAUGCAACAUUCAUGUGAGACUCACUUGAACAACUAUUGAAAUGGACCCAAUCUAAGCGAGUGCAAGCACCACCUUGCGGAAGCUAUGCUUUGGCUGAUGGCAUAAGACGUGAAAAUUCUUUAAUCUCAGCCUUCUUUGUGCUCUUGCACUUUGGAUUUAGGUUGUGCCCUGGACAUACUUUUAGUUAUGUUAAUGGGGGAUUAGUACUUAAGGAGAUAUGGAAAUACUCUCCCGAAUUCGAUGCUUCCAAAGGUCAAAGUAGUUCAACCUGGGCAACUAGAAAAGAGUAACAACGAGGUCAAAAUGUUAUGGAGCAUUACCCCAUUGGUCAUUUUCAUCUCAACCUUUUCAAAUGUGGAGACAACUCCCUUGUUCAGGUGAUAAUACUCAAUAAAGGUGCUUCUGAGAUAGAUUAUUCCUCAGGAUCACUGCCUCGGACGACCUCUUCCUCUGAUCCGUUUGUCCUUCGUGCAUUACUAAAAUAAACAUUAUAAUCUUCCUUUUCGUUCUUAGCCUCAUGAAGAGAGACUUCAGGCAUUUUUAUGUGAUUUUUGUUGUCAAAUUUACUGCUGGCAUGUCUAUAUGUGUGCCAUAAGCGCUUUGUAUGAUCAUCACAGGAAGUGCUCACCAUGAAGUGUUCAUAUUAACAAUCUGAAUCACAAAUCAACAUUCACUGCAAUGCGUGUUUGUCUGUUAGAUGGUCGAUACUUGUUUAGUUCUUCCCGUCAAAAGUCUUGCAAAGAUGAUUCCGUCUUCAUCUAUGUUACUUUGAGAUCGCUGUGUAGGUUGCUCUCUUUGGCGGUUUCUGGAUUAAUGUUUUAUAAAUUGUACAAUCUGUGCCACUGGGAGGUGAAAAAAAUCCUCAGCAUUAUCUCCCGCACGCUUAAAAUUUAUUCUCAUGUUAUCUACAUUGGAUCAUCUGACCAUUGAGAUUAAUAUGAUUUCUUUUGUGUUUGAUGAAUCCAAGUAACAAUCCAAGGUAAGUUUCGAUUGUCUGGAAUGUGAAUUUGGUGGCUGGGCAGGUUCCUCUGUGAAACGUUGGCCUCAGUUGUUCUGAAUGAGGGUAUGAUUGCUUGAAUUGUUAGCUUAAUAAGGAAGAGAGUGAUGCAGGCUACAGUUUGUAGUGUAAAAGACACAAGCAACAAUUGCUGAAUUUCUAUUCUGCAGGAAAUGGAAGCGAAUUAGCAUAACAAAUGUGCUUUUGAGCAAUGAUGUUGAUUUCUGGAUUACCUUUGUGAACAUGUGGUAUCUUUAUUUCUCUUUUGAACAUUUGGUAUUUUCUCUGCUCUCUUUCUGGUAAACAGUAGUGCGGACUUCUUGGUUGGUUAAUCCUUCUUUCUGCAAUUGACUUUGGCCCCUGUUAUGGUAUGCUUUCAGUAUACGAGUCACAUUGUAAUUUGUGUACCUGGUGAUGUGAUACGAUCUUGUUGAUGCAUUUCUCAAUAUGUUUCCCAAACUUUGCUUGUUGUAAAAAAAUUCAAAUAUUAAAUUCCAUGAGCCUCAAUUUUUUUCCCUUUUUUUGUUGAUCAAAAUUCUGUGUUUGUAUGAGCUUGAUCUUUGCCCUGGAUUAACUCGAAUGAUAUUUCAUCAUAGAUAUUUAGGACGGAGUAUUUCCUUAGUUGGCUACUUUGUGGCAUUUGCUGCUGAAAGUACAUUGACUUGCUAGAAGGAAUUAAUGUUCUGUAAGUGCAGCCAAUUUUUUGUUAAUUUUGCUGCUGGGUAUGAUGAUGUUCACGGAAUGAAUGCUCAUCGAAUCGGUAGACUCAAACAAUGGUAAAUAAAUAGUCCAAGCAACAUCAGGAAAAGAUAAAAAAGCAUUUCUCAUUUGUUGAGCCAUCAUCAUUCUUUCUCUCGGUAGCGAGAGAUGCUGCAAAUAUCGUAGAGUAAGAAUUGAAUGAAGCGGAGUCGUAAUUUUGGACUUGCAUGUCAAUCUUGGCUUAUCUCAUCAAUAGCCAAUGUCAUGCCAAUAUUUGAAUGAAUUCAAGCACUUAUUUUAAGUAGGCUUUGGGAUUUUCUUACCUAUACUGGGUCCAUUGGGCGGAGUCUAUGUCAGUGGUUGAUUGUCUAAACCCCAUAUGCAACAUUAAUGUGAGAUUCACAUGAACAACUAUAGGAAUGGAACCAAUCUACACGUGCACAGACACCACCUUGAGGAAGCUAUUCUUUGGCUAACGGCAUAAAAUGUAUAAAUUCUCAAAUCUCUGCCAUCUUUACGCUUUUGCAAUUUGGAUUUAGCUUGCGAUUAAUAAGGGCCCUAGACUUACCUUAAGUUGUGUUGUUAAUGGGGCAUUACGAAAGGUCAUAAGUAGUUCAACCUGGGAAACUUGAAAAGAGUAACGACGAGGUCGGAAUGUUAUGGAACAUUAGUCCAUUGGUCAUUUUCAUCUCAACCUUUUUAAAUGUGGAGACAACUCCAUUUUUCAGAUGUUAAUACUCGAUAAAAGUGCUUGUGAGAUAGAUUAUUCCUCGAGCAAUGGCCAAAUAUCAAACCCUGAGGAUCGAUUUUUCUAACAAGAAAGGGAUGAUGUUGUCAAGCUUGAAGAUUUAGAGGGUUUCCGGCAACGUCAAUCGCUUUUACCCUGUUCUGGCGAAUUUUCUGAUUGCCCAUCAGUCACUCAUCAUGAGAAUUUGAUGGCAAUGAAUGGUAGUCUUAUUAGUCACGUUUCUGCCUUUAUCAGUGCAUUUUCUUCGUUCUUUCCAAAUUCUUUAAUGCUUUUUGAUCAGCAUUUUGGAUGUUGAUAUAUACGGUAAUAUUCAGAAGUGCAGAUUGUAAUUAAUCGGUGUGGUGACUAGCUCUAAUGUGAAGGGGAUGUAAAAUUAUUUGAUCAAUUUUAUUUUUCUGGUUUUCCAUGGAAAUGCUAACUACCAAUGUAUGCUGAAUCAUUUCAUACUAAGUCAACGCUCAGUAAUUUCUGGAAAUGGAAUCACCAUAAUCUGAAACUUUACAGAGACAAAGUCUCAAUCGGCAAAGAAUUGGAACCCACCAAAGUUGCGAUCUUGAAAAUCAAUGACGGCAGAGCUUUACUUGAAGGUGAAAAAGUUGAAGCUAUUUUGAGAAUUCUUCGCAACGGAACGGGAGCUCUACUGGAUGGCUCUACUACGAAUGUUCCAGCAUUGUCGGCGUUUUAGACGGAAGCCACUCGCUUGCUCGAAGCAUUGAAACGUUUUCGGUCAAGGCGAGAAAGUGUGUUGGAGCUCGAGUCCGACUGCGAAGAGCUGGUCAACGUAGUGCUUAUGAAGACGGCUCUAAUAGAGAAAGCCCAGCUAUCUUUGGCCCAAUUGUACUUUCUCUCCCUGGCCCAUUGCCACCGGUCCACAAACAAAAUGGCUGAUUGGGCCGUGAAAACCAAACGUAUGAAUGCUCUCCCUCCCUCUUGAGUGGCCCAUCCCUCCAAUCUUUAUGGAAUUAUUUUACGUUUGGAUGCCCCUUUGUUGGGCUUUUGUUUUAAAGACCCCCGGGUUUUAAUUCACGCCAUGUCUUCAAAUUUGAAAGCUUGCCUCGUAUAUUAGUUUGUCUUAAGCUCGAAUUGGUCGACGGUCAAAACACAAGUUCAAAAUUACAUGGAAAGUAGAUGAUCAAGCAAGUCUUAAGAACUAGAAUCUGGAGAAAUUGGACAAAUUCCAACUGAGGUUGUUGACGCAAUUUGACUUGAAAAACUAGAAAACUGAAAUUGGACCAGCAAGUGAACGGAAAGAUUAAUUAAACUGGAUUUUCAUCCCUAUCCUCUUGGGAAAAAGACAAAUAAUUUGUGGUUGAAUCUUUUCAACUACUUCACACCUCGGCACCAAGUUGUCGAAUCGGUGUUUUUUUUAUAACUCAAUAUCUAUAUAAAUGAUUUUCGAUUGAAAUAGUCUCGUAAGCAAGAUCAUUUCUCCAAUCUAAUGAAGUAAAAUAACCUUCACUGCAAUCAUGAUGCCUCCUCUAAUAAAAAAAGAAUAUCCCAUUGAUGUCAAGAUGAAAGCAACAUAAUGACUAUAUAAAUAAAUAAGUUAGCCGACUCGUUUCAUUUAUAAUAUUCAAUUGUUUGUAAGUUAACAUUCUUGUCUUGGUUGAGGUGGCCAACAAUGGUCUUUUUUAUUUAUUUUUUUAAUUUAUACAUUGGCCAGUUUCGACUUGUAGCAAUGUGCUACCAAGUUUUCAGCUUCCUAAGGAAUCGAUUUGUGUUUAGGUGAGGCUUAACUAAGUCAGGUUACCGAGCUCCAUCGUCCAUGCCCAAGGAAGUCACUGGUAUUUUUAUUUGAUUAGUCUAUAACAUUUUUAAUCUUCUCACUAUUUCUUUUCAUACGCAAUAGUUGUGCUCUUUUUCUAGUACUGAGUAAACAAAUAACAAUUCAAAAUGUAAAUAAAAUUGCCAAAAGAAAAACCGAUAUAUGCAACGUCUAGGCCGUACCAUAGGUCUCUGGGUAGUCGCGUCUCAACUUUUGUGCCCAUUGAUCAUUAGAAGAAGUGGACUAAAAAUUCUUCAUCGUAGUUUACUAACAUGAAAAUUGAACAUGCACUUCCUUUUUAGUUAAAUUUCCUUAUUAGUCAAAAAUAAACUCUCAUGUGUCAUGUAAGCCACCAAAGGGCGCCUCAAUUAGCGAAGAUGAUUGAAUCAUUCCAAAGCAUGAGAGAAUAAUGUGACCUUAUCACUUGCCGCGUUAGAUAAUUAUGUUGUCGUCUCUUUUCCCUUUACCUAACCUAUAAAAAACGAAAGCAGUAAUCGAAUAUUCUUUACAUCUAUAUCACUUAUAUUCUCUUUAUGUAUAUAUGCACCGCAGUAGCAUUAAGAUAUAGCAAAUACUUGAUUGACUAUUUAAAAAUAUCGCAAUGGUGGGUUCACAUCCACAUCAAUCAUAUGCAAAUCAAUCACGAAAACAAGCAAAACUAACCAUUUAACAAGAGAUUAUCUUUUCUUAAGAAAUUUUGCCAAACGCGAUAUACAUUAAUUCUUUAAUAUUAAAAAAAAAUCAUAUUUACGUGGCAUCUCUAUUUUGCAAUUAUUGAACAAUAGUAAUGUGAUAGUAUUAUGUUAACAUUGAUAUUUUCGAAAUGACACAUAAUGCAAAUGAGACUAUUCUUUAGAAUAAGAAAUUAUGCUUAAUUAAUCCCAUGAUUGAUAAUGUUGGUUGGGGAGUUGGUUUCUAGCUUAGGAACCGGAGAUCUCCCAUUAGAAUCCCACAAAUGCACGAAAACUGUCUCAAUUAAUGACGCAUCUUCUCAGGGGGGAUUGGGGUGAGGACGAUUCAUUUCAGGAGUGGGUUUCGACUCCCACGGCCUGCAAGGAGGCUGGGCAAAAGUCUGAGAGUGAGUGUUAGAGUAGGAUUAGAGUAGGACCGACCAAAAAAAAAAUAAUAAUAAUGAAGGCAUCUCUAUCUUGCAAUUAUUGAACAAUAGUAAUAUGAUAAUGUUAUGUAAACAUUGACAUUUUCAAAAUGACACAUAAUGCAAAUGAGAUUAUUCUUUAGAAUAAGAAGUUAUGCUUAAUUAAUCUCAUGAUUGAUAAUGUUGGUUGGGGAGUUGGUUUCUAGCUUAGGAGCCAAAUAUCUCCCAUUAGAAUCCCACAAAUGCAUGGAAACUGUCUCAAUUAACGAAGGCAUCUCUAUCUUGCAAUUAUUGAACAAUUGUAAUAUGAUAAUGUUAUGUUAACGUUGAUAUUUUCAAAAUGACACAUAAUGCAAAUGAGAUUAUUCUUUAGAAUAAGAAGUUAUGCUUAAUUAAUCCCAGGAUUAAGAAUGUUGGUUGGGGAGUUGUUUUCUAGCUUAGGAACCGGAGAUCUCCCACUAGAAUCCCACAAAUGCACGCAAACUGUCUCAAUUAAUGAAGGCAUCUCUAUCUUGCAAUUAUUGAACAAUUGCAAUAUGAUAAUUUUAUAUUAACAUUGAUAUUUUCAAAAUGACACAUAAUGCAAAUGAGAUUAUUCUUUCGAAUAAAAAGUUAUGCUUAAUUAAUCCCAUGAUUGAUAAUGUUGGUUGGGGAGUUGGUUUCUAGCUUAGGAACCGGAGAUCUCCCACUAGAAUCCCACAAAUGCACGCAAACUGUCUCAAUUAACGAAUGCAUCUCUAUCUUGCAAUUAUUGAACAAUUGCAAUAUGAUAAUUUUAUGUUAACAUUGAUAUUUUCAAAAUGACACAUAAUGCAAAUGAGAUUAUUCUUUAGAAUAAGAAGUUAUGCUUAAUUAAUCCCAUGAUUGAUAAUGUUGGUUGGGGAGUUGGUUUCUAGGUUAGGAACCGGAGAUCUCCCAUUAGAAUCCCACAAAUGCACGAAAAUUGUCUCAAUUAACGAAGGCAUCUCUAUCUUGCAAUUAUUGAACAAUUGUAAUAUGAUAAUGUUAUGUUAACGUUGAUAUUUUCAAAAUGGCACAUAAUGCAAAUGAGAUUAUUCUUUAGAAUAAGAAGUUAUGAUUAAUUAAUCUCAUGAUUGAUAAUGUUGGUUGGGGAGUUGGUUUUUAGCUUAGGAACCGGAGAUCCCCCAUUAGAAUCCCACAAAUGCACGCAAACUGUCUCAAUUAACGAAGGCAUCUCUAUCUUGCAAUUAUUAAACAAUAGUAAUGUGAUAAUAUUAUGUUAACAUUGAUAUUUUCAAAAUGACACAUAAUGCAAAUGAGAUUAUUCUUUAGAAUAAGAAGUUAUGCUUAAUUGAUCCCAUGAUUGAUAAUGUUGGUUGGGGAGUUGAUUUCUAGCUUAGGAACCAGAGAUCCCCCAUUAGAAUCCCACAAAUGCAUGCAAACUGUCUCCAUUAACGAAGGCAUCUCUAUCUUGUAAUUAUUGAACAAUAGUAAAAUGAUAAUGUUAUGUUAACAUUGAUAUUUUCAAAAUGACACAUAAUGCAAAUGAGAUUAUUCUUUAGAAUAAUAAGUUAUGCUUAAUUGAUCCCAUGAUUGAUAAUGUUGGUUGGGGAGUUGGUUUUUAGCUUAGGAACCGGAGAUCCCCCAUUAGAAUCCCACAAAUGCACGCAAACUGUCUCAAUUAACGAAGGCAUCUCUAUCUUGCAAUUAUUGAACAAUAGUAAUGUGAUAAUAUUAUGUUAACAUUGAUAUUUUCAAAAUGACACAUAAUGCAAAUGAGAUUAUUCUUUAGAAUAAGAAGUUAUGCUUAAUUAAUCCCAUGAUUGAUAAUGUUGGUUGGGGAGUUGGUUUCUAGCUUAGGAACUAGAGAUCCCCCAUUAGAAUCCCACAAAUGCACGCAAACUAUCUCAAUUAACAAAGGCAUCUCUAUCUUGCAAUUAUUGAACAAUAGUAAUAUGAUAAUGUUAUGUUAACAUUGAUAUUUUCAAAAUGACACAUAAUGCAAAUGAGAUUUCUUUUUAGAAUAAGAAGUUAUGCUUAAUUAAUCCCACGAUUGAUAAUGUUAGUUGGGGAGUUGGUUUCUAGCUUAGGAACUGGAGAUCCCCAUUAGAAUCCCACAAAUGCACGCAAACUGUCUCAAUUAACGAAGGCAUCUCUAUCUUGCAAUUAUUGAACAAUAGUAAUAUGAUAAUGUUAUGUUAACAUUGAUAUUUUCAAAAUGACACAUAAUGCAAAUGAGAUUAUUCUUUAGAAUAAGAAGUUAUGCUUAAUUAAUUCCAUGAUUGAUAAUGUUGGUUGGGGAGUUGGUUUCUAGCUUAGGAAUCAGAGAUCCCCCAUUAGAAUCUCAAAAAUGCAUGCAAGCUAUCUCAAUUAACGAAGGCAUCUCUAUCUUGCAAUAAUUGAACAAUAGUAAUAUGAUAAUGUUAUGUUAACAUUGAUAUUUUCAAAAUGACACAUAAUGCAAAUGAGAUUAUUCUUUAGAAUAAAAAGUUAUGCUUAAUUAAUCACAUGAUUGAUAAUGUUGGUUGGGGAGUUGGUUUCUAGCUUAGGAACUGGAGAUCCUCCAUUAGAAUCCCACAAAUGCACGCAAACUGUCUCAAUUAAUGAAGAUUAUUGAAUCAUUCCAAAUCAUAAGAGACAGUAGGACCUUAUCACUUACUGCGUCAAAUAAUUUUGUCCUUGUCUCUUUGUGCUUCCCCUAACCUAUAAAAAAAAAAAAAACGAAACGAGUAAUCGAAUAUCCCCUAUAUCUAUGUCACUUAUAUUCUGUGUAUAUGCAUUGUACUAUCAUUAAGAUAUAGCAUAUAUGUGAUUGAUUCUAUUUAAAAUAUCACAGUGGGGGUUUCCAUCCACAUUAAUCAUAUGCAAAUCAAUCACCAAAAGAAGCAAAACCUACGAUUUUAUUGAGAUUAUCUUUUCUUAAAAAAUUCUGCAAAAUGUGACACACUCUUAAUCUUUAUAAUAAAAAAAAAAUUAUGUUUACGUGGCAUCGCUAUCUUGCAAUUACUGAACAAUGGUCAAAUGUGAAUAUAGUCAUUUUCAAAAUGAUGCAGAAUGCAAAUGACUAUUACUUUUUAAAAAAAAUUAUGUUUAAUUAAUCCUAGAAUUGAUAAUGGUGGUUGGGGAAUAGGGGAUUUCCAGCUAAAAAAAUUAAAAAUCCCCCGUUAGAAUCCCACGAAUGCAUGCAAAUUGCUCUGGAUUAGAGCCACCUACAUAGAUCGAAGGGUUGAGCUUAACCAAUUCACGAUACUUGUAAGAUAUUUCAUAAGCUUCUAGGUAGACGGGUGUCCAUGCCUAUGCUCCUAGAUAAUAUAUAUAUAUAACGCUUACUUUAGGAGAAUCCGCAUUUUAUACACUAAUUAUUUUAGUAUAUACUUAUUCCUCAUAAACUAGGUAGUUUUUAUGCAAAAGGUCCUUAUCAACUAAAUUACAAAGAGUACAUCCCCCAUGACUUUAAUUAGUAAUAACACUUUUAUUCAUCAGAAAUUAGUCAUAACAUUUUCAAAUACUCCUAAUAAAUAUACAUAUUUAGGACUAAUUUGACAUUCUAAUCUAAAAAUUAUGGUUGGUAAAAAAUUACAUAACCUCAAUAUUUCCUUCUGAACUGACUUUUUAUUUUUAUUUUUUUAACGGCCCUUCUCAUGUGCAAGCCAUAUCAGGAAUAGCAAGUGAAAUUUGACAACUGAGAGUGGACUCACACACGAAAGGGGCAAGUAGAACUUGACCAUAAUACCAUGUUAGAAAAUCCAAUCCAAAGAUAUAUAAAGAGCAUAUAAACUUCAUUAUCAUGCAAUGGGGGAUAUUUCAAUACAUGCCAACCAAGGAUAGAGCAGAGCCCCUCUAAUGCAUUUGUAGCUCCUAAUGAGCUUCACAAAUCAUGAUAUGCCGAAAUGCCUAUGAGUUGCUCUUUGCUUUUCUUCAAUAUGUUCCUUGAUGAAUCCACCUAGAAUAGUCUGCAAGCAUACAUGUGUGAACAGCCCAGAUGUGAAUUUGCUUAAGUGGAAUGAGAAAUCCAAGGAUAAAUUUGAAGACAAAGAGCAAGAAGGUAAUGAUAUGAGAUUAAAGAAAUCUAAUGAUAAAUUUAUUCUUUUGAAAGUGCUCAAGGAUGAAAGAAAUUGUUGGCUGACAUUGUCUCCUAAUACAUGUCAUUAGGAGACACUAUGUAGACGAAAGAAAACCUGCAAGAAGUGGACAUCAAAAGCUAUGACAUGGUAGUGCUAGCGUAGAGCCGCUCGUGGGGAUUAUUCAAGUGACUAUCUUUACUCCAUUUUUUUAUUUCCUGGCUCAUGUUACUCCAAUUAGGAUACCCCAUGGACACAUUUAAAAAAAAAAUACCAUGUCAUGAUUUCCCACACAAACCAAAUCAACUUGAAAAGCACAAUAUUGAGUCAUAACAAUUAAUGCGUUGGGGAACUCCUUGCCUGUAUCAGAUCCAUUGGGCAGAGGAAGGAUCCAGGUGGACCCUCCCUUAUUUCCAGGUGCGACAGCCUCCCCAUCACUUCGUUGGCCGGCAAGAUUGGCCGCGCUUGCCCCCGUUCAACAACCUGCAGACGCUGUAGCCCCAGAUCAAGCAGGUGGUCCAGCAGUAGCAUCCGAUCAAGGCUCCUUCCCAAAAAGAAUAAAAAUAAAUACUUUUAAUGUAAAGCUUGUGGUUAUAUAUGUUUCUGAUUUGUGAUAUCACGUCAUUAUAUCAUGACUGGAUUACCUGUGAGUUUCUUUUCAUUCAAUAAGUAAAGGUGUCGUGCCAGGGAAAUUGAAAAUAAAAUAAAAUUGAAGAGGCUCUUCUUUUUGGUGAGAAAACGCGAGAUGGUUCUCUACUGCCUUUGUUUCCUUUUAUUUUGGUCCUUGUUGGAUAGGUCUAAGGACAAUCUAGGAGUUCUAAUUUCAAUGGAAAGCUGUUCUUCUUAGCACAUUUUGCCGAGCCGUUCUCUUCUCAAGGUUUGUCAUAUUUUUGGCACUUUGAGUGAGAUUGAAUUAUUCACUUAGAAAGUUUAGGUGAUGGCAUCUCAUUUAGAAUGAGUACUGCAUUAUCAGUAGAUAGAUACAAGGGUCUAAGUUAGUCCAAGUAUAAUAUGUCAAGAAGAUUAACAUGAUCAAAAUUUGGUAUUUACUCCACAAAUCAAUAAUACGGCCAGCGAAUCAAUGUUUGUCCAUUAGCAGUCAAGGAAAGGAUGGAGAAUUAAUAAAUAUUUGUCCACCAGCCGUGGAGGAAAGGAUGGUUUACCAAAUCAAAGUUUGUCUAAUCACGAAUUGUCUAUGAGCAAUACCAGUUCGUCCAUUAGCAGUGGAGGAAAGGAUGGUUUGUCUAAUCACCGUUUGUCUAAUCACCAUUUGUCUCUGAGUGGUGCAUGAAAGAAUGGAUAUCUAAUCAAUGUUUGGUCAUAAGCAGUGGAGUAAAGGAUGGAGACAUAGACAUUGGUGAUGGUUACUGGUUAAGGAAUCAUCCAUCUCUAUAUGCGUAUUAGAUGGGGACUAGGACAUCAGGACUAGUACCUAACCAAUAUUUGCAUCACUCGAUUGUUUAUGUGUCCACAUUAUUGUCUUGAUUGAGGUAACCGAGAGUGGUAUUUUUUUUUUUGGCUGAUAACGGCUUGGCACAUUUUGCUACCGAGUUUUCAGCUACCCGAGGAACUGACUCGUGUUUAAAUUAAAAAUGGGUUUGUAAUGCAUAUUGAGACAAUUAUUACACAAGCGGUGAUUACAACAAGCUAAAAUUAAGUUUCAAGUCAUAAUCUCAUUUUGACGAUGACAGACUAUAUGAAGUACUUAUUACACAGGAGACGAUUCAAGUCAAAUCAUUUUGGUACUUUAGUAGCUAGUAAUCAUAUGAUUUUUACUUUCUCUUUAAGCCACUCGGUGUUAAAAAAUGCAAAGAAACCAAGCUAAGAGCUUGCAUACCAUGUAGAUAUUACUUGAUUGUUGAUAAGCUGCGGGUCGAAGGGUCUAAAGAUAAUUUCUCGAAUUGCUGGAAAAGCAAAUGCUGAAGCAAGUCUUAAUAAUUAUAAUCCAAGCCCUCUUGUAUGGAGAAAUUUGACAAAGUCAUUCGAGAAGAAUAUACGUGUAAAUGACACAGACUGUUAAUAUGGACCAUCAAAUUAUAAAUAAAUUCGCUGCUUCCAUAACUAAGGAAAAAAACCCAAAAGAUAAGGGGGUGGCUAGCUAUGAUUCUGAAAUUUCAUUGGAGAUCUAAUGACUAAUAAUUUUAAUAUUAAAUAGGAGGUACUGUUGUAUUUUGUUAUAUUAAUAAGAUAUUUGAACAAAGAAGAUUGCUUUACUUUGUCAAAUUGAACCGGUAGUUUGAUAAAACAUUAUUUGAGCUAUAGAAUCAAACCUCUCUAUUCUAUUCUUUUUCUUUUCUCCAUAUAUUUACAUUCCGAGCUUGAGCUAAUAAUCAAAAUGAGUUGAAUAUAAAUUUGGGGCAAACCUACAAAGACCCGCAUAAUAUAUUAAGUGACUCGAUAGAACUAGGCACAUUCUUACCUUAAAAAAAAAGUAGAACUAGAGCACCAUAAAUUUGAGUUGAUGACAUGCUGCUAACUUACAUGCCAUGUAUGAUAAUAAUAAUAAUUAAAAAAACAAACGUACAUAUCACGUGGGUGUGGCCUAUCCUUAUUUGUAUGUUCUCUUCUAAUAAUUACACUUUGUUCUUUUGAUGAUAACAAAUUGUAUAAAGUGCUUAUUACACGACGAAUAAUGUAACUCGAAUCAUUUUGGCAAUUUUAACAACUGAUAGUUAUUCAUUUUUCAUACUUAUAAACCACUUGAUGUGCAUGCAAUAAUUUUGGUUUGUUUAUAUUUCCAUUUUGUGGCCUUGAUUGAGGUGACUGGUCUUUUUUUUUUUUUUUAAUUUUAAUUUUUGGCCAAUGACGACUUUUGCUAUUAAGGAAGAAGAUUUCAUGGUUUACUUGGUAGUGGAACCAUGCUUUAAAUUUUAAAAAAUGCAAAGAAAUCCUACAAACAGCUCACCGUCGUUACUUUUGAUUGUUUAUAAUUUCACGUCGUGGUCCUGACGAAGGCGACUGGUCUUUUUCAACUUUAAUUUUUGGCUUAUGCCAACCUGCAAUUUACGGUAAAUGGAAUCAUAUGAAGAGAAAUAUCAUUGACGGCCACAUGCUCAUUCUCAUUAGGAGUCAAACCAUAGUUCGUUAAAUAUCUUAGAGUCCCAAGGCUACUCACUUCUCUUUUCCGACUACUCCACACCAUGCCAACAAGUCGUCAAAUUAGUGUUUGUUUACAACUCAAUUUCUGUACGAUCGAUUAACAGUUGAAAUAGUCUCAUAAGCAUCAUCGGUUCUCCAAUUUAAUGAAGUAACAUAACCUUCAUUCCAAUCAUUGCUCGAGUAUUUUCCAACUGCUCUACAUAAUGUCACCAAGUCAUCGAACUAGUGUUUCUUUACAACUUAGUAUCUAUGUGAUCUCCAAGUAGCUAAAAUAGCCUCGUAAGCAUGAUCAUUUCUCCAAUCUAAUGAAGUGGAAUAACCUUCACUCAGAUCAUUGCUUGAGUCUUUUCCAACUACUCCAUACCAUGCCAGCAAGUCAUCAAAUUAAUGCUUCUUUGCAACUCAAUAUCUAUAGGAUCAACUUUAAGUUGAAAUAGCCUUGCAAGAAUGAUUAUUCUCCAAAUCUAAUGAAGUUAAUGUAACCUUCACUUUGAUCAUUGCUCGAGUCUUUUCCAACUACUCCACACCAUGCCCCAAAUCAUUUACAACUUAGUAUCCAUAUGAUCAACUUUCCCUUGAAAUAGCCUUGCAAGCAUCUGAUCAAGCAAAUGUUGAGGCAAGUCUUAAAAAUUAUAAUCCAAGCCCUCUUAUAUGGAGAAAUUUGACAAAGUCAUUCAAGAAGAAUAUACAUGUAAAUCACAUAGACUAUGUUAACAUGGACUAGCAAGUUGUAAAUAAAUUCCCUGCUUCCAUAACUAAGUAAAAAAACUCAAAAGAUAAAGGGGUGGCUAGCUAUGAUUCUGAAAUUUUAUUGGAGAUCUAAUGACUAUUAAAUAGGAGAUGCUGUUGCAUUUUGUUCUAUUAAUAAGAUAUUUGAACAAAGAAGAUUGCUUUACUUUGUCAAAUUGAACCGAUAGUUUGAUAAAACAUUAUCUGAGCUGUAGAAUUAAACCUCUCUAUUCUGUUCUUCUUCUUUUUCUCCAUAUAUUUACAUUCCGAGCUUGAGCUAAUAAUCAAAAUGAGUUGAAUAUAGAUUUGGUGCAAACCUACAAAGACCUGCAUAAUAUAUUAAGUGACUCAACAGAACUAGGCACAUUCCGACCCCCCCCCCCCCCAAAAUACCAGGAUCGGUAGUUGCUAGAUCUGUUCCCGAGAAAGGGUACAUUUUUUCUAAACUGCAUCCGCUGAUAUCUGAAGAAACUUAUAUUCACCACAGCUCUGCUUUCAUGAAUCAGAAUGCGCCUGAGGUUCACUUAAUUCAUCUUUAUUGGUGACCNNNNNNNNNNNNNNNNNNNNNNNNNNNNNNNNNNNNNNNNNNNNNNNNNNNNNNNNNNNNNNNNNNNNNNNNNNNNNNNNNNNNNNNNNNNNNNNNNNNNCCCCCGGUCCCCAAAAAAUGAAGAACCGGGGGGGCCUUUAAAUCGAGUUGAUGACCUGGUGGCGUAACCAUACAUGCCACGUAUGAUAAUAUAAAAUAAAAAACGUAAAAUGUCACGUGGGUGUGGCGUAUCCUUAUCUGUAUGUUCUCUUCUAAUAAUCACACUUUGUUCUUUUGAUGAAUAGGAAAGAAAUGUCUUAUAUAUAACCGUGCAAAAUGAGAGUGUGUUGUGUUCUCUCCUUCCUUUUAUUCUCUAUCGUUUCUAACACUUCCUUUUACUAGUUUCACGUUUGUCAUGGCCGACCUUUCUUCUGUGGCGGCCGAGAGAAUCUCUCAUAUAUUAAUCAACUUGUCUAUAUUUUUCUAUGAGAAAUUCAGGUGAAGGAAUGAAUUUUAGUGUCUUUUAGCAGAUCAAUUUACUCAUGGAGCAACUUUCUUCUGAUGAAAUGGGGUCCAAAUGGAUGGAAUAUGUCAACAUUCUCCGGAAAAGUUCUAUAAUGUUCUCAGGUUCGAGACCUCGAUAUUGUUUCGCUCUUUGGUUCGAUAAACCCCCGGCCAAGGCGUAGGGAGAAAUGGGCAUGGACUUUGAUGCUCGGCCUCGAGAGCCUAUUGCCCAUGCCCACUUCUCUAGCUUUCCAUGCCCAAGUCACUAACGUUCGCAUAAUACGUCUAAUUAGAAAAAAAAAAAUCUUUUCAAACGAUGGGAAAUAUUUUUCUUUUCAUUUUCAAGUUGCAGCCAAAUAUCACAAAAUAUGGUUAUUUUCCUGAAAAAUGAUUUAUUAGAAAACAUAUUUCAGAAAUUAUCACUUUUUUUUUUUUUGUGAAAUAAACAGAGCAUAAGAAUUAAUGAUUUUUUUUUUUUAUGAACAACUCUGUCAAGUUUAUGCACACAUUCGAAUUGUACAAAGCAAGCUUUUUCUCAUUCAAGUCCAUCAAACCUCUCACCAAUAAUGGGGACUCAGAAUAUCAUGAACCAUUGAUAACCUUAGGAAUCGUUAGGAAAAAGAAUGGCUAGAGAACAAAUUUCUUCUCCUUCAAUAGAAUUAGUUUCUUGUCGUGUCAUAUCUAUUCCACAAGCUGCACUCUCCGUUCUCAAAUUCUAAGCACCUUUUUUCUCCCUCCAAAACUUUCAUGUUCAUUCAGUAUGAAACAUUCAAAUGGCUGCUUAAACAAACUCGUGUCGGCAUAAAUAAAGAAGGCUUCAGUCGUGAGUUUAAUGCAACGCUGCAAAGACAUUACACUUCUUUUUUGGGUCAGAAAAGACAUUACACUUUCGAAAGACACAUUUGCCUAGAAGAAAACUUGAAAAGGAAGGAGCACUUCAUAGACAAAACCAACAUUAUCAGCAUUAUAACUACGUAAUCCUGAUUGCUUCGUCUAAGAUUUCUGUCUUGUGACUUUCAGAAUCAUCUCAAAGGCCGUCCAACCUGGAAAGAAGCUUUUUUACAGUAGACUACUGAUUUGCUGUAUUUGAAGAAGUGAUGUAUUCCUGAUGUCUGAGCAGGAAACUCAUGGAGUGAAUGACAAAGAUCCUGGCCAAGACAGAUCUACUGAACAACAAAUCCUAGCGGGAGUGCUGACCAAGUACAGCGUAAACGGUCUGUGUUAUGGUGAGAGCUAUGAUCAAGAAAGCAGAGAAAACCGAUAUGACUGACCAUGGACUGGAAAAGUAAGUGCGUAUCAUGCUCGCCCAGUUGCUGUAGUAGUAUGAUUCCAGUUCCUCAAACUGCUUGGACAGAUAACAGUCACAAACAUUAAAAUCGAUACUCUUCCCAAGCUUCUCGAAUAAAUUAACCACAUACUGGUCAUGGCGAGAAAGUGUUGAGAUGAUCCCAUCUGAACAGAGAAGUGAAACGUCCUUCGACUGUUUGAUGAGGCAGUGCAUGAAGGAGACAUAAUCGGUGAUGUGCUUGGAGCUGUUUUCUUGGCAUUUUUCUAGGGCGAUGCAGUUUAUUAGCACGGUGGUCAUGAAGUCAUCGAUGGCGAUGGGUGGUAUCUCGAGCACCCGUUUCGGGAAACUUAUGUCCAGAAAGCUCUCUGUCUUCUUGGACUUGAAUUUGAUUCCGGAGGGCCUAAGCUGGGUCACACACGGUAUGGACUGAUCCGAUGGCCGGUACUUCUGUUUGCGGUCGCAGUGGACUGGGUUUGUCUCGGGCACCCCUUUUCGGAAAAUUAUGCCCAGGGAGCUCUCUGUCUUCUUGGACUUAAAUUUGAUUCUGGAGGACCUUAGCUGGGUCGCACACGGUAUGGACUGAUCCGAUGGCCGGCACAUCUGUUCGGAGCCGUGGUGGACCGGCUUUCUCGGAAAGAGAGUAAAGUUAAAGAGGUCAAGUAAAUGCUUGUAUGGUCGACUCUUAAUUUCAUCAUAAUGCCGGUAUCGUAGAUCCGUAUACUCGUCCUGAAUCGCCAUGGGUCUUGGAUAGGCCUGAUUGAACACUCUCAAAGCAAGCAUGCACAAAAAGGGAGUCUUCGCCUCGACCCUUGUUGAUCUCGAGAAGUCAAAGAGCGACUUGAGAAGGGAGUACGGAACCUGGUUUUCGAGCUUCAGUAAGUCCCUGAUGAGAGUCCGGAUUAUCAACGGCCGUGUAAGGAUGGGGUCCUCUACGUCAAUUGCAUGGCCGCUCCUAAAAAUGUGGAGCAUGAAUUCCACAACAAAGCAACCGUCGAGUAGCAUCAUCUCCACGAACUCACUACUCGACAUACCCACAACUUCAUCUUCCGAGUAGCAACCCCGGGCAGAGCUUUCUUGAUCUGCCACUAAUUUGAUGAGACUCUCCUUGUCGGAGUCCGUGCGACGAAGGAAGAUUUUGAGGAAGAACCAUUUGUGCUCUUCGAACUCGCACAAAUGCUUCUGGCCCCUGUGCAACGGGCCUAUAGAUACAAUCUCAGGCUGUUCAAACUGAUGAUUGAUAUCGCGAAGAACCAGAGGGAUCCUAAAGAUGGUGCAAGUCGAGGCCUGGGCUUGGAAGGGUCUCACCUCUUCCCCUAGUCGGCGCCUAACGUGAUCCAAGCAGCAAGUUACUGCAUCAUCGUGCGAUCCUGCGUCAGCAUCACCUGGGCCGGCUUCAUCAUAGUUUCUCGGGGGUGAAGUUAGUGCUUUAGGCAUAAAUUGUUCCCGGUUUGUCAUAGACCCGAGCUGAUCCUCUCCAGUCGACUCUGCAGCGGAUCUGGCUGUUUCGUUUUCAACUGCUGGACAUUUAACUUCCUCGAUCUCGACUGCAUGAUAAUCCAUGACACGCACCCUCUCUCUGUCCCUGAAACAAAAUUAAAACAUAGACCGUGCUCCGAAGCUGAAUGAAAAUUUAAGAUCAAAUUUGACCACCCAUUUCCAAGAAAUUACCAGCACAUCAACAAAUAAGACAAUAGCAAGAAUGAAAUGCUGAACUGCUUUUGUCGGAGGGCGUUUCGCCCCUCUUCCUUAAAUUUGUGAUAAUGCAGUUAAAGCAGCAGACUUUAGAACUAACCACGGAAGAUCGGACAGCGCUCAACGUCAGACCAGAAAUUUGAUCUUUGAGAUUGAUGCUCAUCAAGUGUGAAAGAGUCUUCACGCAAAACACUCGUGUUCCCAAAGCAAGAUUUGGAUUGUUAGAGGUCGGCACUAUCUAGUCUCCAUUUAUUUGUGCUUCUUCUUUUUGGUUUUUUGAGAUAUAUGCAACAACAAAAGUCCUAAAACUUAUAAGGAAAGUGUAAUUGAGUCCUAAAACUUACAAAACGUACAAUUAAGUCCUAAAACUUGUCAAAAUGGUUCAAUUGAGUCCUAAAUUUAAUACCGUCAGAUUUACUAACGAAAAUUGCUGACGUGGUGCUGAUAUCAUAUUUUAAAUUAAUUUCUAUUUUCCAUAUGGAUUUUUUAAAUUAUUUUUUAUUCAAAAUAUUUAAAAUUAGUUUUAAAAACUAAAAAGGAAAAAGUAAAAACUGUCGAAAAAAAAAAGAAAAGAAAAUGGUGCCACAGCCAUUGCCCAUCGCCGGAGGGGCUGACGACCGAAGCUCCACUAGUGCCUUUUUUUUUUAAUGGUUUUGUUUUGUUAAAUAAAUUUAGCUUUUCCUUUUUAUUUUUUAAAUCUAAUUUAAACAAGAAUAAAAAUAAUGUUAAAAGCCGCGUGGAAAAUAAAAAUUCAUUUAAAAUGCCAUGUCAGCAAUUCUGUUAGUAAGUUUGAUGGUGUUAAAUUUAGGACUCAAUUGAACUAAUUUAAUACGUUUUAGGAUUUGAUUGAACUUUUUAUAAGUUUUUGAACUCAAUUGUACUUUCCUUAUAAGUUUUAGGACUUCUGUUGCAUAUAUCUAUUGUUUUUUCGUUUUCAAAUUCUUCUCGAGUUGGGACAUAUUUGGGAGAUGUCAGUGAAGAAAGCAAAUCGACCCAGGCCAACUCUAAGUGUGUGUCUACAUACAUACAUACAUACAUAUAUAUAUACAUAUAUAUAUAUAUAUAUAUAUAUAUAUAUAUAUAUAUAUAUAUAUAUAUAUGCCAGCACCUAAUCAAUGUUAGUUUUACUCUAUUCACCGUGAGUCCACAUUGUGGUCAUCCUUAAGGCGACCAGUGCAGUCUUCUUUUUAUUUUUAUUCUUGGCCAGUGACAACUUUGGACAGUCUACUACCAAGUUAAGGCCUUGAGCAAAUUAGGUGAUCGAGCUGUUCGAUAAAUUGAUAGCUCUUUGACACUCCCUUCCUUCGUCCUUUUUUGCACUCAAAUCUAUUCACACUUCUUCGUCUUUUAUUGUUCUUGCUCUGUUUUGCUCUUUCUUAUCCUUGGCACAACCACUCUUCUUCAGUGUCUGCUUCUCUUUUUUAUCACUCUCUCUGUCUUUCUGUUUUCUCGCUCUUUCUUUCUAUUACAAAAAUCAAAGAAAUGGCGAUCCACUUUGUCGUUCCUAUUGCAAGUCGUCUCUUGGAGUACCUAGUUAAUCCGAUCAAGCGUCAAUUUGAAUAUGUGAUCUCCUCCGAGAGCUACGCUCAGGAUCUUCAAAAGGAAGUAGGGAAGCUCGCGUACCAGGCUGAUUCGGUCGACAUUGCCGUGGAAGAGGCCAAAAUAAAUUUUCGGGAUAUCAAGAGAUCUGUCACGAACUGGCGAGAAAGUGUUGAGAAGGCCUUGAAGGAGGCGAGAGACUUGUUGGGCAACUUUGAAGAGGCGAGCGAGACUUGCUGCUACGGGACCCUUCCCGACCGCAGUCAUUGCUAUCAGUUCAGCAGAAAGGCCAUGGGCAAAAUCGAGGAAAUUCGGGGACUCACUCAGACCGGCAAAGGAUUCAAGGAAUUGAAGGACGUUUCCUUCAAUCCUGAUCUGGGGAAUGUCAACUCGACGACAACUGAGCUUACGGAAGAUGGCGUCUUCGAAUCCAGAGCUUCUAUCAUAGAGAAAAUCGUGGACGCUCUUGCCGAUAACAGAACUAACGUCGUUGGGGUUUACGGGAUGGGUGGGAUCGGCAAGUCCAUCCUUUUGGCGGAUGUUGAAAGGAGAAUAAUAAAAGAAAGGUCGUUUGAUUUCGUCCUUCAGGCCAACGUGUCGAUGUAUCCAUACAUCAAGGAAAUUCAAGCUGAGAUUGCAUACAGGUUGGGGCUUCGCUUGAAGAUUACACAGAAUGUCAAAACGCGAGCAGAUCGUCUGCGCAAGAGGUUGCAAAAUGAGAAAACGAAGGUCCUCAUAAUACUCGACAACCUAUGGGAGGGGCUCGACUUGAAAUCAGUGGGCAUUCCUUGCGGAGAUGACAACAAAGUCAUAGGAUGCAAGUUGUUAUUGACGUCAAGAGAUCGAAAUGUUUUACGAAGGGAUAUGCACUGCGACAGGGACUUCCAUCUUGAUGGGCUGACGAAGAAAGAGGCAAAAAAAUUGUUCGAGAGGGCGGUGGGAGACAAAGUUCAUGACGACGACUUCAGACCCUUGAUGGAAGCAGUACUCAACAAAUGUGCAGGUGUUCCUUUCCUAAUUAUUGCAAUGGCAAAACGUUUUAAAUACGCUGAUUUAUCUGAAUGGAAGGACACUUUGUUAAAAAUCGAGAGGUCUAAACACGACGGGUUCAAUGAGAUAACAAAUGUGAUGUUACAAUUAAGUUAUGAUCGUUUAAACGAGAAGGAGAAGUCAUUUUUACAACUCUGUGUGGUUUAUGGCGGCUCGGAGCCCUCUCUUGAAAACUUGGUGAAGUGCGGUAUUGAUUUGGGGUUAUUUCAAGAAGUUAGCAGCAUGGAAGAAGCUAUAGAGAGUCUGAGCUCUGGGAUCCGUACUCUUAAGGCCUGCUCCCUUCUGUUAGAGGAUGGAGAAGCUGAUGGUUUCAAGGUACAUCCCUUGGUUCGUGAGUUUGUGAACGCUGUCGCUCUAAGAGAUCACUGUUUUCUUAUGUUGAAUGAUAAAGAUAAGGAGGUAAUGGAGUAACUCGAGACCAAGGGCACUUAUUGAGAAACUAAUUAAAGAAAGUUUACAGUUUCAAAAGUAUUUAUUGUCCGUAUGUUAUGCACAAUUUGUGCCUUGGAACUUGGAAUUUUCAAAAUAGAGGAUACCAACAGCAUUUGUUCAUAGCUUUACCAAAAAACAGCAUUUGUUCAUAGAGCCCUUGUGAUUUAUUAUCAUAAUAACUCAUUACUAAUUCUUGUCAUUGUAAUCUUUUUUAGAUCAUUACAUCUUUUCAAUUAUAAGAAAAGGAUAAUUCAAUGGCAAACAAUAGCAAUGAGAAGAUGAUGUCAACCGCGACCAUGAUAAUGAUAGUAGUCUUUUUUUUUCUUUCUUUCUUUCUUUCUUUUUCUCUGAUUAUAAUUGGUCUACUCUCAUCCUAGAACCGUUUAUCUUGUUUCGCAUCUUCUAAUGAAGAUGCCCCACUGCCCCUAAAGAAGUUGGUCUUGCUCGUCUUAGUCCAAAAAGCGGUUUGAUCUAUCCACGUUAUUUUAAUUAUCUUAUGCUUAAUUGAAUGAUCGCUCAAUUUGAUUUCUUUGCGAUUUCCCUUUUUCUAGUUACUUAAGCAUUCCUCUAGUUAUUUAGUUUUUCUUUAAUCUUUCUUUUUCGCUUAGAUAAAUUAUGGUGUGUUAGGUUGAAAAUUACGAUAGAACAUAGCUAUGUGCUGUUAUCAUCCAUGAUCCGUUUAAAAGGCAAUGAAGGAGGCUAUAAGCAAAAUGAAAUUUUGGACAAUUCUAUGAUAGUUGUAAGUGCUUGGGGUAUACUUGAAAGCCUACUGUAAGUUUAGCUCUUCAAAAAGUCAACCGUAUAACUUUUCACUUUUGUCAUAAACUUCUUCUUCAAGGUCAUUGGAAUUUUUCCCUCAUUUUUCUGUAUUAAUUUUGGAAAUUUUUAAUUUACUUUAGCUCAUUUGGAGGUCCAAGGAUGAUUUGACUAAGACAAAUAAAAUAAAAUAAAAAAUUACACUUUACCGUUGAAAAUCGCAUGUAAAGGGCUUGCAAAUUGUGAAAUGAACAAAGGAUUGAUAUUCACAAUCAAAUAAAAGUUGAAGGAAUUUAUGUACAGAAAUUUACGAUUAAAUGUGUACUGCCCUCAAAGUUCAUGAUGGGUUUUCUGCAAUUUCCCUUCAAUAUUUUCUAAAUAUAUGAAUUUUAUAUUGAUGUAAAAUUAGCAUCAUUGAAGAAUGAGGAAACAUAUAAGUGUUACAAUUAAGGUUCCGUUUGUUUUACAGAAAAUGUAAUAUUUCUGAAAAAAAAAAUUGUAAAAAUAUAUUUCAAGAAAAUGACAAUAUUUUCAUGUGUUUGGCCAAAAACUUGAAAAUUAACCGGUAAAUAUUUUCCAUUGUUUAGUAAAAUUUCCAAUUUUUAAUAAUUAUUUUUAUUUUUAUUUUGUUUUAUUUUAUUUUUUUCCUUCCUCCACUAGUCGCCAACCCUUAGCGACCUCUCUUGUGGCCGGUUGUGAUGCCUAGCAACCGGUGGAGGAAGGAAAAAAAAAGAAAGAAAGAGAAGAAGAAACUAUAAAAUUAUUAAAUAAUUCAAAUUUGGUAAUAAUAAAAAAUUAUUAUUAAAAAUAUAAGAAAAUAUAAGACAAAAUUAUUACUAAAAUGAUGGACCUCGGCUCAGUCUUAAUGGACUCAACCUUGCUACCAAGGGCUUGGGAAUGAGCAUUGAGGUUUCUAUGCCUAAGCACAAAGUUUCUGGAAAAUGAUUUUUGAUUUUUUAAAGAGGAAAUCUUUUUUUAGAAUUUAAAUGUUAGUAGGAAAAGGUUUUUUGUUAAAUAAGAAAACUUUUUCCAUUGACUCAACUUCAUCAAACCAAAUGCUCGAAAAUGAGGAAAAUGUUUUUUGCGGAAAAAAUGAAGCCUAAGGUUGCAUUUGGCAGUCAAGAUAAAAGAUAAAAUUCAUCAUAUCCUGUGUUCGGUGCUUACUCAAAAUGGGCUAAAGUCGGAUAUAAGAGGAAUAUAGAUUGAAUAAAAUUAUCCCAUGAUGAGGUGAGAUAAAUAUGGAUAGGAUUUCUAAUAUCCAUAAUAAGAAUAUCAUUUUUCUCGAAUAUCAAGCUUCUUAAAUUAACAAAAUAAAAAUAUAUUUCAAUAUAAAUAAUAUUAGAAUUAUAAUACAAGAAAUUCAAAAUAACAAAAAAUAUUAUUUAUUUUUUAAUUUAGGAUUUUUUUUUUUUGGGUGACCUAGGAACCCAUACAGCCGGCAGCCGGCCAAUAAACCUGGGGGGACAUGUAAGCGGGAGGACCCACCACCCCCGGCGUCCCACUUAAGACCCCAAGCGACCGUGAGGAGAUUUGAACUCCUCCCCUUUGUGAGGGGGAGAGAGCCCAAACCAUCAUGGCUACCAAGGCGGUGGUAUUUUUUAAUUUAGGUUUGAUACCCUAAAAAACCUCCAAAUAGAUACACACAUGACAAAUUUACUAAAAAUUAAUUUUUUCAUCAUAAAAAAUCCAAAACUGGUACACUUUCAACAAAUUUACGCUUAAAUUGGUACAUUUGUGAUAAAUUUACUCUAUAUUAAUUUUCGUUAAAAUUUACUGUAAAAAACUAAAUUUGAUGACACAUGACAGUUAAUUGGUAUAUCAAUUUGAGAUUUUGCUCUAUGUAUGUCAUAGUUGUACCAUUUUUAUGGUUUCUUGUGGUAUUAAUUCACUUAAAUGGAGAGUAUAUUUAUCAUAGAUGUACCGGUUUAGGAUUUUUGGCAGUCAAACAAAUUAGUUUGGGGUAAAUUUGUCACAAGUAUACCUGUUGGGGUUUUUUGUGGUCAUUCAGGGUAAAUUUAUCAUAGAAAUACCGGUUUUGGGUUAUUUGUGAUCAAAAAAUUAGUUUAAGGCAAUUUUGUCAUAAGUGUACUAGUUUAAGAUUUCCAUAAUAUUAACCUAUUAAUUUAAUCUCAUUUUAAUUUAUAUAGUCGAAUUUAAUUCUAUCUUAUAAUAUAAAUUCAAAAAAUUAUUAAAUAUUUUAGGUAUUUUGAAUUUGAGGUAUAUUAGUAUAGUUUGCUAUUUAAUAAAAUUUUAUUAGAGAAGAUGUAAAGGGAAAAAAGAAAUAAAAAAAAUAAAUGAAUUAAAAAAGAGAGGGAAAAUAAAAUAAAAUAGGCAAGAGUAUUGUGAUAGAUUUUGACCAUCUCCGUUUGUGAAUUUUUAAAGGCAUUUAUACUAAUAUGCUAUUUAAAGCAAACAAUAUACAUGAUAUGAUAUAAAUAUAUCCAACUUUAUUAUUGUAAUUACCAAAUAUUAAAUAGGGCAUAGUAAAAUCCUUAGAUUUCAUACCAUAUUCUAUCCAAUUAUAUCCUAGUCAGAAAUCCAGACGACCAAUAGAUAAUGAGUGCUUGUUGAGAGAGGAGUUCUAAUAUUGUUGAACAUGCAAAAUGGACAAAAGUAGCAUUAAAGCUUUAAGAUAACUCCAGGACAAUAACUCUAAUUCUUUGUACUGAUGUAGUUAAUGUAAACAAUAGAUAGAGAUAUGUUAGGGGAAAUGUGCCAUAAGAGUCCCAACAUUAUCAGUGGUGCCGGUUAGGAAUUCACAUUGAUUGAGAUGAACAUCAGAGUGUUAUUCUAAGCCAUUCUCAGUGUGGAUCUGAACUCAGGAUUCCUUAUUAUACCUCCUUUGCUCUUUAGUUGCGAAUCAAUGAAAAGUAGACGCUUUUCUGUUUAAGUUUUCUUCUUUCCUGCGCUAGUCUCAAUUCUGUAACUUCCACUAUGGAAAGAAACUCUCAAAUUUGGCGCUUUUUUAAGGUUUCUGGUAGCUCCACCUGAUAUAUAGAACUAAUAAAGUGUCAUGAUGUCAAUCGGACGCUCCUUUAGCAAUCCGUGGUCAUACGAAGUCAGUUUCUAUUUAAAUCACAUUUUUUACGUCCUUUUCAAAUUCUUAAAGAUUUUAUGCAAGUCUUUUUGCAUGUUGGUGCGACCUGUAGUUUUUAAGUUUCUUUAGAUAUGAAGAGCAUUUAAAAUUUAUUCCGUCAAAUUAACUGAAUUUUGAUUUUCAUGAUAACAGUAAUUUUCAAUCUACGCAAAAAAAUUUCAUAGCCAGUCAAUUAAAGAGAUGCUCCCUCCAACGUCUAUUUUAGUUCUCUUGUUUCACUACAGGUGAGAUCGAACAUUCUACAUGCAAAGCGGGCCAUUCUAAGCCGGAUUUUCAUGGUCAUACAAUUUCAAAGCCUCUCACAUCUCCUGAAUUGGCCAGCGAUGUCAUACCAUACCAAUAGCUCUACAUAACUAUGCGCUUUUCCCAAAAAAAUCCACAGAGACUUCCUCGCAUCUCCAUGAUCUGUAUUUCCAGAGUCUUUAUGCUAAUCUGCUGUCACUAGAUUCAUGUAUAAGAAACAGAUUCCGCAAAAUAACGACGUUGCCUAGGAGGGAGCUUGAGGAGUCCACCAAUUUCCUACACCGCAGUAUGACAAAGUGAACAACAUUUAAUACUCAUGCAAAUAAAUAUGAAGCAAAGCAGACCCAAAUAAAAAUUCAUUCAACCCCUAGAACACCAGAGCACAUAAGUUAACAAAUCUAUUUCAAUAUGAUUGAAUCAUUGAUUAAUUUAAAGAAUAGCGACUAAGCUGUGCAACAAUAGGUCACCGAUCAAAGUUUAUGAGUGCAAAGAGUGUCAUUGAAUAAUGAAAGCAAAUUACUACUUAGAAACGAGACGAGCAUGUCCAGUCUGCGAAUGAUUGCUUACCCUUUCUGAACAAAAAAAUGCAGGAAAAGAGGACGAAGGAGACAUGAAGCUUUCUGAGGCUAAUACCAAACAUUUUUAAGCUAAUGAAUUCAGUGUAAUAACAAUGGUCCGAUCCUGCACCCCACAUACAAAUAAUGAAAAAGCAGAGUAAAAGGAAAAACUUUGGUUGAAGGAACAUGCUAGGGAUGUUACACAGUUCAUGAGCAAACUUUCAUUUCACACACCACAAAUGAUUCUUGCAUCCAAUAGAUCCAAAAAGUGAUGAGUGAUCUAACAAGGCCAGAUUCGGUAAAGCUUCCUGUUAAUCCGAUACUCAAACGAUCGAAUAUCGAAAACGAACACAAAAAAUAUGCCCAGGAAACAUGUAACACUGAUCGAAAGAUAUAUCACGGAUACGGACUUACCUUGUUUACCACAUAUUAAGUACCGUUGCAGUCUUAGGGGAAUCCUUUGAAACCUUGGAGUUCUAUUCGUCAAGAGGGAGGAUACUACUUCAAAGGGGAGAAAAAAUAGCAAUGCCUAUUUUCUCUAAUACGCUACAGGUAACCUUAUCCCCUUUUAUUUUAUUUUUUUAUUUUUUAUUUAUAGGCCCUUCACAUACGGGGCGGGUUUUGGCCCAACAUGGGCGAACGGGCUUAACUUGGUCCAUCAAAUAAACAACCUAUCACUUCCUCUAGAUGGAAUGGCGACGUCUUCGCAGGGCUUGGGAGUGUUGGGCACUGACUCCUACUGCAGCUCCUCUUGGAACGAUAGGUACUAACAUAUCGCUAGCCAACGUAGAGUUCAUCUUUGCAGUAGAAUUUAUAACGUGUUCAAUUGGCUGCAAAAUCGAAUGUCAUAAACUCUACGCCUGAGACCAUAGAAAGCAGCGUUGACAUCAACUCCAAUGAAACCAGCCUCUGUGAUUGUAGUAUCAACAACCCUCUCAAGUCCACACUUCUGCCGAAAAAAUGAACUUUUAGACACAUUGAAAGACUCUAGGAUCUAUAGACAUUUCCUCAUCAAACGCAGCAUCCAGAGUCUCUCACAGUUCUUUUUCUCGCAGUAGCAUAACUAAAUAAGGGCACUUCUGCGGUACGACUCUGUUAUAGAUAAAGCCAAAUAUUUGUUUUUAGGGGCUUUUUUUGUCUUUUCUAUUAUAUUUCCUUUUAGGUUAAAAGUGGUACCUAUAUAUUAGCGAUGGCAAAACCCUAGCCGUCAAGACGCUGAAAAAGAAAAUAGAGAGGCAAGAAAAAGAGAGAAGAAAAAAGUGAGUUUUUUUUUCUUGAUGAGAGUUCUCAAUCUCUUUGUGCCCUGAUCUUAAGAGAAUAUCGUCGUUGUAUUCCAACUUUUUCCGAAGUCUAGUGGAUUCGUAGAGUGCCUCUACGCGGAGACGUAGCCCAGGUUUGGGUGAACUUCGAUAACAAAUUUUCUGGCGUGUUCAUUUGAUUCUGCCCUUUUAUUACUAUAUUUUGUCUGGUGAAUUGUUUGCGAGCGUUAUUUUUCUGGAAUUGACGUGUGAUUUCGUAACAACUGGUAUCAGAGCCUGGGUUGGCUAAUCGAAAACAUCGAGGGUUUUCGGUGACGUUCGAUUGAAAGCAAACAGGAUGGCAGAAGAUAAAAUCAGAAUCGAUAAGUUCAAUGGAGAGGAUUUCGGAUGGUGGAAACUACAAAUAGAGGAUUAUCUUUAUCAGAAAGAUCUCUAUGCACCACUUGAGGGUUGGAAACCCGAGAUGGCGGAAGUGGAUCCGACAACAGAAGCCGGAUGGAAAAUUCUUGAUUGAAAGGCGUUAGGUGCGAUUCGUCUAGGGUUGACGAAAAAGACAGGAUACCACAUCGCGAAAGCAAAAACUGCAAAAGAAGCCAUGGAUAUUCUAACGAAUAUUUUUGAGAAGCCGUCCACAUCAAAUCAGGUAUUUUUGCUGAAGAAACUAGUUAAUAUGAAGUUAUUUGAUAGAGGUUCUGUGGCAGAGCAUAUUAAUAGUUUCACGCAAGUCACGGGUCAAUUGGAAUCCGCAUGCAUAAAUUUAGAUAUGAAGCUUCAAGCUUUAUUAUUUUUAUGUUCUCUUCCAGAAAGCUACAAUAUCGUAGUGCAGGGAAUUUCGAGCACCAUGAAUGAUGAUUUAACUCUUGAUGAUACUGUGAGUAGUAUCAUGGAUGAAGAGAUGCGAAGGAAAGUCUCAGGUGGAGAUAAUUUUUCUGUAUCUACAUCUUCAACGGCACUUGCAGUGGAGAACCGUGGAAGAAGUAAAAGUAGAGGAAAUUUCAGCGGUCGUGGUAGAUCACAAUCAAGGGGUAAGAGACAGGUUGCAAAAGAUGAGUGUUGGUUUUGUCACAAAACCGGACACCGGAGGUUUCAGUGUGAAGCCUACAAAAAGAAGCAGCAAGAUGAGAAUCAAGGUGCUAAUGUAGUUAGCGAUAAAUCUUUGCUAGAUAACUUGUGUUUGUCUGCAGGGUUUGACUUGACAACAGAUAAAUGGUUUAUUGAUUCUGGCGCUUCUUUUCAUUGCACCUCACAAAGAGACAUAUUUGAUGAUUAUGCCAGUGGAAAUUUUGGACAAGUGGUUGUGGGAAACGGUCACAUGUGUCCAAUUGUUGGGAAAGGAACUGUGACUAUGAACAUCUCAGGUGGAGGACGUCUAGUUUGCGUGAAACUAGGCAUAUUCCGGAAUUAGAGAAAAAUCUGAUUUCAACUAGUAAACUUGACCAAGAAGGUUUGGUAAUAACCUUUGGCUGCAGAGAGUGGAAGAUAACCUCAGGGGUAAGAGUAGUAGCAAAGGAAAAGCGUACAUGUACACUUUACCUUCUCCAAGGAGACAAUAUUAGUGAUAUGGUUGCAACUACAAUGGCUACAGGUAAUUUAUCUACUCUUUGGCAUUAUCGUUUGGGACAUCUUGGCGAAAAAGGUGUAAAGCAAUUACACUCGAGAAAAUUACUCCCAGGUUUGCAAAAAGUUGAGUUAGAUUUUUGUGAGAGUUGCAUUUAUGGAAAACAGAAGGCUGUUAGUUUUCAAUUGAAUGGGCGACAAAAUAAAGGCCAGAAGUUAGAGUUGGUUCAUACUGAUGUAUGGGGACCUGCUCAGGAACUCUCUUAUGGUGGUAAGAGAUAUUUUGUCACAUUCAUUGAUGAUGCAACAAGAAAGACUUGGGUCUAUGCUCUUAAAGAAAAAUCAGAAGUAUUCGGGAUGUUCAAAAUGUGGAAGACCAUGGUAGAAAAAGAAACAGGUUAUCAGAUUAAAGCUUUGAAAUCUGAUAAUGGUGGUGAAUACACAAGUAAAGAAUUUGCAAAUUAUUUGAGCCGAGAAGGCAUACAUGGGCUAAAGACUGUUCCUAGAACUCCUCAAGAGAACGGUGUAGCUGAAAGAAUGAACAUGACUAUUCUAGAACGUGCGAGAUGCAUGAGACUACACGCGGGUCUCCCGCUACACUUAUGGGCUGCCACAGUUGAUGCAGUUGUUUAUCUUAUCAACAUAAGUCCAUCUAGUGCAUUGGAUAGAGAAAUACCACAAGAGUAGUGGUCAGGUAAGAAGAUUAAUUAUUCACAUCUAAAGGUGUUUGGUUGUAUUGCAUAUGCUUUGAUUGACAUAGAGGAUAGAAAAAAGCUUGAUGCUAAGUCCCAGAAGUGCGUCUUUAUCGGAUACGGUGGCGACGAGUAUUGCUAUAGGCUUUGGGAUUAUAAGAAUAACAAAGUUAUCCGUAGUCGCAAUGUGGUAUUCCAUGAAGAAAAGAUGUACAAGGAUCGUCAGACAGAGACAGAGCAUGAGAAGGUAGUACAACCAGAAUAUGUUGAACUAGACACAAUGCCCGUGAAGAUGUUUCCAGUAGAUCAAAGUUCACCUGAAAGAGAGGUUCAAGAUGAGCCUAAUAUCAGUGAAGAGGUAGUUCAAGAAGAACGCAAUGAUUCGGAGCAAACGAAUGACCCUGAAGUACCUGUCUUGAGAAGGUCUACACGUGUGAGAAAGCCAAAGGUAAUUUUUGAUCCAUCAGCUAAUACUGUUCUAAGCCAUGUCUUAUAUACAGAUUCGGGGGAACCAGAGACUUACGAUGAGGCAAAGGUAGACACGUCUCACUUGCAAUGGGGGUGUGCUAUUAAAGACGAGAUGAGCUCGUUAUUUCAAAACAAAACUUGGGAGUUGACCAAGUUGCCCACAGGUAAAAAAGCUUUAUUAAACAAAUGGGUGUAUAGGGUUAAGAAUGAAUCAGAUGGUAGUAUUAGAUACAAGGCGAGACUUGUAGUCAAGGGCUUUUCUAAAAAAGAAGGGAUCGACUACUCCAAGAUAUUUUCACCUGUAGUGAAAAUGACAUCAAUUAGAGUUCUGCUAAGUAUAGUUGCAGUGGAGGAUCUUCAUCUUGAGCAGAUAGACGUAAAAACAACGUUUUUACAUGGUGACUAGAUGAAGAAUUAUACAUGGCACAACCUAAGGGUUUUGAAGUCAAAGGUAUGGAGCACAUGGUAUGUCGCUUGAAGAAAAGCUUGUAGGGCUUGAAACAAGCUCCGCAGCAAUGGUACCUAAAAUUUGAUGGUUUCAUGCAAGAAAAAGGAUUUGUACACUGUGAGUCUGAUCACUGUUUAUUUUCGCAAAUAUGAUGAUGGUGACAUUGUGUAUCUAUCUUUAUAUGUGGAUGACAUGCUUAUGGCUAGUUCCAAUAUGAAGAGAAUCGUAGAAGUGAAGAAGAUGUUAUCAUCACAAUUUGCUAUGAAAGACUUGGGAUUGGCCAAGAAUAUUUUAGGCAUGAAAAUCAUCAGGGACAGGAAAAAUAAGAAAUUAUGGUUGUUGCAGGAAGACUAUGUGAACAAGGUGUUAAAGAGAUUUAACAUGGACAAAGCAAAACCGGUUGCAACUCCUCUAGCGAGCCACUUCAAACUUUCCAAGGAUAUGUGUCCAAGCACUCAAGCUUUGAAAGAUGAGAUGGCGGUAGUUCCAUAUGCAUCAGCAGUAGGGAGUUUGAUGUAUGCCAUGGUGAGCACGAGACCAGACAUUGCACAAGCAGUGGGAGUUGUAUAUGCAGAACCUAAGUAGAGAGCAUUGGAAUGCAGUUAAAUGGAUAUUGAGAUAUCUAGCAAGUACUUCCAAUUACUCACUUUGUUAUGGUGGUACAUCUCUAGAGUUGCAAGGUUAUGUAGAUGCAGAUCAUUCGGGUGAUCGAGAUAGUGGUAAGAGUACCACUGGAUAUGUCUUUACAGUUGCAAGUACAUCAGUGAGUUGGGUAUCUCAACUACAAAAAGUAGUGGCUUUAUCAACAACAGAGGCAGAAUAUGUAGCGAUUACAGAAGCCUCCAAGGAAAUCAUGUGGUCACAAGAUUAUAUGGAGGAGUUACAUCGAAAACAGCCAGUCAGUACACUAUGGAGUGAUAGUCAAAAUGCAGUGCACUUAGCAAAGAAUGCAGCUUAUCACUCAAGGACUAGACAUAUCAAGAAGCGUUAUCACUUUAUCAGGUCAGCAUUGAAAGAUAAUGAAUUAAAGCUACACAAGAUUGAUGGCUCAAAGAAUCCAGCUGACAUAUUGACCAAGGUAGUAGACAGAGAGAAGCAUAUUUUCAGAACUACUACUAUUGGUAUUACUCCAUGUUGAUUGAUGAGGAGUAUCGCAGAGGCACAAGUUUUUCAACUACUAUUUUUUGAAGAAGAUGGAUACAAAGUUGCUUGGUGCUUUGGUAUAUUUGUCUUCAAGUGGGAGAUUGUUAUAGAUAAAGCCAAAUAUUUGUUUUUAGGGGCUUUUUUUUUUUGUCUUUUCUAUUAGAUUUCCUUUUAGGUUAAAAGUGGUACCUAUAUAUUAGCGAUGACAAAACCCUAGCUGUCAAGACGCUGAAAAAGAAAAUAGAGAGGCAAGAAAAAGAGAGAAGAAAAAAGUGAGUUUUUUCUUGAUGAGAGUUCUCAAUCUCUUUGUGCCCUGAUCUUAAGAGAAGAUCGUCGUUGUAUUCCAACUUUUUCCGAAGUCUAGUGGAUUCGUAGAGUGCCUCUGCGCGGAGAAGUAGCCCAGGUUUGGGUGAACUUCGAUAACAAAUUUUCUGGCGUGUUCAUCUGAUUCUGCUAUUUUAUUACUAUAUUAUGUCUGGUGAAUUGUUUGCGAGCGUUAUUUUUCUGGAAUCGACGUGCGAUUUCGUAACAGACUCUUCUUCAGCCUUUCUAUAACUUCGUCAUUCCAUUGAACACCUUCCUCGCAAACUCAAUUCCCUCCUCCACAGCACAACCGAUGGCAAUUGAAUUUCUGAAGACAGCGAGAGAAUUGGGAGAAAAAACAAGAUCGAAAUAGAAGUCAAUAGAAAAUUUUUGAAUGAAUCGAAAUUCAUCCUAGAGUUCAGCACGAGAUGAUGGAUUUCGUCGUCACUUCAGUGUCACGAGGAACCGUCUCUAGAGAUCUCUUGAAGCAACGAUCGUCGGAGAUUUCAAUCGACAGCUUCACUCCUUCAUGGUUUCGUAGAGAGAGAAAGAGAUCCUUCUGUGAACUUUAGACACCUUGUUCUUUUCUCCUAUCUCUUUUCUUUUAUUUUUAUUUUUGUUAUUUCUUUUUUUUAUAUAUUUCUUUAAUUUUUAAUUUAUAAAUAACAAAAGUACAAUUUUAUUAUUUUCUCCCAUCUCUUUUCUUUUAUUUGUAUUUUUGUCUUUUAUUUUUUAUUUUACUAAUCUUUGAUUUGCCCGAUAAAACUAAUGCUACAGUAAAAAAGUUGAAGCCAUGCUCCAAUUUCGGAAGGGCAUAACUCUAUAAUUUGUCCAUAAGUGAAAUCCAUUCAAUUAGCACAUUCCGACUGUGCCAGUCCAACGAUGCAUGCUCCAUGGUCGAAGCAUUGGGCAUCACCAUAAGAACCAUGGUUGUAGUGGUCUAAUCCUCAUGCCCCGGUGUUGGAUUCAAAAUAUCUUUUGGUUCUGCCCAAUCUAGGCAAUUUGGAUUCCAAUUGAAGCUAGGAUUGCCCAUAUCUGUCCGAUUCGUAAUACAGAAAUAACAUCUCAAUUUCCUUCUCUCUGGGCCACUAUCUUUUUUCCCUUUCCCGCAGGUUGAGGUCUUGACAUUUCUGGUCACUCUUCUCUCACCCUCGUCAAGUCAUCUAGUCCCCACCAAGCCACCAUUACGCUAUCGUCGAGCCCCCACUAUGCUCGCUUGGUCAAUCUCUCUCUCUCACUCUCACUCCACUACCCUCGGCCAAAAAAAGAAAAAUGAAAAAACGCUUGCUCUCCUCUUUAUUGUGUCUUACUACAUGUUAUCAAAGUACAAAGCAAGCGACGCGACUCACACUUUUGCUCGUGUCAUGGUCUCUGUCAUGCUCCCCCAUCUCCAGCACUAGCUUGGUUCUUACUAGCCUGUUAUGAUGUUGUUGACACCUAAAUUUUAACUAUUUUUAUUUUUUUAUUAGGGUAACAAUGAUAUUUAACUCAUCUCUUAAAAAAGGUUGUUAAAAAAAAUAUUUUGUGGAGGAAUGAGAUUUUGAAGGAUUUUCGGAUAACGAAGUCAUAUCAAAAGUUGAGUGAAUUGUCUUUAAAAAAUCUUCAUAAAGAAUUUGGGAUUAUUUUCUUGUUGAGCACAUCUCUCCGUUUCUUCGAAUGAUCCUUAGCGAUUAGGUCAAUAUAUGCAAAUCUUCGUAGGUUGAACAAACCAGGGUUUUCUCUGUAUAAAUAGGGGGGCUUUUUCGUUUUCUCUUGGUCAAAAAAAGAAGAAAAGUCAAAGGAAAAGAGAAAUUCUUUGAGGCUUUCUUCUGCUGGCUUCGAAAGUGAAAAGGAGGGUGCAGAAAGUACAGAGAGAAGAGACAGGUGAGUGACGGAGAGGGAGAGAGAGCCAGAAAAGAAAAAAAGAAAAACAAAAGGAAAGGGAAAAGCAGAGCAGAAAACGGGGGACUGUUAAUCGUCUUCUUCAUGUAGCCGCUUCCCCCCCCCUCCCCCCGCCUUCCGCCUGCAACCCUUGCGCCGUCGCCGCGCCACCGCACCCUUGUGCUGUCAUCGCUGCGCCGCCUGCGUCCGGUAGCCAGCCUCGGAUGCUCCGCCACCGCUCCUCGCCCCGGAAGACGCCGCGCCCGUAACGCCGCCUCUGCUCUGGUUCUGCUCGCAAAACCGCUGACCACCGCCUCGAUUGCAGCCCAUCGCCGACGUCAGCAGCUCCUGCGACCUGCCCCGAUUACGACUCCAGACGCCGCGUCCCGCCGACGUUUCGUCCUGCUCGCUCGUUGCUGCCCGAGCUGCCAGCAGUCGAAGCCCGCGCCGUCUCCCUCGCCCGCGAGCUUAUGUCGCUGGUCUGCCCAGAAGCCGUGAAGCCGCUGACCCCCGCCGCGCUCACACCGCCGAGCACCACCGUCGCUACCCCUGAUCCGAGUCUACUGCUGUCCUCGGUGCGCCAUCAGCUACUGCCCGAGCGAUCUCCUGUUUUGUUGCAGGUUUACCUUUGCCGAACCUUGUCGGAGCUCCCACAUCCGUGCCCAUCACUCUCACCGGAGCCCUAAAUUAGCCAUACCGUCAAGCUGAUCUGCUUUCUGUUGCAGCCCAUUGCGACCCGCAACGCCCAAGCCUGCCGCGCCCACACUGCCGAGCACCGACGCCGAUCCACCCAACGCUGGCCCUGCCCGUCCAGACCCGAGCUUCCCUAGCUCCGCUCCUGUGUUGCUGCCGUCGCCGGUUCACCUUGGCCGGAGCCUCCUUUGCCGAGCCGAUUAGUCGAUUCCCCUUGGAGAUACACAAGCGAUGCCUGGAAAAGAAAAACAAAAAAAAAAAAAAAAGGAAAGAAAAGGAAAUUAGGUAGUUUUAUUUUCUUUUUCUAUUUACUUUAUUUAUUUAUUUCUUUUAAGUUUAGUUGUUAUUGUGAAAAUUUAAAGUGAUCUUCAUUUCAUGAAUUCAAUAGGCAUUAUCCGCAGGGUCUUCCCCAUAAUUAUUGUAAUUAUUAAUUUGAUCCGUAAGAUAUCGGAUCAUUUUUUUAAUUAUAUUAAUUUUUGGGGUUUGUCGAUAGUAUUUUAAGUGUUGAAUCAAUAUAAUUAUUAAUUUGAUCUGUAAGAAUUCGGAUCAGAUUUUUAAUUAUUUUGAACUCUUUGUCAUGAUAAUUAGGGUUAUGAUAAUCGUUAAUUUGACCUGUGAGACAACAGGUUAUUUUUUCGAUUAUUUUAAUCCUUUAUUUGAUUAAAUAUCUUGAUUGUUUAGAUUUAGUUGAUAAUUGUUUUUUUUUUUUGUGAAACCACUAAAAAAUCUAAAAAAUAUUUGAAUUAGGAUUCAGUUUGUUUUAGAAUAUUUCUCGUUAUCUUGCAUAUCUAGAAUAUGGAUUUUAUUCCGAAUUUAGAAAAAUAUAAAAUAAAAUAAAAAAACAAAAAAAGUGCAUCCAUUUAGGUUGUUAGUUUUAUCAUUAUUUGAAUUGCAUGUGAAAUUUUAAUUUUGAAAUUAAUAUAAAAACACAAAAAAAUCAUCAUGCAUAUAUCAUGUUGAAUUAGGGCAUUCUUUGCACGUCAUUGCAUAUUAGAUAAAUUGCAUGUUAGAUUAAGAUAAUAUCUUAGUUUAAAUUAGGAUUUAAUGUGACUUGAUCCUUAGUUUAAAUUAGAAUUUUAAUCUAGCUAGAUCAUUUUUGCAUUUUUAAAUAGAAAUAUCAAAUGCACGUCAUUUAGUUUUUAUUAAUUAGAAUUUCCUCGUCAUUAGACUAAGUCAUUUAAUAAAUGUCGCAUGACAUAUAACCCGCAUACUAAAUUGUAUGUUGCGUGUCAUUUUAGUUAAAAUAAUUUUGUAUGUCAUUGCAUUGCAUUACCUGUCAUUAAAAUUAGGUCAUUUGAUUAAUUUACAUUGCAUAUUUAAUUGAUGCAUUUCUUUAUUUUCAAAUUUCAUGAAAAAUAUAAAAGAAUUAGAAUGAAUUCAUUUCAUGCUUUUAGGAUAGAUUGCAUGCUUAUUUAGGACAUACAAUUUUGGUCAUGUUAUCAUAUUAUUUCAUGUUAGAAUAGUGAUAUGCAUCGCAUAAGUCGUGAUUUUCAUUAAAUAAAGUGAAAAAAAAAUUGAAAUUGCGUGUUAAUUAGAAAUCAUAUCUAGGGUUGCUGAUGUGAAUUCUGAUUUAACAAUGCAGAUGAUUUUGUUGCUUCUAAGUAUGAUUUUGUUGCUUCUAAGUAUGUUUUGCAAUAUUUAAUUGCUUUCUUGAGUGUUAAAUUGGUGGUAUGCGCACAUGUAUGAUCACCUCACAUGUUAGGAAGUUAAAUUAAAAUCAAUUCAAUUGCCAAACAUUUUUGAAAAAUGAAAUAAAAAGGUACCGAAAUGGCACUAGGAUAGUCUAGUGUAACCAAGUCCCAAAACUCAUAAAUCUCUAGUUCGUAGGAGUAAAAGUAAAUCUCAUGUUACUUUACUUGGGUUUCUAAUCGACCCACCAAAAAUAGAUUAGUGGCGACUCCUGAUUGAAAAUCAUUUGCAUGUUAAGAAUUCAAACCUAAGUCGCAAAUUGGUAUGGGCUUGGGAGAGCCCGAGCUAAGCUUAAAGACUUAAUAAUCCAUUAACUUAGUUUUAGGUGGUGAACCGAAAAAAUUAGGUCGCGACGGCUUGGCAACUCCGCUGGGGACUUGUGUUAAAACACUUAGUGGACUUAGGCCAAUUUUUCUUUUUAAAAAUAUUUUUUGUUUGGCAGCGAGGAUCUCAGGUAUGUCCCUAACAUUUCUAAGGUGUUAAAUGUUCUUGCAUAUUGGAGGUAUAAGGGGAGUAGUCUUUGCUAACCCUUGUCUUGCAGGGAGGUGUUGAGAUUAAUGAUUUAUUUUUCCUGAUUAGAAGUGUUGUUUGCAUUUAAACUGUUGUGCAUGCUUUAUUGCUUUAGCACCACACUAUUUGCACACAAAACCUGUGGUCGGACCUAGGCUGCGAUAGGACUUCUAGGAUGGUGUUGAGAAGGAUACUUCCUCUAAAGCGAGAUUGCUAUGUAGAGGUUGACAUUCUCUUCCCCGAAAUUUCUUUCAUGGUGUCGAAUGUGUUUGUCCAUAUCCGCGAGACUGCGUGGUUAUUAGGUAUUCCAUUCGACUGAGCCGGAGUUAGGGGGACCUGACACGUUAAUACGAGACUGCAAUGGUCAAAUCAUCCUUUUAGCUCCACCUUGUUAAGCCAUCUAGACAGAAAUCGAGCCUCACUUUUCAUACAUGUGUCUAUGCGGUUGUCAUCCAUUUCCAGUAAAAGUAAGUUGUUUAAAUUCUUUGCAAUUUAUUUACUUUAUUGUAAUUUUGUCGGUCCAUGGGGGAUUAGGUUUCGUCGUCAGUCUUGUUUUAUAUGCGAUGGGGAAAACUGACAUACAAUUCAUUUCUACUCCAAAAAAAAAAAGCUCAAGAAGUGGUUGGAUCAGUUGGAUCAAGAUGGCCAGAGAUAUGUGAAGGCCAGGAUCGUUCAACUUCUCCCACUGUUAGAGAUCAACGUCCACUCUGGUGUGAUUCAGGCACUUCCUCACUUCUGGUGUCCACAAACUUCCACCUUCAUAUUUGGUGAGUUUGAAUUAACUCCAACACUUGAAGAAUAUAGUGUCGCCAUUGGAAUGCCCUUGGAAAAGGAACUUGUUAGACCGCCUAUCGGUAUAGAUUCUAUUUCUGAAUUAUCACAGUUUUUAAAAAUUAAAGCCGAAAAAGUGAGGAAGGUUGUUAAAGCCAAUUGCUAUACAUGCCCAUUUUCAUUUUUGGAAUGCUGUUUUUCAAACCAACCAAUGACUUUAAAAGCUAAGAUUUCAUGUAGCAUUUUUUGGACUAUCGUUUUCUAUCGAAAAAUGCAUUNNNNNNNNNNNNNNNNNNNNNNNNNNNNNNNNNNNNNNNNNNNNNNNNNNNNNNNNNNNNNNNNNNNNNNNNNNNNNNNNNNNNNNNNNNNNNNNNNNNNNNNNNNNNNNNNNNNNNNNNNNNNNNNNNNNNNNNNNNNNNNNNNNNNNNNNNNNNNNNNNNNNNNNNNNNNNNNNNNNNNNNNNNNNNNNNNNNNNNNNNNNNNNNNNNNNNNNNNNNNNNNNNNNNNNNNNNNNNNNNNNNNNNNNNNNNNNNNNNNNNNNNNNNNNNNNNNNNNNNNNNNNNNNNNNNNNNNNNNNNNNNNNNNNNNNNNUAUGGCAUACUAAAUGGUUUCAAGUUGAGGAGGCUCGUUUCUCACACAAGCAUGAUGAGCCAAUUACGUUGUUGGGCUUUUCUAGUGCAACUUCUUACUAUCCUAUAGGGUGGCUCGUCAGUACAAAGCUCUUCAAGAAAUUCCUCUGCCACUCAAAACAGAGUUAUUCCAAGUUCGUUUUAUUCGAGCAAACUAUGACUACUUCAAGGAGAUCCGGAUGAUCAUUGUUGCAUGGAAUGAAUGCCACCUACAGAAGAUUUUGGUGCCCAAGAGACUAAAAGGCGAGAAGGAGAUUCACCAUCCGUCGACAUUCUACAUCCAACAACAUUGGAUUUCUGCCGCCCUACGUCCAGUGGUCCCUGAUGUGACUAAGAAGCCAACCCAAUGAGCACAAAUUGAGCAUCUUAAGCGGAAAGUGGAAAUGAUUGAAGCGGAAAAUAAGAAGUUUCGCAAGGCGUUGAAAUCCCGAAAGCAUAUAAAAUGAGACGUCUUGAAUUUUGAUUCUUAGUUCAAUGUUUAGGGACUUUGAUUUCUAGCUCAAUGUUUUCAAUUUUUAGAUUAAAUGUUUAGGGACUUUGGAUUUCAAUUCUUAGUUCAUUGUUAGGAAACUUGGUUCAAAUUUCAAAUAAAAUCAGGUGAUUAGACCAUUGUCAUGAGCCAUUUUUCCUAUCUUGUCAUUGGUUCUUACAUUACUUUUAUCCGAUUAGGUGAUAAUGGAUCCUCCACGUUCGCCCAUCAUUACACGAUCGAGAGCAAAAAUGGCCGACCAAGCCGAAAUGCGAGAUUGUAUGUCUGUCGUAGAAGACCAACUCAAACAGUUGCUCACCUCUAUGCAACUUAUGACAACUCAAAUGCAAUCUCUCCAAGUGAAUCAAACCCUUGCAUCCGCUCUCCCCGAGAUUGUAGUCCCAAAGCAAAUGAACAAGACUCAAAUUGAUGAUGACGACACGCCUGAACUGGAGGAUGACCCACUGUUUGUCACUACCAAAAAGGUUAAGCCCGAUAAUAUCCCUAAGGUGGAGCAGGAUGAACGCUUCACCAAACUUGAAGAGAAACUGAAAUAAUUGCAAGAGUCGCGAAGUUCACUUCCAUUUGACUUGUCAGUUUAUGAGAAAGUCAAGAUGCCGAAAAAUUUUAAGAUGUCGGAGUUCGAGAAAUACGACAGUAUUUCAUGCCCAAAGGCUCAUUUGCAGAGGUACCACGUACGCAUGGCCUAGUAUGUCAAGAAUGANNNNNNNNNNNNNNNNNNNNNNNNNNNNNNNNNNNNNNNNNNNNNNNNNNNNNNNNNNNNNNNNNNNNNNNNNNNNNNNNNNNNNNNNNNNNNNNNNNNNNNNNNNNNNNNNNNNNNNNNNNNNNNNNNNNNNNNNNNNNNNNNNNNNNNNNNNNNNNNNNNNNNNNNNNNNNNNNNNNNNNNNNNNNNNNNNNNNNNNNNNNNNNNNNNNNNNNNNNNNNNNNNNNNNNNNNNNNNNNNNNNNNNNNNNNNNNNNNNNNNNNNNNNNNNNNNNNNNNNNNNNNNNNNNNNNNNNNNNNNNNNNNNNNNNNNNNNNNNNNNNNNNNNNNNNNNNNNNNNNNNNNNNNNNNNNNNNNNNNNNNNNNNNNNNNNNNNNNNNNNNNNNNNNNNNNNNNNNNNNNNNNNNNNNNNNNNNNNNNNNNNNNNNNNNNNNNNNNNNNNNNNNNNNNNNNNNNNNNNNNNNNNNNNNNNNNNNNNNNNNNNNNNNNNNNNNNNNNNNNNNNNNNAAAUGACCAAGACAACACAACUACUGCGUCAUCAUUUGCCCAAGCAAUAUAGAAGCAUUUCUCUCUCCUGGGUCUCCAUCCCAAGUGCUGACAAUCUCCGAAAGAAAGCUUUGCUUACUAGUGAACCAAAACGUCCCAACCGCGAAAACAUUCACGGUUAUGACCCGACAAAGAAGUGUGACUACAUAACGGUGAAUUUGGGCAUUUAACUGACGAAUGUUUCACCCUCAAGCAUAAGAUCCAAAAUCUCUUGGACACAAAGGCCUUCUCAUUUCAAACUGCUCGGCCAAACGUCUAGAAGAAUCCGCUACCGGAGCAUGAGGGUACAGUGAAUGCUAUCCUAGAACCUAAAGUUAGACGGAUCAAGAACUCGAAGGUGCGUGUGGCAGAUGCCUACAAUGGACUGGUGAGAGCUGGAUAUUAUUCAGAUCAAGAAGAUGUUCCCCCAUCAUUGAUGAAAGAAAGAGUUGCUAGAAUGGUGGAUGAUGGUAUCAUUAUGUAUGCUGACCAUAACUGCAUAGUUUUCACUAUUUCUCAUAUCAUUAUCAAUUAGGAGGAAGAGCAGGCUGCUCUCGAUGAUAGUAAGGAAGAAGUAGAUCCGUCACUCGCAGAUAUGCCCCCGCUAGAAGAUGCAACUAAUGAGGAGAUUGUGAUCGAGAUGCCUCAACCAUAUGAGUAUGUCAACAAUAAGGCAGUGCCUUGGUCCUAUGAUUUAGAUGUUGACCUCGUUACAAGGUCUGGUUGAACUUAUACUCAAGUUAGUGCUCAACCUGCAAAGCCUAUCACUGACGAAGAGGCUAAGGAAUUUCUGACUGUGAUUAAAGCAAGUGAGUAUAAUAUCGUCGAUCAGUGACGAAAUAUGCCUGCUCAGAUCUCUUUGCUCGAGCUCUUCCAAACCUCCUCUGUGCAUCAAAAGUCAUUGAUGAAAGGUGCUAAGUGAAAUUCGUGUACCCGAAAACAGUUGAGGCAGAUAAGCUGGAGGAUNNNNNNNNNNNNNNNNNNNNNNNNNNNNNNNNNNNNNNNNNNNNNNNNNNNNNNNNNNNNNNNNNNNNNNNNNNNNNNNNNNNNNNNNNNNNNNNNNNNNNNNNNNNNNNNNNNNNNNNNNNNNNNNNNNNNNNNNNNNNNNNNNNNNNNNNNNNNNNNNNNNNNNNNNNNNNNNNNNNNNNNNNNNNNNNNNNNNNNNNNNNNNNNNNNNNNNNNNNNNNNNNNNNNNNNNNNNNNNNNNNNNNNNNNNNNNNNNNNNNNNNNNNNNNNNNNNNNNNNNNNNNNNNNNNNNNNNNNNNNNNNNNNNNNNNNNNNNNNNNNNNNNNNNNNNNNNNNNNNNNNNNNNNNNNNNNNNNNNNNNNNNNNNNNNNNNNNNNNNNNNNNNNNNNNNNNNNNNNNNNNNNNNNNNNNNNNNNNNNNNNNNNNNNNNNNNNNNNNNNNNNNNNNNNNNNNNNNNNNNNNNNNNNNNNNNNNNNNNNNNNNNNNNNNNNNNNNNNNNNNNNNNNNNNNNNNNNNNNNNNNNNNNNNNNNNNNNNNNNNNNNNNNNNNNNNNNNNNNNNNNNNNNNNNNNNNNNNNNNNNNNNNNNNNNNNNNNNNNNNNNNNNNNNNNNNNNNNNNNNNNNNNNNNNNNNNNNNNNNNNNNNNNNNNNNNNNNNNNNNNNNNNNNNNNNNNNNNNNNAAAGCCCUAUUAAAGCCCUAUGAAGCCUAGAGUCUCGAUUGCUGGGUUAGGGUACGAGGUGGAGGAAGUUCCGGAAGACAAAGACAGGGAAGGCGUAACCCGCCACCUGAGCAAGGGCGAGAGAGGCAAAAUUUACCACCUCCAAACAUUCAUGAGACGUUCCCUGGUCCUCCAAUUAUGAUGCAAGAUGAAGCUGAAGUCAUGGAUACUCUAGGACAACCAAGUGGGAAAUUCGACUAUAUGGUGAAGUAUUCGGCUCCUGCCAGCUUUUACUUUGACGCCCGCAAUAUAGUUCCAAGUGGAUGGGAUGGCAUGGAUGAUCCGACGCCUUCAAAGAUAGAAAACUCUGAUGACACCUUGGAAGGAAUUUCAAGUUUGUUCGAUGACCUCUCCAUUGGAGCCAUUGAUGGAGAACCUCUGGAAGAAACAGACCCUCGCCCACAAGAGUAACCCAUUUAUCACUUUUGCACAUUCCCAUGCGUGGGAAUUUUUAUUGCUUUCUAGGAAUUGUUUUUGAUUUCUUCUUUUUCACUUUCUUCUUAGGACUUGAAUUGCAUUUUCCAUUCAAUAAAUUGUAAUUUAUUGAUGAAUUUCAAUGAAAUUACAAGUUUUAUUUGAGGGCAUGAUGAGGUACACCAAACCAGCCUAGUGAUGAUAUCCAACCGAUAGAACAAAAUCAAAAUCCAAGGAGAACUCUGAGGCCUGGGCUUCAUCAUGUUUCUUCAUGUCAAAAACAUGAUUUUGCAAAAGAAUGUCAAAAAAAAUUCACAAAAAAAUAAAAUAUGAUUAACCCUGUCUGUCUUUUUUAUCCUUCUAUUUCCUGUUUCAGGGACGAUCAUAUAACAUGCAAAGGUGUGGAAAUGGUCCAAUCCAAUGCAACAAGUGAUGAUAAUGAUGAUCCUGAAGAUUCAAUCGAAGAUUCCAUUGAGGUGCAGCAAAGCUGGGAACAACAUGAAAAAGCCAAGACUCUCACAUCCGAGCAUACCGUCACUAUUAAUUUAAGUGACAUUGAAGAAGCCAAUGAGGUGAAAAUAGAGGCGAAUCUCCCCAAAGACGAGGCUAAGCGCCUAAUUCAGUUACUGAAGGAAUAUAAGGACAUCUUCGCAUGGACCUACGCCGACAUGCCUGGGUUAGACCCAUCAAUCGUGGAGCAUUAUUUGCCUACUAACUCGGACGUGCCUCCUAAGAAGCAAAGGCUGCGAAUAACUAAGCCUGAGCUCUCGAAGAAGAUAAAAGAAGAAGUGAUGAAGCUUUUAAAAGUCGGAUUUAUUGAAGUCUCGCAAUACCCUGAAUGGGUAGCAAACAUCAUGCCGGUGAUGGAGAACGAUGGUCGAGUUUGAGUUUGUGUCGAUUAUCGGGAUUUGAACAAGGCUAGCCCAAAAGAUGACUUCCCGCUACCUCACAUAGAUGUCCUUGUUAAUAGUAUUGCCAGAUUUGAACUAUUCUCAUUUAUGGAUGGUUUUUCUAGGUACAAUCAGAUAAUGAUGAAGGAGGAAGACACGGAGAAAACUGCAUUUAUCACCCCGUGGGGGACCUUUCAUUACAAGGUUAUGCCAUUCGGGCUCAAGAACGCAGGGGCAACUUACCAACGAGCCAUGGUAUCAUUAUUCCAUGAUAUGAUGCAUCAGGAGAUCGAGGUCUAUGUUGAUGAUAUGAUCGCAAAGACUCGACCUAGGAAAAGCCACAUCGAAACCUUGAAAAAGUUGUUCGAUCGACUCCGUGAGUUCAAGCUUCGUCUAAACCCCACUAAGUGCGUGUUUGGAGCAACAUCUGGUAAAUUACUUGGAUUCAUUGUAAACAGUAAAGGGAUUAAGAUCGACCCAGCUAAAGCUAAAGCCAUAUGUGAGUUGCAACCUCCAUCAACGGUGAAAGAAGUCCGAAGUCUUUUGGGCAGAUUGAAUUACAUUGCUCGAUUCAUUUCCCAACUUUCUGAAAUCGGCAAGCCAUUCUUCAAGCUCUUAAAGAAGAAUGCACGAGUCAACUGGGAUGAUGAGUGCCGAGAAGCAUUCGACAAGUUGAAACAGUAUUUGAUGAAUCCACCAGUUCUUGUCCCGCCAUCGCCAGGGCAUCCUUUGAUUCUCUACCUCACCAUUCAUAGUGAGUCAUUGGGUGCGAUGUUGGCACAGGGAAGUCCCGUCGACAAAAAAGAACGAGCCAUUUAUUACCUAAGUAAAAAAUUCACCAUGUCAGAGCUGAAAUUUUCUGAUGUGGAAAAGACUUGUGCUGCACUAGUGUGGGCGUUGCAUAGAUUGAGAUAGUACACACUGCAUUACCAGACAUUCCUUGUAACUGAGAACGAUCCUAUCAAGUACCUACUUGAUCGGCCAGCUUUGGUGGGUAGGUUGGUUAAAUGGCAAAUUUUGAUAUCAGAAUUUGAUGUGCAAUAUAUGCCACAGAAGUCGGUUAAGGGUCGAGUGAUCGCCGAUUUAUUGGCUGAGAAUCCGGAAGCCUCAAAUAGUGAUGAUCAUUCCCUAGAUGACCGUAUCUUGACUGUAAAUGAAGACUCAUGGACAAUGUUCUUUGAUGGAGCUGUGAACUUGUCUGAUUCUAGCAUUGGGGCAGUUUUGAUAUCCCCAGACAGACAUCAUCACCCAGUAGCUACGAAAUUGAUAUUCCCAUGCACUAACAAUACAGCCGAGUAUGAAUCUUGCAUCCUCGGGCUUCAAGCUGCAAUCGAGAUGGGUAUAGCCAAAUUAAAAGUGUUCGGGGAUUCCGCGUUAAUCAUACUGCAGACCGUAGGUGAAUAGAAGACUAAGGAUGCUAAAUUGCUCCCAUAUCACAAGUACCUAGAAGAUUUGAUCAAGGAAUUCGAUGAAGUUUCAUUUGAAUACUUACCGAGGUCUCACAAUCAAUUUGCAGAUGCACUCGCAACUUUAUCAUCCAUGUUGCAAGUCACUGACUGAUUAGAAGUCGAGCCAUUGAAGAUAGAGGUUUUGCCAAGGCCGUCUUAUUAUAUGGUAGUGACUGAAGAAUCUAACAAAAAACCAUGGUAUUACGAUAUCAUGAACUACAUCCAAAAAUAAGGAUUCCCCGAGGAAAGUACUCCAGUUGAUAGGAAGUACAUUAUGAAGAUGGCCUCAAAGUUCUUUGUCAGUGGUGAAAAUUUGUACAAGAGAACUUAUGAUUCAGUUUUGUUGCGGUGUGUGGGUGAAGCUGAAGCCACUCAAAUUAUGCAGGAGGUUCACGAAGGAGUGUGUGGCCCCUAUAUGAAUGGACACAUGAUGGCUAAGAAGAUCAUGAGAUUAGGCUAUUAUUGGCUCAUGCUAGAAGGUGACUAUAUUCAGCAUGUCUGGAGUUGCCAUCGUUGCCAAAUUCAUGGUGACAUGAUAAAUGUUCCUCCAACAGAGCUACACCAGUUUUCUGAGCCAUGGCCCUUCUUAAUGUGGGAGAUUGAUCUGAUCGGCCUGAUAAAUCCUAAGGCUUCAAAUGGAUAUCGUUUCAUUUUGGUGGCGAUAGAUUAUUUUUCCAAAUGGAUAGAAGCUAUGUCAUUUGCAAGUGUCACUGCUUGCAAUGUUGCGAAAUUCAUCAAACGUGACAUAAUUGCUCGUUGUGGUGUCCCUGAAACGAUUAUCACUGGCAAUGGAACAAAUUUGAACAACAAGCUUGUUGAUGAGUUGUUCAGCGAGUUCAAGAUCAAGCAUUUGAAUUCAUCCCCUUAUCGCCCUCAAAUGAAUGGGGCUGUUGAAGCGGCCAAUAAGAAUAUUAAGAAGAUCUUGGCUAAGACAACCGAGAAUUAUCGAGACUGGCAUGACAGAUUACCCUUCGCACUGAUAGCGUAUCGGACAUCGAUUCGUACUUCUACCAGGGCAACUCCUUUUGCUCUGGUAUACGGCAUGGAGGCAGUUUUGCCUGUGGAAGUGGAGAUUCCUUCCCUGAGAGUAUUAUCCCAAGUAGAAUUAUCUGAGGCAGAAUGGUCGCAACAAAGACUUGAACAGUUAAACUUGAUCGAUGAGAAAAGACUGAAGGCUCUCUGCCAUGGCCAAACAUAUCAACAGAGAGUAGCCAAAUCUUUCAAUCGAAAAGUGCGGCCGAGACAUUUCAAGGUAAAUGAUCUUGUUCUAAGGAAACUGUUGCCAAUUUUUCCAGAUCCUGGGGGGAAGUUUGCUCCAAACUACAGUGGCCCAUAUGUGGUAAAUAAGGUACUUCAUGGCGGUGCUUUAAUCUUGGCAUAAAUGGAUGGUCUGUGUUUUUCACUCCAGUUAAUUCAGAUGCUGUCAAGAAGUAUUACCCAUGAUAGAAUUUGCCAUGUUAGGUUUUGAAUUACAAACAUUUUAUGAUGAAUAAAUUGCCUCCUUGAAUUGCAAAUUCAAACUUGUUGCAAAUAUUGCAUGUUUUCCUUGAUGAAUAAUGUGAGAUAAAUUGAAUGUGUCAAAUGGGAUACUUUGGAAUGACGAAAGGCAAACCCUAUUCCAUACACUGACCCCUAGUGAGUUGUGUGAAAAAUUCCAUGCCUACGAGAAAAAGGAUGAUCUCGCAAAGGGUACGUCAACCAAGGUGAUGAGAGGCAGUUUUUUCUACUACCCGAAACACUACAGGUAAAUCCAUUGUUCAGCCCUUUGAGCCCACACACAUAAAGAGCUUUUUAAAUUAUUCCUGUCAAGAAUCGUCCCAUAUUGGGACAAGAUUUGAAAUAAAUGAUAGGAAUUUUCUUACUCACACUUGCAUCAAUAUUCGAGUAUUGCUUUUACAGUGUGACUUGUACGAUAAUUUAAAGUGCCUUAGGACGACGAAGAACAGUUCUUUCUCUAUCCUAUACACUUUAUCCAUUGCAUAGCCCCCUUGAGCCUAUGAAUUAAUUUCACAUUAAACCCAGUUGGUGAUCAUCCCCCACACUGGGGCAAGGCAAGAAAAAUUAAACCACUCAAGUAGCAUGAUUUACAAUGCUAAUAAAAAUGGAGACUUUGUCCAAAAAAAAAAAGAGUGCAAAAGUGGGGCAUGAAAAAGCAGUGUGCCUGGUAAAAGCAAUGACAAUGCCCAAAGAAAAAUCAAACACUUGAUGAAUGAGUCGUAAAAAAAAAGAAAAAACUCAAAUGUUGAGAUGUUGCAAUUAGUGGAGUUGUGAAGUGAAGAAAAUCUUCGACGAUGGAGAGGAAAAUUGCUGGAAAUGUCAAGAUGAUCACCAACUUUGACCCCAUAAACACUUUUUGAGCCAAAUGAUCCUUUCAUUUCCCAACCCAUGAACCCAACCUACGUUACGUCCCUUACAAAGUCUCUUCAGAUUAUAGCACUUGAAUUAACGUAAAAGUUCAUAUGUUUGGAAGCAUCACUUGAAGAAGUGUGAGUAAGAUAAUUUCUUCUUCAUUUCUCAUGUUUCUUGGCUUGUAAACCCCAAGAUGAUUGUGAAAUAUCAUUCAUUUUUUAAUAGCCUUGGCUCAAAGAGUCUCAUUUGCUAAGCCGUUGACCAAGCCAGCGUUGCAGUCCCUGUUAAAGACCUCUUAGAUUGGUAAAUUUCGUACCACUUGCGAGAUUGCUCAAACCCUUGUUUGGCAUGAUAACGGAAAGAUAGAGUGAUUGACAAAAAUCAUGUAUCAAAAGUCAGGAUAAAAUAGCUCAUUUUAAUGAGGAUGAGUGAAAAGUCCUUUCAGAUCGAGAGAUCCCCCAUUUGACACAUCCAUGACACUCAUGUGUUCAGAUUGGAACAUUUUUUUGAAAUAUUUCCCAAUGGAAAUUAGGUGAUGCAGGCUUGAUAUAAAUCAUAGUGCAUGAACCUCCCUUAAAUUAAUGCAUGUUUGUCAUCACAAAUGUAUAUUGCUUUUCCUAUGACCAUGUUUUGCAGAAAACAUUUCCCCUAGGAACAGAGAUGUUACCAGGUAAGUAUAUCUCUAUCUAUACCUUAAAUACUUGUUGUUGUACAGGUAUUUUCCCUUUUGAGUACACUGACACUCGAUGGAGUUGUCCCCAAAGAUUUUUCCCUAGAUUGCAAUGUUAGGCGACCGUAGAAUGGUACGAGUCCUCGACAACACCUAUUCCCUAUUUAGGCGACCGUAGAAUGGUACGGGUCCUAGAAAGUGAAUCCCCGUUUAGGCGACCGUAGAAUGAUACGGGUCCUAAAUAAAACCUAUUUCCCUAUUCAGGCGACCGUAGAAUGGUACGGGUCCUGGAAUGUAAAUCCCCGUUUAGGCGACCGUAGAAUGGUACGGGUCCUAGAAGGUAAAUCCCCGUUUAGGCGACCGUAGAAUGGUAUGGGUCCUAGACACAAUCAAACACUGUCAUACUGGGUGACCGUAGAAUGGUACGGGUCCUAGGAAAGCAGUCUCUUUGCAAAGUCAUGUUACUAUUCUAGGCGACCGUAGAAUGGUACGGGUCUUGGACAUGUAACACAAACUAUCUUGAAUCACUCUACCCUCCUUGAAGGUAAGAUAUUCUAGAUAAGUCUUUUUUUUACCAUUUUAUACUCUUUAAGGAACCCGAGUGAGAGUUAGGUACUUACAGAGUAAAUGGGGAUUUAUCAUGUACCUCAAGAUGCUUUACCACACUGACCGGUAACUAAUUACAGGUACGUCUUUUCCUUUCAGAUCAUGCAUUUGCAUUAACAUUUCCAUGAAUCAUUACAUUACAUGGGGUUCAUUUUCCGAAAAAAAAAAAUCAUUUAGUGCAUGUGCAUAGUCAAAAUUUAUGUCUCAAUUUGUCUUUGAAGGCAACCUCUUCGAGCUCACCUUCAAAGAUGGGCAGCUGUUGAUACCUAAAUUUUAACUUUUUUUUAUUUUUUUAUUAGGGUAACAAAGAUAUUUAACUUAUCUCUUAAAAAAGGUUGUUAAAAAAAUAUUUUGUGGAGGAAUGAGAUUUUGAAGGAUUUUCGGAUAACGAAGUCAUAUCAAAAGUUGAGUAAAUUGUCUUUAAAAAAUCUUCAUAAAGAAUUUGGGAUUAUUUUCUUGUUGAGCACAUCUCUCCGUUUCUUCGAAUGAUCCUUAGCGAUUAGGUCAAUAUAUGCAAAUCUUCGUAGGUUGAACAAACCGAGGUUUUCCUCUAUAUAAAUAGGGGGGCUUUUUCGUUUUCUCUUGGUCAAAAAAAGAAGAAAAGUCAAAGGAAAAGAGAAAUUUUUUGAGGCUUUCUUCUGCUGGCUUCAAAAGUGAAAAGGAGGGUGCAGAAAGUACAGAGAGAAGAGACAGGUGAGAGUGACGGAGAGGGAGAGCGACCCGGAAAAGAAAAAAAGAAAAACAAAAGGAAAGGGAAAAGCGGAGCAGAAAACGGGGGACUGUUAAUUGUCUUCUUCGUGCAGCCACUUCCCCCCCCCCCCGCCUUCCGCCUGCAACCCUUGCGCCGUCGCCGCAGCUCCACACCCUUGUGAUGUCAUCGCUGCGCCGCCUGCGUCCGGUAGCCAGCCUCGAAUGCUCCGCCACCGCUCCUCGCCCCGGAAGACGCCGCGCCCGUAACGCCGCCUCUGCUCUGGUUCUGCCCGCAAAGCCGCUGACCACCGCCUCGCUUGCAGCCCGUCACUGACGCCAGCAGCUCCUGCGACCUGCCCCGAUUGUGACUCAAGACGCCGCGUCCCGCCGACGUUUCCUCCUGCUCGCUCGUUGUUGCUCGGGUUGCCAGCAGUCGAAGCUCGCGCCGUCUCCCUCGCCCACGAGCUCAUGUCACUGGUCUGCCCAGGAGCCGUGAAGCCGCUGACCCCUGCUGCGCUCGCACCGCCAAGCACCACCGUCGCUACCCCUGAUCCGAGUCUACUGUUGUCCUCAGUGCGCCAUCAGCUACUGCCCGAGCGAUCUCCUGUUUUGUUGCAGGUUUACCUUCGCCGGACCUCGUCGAAGCUCCGACGACCGUGCCCAUCACUCUCACCGGAGCCCCAAAUUAGCCGUACCGUGGAGCCGAUCUACUUUUUGUUGCAGCCCAUUGCGACCCGCGACGCCUAAGCCUGCCGCGCCCACACCGCCGAGCACCGACGCCGAUCCACCCAACGCCGGCCCUGCCCGUCCUGACCCGAGCUUCCCUAGCUCCACUCCUGUGUUGCUGCCGUCGCCGGUUCACCUUGGCCGGAGCCUCCUUUGCGGAGCCGAUUCGUCGAUUCCCCUUGGAGAUACAUGAGCGGUGCCGGGACAAGAAAAACAAAAAAAAAAAAGAAAAAAGAAAGAAAAGGAAAUUAGGUAGUUUUAUUUUCUUUUUCUAUUUACUUUAUUUCAUUUAUUUCUUUUAAGUUUAGUUGUUAUUGUGAAAAUUUGAAGUGAUCUUCAUUUCAUGAAUUAUGUAGGCAUUAUCUGUAGAGUCUUCCCCAUAAUUAUUGUAAUUAUUAAUUUGAUCCAUAAGAUAUCGGAUCAUUUUUUUUAAUUAUAUUAAUUUUUGGGGUUUGUCGAUAGUAUUUUAAGUGUUGAAUCAAUAUAAUUAUUAAUUUGAUCCGUAAGAAUUCGGAUCAGAUUUUUAAUUAUUUUGAACUCUUUGUCGUGAUAAUUAGGGUUAUGAUAAUCGUUAAUUUGACCUGUGAGACAACAGGUUAUUUUUUCGAUUAUUUUAAUCCUUUAUUUGAUUGAAUAUCUUGAUUGUUUAGAUUUAGUUGAUAAUUGUUUGUUUUUUUUUAAACCACUAAAAAAUCUAAAAAAUAUUUGAAUUAAGAUUCAGUUUGUUUUAGAAUAUUUCUCGUUAUCUUGCAUAUCUAGAAUAUGGAUUUUAUUCCGAAUUUAGAAAAACUAUAAAAACAAAAAACAAAAAACAAAAAAAAAGUGCAUCCAUUUAGGUUGUUAGUUUUAUCAUUAUUUGAAUUGCAUGUGAAAUUUUAAUUUCGAAAUUAAUAUAAAAACACAAAAAAAUCAUCAUGCAUAUAUCAUGUUGAAUUAGGGCAUUAUUUGCACGUCAUUGCAUAUUAGAUAAAUUGCAUGUUAGAUUAAGAUAAUAUCUUAGUUUAAAUAGGAUUAAUGUGACUUGAUCCUUAGUUUAAAUUAGAAUUUUAAUCUAGCUAGAUGAUUUUUGCAUUUUUAAAUAGAAAUAUCAAAUGCACGUCAUUUAGUUUUUAUUAGGUUAAUUUAAUUAGAACUUCAUCGUCAUUAGACUAAGUCAUUUAAUAAAUGUCGCAUGACAUAUAACUUGCAUACUAAAUUGUAUGUUGCGUGUCAUUUUAGUUAAAAUAAUUUUGUAUGUCAUUGCAUUGCAUUACCUGUCAUUAAAAUUAGGUCAUUUGAUUAUUUUACAUUGCAUAUUUAAUUGUUGCAUUUCUUUAAUUUCAAAUUUCAUGAAAAAUAUAAAAGAAUUAGAAUGAAUUCAUUUCAUGCUUUAGGAUAGAUUGCAUGCUUAUUUAGGACAUACAAUUUUGGUCAUGUUAUCAUAUUAUUUCAUGUUAGAAUAGUGAUAUGCAUUGCAUAAGUCAUGAUUUUCAUUGAAAUUACGUGUUAAUUAGAAAUCAUAUCUAGAGUUGCUGAUGUGAAUUCUGAUUUAACAAUGCAGAUGCUUUCGUUGCUUCUAAGUAUGUUUUGCAAUAUUUAAUUGCUUUCUUGAGUGUUAAAUUGGUGGUAUGCGCACAUGUAUGAUCACCUCACAUGUUAGGAAGUUAAAUUAAAAUCAAUUCAAUUGCCAAACAUUUUUGAAAAAUGAAAUAAAAAGGUACCGAAAGGGCACUAGGAUAGUCUGGUGUAACCAAGUCUUCGAACUCAUAAAUCUCUGGUUCAUAGGAGUAAAGUAAAUCUCUUGUUACUUUACUUGGGUUUCUAAUCGACCCACCAAAAAUAGAUUAGUGGCAACUCCUGAUUGAAAAUCAUUUGCAUGUUAAGAAUUCAAACCUAAGUUGCGAAUUGGUAUGGGCUUGGGAGAGCCUGAGCUAAGUUUAAAGACUUAGUAAUCCAUUAACUUAGUUUUAGGUGGUGAACCCGAAAAAAUUAGGUCGCAACAGAUGUCUUAAGGUUUUUGGUUUUAGGACAUAGUAUUUGAAAUUUCGAUGGAAAGUAACAAGAAAAAAUUAAAAGAAAAACACUUCUUUUUUUAAAAAAAAAAAUUCGGGCUGUGCCCAAUCCUAUUGGGUCUGGGCCAAAUGGGGUGACUUCGGUCCUAGCUAGGUCAAAUCCCAAGCCACAUUUUUGGACGGGCCAAAAAAGGGGCAAAAGUCUGCCCCACUCACAUAUUAACUCAUUCAUAAAAGGUAUGAUAACUGCAUAUGAAUUUGGAUACACUACACUUGCAAAUCUAAAUAAUCGAUACAUAGCUUGGAAAAGGAUCUAAUAUAGUUAGCCAUGUCGGCUACAUUAAAUGUUUUGUAAGCUCGUCCAAGGAGAAUUGACAUAGUAAUAUGGAUGGUAUAUCUUUUGAUCGUGUGAUAUCAAUCGUAUAUGUUUGGCAGAGCAAAUAUAUAUGCAAUUCUUGAGCCCACACGACUUUAUCUUCCAUAAAUGAAAAGACAGAAUUAAAAUAAUUUAGAUGGAAUGCUUUUAUUUGAAAUUAAAAUAAGUGCACUAGAAACUUUAAAAUUUUUUUAAUAAAAGUGUGACCAAAUUUUAAAAUUUAUUGAAUAAUUACAAUUGAGUAAUUUAGUUAGUUUCCCCUGUUAUGACUGACCGAACGACCAAACAAGUGCUCUUUUAAAUAUUCCCAGGAAAUGUUGUGUCAAUGUAACCCCUAGUGAAAAAAAAAUAAAUGUAACCCCUAGUGGGCCCCAUAUCAGCAAAAUAGCCCCAAUAAAAUUCCGCUUUUACCCAAGUGCCGCAUUGUUCGUCGUGCCUCUCUUCAACAGCCGAUUGAUGGUGCGCAUCACACCGUUGGCACUUAUCGAAUUCUUCCAAUCUACCUGUUGGACAGAAUCAAUUAUGAAGAUUUCGAGCUAUUUAAAGAACAUGACGAUAGCCCACCAAUCCUGCUCGCUCAUACAAUCAGGAUCUAGGUUUCCAUAAGUAGAACCUUCCAAGUAUACUUCGCUAAUCAACGGAUCCAAGAUCCCUAAAUCAAUCUUGAUCUGAAUAAUGGAUUCCGACAUGUUGUAUCCAGAUAAGAGAUCUUCUUUAGUCGACAUAAUCAAAUCUUUAACGAAAUACUCUGUUUCAGAUAAGCCUUCUUCGACGGUCUAGAAACUGUCAAUGAGGAUAGACUUUGAGUCUUGAGUCUGGCAGUCCGAAGGUCUUCAGACUUUGAUGGAAGAGUCUAUAAGUUUUCAGGCUAGAUUGAUGGAAACAUUUUGUCAACUUCAAAACACUCAAGGAAGUUUUCUCUAACAAUCUCCCCAUUUUUGAUGGUGACAAAACUUUCCUGCAGAUUUGGAUAACUUUGACCUGCAAAACAUUACUCAAGCAAACAUGGAUAUCUCGCAAAAGAUAAAUGGCUUAGUAAAGAUAACAUUAAAAUCUGCAUCCACAAAAAGUAGGUUAGUUCUAUAAAUGAGCAAAGCCAUAAGAUAUCAAUGGUGCUUAAGACAAACAUUUAAACAAUCAAAUCCAAACCCAGUCCAAAUCAAAACAGCCAAACACAAAAGUCAAGUCAAUCAAACAUAAUCGUCACAAAAGUCAAGAGUUCAGAGCUCAGAGUUCAAAGUCAAAUAUGCACCACAUCUCUCCCCCUUUUUGUCAUCAUUAAAAAAGUAGAGAUGAAAAGAGAAUGGAAUUAAGAUUGCUUGGGAACACGAACAAGUUGGAAAUCUCCCAUUGACUGGACAAUCCCUUCCAUCUUUUUCAAAUCCUCCUUCAAUUGCGCCACAUCUUCACCCUUAGCAUUUGCUUGAACUUGAAGAGCAAGGGCAUUGAUUUGAUCAUACAAAGAAACUGAAGAGGCUUGUCCUGCAUUCUGCAAUUUCUAAAUUUCGUAUCCUAGAGUAUAAAUUUGGUCGCGCAUCUCCAAGAGAACAUCAAGCACUCUACGAAAGUCCGCUGAAUUAUCAGUCUGAAUACUGGCUUUUGCACGAUCAGACGGUGUAUUGGCAGAUGAUGGCAAAUCAGCAUGGUCACGCAGAUUGGGCGAUGAAAUAUCAUGUCCCUCCUCAGGAAAUUGAGAGGCAUAGAUGUCCUAUGGAUCUGCUGGAGAACGAUUUACUCAUUCACUGGUGGUAGGAAAUGAGGACGUACCCCUUUUCUCAAGAUCUCCCCCUAUUUCAAUGCCUUCAGGUGGAGAAAAAUGUUCCUCAUGCUCUGCUUCUGCUUGUUCUCCUCUGCCCUCUUCUUCUUCUUCCUCAAUUCUUUCCUCCUCUGAUUCUUUCUCCAAUUCUUCUCUCUCUCUCUAGUCCUCUGUUCUGUCUCAUCCUUGUCUUGUUCCUAUCUCUCCGUUAUCUCUAGAACAGAACGACUCAAGUUCUUCAAUGCCAUCGCAAAAAUGGUGAUAUCAUCCUCAUCCUCUUCAUCCUCAAUGAUGAGUGCUUUUCUUUUCUUGGAUGGAGCAAUCGUGGGCUCAUUACCUUUUCGCUUUGCAGCCAAAGAGACUGGAUGAGUCUUGACAGGGGUUUUCACCUUGAAUUGCUCCAAAGCCUUGUUGAGUUCCUUCAGACGCAUUUUAGAGACCAUUCUCAGUCCCACCACCAUUUGAUCGCAUGUUCGAACACAAAGAAUUCGGGAAGGCUGAAUGUUCAAAUGUCUGAAUAACUUGGUCACAAGUGCUGAGUAUGGAAGUUGACCCUUAUCCUUCAUCAUUAUUCUGUACAUGUGAGACAUAAUAGUGUGUGGAAGAGAGAACUUUUUGCCAGCAUUGAUGGCAUACAUCAACUUUGCCUCCGAGUUUGAAACGUCGGUUUUUGAAGUUGAUUUUGGUCUGAGGUAGUUAAUCACUAUCUUGUGAAGCAAAAUGUUGGACUCAUUCAUUUGAAUAAGAAAUCUUUCCUUCCGUUGUUCUAUCCUGAACAAGCUCUAUCGUUGCACGAGCAAUAGACACACUAAUAGGUUGAUAUCUCCCUCUUUCAACCCCAAUCAUAUCAGCCAAUGUAUUCAUGUCAACCACAUAGUCCUGAUCUCAAACACUGAAAGAGAAUUUAUUCGCAUCCAAGAAAUUGAGAUUCGAAUAGAAGUAAGUAGCAAGUUCAGCAUGAGCCUCUGUCGUUUCAGAACAAAACUGUUCGAGUUGAAAAAAAUUGAAUUUUUCUCGUAGAUUGACAUUCAGAGAGUCGAGAAAAUCAAAGUCCACAAUUCUAGGGUUUAUCACACCACGCUUUAGCAACUUAGAGUACAGUUGCUUGUGUUCCUCCCAUCGAAAUAAGUCUAUCUUUUUGCUUUAGAUUUUUGCCGCAACACUCAUUCUAGGUUUAAACUGACUGUACAUCCUAUUAUCAUCAUUCUCAUAAGGUUGACUCAGCCCUCCAACACGUGGAUCGCUUGGGAUAUUUGCCAAUGCUUCUUCCGCCAACCCCGCAGGGGCAAUUCCCAAUCGUUUCAUUGUGCGUAAAAAGAAAGUUUCAUUUCUAUACCCUUUGUCUUUCAGAAAUUCAUCAAUAUAGUUCAACGGAGUACCACUCCUCUUCAAAGCACAGUAAAGCUUGUAAGUAAAAGCGGGCUUAUGAGUUCUUAUAGGUUAUGCAUCUUCGAUGAUUUCUUUCUCUUCUCGAUGUGCAACAUCCUGAGGUCUAGAUGGAGGAGAUGGACUUUGCUGAGAAUGUUGUGGGCUUUGUUGUUGUCUAGGAGAUUCUUCUUCCUCGGUGAGAUCAAAGUGCGUAAGCCCCUCACGCAUUUGCUGUGGUCCCCUAUUCGCAAUCCUCAAAGACUUUCUUUGAGACGACAUCUUUCACAGUCUUUGAGAGAUUCCAAGCUUGUUUCUCAAGAAAGAUGAAAACUUUUCAAGGAUUAAACAAGAGAAGAAGACAGAAAUGGAAGAUCUAUGCUCUCUUAGGGUUUUUGGGUUUUUGUGUGUAAAACGAAGAAGAACCGACAGUAUAUAAGGCAGUUGAAGCGAAGCAUACGGAACGUCGUAAAAAGGAAAUAUAAAAAAUGCCUUUUAAAAAUAACUGCAUUUUCAAAAAUUAGAUAACUAUCGUUUAAAAAUAACUUCUUUUUCGAAAAGGAAGGAUUGCAAUAAUCACGAAAAUUGGGAAAUAACAUCAAUCAAUUUCGGAUAGAAGAUCAUACCUUUUCAAGAUUUGAUCCGAGAGAUAAAGUUUCUAAAAUAGAAGAACUAACAGUCGUAAAUCUUGAUUGUCUGAGUCUGAGUGUCUUUAGACUUUCAGUCCUGAGUCUGAACUUUCUCAGACUUUAAGAUAUUGAGUUUGGAACGAAUAACUUCAAAUUGAUUUUUCUCCAAAGGCUUUGUAAAUAUAUCCGCCAAUUGAUUCUUUGAAUCAAUAAACUGAAUUGAAACUUCUCUAUUUUGAACAUGAUCUCUAAUGAAAUGAUGUCGAAUCUCUAUAUGUUUUGCUCUUGAGUGAAGAAUCGGAUUCUUGGUGAGAUCGAUUGCACUGGUGUUGUCACAUUUAAUCUCAGUGUAUGAAUCUUCAAUUCCAAAGUCUCUUAGUUGUUGUUUUAUCCACAGAAUUUGUGAACAACAACUUCCAAGAGCUACAUACUCUGCUUCUGCCGUAGAAAGAGCUACUGUACUUUGCUUCCUUGAAAACCAAGAUAUUGUCCUGCUUCCAAGUAGUUGACAGGUGCUCAAGGUGCUCUUUCUAUCAACUUUGCAUCCGGCUAGGUCUACGUCUAAGCAUCCAAGAAGAGUGAAGUCUCCUUCUUUCGGUACUAGAGACCCAAAUUUGAAGUUGAGGCAAUGUAUUUGAUAACACGCUUUGCAGCACUUAAAUGAGACUCUUUAGGUUCUAAUUGAAAUUUGGCACAAAUACAAACACUAAACAAAAUGUUAGGUCUAGAAGUAGUUAGAUAAAGAAGUGAACCAAUGAUACUCCUGUAUAGCUUCUGGUCAACUUUCUUUCCUUUUUCAUCUUUGUCCAGUUUCAAAGAACUUGACAUUAGUAUAUUAGUCUUUUUGCAAUUUUCUAGUCCAAACUUUUUGACAAGUUCUUUAACAUAUUUUUCUUGAUGAAUAAAGAUUCCCUCCUUCAGUUGUUUCACUUGAAGCCCGAGAAAGAAGGUUAGUUCACCCAUCAUGCUCAUUUCAAACUCAUCCUACAUAGAUUUAGAGAAUUUUUUACACAGAUUUUCAUUAGAAGAUUCAAAAAUAAUAUCAUCAACAUAAAUUUGAACAAGUAAAAAGCUUUUGCUUUCUCUUUUAAUAAACAAUGUAGUAUCUACUUUACCUUUGACAAAGCCAUUUUGAAUUAAAAACUUACUUAGUCUGUCGUACCAAGCUCAAUGUGCUUGCUUUAAACCAUAUAGAGCUUUUUUCAGUCUGAAUACAGAGUCUGGUUUCCUUGGGUCUUCAAAACUGGGUGGUUGUUCCACAUAGACUUCCUCUUGGAUAAAUCCAUUUAGGAAAGUACUUUUGAUGUCCAUUUGGAAUAACCUGAAAUUCUUAUGACAAGCAAACAUAAGUAAUAAUCUAAUUGCUUCUAACCUUGCUACUGGUGCGUAAGUCUCAUCAUAGUCUAUCCCUUCUUCUUGCGUAUAUCCCUUGGCCACGAGUCUUGCUUUGUUUCUUACGACUUUUCCUUUCUCAUUCAUCUUGUUCAUGAAAACCCAUUUAACUCAAAUGAUGGAUUUACCUUUCGGUUUAGGAGUCAAUUCCCAGACAUCAUUGAUGCUGAAUUGCCUGAGUUCUUCUUGCAUAGCUUCAGUCCAUCUUUCAUCAGUUAAAACUUCUUCUAUGCUUUUGGGUUUUAUUUCAGAAAUAAGAGCCACAGCACUAGACUCUUCACGCCUUUUGGAUCUUGUGCGAAUUCCUUCAUUAAUAUCACCAAAAAUAAGAUAUUUGGGAUGACUAGACUUAUGCUUCUAAUUGCUGGUUGAUUUGUCAGAUUGUUGAUCUUUUUCCUCAUUUGAAUCUUCAUUGAUCAUUUGUUGCUUGUCUUCUGAAGUUUGAGCUACUUCUGGAGAUUUAGACUUUGUAGAGUCUGGAGCAAGUUUAGAUUCUUCAAGAUUAGUGUGAAUCGAUUGAUUUUGCAUAAAGUCUUGAAAUUUGACAUUCAUUGAUUCCUCCACAGAUUGAGUCUUUUUGUUGUAAACUCUGUAAGCUUUGCUUGUGAUAGAAUAUCCAAGGAAAAUACUUUCAUCUGAUUUUUCUUUAAACUUACUAACUCGAUCAUUUGCAUUUUUCAAUAUAAAACAUUUACAUCCAAAUACAUGAAAAUAUGAAAUAUUGGACUUUUUUCCUUUGAAUAACUCAUAGGGAGUUUUCUUCAGAAUAGGCUUUAAAAAGACUCUAUUAAUAAUAUAACACGCUGUAAAAACUACUUCAGCCCAAAAACUAGAAGAGAUGUUACUUUCAAUUAAAAGAGUUCUAGCCAUUUCCUGAGUGACCUAUGCUUUCUUUUCACGACUCCAUUUUGCUUUGGAGUAUAUGGUGAAGAGAACACAUGCUGAAGACCAAAUUCAUCACAUAAUUUUGUAAAGUCUUGAUUUUCAAAUUCACCUUCAUGGUCUGUCCAUAUACUUGAAAUAACAUACCCUUUCUCAUUUUAGACCUUUUUAGCAAACUUUAUAAAAUAAGAGAAUGUUUCAGACUUACUUGCCAGGAAAUAUACCCAAGUGAAUCGUGAAAAAUCAUCCACAAUUACUAAACAGUAUUUCUUAUCUCCAAUGCUCUGAGUUCUGGUAGGUCUGAAGAGAUCCAUAAGCAAGAGCUGUAGUACACGAUUAGUGGAUACUUGAUUUAUUGGUUUGAAUGAGUUUCUUACCUGUUUUCCCAACACGCAGGGUGUGCAUAGAUCAGACUUUUGAUAUGUCAGAUUGGGUAGUCCACGAACAAGCUUCUUUGCUGAGAUUUUGGCUAUUUACUUCAUGUUGAUGUGUCUAAGUUUUCUGUGCCAUAAGUUUGUUUUUUCUUGAAUUGAGAUUAGAUAUUGAGUUUCAUCUAGUUUGAUAUCCAAGAGGUAGAUAUUCACAUGUCUUCGACCUGUGAAAGACUGAGAGAAGUCUUUAUUGGUUCCUGAACAUAUUCCUUCUUGAAAGUUGAUUUUGAAAUCGGUGUCGCAUAGCUAACUGAUACUCAAUAAAUUGUAGUUGAGUCCUUCCACUAAGGAAACAUUACUGAUCGUGAGGCUUCCAAUCUUUACAGUUCCGUAUCCCACAAUUCUUCUUUUGCCGUUUCCUCCAAAAGAAACUUUUCCAUCAUUGACUUGUACAAGCUUUAUGAAGCAAUUUGAAUCUCCUGUCAUAUGUCUUGAGCAUCCACUAUCUAGGUACCAUUUAACAUUUUUCUUAAUAGUGACCUGCAUUUAGAAAGGAGACUUAAGCUUUCUUUGGUACCCAUAUUUUCUUGGGUCCAUUGGUGUUAGUGUAAUAUAUGGUCUUUGCCCAAACCUUCUUAAUAGGUUUCCAAACCAUAGGACAUUCUUUCUCAAAAUGAUCUGAGCUAUUACACUUAAAACAUUUAAGAGCACUGCGACCUACUAGUUUUACAAAAACUUUUUGGAAAUUAUUUUUGUAAGAAUCUCUUGUAGAUCUUUGCUUAAUUCUUUCCUUUACUUUAGGAAAAUCAAUUAGAAGAAUGGUUUCAACAAUCGUUCCUAAACCUGAUUUGUUGAAGUAAGGUCUUUGUGCUGAAAGAAUUUUUUAAAGUUUCUCUGAUCCUAUAGAAAAUCUUUUAGAAAUACUUGAGAUAUCAUUUUUCAAGAAUUCAUUUUCUUUUGAAAGAUUGUCUGCAUUUUCUUUCAAAGUAGUAACACUUUUAUCUAAACUUUUCACCUUUUCUUUACAAACAUUUUCCUAUUGUUUAAGUGCAUAAUUUUCUCUUUUAAGUUCGGAAAUCUUUUUGAGAGAAGUUUUGAGAUUAAGACACAAUUCAUCAAUGUAUCUAGAGACUUUAGUAGGGAUUUUCAAAUUACUUAUCUCGAUUUCACUAUCUGAAUCUAUGUCUGUCUCGGAGUCUAAAUCUGAGUCUGAUUGUGCCAUGAGAUAAAUAUUGGCAUAAUCAUCAUCACUUUCCUCACAUUUUGUAUUACUCCAAGUUUCUGCUUUAAGUGCCUUUCGAUAUUUCUCAGCUUUUCCUUUCUUUUUCCUCAGAAGAGGACAAUUGGGUCUAAUGUGUUCCUUUUUCUUACAUUCAAAGCAGACUACAUCUUUAUUGGAUUCAUCAUCCUCAACUGACUUAAUCUGUUGCUUUUGAAAACUUUGUUUCUUUGGAUUGAAUAUUUUCCCCUUUCUGUUUAGUUUUCCGAAUAUUCUUGUCAUGAAAGCAAGCUCUUCAUCAUCCAUAUCGUCUUCAGAACCCGUGACAUCAGAAUCAUCAUUAGAUUUUAAUGCAAUGGAUUUCUUACCUUUAGGAUUUUCAUCUUCGUUGAUUUGCUCCACUUCAUAAGAUUGAAGAGUCACAACCAAUUCGUCAAUAGAGAGUGACAUGAUUUUUUGUAUCUCUCUUAUUGCGGUCUUUAUGUGAUUCCAAUCCUUGGACAGUCCACGCAGUAGCUUAUUUACCUUUAUGGGUCCAGAAAUUGGUUGACCCUGAUAUUCAAGACCAUUCACAAUUUCUGUAAAAUGGCUAAACAUAUCGGUGAUAGAUUCUCCUGAUUUCAUUUUGAAUGCUUCAUAUUGAUCGAGUAGAAUGUUGAUUCUGGUUUCUUUCACUCGAUCAGUUCCUUCAUAGGUGAUGUGUAAUCUAUCUCAGACUUCUUUAGCUGUUUCACAAGAAGAUAUUCUAUUAUAUUCAGUAGGAGAUAAUGCACAAUAUAAAGAAUAAAUUGCUUUCGCAUCAAGAGCUUGUCUCUUGGUUAUCUCUUUUUGAGUCAUUUCAUUAGACUCAACGGCUUCUUUUCCUCUUUGUGAGACUGGUGCAGCUUUAGGAAUGAUUCCUUUGUCUACCACAUCCCAUUUCAGAGGAUCCUUUGAUCUUAGAAAUGCCUUCAUCUUGUUUUUCCAUAUGUUGUAUUUCUUUCCAUCAAAAUAAGGCGGUUUGGUAUUACUUUGCCCUUCAACCAGUCCUGGAGCAACAUACUAGCCAUGGAUCUUUAACUCUGAAGUAAAACACUUCAACUUAAGUGAGUACACAGGCUCUGAUACCAAUUGUGAAAGCUAGUAUGAGCACCUUGAGGGGGGUGAAUAUGUGUAAAAACAAAUUUCCGAGAUAAGUGUGCAACACUAAUCAAUAAUAGAUGAUGAAAAUGAAGUUAGGCUCUUGCAGACAAAAUGAAUUACGAUCAAAGUAAAAUAGCGUAGGGAAGAGAAUAUGAACACAUGGUUUAUAGUGGUUUGGCUUAAUCCAAGCCUACAUCCACUCUUCCGCACUGACAGCCCACCGGCUGGAUUUCACUAUGAAACAAAAGAGUUGUUACAGUAAAGCUCUUCCUUGAUUCCACAGUGUAGAGACUCUGCUACACUUCCUCAAGAUCUCUCAAAGAUAUAGACUCUCUUUUGCAUACAAUAUUUCGCUUAAUAAUUUAAUUGAUUAAGAACAAGGAGUUUCAGACUUUGGAAUUCUUUUAUCGCGCACACACUCGAACAACUGGAAUGUCUUCCUUAUAUACUCAUUCAUGUCAUCACACCCGUUGGCACUUAUCAAAGGAAUUCUUCCAAUCUAACAGUUGGACAGAAUCAAUUAGGAAGAUUUCGAGCUAUUUAAGGAAUAUGACGAUAGCUCACCAAUCCUGCUCGCCCAUACAAUUAGGAUCUAGGUUUCCAUAAGUAGAACCUUCCAAGUAUACUUCGCCAAUCAACGGAUCCAAGAUCCCUGAAUCAAUCUUGAUUUGAAUAAUGGAUUUCGACAUGCUGUAUCUAGCCAAGAGAUCUUCUUUAGUCAUCAGAAUCAAAUUCUUAACGAAAUACUUUGUUUCGAAUAAGCCUUCUUCGACGGUGUAGAAACUGUCAAUGAUGAUAGACUUUUAGUCUUGAGUCUGGCAGUCUGGAGGUCUUUAGACUUUGAUGGAAGAGUCUGCAAGUCUUCAGAGUAGACUGAUGGAAACGUUUUGUCAACUUCAAAACACUUAAGCAAGUUUUCUCCAACAAAAAGUAAUUGUUGAGACAUCUUAAGAAUUAGAAUCUAAGUCAUCUUGUAUGGAGAAAUUUGAUAACGUGAUUCGAUGUUGUAGAAGUAGAUUAUAAAUGUUAAUCACACAAGGAGACUAGUUGAUAUGGACAAGCAAAUUGCAAAGAAUGUUGUUGCCUCCAUUACUAAAGGGAAAGACCUGAAAGAUAAGGAGGUGCCUUGUUAUGAUUAUGAAGUUUCGUUGUAGAUCUAGUGACUAAUAAUUUUAAUAUCAAAUGGGAGAUAAUGUUGUAUUUUGUUAUACCAAUCAACUAUUUGAAAAGGGGCGAAAAAGCUUACUUUACUUUGUCAUAUUGAGCCAAUAGUCUGAUAAAGCAUUAAUUUAGCUGUGCUUGAAAGAAUUGAAAAGCUUAAAUUUAAAUUUUCGAUUCCAUCCAUGUUCGAGUCAUCGAAAUCGUUGCUUUUUCCCCAAAACUUACGGUCUGCAUGGCUUAAAUGCAUGCAUGUUAUAUAUUUAGACAUGGAAGGCAUCUUUUGGCCGUGUACCCUAUUGUAUAUUAGGUGCGUAUAUUUUGACAUUUGACUUCAGAUUGCACAUUGAGAUUGAUGACUUUCAUUGUAUGGUUUAUUGUUGAUUAAAACUCCUUAAGGUAGCAACCGCUGCCUUAAAUUCACACCGUGUGUGAUUUGAUUCUCUCAUUAGUGUAUGCUAAUGUUUUGGUCUUUCUUCACCAUAUGUUGGUUUUUCAACAAUGUAAAUGGGAAUACUGUUCUUGUUUCAUUCAUCAGGCUACAUAUUCAGGAAAACAAGCAAAUUGCGACUCUCGGUAUUCAGACAGGUCAUGGAUGGUGAGGCUUGGGAGCUGUGGAUGUGACCAGGGGGCAUUUCUUCUGUUGGUUGGCCCACAUUUGCAAGAGAAAAUCAUCCGCAUGCAGGAAAAUGUUUGUGUGUUUGAGCUCAUUGAUUGGGAGGAUGUUGUGUUUAGAGUCUAUGAUUCCAUUAGUGCUGGUAAAGACUUGAUUACAUUAAUCGAAAUGAACUCUCGAAGUGUCACUUUGGCUCAUCCAAAAAUAAAUCACUUUUUCAUCAUUUUAUCUCCUUUGUUUAGUCUCGGUGAAUCAAUGAAGUGUACUUCUUCCAUUCCCAUUGCGUUUGUGAGGUUCGCAAUAAUCCAGAUGCACACUCAUUAAUGCCGCAUCCCAAAUCUAAAUAAACCGAAAAGGAUGUGCUUCAAUAUCAGAAAGAAAAUUAAAACCUGAAACGCUCAUCAUUAGAAUUUAGAGGUGUGACUUGUUGGUUUCUAAGUUAUGCUUAUUUGUACAACAUCAUGUAUUUUUUCUUGUUACAUUUUCCUAAUAAGCUUUUGUAUAUUGAUGGGUUACAUUACUAUUUAGGAUAUGCUAAGUGUAGUUAAUUAGUUAUGUCACGUGAAGAACAUGUACUCAUUAGUAACAUUAUAACAGGUAUUGAUUUGCAUAUUGUUGUAACUCGAUACAUAAUAGAGCAGUACCUAUGAGAACUCUUCUUUUACUUCUGUGCAGGUCGGACCAAACAGUCCGAAUAUCAAUUGCGCCCCUCUGAGCAGGCUUUGCAUGGCCUUACAUUUCCGCGGCUUCCCACUGCUCUUGAAAAAACUAGGGAAUUUGAAUUAGAGUAUCCAUUUUUGAAAUUGGUGAUGGGCCAACUUUUAUGAAGGACAGAACCACGGUAAGGGCCCUAUGUCUUUCAUAAUUGGCAUAUCUCAACCAUGACGCCAUCUACAUCUUGUCCUAUAGUCCACUGUUUUCCCAAAAUGUUUUGGUCUUUCAUAGGAAUCAUGUGAGAUGUUAUUCUCUGAGGUGUCCAUGGCUAUAUGUGUAAAAUCAGGAAAGUUUUGACUUUAAAAUUUCUUUUCUUUUCUUUUCUUUUUUAAUUUAUGGAUUCAUAAGGUUACCAAUUCCAAAAUAAAAGAUUUUAUUUUUUCAAUAAUCAGGGGUAAAGAAAAUUACUAUUAUUCAUAGACUAAGAGGAUAUUGUGGAGACAAUCAAUGUUGGCAACUCUUGAAGCAUUACCAUGAGAGUUCAAAAAUUGUGUACACUAUUGUAGAGUCUAUGAGCAUUGUAUUGUCACAUUUUAACUUCAAAUUGCAAGUUGGGAUUGAAGACUUCUAUUAGCCAAUUAAGAUUGUAAUUGAAUUUCCUGAAACUAGUAAAUACUAUAUUUACAUUUUGUUUGCCUUUUCUAUUUAUUGUUUGUUUGUAUCAAUCUUUUCCUCAUAAUACGAUAUUGGCAAAGUGUUCCUUGUGAAUUCAUAAAGAGGUACAUCCAGGAGAACCAGCAAAUUACGACUCUUAGGUAUUUGAACAAAUAAUGGCUGGUGCAGUUCGUAACCCAUCAACACCAUUAUCCAGCAAACACAUCUGUGGUUGGCCCACUUUUAUGAGAGAAGCUUAUCUGGAUGAAGGGGAUGUCUGCAUGUUUGAGCACAUUGAUAUGGACGAUUUUAUGGUCUUAGUUUCCGUCUCCAAUUAUGCUAGUGAGGACCUCAUUUAGGUCGAUCGAGAUGAAGAUUAGAAGCGUCACUUAAGGCUGUAUAUUAAUGAAGCAAUUCAUGCCUCCUUUAUUUAGUUGCGACAAAUCAAUUGAAAGUGCACUACUUUUGGCUUUGCUUCUCUUUCUUGACCUACUUACAGUCUUAUCAGAGUUCUCUUAAUACUUUUGUGCAGGUCAGAACAGACAAGUCUGAAUGCCCAGUGAGCCCCCCUGAGCAGUUUUUUUCGUGAUUCCAAGUGCCUGAGGCCUCUCACUGCCCUUGAGAAAGCUAGAGAAUUUAAAUUAGAGUAUCCCCUUUUCCAGACAGUGAUGUGGCCAUCUUUUCCUAAGAAAGAAGUGGCGGUAAGUCCUAGAUUUCCAUUCAAAAUCGGCAUAUCUCAAUUAUGAAUGCCACCUAUUCUAUAUAUGCGCCCCACUCUGCAAAUUUUUCCCAUGUUAAUAUGCUUUUUAUAGAAACACAUGAUAUGUUAUCUUUCUUGAAGCGUUCGUGGUUAUAUGUUUAAAACGGGCAUCUUAACAACUGAGUAAAGGGACUAGGGAAAAGCAAUAAGUCAGGCAGCAAUCGGCAAAUAACCUAGUGACAGGUGUGUGUGGAGACAAGGUCAAAGGGUUGACAAAGGCAAUAACAACCAUAAGUUAGGAAUUUAAUGAUUUCUAUUUUAAGUAUAAAUUCCUCCCAAAGAUGACUACUUAGUACUUUCUCUGGCUGCCUAGGCUUGGGAAGAAGAGGCGACACGAAAUGUCCAGCUUAAGUCAUAACAACUGCAACAGGCCUAGGCUUGGGAUGAUUGAGCUCUCUGCAACAACAUGGCACCACUAGUCAGAUAUUGCUCCCUAGCAAUGACUGGUUUUGUGAGAGCUACUAUGAUCGGAAAUGGAGGGACGGUAGUGCAGCCCUUGACCUCAAAAAUUAGUUCCACCACCUCGGUGGUAUGAAAAGAAGAAAAGAAGUAUCACUUUUUUUGUUUUUUGUUUUUUUGUUUUUUUCCAGGAAAAAGAAGAUCACUCACUUAUUGUGUAUAUAUGCCCAUCUAGCACACUAGGUGCAGCUUUUCAUGUUUGUUUCAAUGCAUAUCGCAAUGCAAGAUUAGUGACUCGGAUAUUGACCAGAUUCAUGCAUGUCUCUAUUGAUUACACGUACUUGGUGUAGUGUCUAAGAGCACAGGAUUGUGGGGCUUUGAUUUCAGAUUGGAAAUUGUGAUUAAAGACCAUCUCACCAAGCCUUUUAGACUGCUAAUAUGGACUCUGUAAACUAACAAUUACUAGCAUAGACUUACUUCUUGUUUGCCUUUUCACUUUAGUGUACGCUUACAUUCCUAUGUCUUAUCAUAUAUCGGCUGGUCAAAUAUCUUCAUGGGCAGAGCGUUACUCAUGAAUUCAUGAAGACAUGCAGCCAAGAAAACCAGCAAAUUGCUACUCUUAUGUGUUUGGAUACAUUGUGGCUGGUGACCAUCAUGACCUAUCGACGCUAUGGUUUGGCGAACUUCUCUGUUGGUUGGUCCAAGUUUGUGAGGAAAACUUAGUCUUGAAUGAAGGGGAUGCUGCAUGUUUGAGCUCCUUAAUAGGGAUGAUGUUUAGGUUGAAAUGGGAUGAACAUUGGAAGUGUCACUUUAGGCCAUAUGCUAGUUAAAAGCGAUUUAUGCCUCUUUUCUGUUGUGAUGAACCAGAUGAAAGUGCACUUUUAUUUGUAACUGUGCUCUUUUUUGAGCUACUUACGAUCUUAUAAUUUCUAGGCCCGGCCACUCCCAUACAUCCGAUGUUAGUCCUACACACAUUUUCUACUUUGGGUAUCUCUUGAGCUCGUUACGCUUUUAUCAUUGCCUUUUUGGAAAGGAUCUCUUGUUCAGCACUCGGUCCACUUCCAAGUUAUCGAACCUAGUUUUGUAUUACAAAAGAAUGUCAAAAGUGACGUGUUUUAGUUCUAGAAGGGAUGUGGAAAUUUAUGCAUCAUUCCGUCACUCAUGGUCACCCAAUAGCUUUUAAAUAUGGGAGAGACACUAUACUCAUGUAAUUAUAUUUGAUAAAAAAAAAAACUUAUCUAGAUACAUUAUCCCUCAAGCGGUGAUGAAAUUUAAAACCCUGAGAGUGAAUUCCACCUACAUCUGGCCUAUAGUCCACUGUUUUCCCAAAUUGUUUUGCUUAUUCAUUGGAAUCACAUGAGAUGUUAUUUUCCUUCAAUGGCUAUAUGUGUAAAAUUUUGAUUUGGAAAUUUCAUUUUUUUUUAAAUUUGGAUUCAUAAGAUUACCAAUUCUAAAAUAAAAGAUUGCAUUAUUUAUUUUUUUAUACUAAUCAGGUGUAAAAAAGAUCACUAUUAUUCACAAACUAAGAGGAUGUGGUGGUGAAGAUCAGUGUUAGCAACUCCGGAAGUGUUACCAUGAGAGUUCAAAAAUAGUAUACACCAUUGUAGAGUCUAUGAGCACUGUACUAUGACAUUUUGAAUUUGAGUUGCGGGUUGUGGUUGCAAACUUUUAUUAGGCAGUUAAGACUGUUAAUUGAAACUCUUGAAACUAGUAAAUAUAAAUAAUUUACGUUUUGUUUGCAAGAUUCUUAUACGCUCUUGCCCAUUCAUUACUUGUCAACUUUUGUGGACUUGAUAUAGCAAGACCCUUUUUUUUUUCUCUUUCUUGAAUCAACAAUGGGGAGAAAAAAACAUAACGAACCCUUUUGCGAACUUGACACAGCACAACCCCUUUUUUCUCUUUCUUGAAUCAACAAUAGGGAGGAAAAAACGUAUUGAACCCUUUUCCGAAAAGAUGAACUUGCAGUCUCAUCCAAAUAUGAAGGAAUAGAUCAAUCAUUAGUGAAUUCGUAUUGCUCACAUCUAAUUCUACAGUAAAAAAGCUAAAGCUGUCCACUGACACUGAGCGUGCACAACUCUUUAAUUUGACCAUAAGCGAAAUCCAUGCAAGCAGCACAAUCCAAUUGUGCUAGCCCGAUGGCACAAGCUCCAUGACCGAAGCAUUUGGUGUCGCCAUAAUAAGCACUGAUGUAGUAGUUGAAUCCCUCGGUUGCGGUGCGGGACCUCAGAUCAGUCAAGACUUGAUCCAAAGCUCAUAAGUAAUCGUCGGUGUACUGCACGUCGUUGCAUAUCUUGUAGAUAACCAUCACGUCCAGGUCACUUCUCACAAGACUCGAACCCCAUAGAAGCCUCAUGAACAUAAGUGCAUGUGAUGUGGACAUGGUCAUCCUAGCCCUCUUUCCUCCCUUUGGUUCUCUUUUGUUUAAUACAAAGAAACAGACAAUUGAGUUAGGCUUUAAAAAAGGUUCGUCUCCACAGUGCAAUCCGUCAUUUAUGCUUUGUUUUUAGGCCAAGUCAAUCCCAAUUUUAGUCAUUUAUGAUGUCACAUGGAUGUAUUCUUGAUAACUUCCCCAGCCGUUUCUAUGAAUUGUUCGCCCAUUAGUAUACUGCAUGGUUGCCAUCCUUGCAAACCCUAAUCUUAUAAUUUUUUAUGAAAAUUUUCCCUCUCUUACCAUGCAUAAAAAAUUUAACAUUAGGAUCCUCUAAGUUUAUGAAAUAAAUUCACAUUAUGAUAAAUGACCAACUUCACUUUUUUUGUCCUUUUUAUUCUCCUACUCUGCACACAUGCAUCUGCCUCACAUACAAGUCUUGAAUAUAUUUAUAUCUGUAACAUUGUGAACUUUAGGUCAUGUAAUUAAUGGAGUUCAUGAUAGUUAUAAAACCCGAAUUACAUUAUACUUUUGCUGCUGCUAAUACUACCAUGUGAGUGUAUUAAAAAAAGGAAAAAGAAAAGGAAGCCUGAAAACCCGGAUCGAAUCACCCAAACUGGCCCAAUAAUUUUCGGCUCAAAUAGUCUCAAGCCUGCCGAUUUGGCCUCAACAUAUCCUUGAGUUUGGAACCCGAAUGAUUGCCAAAUCAGCCGUCAAUUGAGGGCUCAACUACUCUCGUUCUCCAGUCUCUCAUGCUGGCCGAGAUCCAGCCAUCGCUAAGCUGCCAUCACCGCCUGCCGUCGAGCCCCACUUAUGUGGCUAUCGAGCCCCACUACUCACCGUAUGCCCUCCGUCCAAUAUGUCUUACUCGCUCCCUCAGCCCCCUUACGCUUGCUCACUUCUUGGUCACUUCUUGGUCUCCUUUUUGCUCCCUCGCUCUCUACCGGUAGAAAAGAGGUUCUGACCAGCCUGUUUUGAUGUCUUAAGGUUUUUGAUUUUCGUACAUUCUAUUUGAAUUUUUUAUUAAAAUUUUUCAAAUGAUAGAUAGUCCCUGUUAAAAAGAUGCAAUUACGCUUUUUAUUAUUUUUGUUUCACAAUCUAUUAGUUACAUUUAGAUAGCGGAGAGUAGUGGAGAAUGGCUGUUGAUGACAAUUUUCACUUUUAAGUACUAAACGGCGAAAGUUGCCCCGAAUUUGUCUAAAAUCUAUUAUCAUCACAAUUUGAUUUUAAGGUAAUUUAGACCGAGAGAUCAACAGAGGAAUCUCUACCCUUAAAGAAUUCACAAAUUUGGUAAUGUCAUUUUACAAAUUCUAUUCUCUAAUAUCCUUAUGUUCAAAUGAAAAUUUAUGUAGGAUAGCCAACUAGUGCUAGUGCAAGAUAUGAUCCCUCAUCGAGCUAAUCGAGUCACGAAACAUGUUACCUAGACCGAGUGCAUACUCUAUUGCUCUCACAGAAAGCAUAUAUGAAGGCCUACUAAGAGUGAAACUAAGUCAAAUUAUUCAUGAGUUAGUUCGAGCUAGGGUUGAUGAUUAUAUGAGAACUAAUAUCUAGUUGAGUCCUAACUAUAGCUACUCCAUAAUCUUGUCAAAUUGAAGCUCUAGCUCGCUAAUACUUUUGUAAAUUUAAUUUAAAAAAUCUAAUUGUUAUAAAAUUAGCCAUAGACAUAUCAUCUGCACACACAUGUAUAUAGCCUAUGGACUUCUCAUUUGAAUCAAGCUCCUAUAUGAAAUUAAUUCUUGGCCGAGCUCUAAUCUAGUUUUAAACACUGGCUACGAAGUUGAGACAAUCUUUUGUUUGGCACUAUAGCAGAUUGAUUAGACUCGACUCCUAAGCCCCAACCAUGUUGACACCUAAUUCGAUUAAUGAGAGUCAAAGUGUCCAUUAAAGCGGUUAAGAAUUUUGAUGUGCAAAACUUGAGUGCAACGUUAUCGUUGAGAAAUCUCAUUACUCAAGAUAUAGUUGGAUCUUCAUCAUGCAAUUUUUAACCCCCCCUAUAAUUUUCAAUCCAUAUAUUAACUGAUAGCUCAAAUGAUGAAAGUAAGCGAACACUAAUAAAUGUAAGAAAUCUUCAAGAGUCGCCUUUCCUAAGUCCUAGCUAUAAAUCUAGUAGGGACGUAGCUUGGCUUAAAAAAUCCUUGCUGUAACUUUUCUCUGACAAAAUGACACUCCAGUUCUAGAGAAAAUUCUAAAUAAGGAAUCAAAGUGUUCUCAUUUUCUCAAAUAAAGGCAAGGAAUGGCCUUUAUUCAAUAAAGGCCUGCAAUGGCCAUGAUUAUUUCAAAUAAGGACUUAAAGUUACCAUGGUUGUUUGAGAUAAGGGCUCAACCUCGUCGGUUAUUGGUUGGCUAAAUAUUUGACCAGUUAGGGGCAUUUUCAUCCAAUUACAAUUUUAAUUUUAAAUUAUUUUUUAUUCUUUUCUUCUUCUUUUCUCCACUCUUUUUUUCCCCCUUUCUAAAGAGAGUUAGCAGUUGCAAACAAAUACUCAGCAACCCUCGCCAGCCAUGGGUAAGGGUCGGCAUGAACUUGGCCACCUUCGUUGGCCGUUGUUAAGGGCCCAUGAGGGCCUACAAGCCCUCGCUAGAUUAGGCGAGAAUCAACCUCGCCUAGGGCUGACAAGGGUUCGGUGACCCUUGCCAGACACAAGCGAGGGCCAACCUCACUAAUGACUACAAGGGCAACCCGCCCUAAGGUGAAGGUAGCUUGUCCAAACAAGAACGUCCCUUGCUAGCCGCUAAGGAGGUCACCCUCACCCAAAUCUAGUGAGGUGACUCUUUCGAGGCUGGCCUCACUCGCAGCAGCCUCCCUAGGGUAGGGGUCGCCUCGCGUUACAUUGAUGAGCACAACCUUCUCCCAGCCCUUUCCGACAUCGCUUGCGGGUGGUCAACCACCAAUAAAUAAGAAAGAAAAGCCAAAAAAAAUAAAGGAAAAAAUAAAUAAAUGAGUAAAAUGCCCUUGACCAACCAAAAAGUCAAGCCACUUUUUGAAGUAGACAUAGUUAGGGCCUUCUUUAAAAUCAAAUCUACUUCAAGUUCUCAUUUGAGAAAAUGAUAGCACUUCAGGCCUUUAUUUAAAACAAGAUCUACUUCAAAUCCUUAUUUGAGAAAAUGAAGACACUUCAAGUCAUUAUUUGAAAAUUUCCCCCAAUUCUAUAUAUAUGGUGUGUUUAUUGAAAAUUGGGUUUUUACUGCAAUUUUUGGCACAAUAUACCUUUAAUUUUGAAUAACUAUUUGACAAUAAAAAAAUUCCUUGUUGAUAAGAAAUUUUAAAUACCAAAUAUCCUCCUUUCCAUUUUUUCAUAAAUUAACUCGGGGCAUACAUAGAGAAAUCCUCAAUAAUUUCAAGUUUUAAGAUUAAAUAAAUCAUUGAGUCUCUGUCAUGUCAUUCAUCUUCCAACAAGUACUCCCUAUAGGAAGUUUCACUUUUGUUUCUUGCAACUUAAAUUCUUAAAAAAUAUAUAUUUUUUCAAUUUUUGAGGUCUAUUAAUGAAAAAUUUGCCUAAUUUCAUUUUCGGUCAUCAAUAUAACAUCAAUAAAUAUCAUGAUAAAUGAAUUUCCUCUCCUUGAAGUAAAUAGGGAAUAAUAUAUAAAAAAAGUCAACAAUUGUUAACAUCCGAGAAAUUAAAAGGGGAAGAAGAACAACAACAAGAAGAAGAUCCGUUAGGUUUUCCAGUUCUUGCGUUUCGAGCAUUCGGUCACUCUGGGAGCGCAUGGAAACAUUUCUGCUCUUUUUUUGUUCCUGGGAACAGAAAGAAAAAAAAGUGUUUCUGUUCCGGAGAACAGUUUUUGAACAAAAGAACGCGUUUAGUAAGUGUAAAAAAAAACUGUUCUUGAAAUAAAAAAAAGAACAGAAACACGUUUGGUAACUGCAGUCAAUUUUUGUUCUUAGAAUAGAAAAAGAACAUAAACAUGUUUGGUAAACGACAAAAAUGUUGAACUAACUUGUGUAAAACAGAUCAUACGUUGCAUUUUGAGCUACAAGAAAUACAUAGUAAUGCUACAUAUAGAAUGCAACCAUGAAAUUCAGCCAACAUAAGGCAGCAUUACCCUUAGUUAUUACCUUCUUACGAUGCCACACAACCACGCUGCGGCCCGACUUCGGCUGGUUCUCCCCCUUGGUGGUGAAAUCGUCGUUGAACGCCCUCGCCACGUGCUUCACCAGCCUGUCCAUACCACAUCACCAUGAGCAACAAAACAACAAUCGAAGGAAACCCCAAUCCAAUCGAUGAACUGAAAUUCCCCCCUUCCAAAACUGAAUCAAGCAACAACACAACAUCACUUGAAGAUCCUGCGGAAUCGAAGGAUCCACCUGGCUGCUGCUCGAGCGAGUUGGCUGCUGCUCGAGCAGCAGUUGGAGCUGUUGCGCGAGCAGCAGCUCCAGCAGCUCCAGUCGAGCUGCAGCUCUAGUGGAACUGCAGCUCCAGCAGCUCCAGUCGAGCUGCAGCUCCAACUCGAGCAGCAGCUCGCUGGAGCUGCUGCUCGAGCAGCUCUAGUCGAGCUGCAGCUCCAGCAGCAGCUCCAGCUCGAGCAGAGCAGCAGCAGCUCCAGCUCGAGCAGCUGCUCGAGCGAGCUGCUGGCAGAGCUGGCAGAGCUGCUCUGCCGCUCGAGCUGCUAGCAGAGCUGCUCUGCCAGCUCGAGCUUGCAGAGAGCUCGCUCGAGCUGCUGGCAGAGCUGCUCUGCCAGCUCGAGCUUGCAGAGAGCUCGCUCGAGCUGCUGCUCGAGCUGGCAGAGAGCUCGCUCGAAGCAGCUCGAGCGAGCAGGCGUCCCAGAUCUGCCGCAGAUCUGGGCGAGCACACUCGCUUGAGGCUCGAGCGAGCAGCCGUCCCAGAUCUGCCGCAGAUCUGGGCGAGCAACGCUCGCUUGAGGCUCGAGUGAGCCAUCCCAGAUCUGCCUCGCCGAAGCCCAUCGUCGACCGGAGAAGGAGGAGAACCAGAAAACCUACCUGGAUUCGGAGCUUCAGCCGGUGGAGUCGCCGGAGUGAGUCGCCGGAGAGACGAGGCCGAGUGGGAGUCGCCGGAGAGAAGGGAGACACGCCGGAAAGUUGCCGGAGACAGCCGGUGCGUCGGCGUCGUUCUUCGCCGGAGCGUUGGCCGAGUGAGGAGUCGCCGGAGAAGGAGGACGAACGAAGGAGAGCACGAACGAACGAAGUGUUCCCGUUUCGUUUUUUUGUUCUUUUCAUUUUUGUUCCUUUCGAGCGUCCAAGAAGUGUUUCUCAAGGCCAAACAACAAUUUGUUGUUUCUUUUUUUUGUUUCUAUUUUGUUCCGAGAACCAAAAAACAAAAAAAGAACAGAAACCCAACUAAACGCGUUUCUAUUCUUUUUUUUUGUUCCCGGAAACAAAAUCCGUACAAAAGUGUUCCAGAAACACUUCUUUGGAGCGUUUCCAUGCACGCCCUCUCUAUUUCUUCUUCUUCUUCUUCUUCUUCUUCUUCUUCUUCUUCUCUCUCUCUCUCUCUCUCUCUCUCUCUCUCUCCAACCCUCGAGCCGAGCUACACCGCCGUAUUGCGGCCUCCGACCGCCGCCGCCGCCAGGCCACCUUGGUGUUCGGCAGCAGUGCCGCCCCUCUCUCCGCCUCGUCCGAAACACCCUCCCCGAAACCCUUAGGUCCCUCGCUUCGGUUCUCCAGGAUUGCUCGAAGAUGGACGAGGACCAGGAGACGGAGAGGUUCGGGAUGGACAACGAUUACGACGACGGGCAGUGGAUCCACGGGGAGUUCUACUACCGUCGGCGGAGGGAGAAGCGCGCCCAGACCAAGGACGACGUGCUCUACGGCGUCUUCAUGUCGGGGGACUCCGAUUUGGACUACAACGACUCCUCCAAGAGGAAGUGGAGGAAGAAUAGGGACCUCCUAGGUAAGGCCGACCUGUCGAAGCCCGUGAAUUUCGUGUCCACCGGCACGGUCAUGCCGAACAGAGAGAUUGACGAGAACACGGAGAGAGAGAAUGAGGAUGAAGAAUCCGCUGUCGUGGAUGAGGAUAGGCCGGGCUUGGGGGUCUUGAGAAGAACCAACAAGGGAUUGUGACAUUCAUUGAAGCAAAGUUGCGUCCUAGGGAUAUGGGUGUGGGUUUCAACGACUUACGAGGAAACUCUUGCAAAGGCACCUGUUGCCUUGUUGGGGCCAGAGGAAUAGAAGCCAUCACCUGACGUGCCCGGUAAGGAGAAGCUUUGGUCUAAGCAAGCGAAGAAGGCAAC